UUCCGUUUGCGAAUCCUGUGUAUCUUUAUGCAAUGAUGUUGGGGUUUCUAACGAUCAUGCUCGACGUUUGGCUCUCACUAAUGGGCGCGCGCUUGCUGUUGUUCUAGUCCCUGGUAAUGAGAGAUCAGCCUCAUGUGCGUCUUGAAUGCCCUUGUAUCAUUACUCUAAAUAAUGGAUCGGGCUAGCUCCUUGACGCUUAUAACAUAAACAAAAAUGUCAUUGCUAGCUAGCCUGUGUACCUUUGAAAGAAAUAAAAGUGGCGAAUUUUGACUGUUUAAUCUCUUAGAGCUUUGGGUAUGACUGAGGAGUUAUAUCUUGGGGGACAAAAGCUACCUUGACAGGGAUAAAAAAAUUUAUUUGAAAAAAAAUGAAAUAUUUCAAUCAACCAUGACAAUAUUCAUAGGCAUAUUCAUGUGACUAAGUUGAGAAAUUAAUAUUCUUUCAAGUGAUAGGCUUAAGCAUUACAGUUAAAAAAAAGUUGUGACAAUCAGCUUAUUCAGAUAUCUGUACCUCACAAUCGUGGAUCUUAUCCCAACUAACAUGCUUUAAGACAAUGAACAAAACCGUGUAGUUAAACACAUUUCAAUUGUCUUCAACCAAACCGUGAAACAGAUAUCAAUUGUCUUGAUGCAAAUAAAUAUGAGUAAUAUCUUGCUAAUAUUUUGGACCACUUGUUAGUGAAUGUAACGUACAAGGUAUCUCCAAUUCUUAACUGUUAGGAAAUUGAGUUUCCUCCUAAGAUCUCUCCAAGUAAUUUAUCAAGCAACAAAUUAAUAAGAAAAAUUAAAUGGAGAAUAUACCAAUCGCACAACACAAGAUUUACGUGGAAAACUCUAAAUCCGGAGAAAAACCACGGCCGUUGUCAAAAAGACAAUCAGAGAAAAAAUAUUCACUAUGUGAAAAAUUAUUACAACCACACUCUCAUAAAUUUUCUCUCACCCAAGCCCCAGAUGCACCCAAAAUACUAAACUUUCCUAAUACUCACUUAAUGCUUAACUUGCAUUAGAUUUUACAACUUUGAAUGUUUCUCUUUGGGAUCAUUAAAAUGAAGGAAGGGCAUCUCCUAUUUAUAGGCAAAAAACUUGCCUAAAAGUCUUCAAGUUUGAUCAAAUUUGGUGGCUUACCCACCAAAUUUGAUCAACAAAUUUGGUCAUGUUCAACCAUGGCUGCUCCCAUGGUUCAAGAAUGGAGGCUAAAGUCUUUACUUUGACAUUCUCCCACUUGGAGAUUUGAUUGAGAAUCAAUCAAUCUCCACACCACCCUUGUUGUCUUCACCUUUAGUCAUAAUUCUCAACAUAGAGAAUUAUCAUACUCCACCAUAAAGAGUAUACCACUUAGAAUUAAUUACCAAUUCUAAGAAUUUUACAUCGGCACAUGUCGAAAUAUCCUACUGAAAUUUAUGGUGCAACUUCCAUGUUGGCUUUCUUGGAAAUUCAUCAGCCAUCGACAUAAAUUCCACCACACACCCUGCAUCAAUGCCAACUAUGCCUUGUGUGUAAAUCUUGUGGACCCACUAGUAGUAAAACAUCCCCUUUCAUGGUACUAACGGUAUACCAUGAGGAUGUCAUCAUCAUCUAUUUUACAAGGGAUCAUCGUCUCCCACGAUGAUGAGAGACUUACCACUAGCAAUACUAUCAGUAUCUGAUCUGGAGCCACUUGUCGAUCCUGCUCCAUUUCUACUAUGACAAUCUCUUUUUAAGUGCCCUGAUUGUCCACACCCCCAGCAGACUCCUUUCUUCUUAGAUUUAUCUUUCUGCCAAUUCCCUACAACUGCUAAAGCUGAGACAUCUGUAGUUUUAGUACUUUCACCACUCAGUCUUCUUUCUUCUGAGAGUAAAGUACUAGUAACUUCUUCAAGAUCUACUGUCUCCUUCCCGUACAUCAAAGUAGGUAACAAGUGUUUGUAGGAAGUUGGAAGUGACCAUAGUAACCUAAGCGCCUUGUCCUCAUCUUCAAUUUUAACUCCAAUGGCUUCUAGUUCUGACACAAUACCAUUGAGAACACUGAGGUGAUCGGAAAUUUUUGUACCUUCAGCCAUUCGCAGUGUGUGAAAUCGCUCCUUCAGGUACAAUCGAUUUGAGAUGCUCUUUGUCUGAUACAACUUUUCUAGCUUCUCCCAAAGUUCUUUCGCUGUAGGAAUUUUUCCUACAUUUGCAAGAACAUUCUUUGCUAGACACAGUCGUAUGGCACUUGCAGCUCGAUCAUCUAAUUCUUCCCAAUCUUCAUCACUUAUACUAGCUUUUCCAGAGCCACUACUGGAAGCAGGGGAUGGCUUCCCCUUUAAUGCCUUGUGUAACCCAAAUUGAAUCAACACAUCUUUGACUUGAACUUGCCACAAGCCAAAGUUAAUUCUCCCAUCGAAUUUUUCUAUUUCAAAUUUCACCGGACUUGAAAAUUUCAAUCCUAACAUAUUUGCUUUACAGAUCAGCUUUUACUUUUCACCACGGACUGUUUGGAUUGGCUCCCACUGCUUCACGUGAAUAGUACCGUAUACGUGAACAGUGCCUCGACACCAAAACUUCAAUUAAUGGCUCUGAUACCACUGUUAGGAAAUUGAGUUUCCUCCCAAGAUCUCUCCAAGCAAUUUAUCAAGUAACAAAUUAAUAAGAAAAAUUAAAUGGAGAAUAUAUCAAUCAUACAACACAAGAUUUAUGUGGAAAACUCCAAAUCCGGAGAAAAACCACAGCCGUUGUCAAAAAGACAAUCAGAGAAAAAAUAUUCACUAUGUGAAAAAUUAUUACAACCACACUCUCAUAAAUUUUCUCUCACCCAAGCCCCAGAUACACCCAAAAUACUAAAAUUUCCUAAUACUCACUUAAUGCUUAACUUGCAUUAGAUUUUACAACUUUGAAUGUUUCUCUUUGGGAUCAUUAAAAUGAAGGAAGGGCAUCUCCUAUUUAUAGGCAAAAAACUUGCCUAAAAGUCUUCAAGUUUGAUCAAAUUUGGUGGCUUACCCACCAAAUUUGAUCAACAAAUUUGGUCAUGUUCAACCAUGGCUUCAACCAUGGCUGCUCCCAUGGUUCAAGAAUGGAGGCUAAAGUCUUUACUUUGACAUUAACUAGGAUUCAUAGGGCUAAAUAUAUUAGAAUAUAUAGUAUUUAAGUCAGAUCAUUGUUAAAUAAUUUAUUAGAAUUUGCCUUGUUUUUUUGUAUUUGAGUUUUUUUUUCUAGCUAGUAUAGUUUUAUAUAUGUUAGACCAGUAACUUCUUUCUCGCUUAUUUUAUUAGAAUUUUCCUAUGGAUCUACUCAUGCUCAAAAGUUAAGCUUUAGAUUUGAAAGUUACCUCAAGCUUAUAUUAUUAGUCCAGUAAUCGGGAUGGUAAAAAAAAAAUUCAACUUGACUUUAUCCCUAAUAAACUAGCCUGGACAUAUUUUUCAAACACUCGGCUAAAUACAUGCUCAGGCCUCACCUUAAAAGCUUGAUACCAACCCGAAAGCUAGAAAAUUGUUUUGCAAUAGAAAUACAUAUAUUUUUUAAUUAGAAUACACAUUUUAAUAUUUAUUUACCUCACUAAUAACAUAUAUUUGAAGUUCUAAAUCCUUUAACCCAACUUUUAAAUACUAGUCUAAUAAAAACAAAAUUUUAUAAACUACCAAGUUGUUUUACAAAUUAAAUUUUAUUUAUAAAACACCUUUUAAUAUAUUUUAAAGUUUAUAACGUUUUAUUUUUAUCAUAUUAGGCAUUAGAAAGAUUUAAAUGUUGUUAUGAAUGGGCUAAAUAGAUACAAAAACAUAUAUUUUAACUUUUUGGUUUUAAGUAUUUCUCUUGCUUUAAGUUGGGUUCAGGUUUUUUAGGUGAAACCUAAGCCCAACAUAAGUGUGUUGAGAAAAUAUGUUCUGGGCGGGUUACCUGCUAUGGUGGACCCGACUUAUUUUGUCAUCCUUAGUAUUGGACUAAUAUAAAUUUGAGGCAACUAUUAACUUUUGAGUUAGUUUUUGGGUAUAAAUUGAGCAUAUGGGCUUAUGGGUUCUAUACUAUGACGGAACCCACAAAUUAAUUGUUGAUUGAAAAUGAUAUUUAACAUCUCAAUGUAGUCCUUUUAAGUUAGAAAAUAGGAGUUGGACCAUUGGCACCCACCCAAUCUCCUCAUGCAACCCCAUUUUUAAUUGUAUUUAUUUUAUUUCUGAAAAUGUCCUUUUUCUUAAUACAUUCUUUUAACUUUUAAUUUAAUUUUUUUAUUAUUAAAACUCAAAGUAGUAUUUUGUCUUUUUUUUUUUGUGUGGGGGCAAUCUCGUUGUUUGUCUACACACAAAUUAAAAUUUUUUUUAGGUAAUGAAUUUUUAGAUGUCAAUCAUUGGUUUAAAUUAAACUAUUUUAAAUUAUAACUUGGAAGGAACUUAAAUACAAAAAUAUAUAACCAGUAAGAAAUAAGGAAAAAAAAUAUUUUAAGUCUAUUUUAAUUAGAUAGGAAGUGACGAUAGAAAAUAAAAAAGAAGGAUUGAUUGUGAAUUCAAGAAUUUGUUGGACAAAAAAUCACUGUGUGUUUGAUUCUUGUUUGUUUUGACUAUAAUUUUAUUUAAAGUGGGGUUUUAUAAGGAUAAUAAAGGGGUGCCAAUAGCUUCAUUUGGAAAAUAAUUUUUAGCUUGAUGAUAUGAGCUUCAAGCAACCUUUAACUCUUGUUUUAACUUUUUAGUAUGAGUUAGGCCCAUAAGAUUCGAUAUGAUCACAUCAUAACCCCCUACAUUAAAAUGAUUUUAAUAUGUUUCGAUUUUUUUGCUUUUACUAAUUGUUGAAAAUAAAGAGUAGUAUAGAUAAGGAUAACAAUUGAUUUUUGUAAGCAUCAAGGCUUAACUUAUAAAAUGAACGAAAAUAUUAAAACGGAUAUGUUACAAUUACCAGGAAAAGAAAUGUUACAAUUAUAAUGAUUAUGAUUGUUUAACGAGUUAAUCCUUGAUGCUGAAUUUAUUUGAUUGAUUCACAAUAUAUUAUUAAGGAUUAACUGGUUGUCCAGGUGUCCUAUUGAUAGACUGUGUUUUGGCGCUCGCUAGGGGCACCUUGCAUUGAGGUAAAUACGGAUGAUUUGGCUACAGGUAAUCCCAGAAUCUCGGAUUGUGGCUUUUUUCAAGGCUUUAAUGGUGCUUUUACGAAGCCGCCUUACUGUGGCUCUGGGCCUUGUUUUGCUGUAAAUGCCAUUCAAGCUGUUAAUAUUGCUCUUUCCAUGGGAUGGCAAUUUGUUUGGCCGAAGAGGGAUUCAAAUCUGCUAACUCUUGCUUAUUUGCAGAACUCUCUUUUUCAUCUGCCGGGGCAACUCGUAUUUAGUGGUUGAACUGUCUAUAACAGAUCAGUCAUAUGUAGUUUCGUAGUCAUAUUAAUUUUGAAGGGUAAUUCGGUUGCUGAUUGCUUAGGAAAGGCCGGGUCUAACUGAUUCGAGGCCCUUGGUGAACUUUUUUUUUUUUUUCUUUUAAAGACAUUCUUACGUUAAACAACAUUAAUUCCGAAAGAAAUAUUAAAUAGCUUAUAAUUCAACUAUCUUUAAUAAUAUAUUGAAUUUCAACAAUUAUCAACAUGAUCCUGACAAAUAAUAAAAAAAGAUAUAUAUUUUUAGUGAUCAUCUUCAAAGUUGAUUAUUUCAUUCACUAUUUCAAUUUUGAUUUUCAAUUUUGUAAGUAUAUCGUUUCUCUUUAAAAUACUAAUACAUAUCUUUUUUUACUAGCUGUGAAAAAUUUAUCAAGAGCUCGUUUUUGAGAUCUGACUAAUUUUUCUGCUCUCCUUUUUUUUAAAAUUUUUUUUGUAGCUUUUCAUAUUCUAAUGCUUAUUUUCUAGUUGACAUGCUUUUCAAAUCUAAAUAACAAACAAAUAAACAAACACAAAUUUUCUUUUCUAGAUUAUUCGAGCCAUAUAUCAGUACAAAAAAUAAAAAUAAAUUAAAUUUUAAAAAAGAUAAGAAUAGUAACAAUUAAAAAUAGAAUUAUUGAUACCACUUAGCAAGUUGACUAGUUGAGAUGAAUAUAAUGAUUAGAUGAUGACAAUAAAUUUCGUACAAAAGAAUUUUCUUUAUAGAGAGGAGAGUAACAAAUUGUUUAAUUGAGAAUAUCAUUGAUUCACUAUCUAUUUGUUUUGGGUUUUUAUAUAGAUUUUUAUAGAAUACUAAGAGUUAGUUCUAAAAUAUAAGGUUAAUAAUUUUAAUAGAGUAAUUUUUGAAAAAGAGAAGGCAUUGAAUUUUUUUUUAAAUAAAGAAGUAACAUUUAAAGUCAUUAUUCAACUGAAAAAAUAUAUUUAUUUUUAAUAAUAAGGAGAUGUCUAGAAAUUAUGCUUUCCUACAAUAUAUACUUAGCUAAAAAUAAUUUUGAAUAACAAAAAAAAAAUUAAUUAUACUAACUAAUAAAUAGAUAAACAAAAAUUGCGGCAUCCAUAAAUAUUGGGUUCGCCUAGUGGUAAAGUGUUACAUCCUUAAAACUCGAGGCAUGCCAAUGUUUGGCUUGCGGCCUUGUGCCAAGCAUGGCUACGCAGCGGAUGUGCGCGGGAAGGCACGAAAGCAAGUCAAGUUUGUGCGCAAGUUGGGGCGCAACAAAAACUAAACGGGCUGAUGGACAACACACAAGAUAUGUGCGAGGCAGCGCACAAGUGCUCCGAGGGAUAGUGCACACACAAAGGUGCGCAAGGCAUGCGCACGCACACACGCACACUAGCAAGAGCCACACACAAGCAACAGGCCAGGGGGUUGUUGGAGUAAUUUUUUAUAAUAAUGAUUUUGAUGAUAACAAACAUGUUUUCAAUUGAUAAGUUUAAAAUUUUUUGUUAAUUGGAUCAAUUUUUUAAGCCAUAUAAUAUUCAAAGCAAAGAAAAACCUUAUGGAAAUAAACAGCAAAACAUUUACAGAAAAUGGAAAACCGAUUACAUUCCAGAGAAUGAAUUUUCAGAAAACGGUAAACCGUUUAUAGAAAAUGGCAAACUGAUUGCAUUAACCGUUUAUGGUUAACAGUACACCCAAUGCAUUCCAGAGAGCAAAUUUCAGAUAUCGGCAAAUCGUUAACGGAUAACGGUAAACCGAUUUCAUUCCAGAGAGGAAAUCAUAUAUAACGAUCAAUGGAUAACGGUAAACCAAAUGCAUUCCAGAGAGCAAAUCUCAGAUAACAGUAAACCGUUUAUGGAUAACGGUAAUCCGACUGCAUUCCAGAGAGUGAAUCUUAGAUAACGGCAUACUGUUUAUUGAUAAUGGUAAACCGAUAACAUUUCAGAGAACAAUCAUCUUGCAAACAGUAAACCGUUUAUGUCAAACGAAUAACUGACAUCUUUGAACAAGUUUAUAGAAUGAUAAUGGUAAUCCAACUUCCUGCUAAUAGUGAUCUGGCAAUUUGACUUUCGGCGUAGCGGUAACUUGCUUAAGUCAAAACGGCAAUUUGACAAUGGGCAGAAAGUCAAUAACAGCUAAUUUUCAGCUCCAUCUAUAAAUUAUCUCAAUCAAAUUCAAACAAGAAGUGAUUCAACUAUUGGGAUUGAGCAAACAAUUAAGCAUACAACUUUCCUUGAGCUUUAAAAUUCUUGUGUUCAUCACAUUUACUCACACUUUUAGAAUUUCAUUUGUAAUCAAUAAAUUGUGUGAGAGAUAUUUAUUUUGUAAUGCUUUUUGAAAAAUCGAAUUGAGAGGUUGUAAGCAUUGGGAUACACUUGCGUUAAGAAAUUAAGGAUAAUCUCUUGUUGUAAAGGUUCAUUGACACCUUUGAAGUCAAUUAUAAGAGUGAUUAAAGCCUUGGAGGCUUGCUUAGUGGAAUCUUCAAGCUCGUGAGCUUGGAGGCAUGAAUGUAAGCAUGGUUGGCCGAACCACAUAAAAAUUGUGUGUUUGCUCUCUCUUUUCCCUUACUCUUUUAUUUUUGAGUAUUGUUAAAUUUAUUGCUUUUGUUUUCAUUAAGGCAUUAGAUUAAAAUUGUUGUGUGGUUUGAUUAGCUUAAAUUUUAGAAUAUUAAUUCACCCCCUCUUGGGUUGCAUAGUUAGUAUUUCAUUUGGUAUCAGAAUGAGGUUCUCUUAUUAGGACUUAACCGUCUAGAGUAAAAGAUCCAUGACAACUCAAAAUGAUUCAACUUUUAGGGAAGGACAGUGCAUAACUAGACCACCAUUCUUUGACGGUAAUGACUACCUAUAUUGGAAAACUAGAAUGAAAAUUUAUUUGCAAGCUUUAGAUUAUGAAAUUUAGGAAGUUGUUUGUAAUGGUCUAUUCAUGCCUAUGACUAAAAAUGAAGUAGAAGAUGAUAUUCCAAAACCUUCAAGUCAAUGGAGUGAGUUAGAAAAGAAAAAUGUAUCUUUAAAGAGUCUAAGAUUAGUAGAUACACUAGACAAUAUGAAUUAUUCCAAAUGGAACAAAAUGAAAGUGUUUAUUCCAUGUAUACUAGAUUUAUGGAUAUUGUAAACACAUUAGGAGCCCUAGGAAAAACCUUUUCAAACAGCGAAAAGGUUAAGACGAUCAUUAGGUUUUUGCCAAUGGAAUGGAGACCUAAAAGAACCGCCGUAGAGGAAGCUAAAGAUUUAAACACUUUGCCUAUUGAUGAUUUAAUUGAUUCUCUUAUUUCAUAUGAAGAAGAUUUGGCAGCAAAAACAGGUAAUGAGGAAAAGAAGAAGAAGAGCAUUGCACUCAAGGCAUCAAAGCAUGAGAGUGAUGAGGAAAGUGAGUUUGAUGAUGAAAACAUGACUAUGAUGUCUAAGAGGUUCAGAAAAAUUUUCAAGAAAACCACUGAGCGGAAAAGAUUUCGAAACUAUAAGAAUUAAAAGGAGAAGAAUGAGCCAAUCACCUGUUAUGAAUGUAAGAAGCCUGGACACAUACGAUCAGACUGUCCUCUUCUCAAGAAGCUCAAGAAGACGACAAUGGUAGCCACAUGGGAUGACAACAAUGAGGAAGCAAGUGAUAAUAAAGAGUCACAAGAAAUGUCAAAUCUCGCUCUCAUGGCAAUUAGGGAAGAAUCGUUUAACGAACUCGAUGAGUUAAGUGAUCCUACAUAUGAUGAAUUAUAUGAUACUUUUUAAGGAAUUGCACGAUGAUUGGAUGAAAAUUGGUAAAAAGAAUGCAUGUCUCAAAAAGAAAGUUGUAGAGCUCACAAAUGAAAAUGAAUCUCUAAGUACAAAGAUUGCAUGCUUAGAACUAGAGAAUAAAACUUUGCAUAAUAAAGUUGCAUUAACAAAUGAAAAACCAAGCAUUUUACAUUAGCACUUAGAAUCACAUGUAGAUGAUUUGAAAAAGGAAAAUGAAAUGCUCAAGAAAAAGAACAUUAAACUUAGUGAUGUUGUCUUAAAAUUUACAAAUGGGUAAAAGAUAUUGGAUAACUUGCUUAAUUGACAAAAAUGUGUUUUUGACAAAGGAGGCAUUGACUAUAAGCCAAAUUUGAAAUAAAAAUAUUAUAAGAAUUAUUUUAUUAAAGCUAUCACAACAAGUGAUAAUAAGAGUGUUUGUCAUUAUUGCAAUCAAAAUGGUCACAUGAAAUAUACAUGUCUAGUGAAAAGAAAUGUAUGCUUUGGAUUAAAAUGUAUUUAGGUUUCGAAAGGAACCAUUACUAACUCAAGGACCUAAAAAGGUUUGGGUACCUAAGACUUAAGAUUUUCUUUGCAGGGCUUGAAGAAGAAGAAAAAUAAAUGGUACUCAGAUAGCGGAUGUUCAAGGCAUAUGACCGGAAACUGUGCAUGGCUCUCAAGUUUCACCAAAUCGAAAAUGAUGGAGAUGUAUCCUUUAGAGACAACUCAAAAGGAAAAAUUCUCGGAAUUGGUGAUGUUGGUAAAGUUUCCUCAACUCUAAUUGAAAAUGUAUGUUUAGUUGAAAAUUUGAAAUACAAUUUGAUUAGCAUUAGUCAAUUGUGUGACAAGGGUUAUAAAAUUAUUUUUGAUAAAUCAAGAUGUAUUAUUGAGAUUGCAUGUGAUAACAAAAUUUUGUUUGUUGAAAAUAUAUGUGGUAAUGUUUAUACUAUUGAUAUAGAAUAUGCAUCCACUCAUGAUAAUUACUUUUCUGCAUUGCAUAAUGAUGGUUGGCUAUGGCAUAGAAGACUAGGACAUACAAGCAUGGAUUUGAUCUCAAAGAUUUCUAAAAAUUAUUUAGUUAAAGGUCUUCCAAAAAUCGGUUUUAAAAAAGAUAAAAUUAUUGAAGCAUGCCAAUUUGGUAAACAAAUUAAAACCUCUUUUAAAAGAAAAAAAAUCAUAUUUCUACUUCAAAACCUCUUCAACUACUUCAUAUAGAUUUAUUUAGUCCUUCAAGAUAUACUAGCUUAAGUGGCAAGUAUUAUGCAUUUGUAAUUGUUGAUAAUUUUUUAGAUACACAUAGGUAUUAUUCUUAACUAAUAAGGAUGAUGCUCUUGAUACUUUUAAAGUAUUUUGUAAGAAAAUUCAAAAUAAAAAAGGGUAUGGUAUUGCAUGCAUUAGGAGUGAUCAUGGAGGAGAGUUUGAAAAUCAUGCAUUUGAAACAUUUUGCAACAAUUUUGGCACUGUGCAUCAAUUUUUAUCACCUAGGACUCCACAAUAAAAUCGAGUUGUUGAAAGAAAAAAUACAUCUAUUCAAGAAAUGGUUAGAACCAUGUUGAAUGAAAAUUCUUUGCCUAAGUAUUUUGGGCCGAAGCCGUCAACACUGCUUGUUAUGUUUUAAUCAUGUGUUGAUUAGACCUCUUCUUAAUAAAACUCCCUAUGAGCUUUGGAAAGAUAGAAAGCCCAACAUUGGUUAUUUCAAAGUUUUCGAUUGCAAAUGUUUUAUUUUGAACACAAAAGAUAAUCUUGGUCAAUUUGAUCCAAAAUCUGAUGUUGGUAUUUUUCUUAGUUACUCAAACACAAGGUGUAACCACUAGAUCAUCAUUUAGAAAUACUUGUGAGCAUGCUACAUUCAUAUCUCAAAUUGAACCAAAAUCCUUUGCGGAUGAGGAAAAUGAUGAAUUUUGGAUUAUGGCAAUACAAGAGGAGUUAAAUCAAUUUGAGAGAAAUAAUAUGUGGAAAUUAGUUCCUAAACCGAGCAUCAGUCCAUUAUAAACACUAAAUGGGUAUUUAGAAAUAAAAUGAAUGAAUCCAAUAUGGUUGUAAGAAAUAAAGCUAGAUUAGUGGCUCAAGCUUACAACCAAGAAGAAGAAAUUGAUUUUGAUGAAACAUUUGCACUUGUAGCAAGAUUAGAAUCCAUUAGGAUGUUACUAGCAUUUGUAUGUCAUAAAGAUUUUAUUCUAUAUCAAAUGUAUGUCAAAAGUGUUUUUUUAAAUAGUUAUAUUAUGGAAGAAAUUUUUAUCAAACAACCCAUGAUUUUGAAACUGAAAAAUUUCCAAAUCAUGUUUAUAAGUUGUCAAAAGCAUUGUAUGGAUUAAAGCAAGCACCUAGAGCAUGGUGUGAUAGGCUUAAGAGUUUCUUAUUGGAUAAUGGUUUUGUUAGUCUAAAUGGCUAUAAAAUGUUGAUUUUGAUGAUAACAAACUACGUGUUUUAGAUAAACAAAAAAUUACACAUUAUGUUUUUAUAACAAGAAAAUGAUUUUAUGAAAUUGUUUGUUUUUAGGUUUAUGGUUUAAAUUGAAAAGUUUUGAGAACUUUAAAAUCAACAAAUAUUGUUUUAAAAUUCUAAAAAGGGGCCUAUUUGCAAAGUUUUCUAAAUAUUUUGGCCAUAGUAUAAUUUUAUACAGUUUUAGGGUAAAAUUAUAAUUUUUGAAAAAUAGUUGUUUCACUGUAGCAAGCGGCUAGCCGGAUUUAUCAAAACGGCAAAUCGGUUAUGGGCAGAAGUCUCUAGAAUAAAAACGGCUAACCAAAAAUGAAAAGCGGCAAACCAGAUGAGCAAAAUUUAAAUCUUUGAACAUAACGGUAACAUAAAGUGGCAAGCCGGUUAACACAAAGCGACAAGUCAGAUAUCACCAAAAAGUCAAUACAGCUAGUUUUCUUCUUUAACUAUAAAUUGGCUCAAAUCAAAUUCAAUAAAAGUGAGAUACAACCAUUGUUAUCAUUGAGUCAUCCUCUACAAUCUGAGCAUAAAAUUUGUAUUCAUUUCAUUCAUUCACACACAUUGAGCUUUCAUUUGUAAUUAAACACAUUGUGUGAGAUAAAUUUAUUUGUAAUCAUUUUUGUAAAAUCAAGUUGAGAGGUUGUAAGUGUUGGGAUACACUUGGGUGAAGAGAUUGUGGAUAAUCUCUUGUUAUAGAGAUCCAUUGACACCUUAGAAGUCAAUUGUAAGCGUGGUUGAAGCUUUGGAGGCUUGGAUAAUGAAAUCAUUAAGCUUAUAGGCAUAGGGAGGGACUGCCGAACCAAGUAAAAAUAUUUGUAUUUGCUCUCUCCUCCCUUACACUUUUUAUUCUCGAGCAUUGUUAAAUUUAUUUAUUUUCAUUUUAUUAAGACAUUAGAUUAAAUUAUUGUGUGGUUUGGUUAGUUUAAGUUUUAAAAACCCAAUUCACCCCCUUCUUGGGUUGCAUAACUAGUAUUUCAGGUUCCUCAAUGGGAAAAGCGGAUACAACUCUCUUUGCUAAGUAUAAGAAUCAAGAUAAACUUGUAGUUCAAAUUUAUGUUGAUGACAUUAUUUUUGGUUCUACUAAAGAAGUAUUGUGUAAAGAAUUUCUAAUGAGCAUGAUGGGAGAGCUGAAAUACUUCAUUGGACUGCAAAUAAAACAAAAUGAGGAAGGGAUUUUCAUAAAUCAAGCCAAAUAUGUGAAAGACCUACUCAAAAGAUUUGGCUAUAAAAAUAGAACAGCAAAAAGCACUCCAAUGAGUACCACUAUCAAGAUAGACAAGGAUGAAAAGGGUAAGGAGGUUGACAUCAAGACGCAUCGAGGUAUGAUCGAAUCCUUACCCUACUUGACUGCUAGUAGGCCUGAUAUUAUGUUUAAUGUAUGCUUAUGUGCUAGAUUUCAAUCUUGCCCUAAAUAGUCACACUUGCAUGCUGUUAAACGAAUUUUUUGAUAUUUGAUCGGCACUAUAGAUCUCGGCCUUUGGUAUCCUAGAGGAACAUAUAUAGACUUAACUUACUAUUCGGAUGUUGAUUUUGCUGGCUAUAAGGUUGAUAGGAAAAUCACUAGUGGAACAUGUCACUUUUUAGGUCACUCUUUAGUCUCUUGGUUUAGCAAGAAACAAAAUUCAGUUGCACUAUUAACUACCAAGGUUGAGUAUAUUGUAGUCGAAAGUUGUUGUGCUCAAGCUUUAUAGAUGAAAAAAAUUCUUAGAGACUAUGGCAUUCACCUUGAUAAAAUACUUAUUUUGUGUGAUAAUACUAGUGCUAUAAAUCUUUCAAAGAAUCUUAUCCAACACUUAAGAACCAAGCAUAUAGAGAUUAUACACCAUUUCUUCAGAGAUCAUAUUCAAAGAGGGGAUAUUUCUUUGAAUUUUGUUUCAACCAAAAAACAACUUGGUGAUAUUUUCACAAAACCCCUCAAUGAAGAACAAUUUACUAAAAUUAGACAUGAGCUUGGAAUAUUGAAUGUUCCACAAUAGCUUGGCUUUAUGUGAUAUUAAUCUAUUUUUAGUAAUGUGAUUGCUUAUUUGUAUCAAUUGUUUAAAUUGUGUGAAUUCAUGAAUUAUGCAUUAAAUUGAUUUUUAAGACAUUUCAGAUCAAUAAAAUGAUCUUAAAAUGGAUUAAUUGCUGACCAAAAACUAAAGUAGAUGUGCGAAAUCAUUAGUUAAAGAAAACAGAAUGCCGUUUAUUCAAUAAACGAUUAACCGUUUUUGGGACAGAAACUAGGGAAAAUAUUCAGGAAGAUAACGGUUUGCCAUUUUCGUAAAACUUUUGGGUUACAUUCUGGAACGAUAUCAGCUCGCUGAUAUCUUAAUAACGGCUCACCGUUAUCGUGCGAUAAGAGCACAGUAAACCGUUUUCUCCAUCUUUUGCCCUUGAACUGUUUAACCUUCAAUCGUGGCUGCGACUCCUCUCUCUCAAAUUACUCAUUUUCCUUGCAAUUUCUCUUCAAAUUGAAGCCAUAGAAAUCUUCUUUAACAUGUUUAGAACAUUUUCAUUCGAUUAAAAACAAUUUUAAGCCUUAAAUUGCAAAUUCCCAAUUUCAAAACCCUAGUGCAAACCGAAUAUAGUUCCUCCAAAUUCUCCACAAUUUCCUUCAUUUCUUGAUCCUCUUAAGCCCAUACACACUCUUUUAUACCUCAAAUUUAUCCAUAGAUGGUGAAGGACCUUCAAGACCGAAGAGACGAGUCAAACAGAGGGCUAGCAGGAGUCCUCUUUAUCCCCCUCAUGUUCCUGAUUUCGAAAGGGUCUACUUCCUUUCUCUUUCUCUUGCUAGGAGAUUCCAAACUUAGUUUAUGACUCGUAAGUUAACUGAUUCCUUUUUUCUUGAUUUAGAUAAUUUUGAGGAGUUGGUUGUAUGUAGUAGUAAUGUAAAGGAGAUGUUGGUACAAUGAGAGAUUCUUUUGAACCUAAAUGAGAAAGUGUACCCAAACCUACUUAGAAUUUUCUACUCCAACAUGGAGCUUUCGGCUACUAGUUUGGAUCGAUUAGUGACAUAUGUCAGAGGCGUACCCAUUGAAUUUACUGUGGAAGAUUUAAGUUCCAUUUUAGAGACUGAUCAUUCAGGUCUAGAGCUCUACACAUCUCGGAAAGAACUUCAAUUUAACCGUUUUUCUCAUGUAGAUGCGGUUAGAAACAUUUAUAGAUGUCAAGACCUUUCCGAUGAUAUUUUUUCUUUACCUUUUCGGUCUCAAUUAUUGCCUAAGAAUGUUAGGAUCCUCCAUAGUAUUCUCCAGCAUAUCGUUACUCUUAGAAAUGGGCAUAGUGACGAGGUUACUCAUUUAGAUAUCGGGUUGCUGGAUUGUCUUCUUCGAAGACGUUCGGUUAACCUUGGCUAUGUAAUUGUCUGUCACAUGUUGUUUACCCCCGCCAUGAGCAAUCGACUUCUUCCAUAUGGCAGCAUUAUCACUAGAAUUCUGAGGCAUUUUAGGAUACCCAUUACCGAGCUUAUAUACGAUGAGUCUCAGAGGUUAGGUAGUGAGAUUAUCCUCGACAUUGGUUUUCAUAGGAGCAAUGGGGAAUGGGUAAACUUUACCUCAUCCAAGAAUGAGGAUACACUCUUGGCUCCUGAAGAUGAUUGUAUACUGAAUGACAUAUAUUCUGCUAAUCAGCUUCCAGACUUUCGUUAAGGAGCUAGUGACCUUGAGUUCCUCGUUGAGCUGCAGCUGCGUGUGCUGAGGAGCCUGAUGAGCAUGAGGAGCAUGAUAUGAAUACCUACGUGCCUCUAGCCCCUACCUCUUCUUCAGCUUAUGAGGAAUUGAUGCAACAGUUUUUGAGUGAGAUUCACACUCUCUCAGUCCAGCAGUAGCAGCUUGUGUCUCGCUUCAAUUCAUUUCAGCAUAUCAUUUUUUAUCAGCAGCAAGAGAUUCGAGAUGGUCAGAGACACAUCCUUACUGCUCUUGGUUUUCCUCUCAUUGAGUCUUCAUCGCGGCCACUUUCAUAGUUUAUCUUUAUUUUCCCUUUUGGUUACGCACAUACAUUUGUCAUCUCAUAUUUUGGAUGUUAUUCUAUGUAUGUUUUGGAUGAUAUUUGUUAUGCAAAUUUUAUUGAACUCGUAAAUGCACGAAUGUAUUGUAGAAUAGAUUAAUGAUGACGAGUGUCGAUCCCACGAGGAGGUUGAUUCUAAUUGUGUGUAGAAUUAAUUUUUUUCUAAAUGGAUUUUUGGAUUUGUGGUGAAAGUGACUUAGAUUAUCUUAAAAUUGGAAUUAAAAUGGCGAGAAUAAAUUGAAGAGAAAUAUAUUGAAAUGAAACACUUGGGUAUCAGGAUCCAUAUCAACAUGCACCAUGGGCUAAAUAUUCCUUAUUAGUGCCAAUUAAAUCAUGAGGGAGGAAUCUACACCUCAUGAACCACACUCUAAUCAAUAUGGUGCUAAGGGCUUAUCGUGCCAAAUAAUAAUAACCUUGUACUAGGGAGCCGGUGAAACCAGGGCGGUAUCUAGACAAGAUUAUUAUUAUUUAUCGACGAGAAGUCAAAACAUCCACAAAAACUAGAGGGGAAGAGAAAGUAAAUUUACCAAUUAAAGCCCAUGACACAUGUUGAGACUUCACCUUCAACCCAAGCUUGAAAGAAAAUUAGCUACUCAUAAUUGAACUCGGGGCAAAAUAAAAAUUUAUUAAAAUAUGUAGAAAAUACAAGAUGGAGAAGGAAUUAUAGAAAUAGAGUCCGAAAAUGGAUUCAGAGAUGCCAAAUUAGGGGGGGAGGCCCCCUUUUUAUAGAUACAUUGAGUAAAUCAUGGCCAUCAGAUUAAAAACAGUUUGGAUGCUCAGGAUUGCGCCACGUCAUCAGUCAACAGUACGCAGUUUGACCACGUGAUUUGAACAGUGACACGGUUUGACCCGGCAUGAACAGUAACGCGGUUUGGUUGAAAAUAAUUAUAUGUAUAUGCAUGUACUGUGCGCAUAAUUUUCGGUUCACUAACAUGCUGCCACAUUACCAAUCAACAAUGUAUAAGAAUUUUAGUCCAACAAGAUCGUGAAAACUCAUCAAUCAAUGCCACAUCAUCGGUCAAUACCACAUCAUCGAUCCAUCUAUAUGAACAAUGUCGUGAACAGUAACGUAGACAGUACCGUACAUGUGAAUAAUACCAUACAUGUAAACAAUGCCAUUUUUCCUUUUAUGCUCCUCCUAAGGUUUUUGACCAUCCUGAGUUCAAAAGUGAUGUCUGUUUUGCCGUCUGAUCUCUUGUUCAUUGUGAAAUGACCAUAAUAGCCCUAAAAUAUAUAAAAUACUUAAUUAAAAUAAAACGCACGUAAUUAAAUCACAAGAAGCUUAAAUAUAUAAAAGUAAGGGUGUUAGUAAAACUUGAAGCGUAAAAUGACGAUUUUCUCCUUUAUAAAUAUACAUUUUCUAACACUCAACAAUAUUAACUAUAUAUUUUGGAUGAUUUUCUAUUUUGAUAUUUGGAUUUCUUUUGUUGGUUUUGAUGAUGUGGUUAUAUGCUUGUUGGUUCUAUGCAUACUUUUGUGUUGUUGGCUUGUUGGAUUGUUGGAGUUUGUUGAUUGAGUUGAAUUGGCUUGUGCAUAUUUGGGAGUGCUUUCAAAAUUUUCUGUAAUUCAGGAUAUGUCUACUUUUAUGGGGAGACUCUGCCCAAUUUUCCCCUCACUUUCUCUUUUUGAUGAUGAAGGGGGAGAAAUAUAUCUUUGUUGUGGUAAACAAAAUUGAGUGCAUAAAUGUUUUUGGUUCAAAAAUUGAUUGGCCACAAACUAAGGGGGAGCACACAUUAAGGGGAAGCAAUCUUGCUUAGUCUUGAAAUGUUUGUCAUUAUAAAAAAGCGGGAGAUUGUUAACUCUUUUGUUUUUAUAAUAAUUAUUUUGAUGAUAACAAACAUGUUUUCAAUUGAUUAGUUUUAAAAUUUGUUGUUAAUUGGAUCAAUUUUUUAAGUCGUAUGAUAUUCAAAGUAAAGAAAAACCUUUUGGAAAUAAACGGCAAACCGUUUACAGAAAACGGUAAACUGAUUACAUUAUAAAGAAAGAAUUUUUAGAAAACGGCAAACCGAUUGCAUUAAGCGUUUAUCGCUAACGGUACACCAAAUGCAUUCCAAAGAGCAAAUUUCAAAUAUCGGCAAACCGUUAACGGAUAACGAUAAGCCGAUUUCAUUUCAGAGAGCAAAUCAUAAAUAACGGUCAACCAUUUAUGGAUAACGGUAAACCGAAUGCAUUCCAGAGAGCAAAUCUUAAAUAACAGUAAACCAUUUAUGGAUAACAGUAAUCUGACUGCAUUUCAGAGAGUAAAUCUUAGAUAACAGCAUAACAUUUAUUGAUAAUGGUAAACCGAUAACAUUCUAGAGAACAAUCAUCUUGCAAACGGUAAACCGUUUAUGUAAAAUGGAUAACCGACAUCUUUGAACAAGUUUUUGGAAUGAUAACGGUAAUUCGACUUCCUACGAUGACUCGACAAUUUGAAUUUCGAGGCACCGGUAACUUGCUAAAGUCAAAAUGACGAUCCGAUAAGUUAAAUUAUUGUGUGGUUUGAUUAGCUUAAAUUUUAGAAUCCCAAUUCACCCCCUUCUUGGGUUGCCUAGUUAGUAUUUCAACAAUUAUAUUAUAUUAUCCUAGAAAGUGAGGGUGUCAUUUAUAAAUGCUAUAAAAAACAUUAGGGGAGCCAAGUUUUAUAGAGAGUGAGUGGCCUUCUCUAAGCUCACUAAGCUUGAAGCUAUUUGUCAUUCCUUGUUCUUGAUUAUAAGAAAAUGUUGGAAGUCUAUGCUUCCGUAAACAUUGUGUGUCUUUUGUUCUCUUCAUGCAUUAGAUCUUCGAAAAUCUUAAGGUGUGUCUAACACACAUAGCCUUCGUUGUGAAUUGUUGAGUGGCUGGCUAAGCAGAAACCUUAGUGACAUCACAGGCUUGCCGCAUAGAAGAAAAUAGCCUUGUGAUAGUUUAGUAUCAGAGCCUCGAUUAACAAUAUGUCGGGAGACACUUUGAAAGAUAGAAUGAGUCGGAUGAAAGCUGUUGUCGGGGAAGUACGAUCUAGGGAGGAAUCCUUGGCUGUCAAAACCAAAGUAACCUCUAUUGAUUUAGCGAAUAUGAAGUUGUCCUUUGAAGGGUUGACUCAAGAUGUUGUUGAAAAGAUCGGUUCAGUGAUAGAAGAUGUUGCCGCUUUGGUCAAUGAGCUAAAGGGCAGCGUUGCCAACCUGAAAAAUGAGUUGUGCCUGCAAAAGCUCGCGUUGAGCACAAUGUUGGGUAUAAAUACUAAUGCUAUUAGUGCUAAUGUGCAAGUGUACAUAACAAGUAAUAUAAUAAUAAGUAUUCAAGAUCGUCUCCACAAGGAUUGAUGUUAUCAGACUUGCUACAACAAUUUUAACAGUGCAGAUUUUGUUCUAAAUUAAAAUAAAAUAAUUAAUGAAACUAAUAUACUAAUUAAAAUAAAAACGCAAUAAAUAAAAUGCAACAAAGUAAAUUAUCAUGUCAAACUCAAGGAUAAAAUCAAUGGGAAUAUAGAGUAGUUGAAUGAAUAAACUUUCUUAAUGGUUUUGACUAUUUUCUAAUAGUUGGCUCGAUUGCUGCAGUAUCUGCUAUAGCACUAGGCAGAAUCCUUAUGCAUUCUCAGCCGUCGCAUGUUGGAUAUCUUAUAUCUAUAUGCAACCUAACAGUGAUCAGUUAUUAUACCAAUAUAAGAUAUAACAUUUCACGCUUAGGUUCUAUUUACCCUACAAGGUGAAUCCCUAUUUUUAGUUCAUCACUAAUUUUAAAUUAAACAUGACCCUUUUGGGACUUAAGUAAAACUCAAUCCAGGAAACCCAAUUUAAGAUCAAGUAUUGCUUUGAUAUGUUCCACUAAGAUAUGUCCUUUUGUGGCUUUUCCUUAGCUAGUAUCAUUAAAUGGGUGAUCAACCGAAAUAAUGAAUAAAAAUAAAUUCUAUCAAAACAAAAUGCUACAGCAAACAUGUAACAACUUAUAUUUUCAGUCAAUAAACCAUCAAGAUUGUUUAUCACUCAACUACAAAUAAAUUUAGUUCAUGAUUUGCAAAAGAAAAAUAAAAAACAAGGUUUCGGCCAUGAAACACAUCCCCAUGAAUAAAUAGAAAACAAGAAAACAAGAGAAUAAUAAGAACGACUGAGCUCCCAAUUGAUCUCUGCAAUUUCUCCUCUUGUGCAGCCCUUAAUCUCUCUCUUGAAUCUUCUUUUUCUUUUGUUUCUUUGUGGUUUUUCUCCUUGGGUGACGGCCCUCUUUAUUUCUUAUGAUGUGUGCUCCUUUUUAUAGUUGAAAAUUAGGGUAAACGGAAGCCUAGAGCUUGCAUAAGUCAGAUUAGGAAACUGCAUAUCGCAAUUCUGUAAGUAUCCCGCGCAGAAUUUUCUUUGUCGUUGUUCCAGGAUUGCUACAGCAACAACUACAACAACUGCACUGUUCUAGAUUUGUUUAAAUUCUUUUGUAACUAUGUUCUUUUUCAUCUUUUGCAAGCCUAUUACACCAUCAUUCCUUCCUUGAAAUUGGGGCUUCCAAUCACCUACAAUUAUGCAUAUAAUUUAAGCACACAAAAUUAUUCUAAAACAACACAAUUUAUUAAAAAUAAACUAAAAUGGUUAUUUAUGCAAAAUAAAACUAAAAUGCAAUAAAAACAUGUCAUUUACUCUCAAAGUAAUCUUGAUUUAAGUCUAAAAGUGUCAUGAUAACUCUCAUUUCAUAGAGUUAUCACACAACUUCCUUGCAUUUGAAGGUAGGGCUUUCGAAAGUAAGGUUCCGAAGUCGAAAUUAUUUGGGGGCACGCGAAGUGCCAAGGAACUGGAGAACUUUCAGUAAGAUAUGAAGCAAUAUUUCAAGGCUGCUCGGAUACCUGAAGCGGAGCAGGUUUCCAUUACAAGCAUGUAUCUUGAGGGGGAUGCAAAGCUUUGGUGGCGCGGUACACUCUAAGAGGAUGUCGAAGCCAACUGACCAACUAUUGAGACAUGGGACUCACUGAAGCAAGAGUUGAAGGGUCAAUUAUUACCGGGUAAUGCGAGUGGGAUAACGGGUUUAAAGUAUUAACAUAUAUAUAAUUAUUAUAAUGAUUUUGAUGAUAACAAACUUUAAGUGUUCUUGAUCAAAAGGUUGGAGUUUCUCUUUAAUAAACAUUUCAUUAAAUAGCCAUAUAACAUUCUUAAAUGUGUUCAUGAAAUAUGAAUUAUCAUGAACUUUAAACCGGAAAAGCAUCUCCUGCAAAAUGUUGAUUAAAACUUUGAUUCUGGAAACAAACAGUGAACCAUUAACUUUGAAAUGGUUAACUGAUACUUUCCAGAGAUGGUUAAUUCCUUAAACUUGAACCGGUUAACCAAAACGGACAAUGCAAGUAAGCUGGGGAGGCUACUGGAAUUAAACGGUAAACCGUUUAUAUCAAACGACUAACCGAUAAUUUCCAGAAUGUCAUUCCAUACUAAUCUUCAAUCGUUUAGCAAGAACGGUUAGCACAAAUUUGUUUUUGUAGGUCUCUAGAAAUUAACAGCAAACCGAUAAUGGCAAACGGUCAACUGUUUAUUUGAAUUUAAGGUCAAUGGUCACUUGGACCAAUCAAAACGUUAUCGGUUAAUGGUGAUCCGUUUUCGCCCAGAAAGUUAACAACAGUUAUAUUUCAGCUCCAACUAUAAAUAAACUCAAUCAAAUUCAAACAAGGACUAAUCACAACAUUUUCAUUGAGCAAAUUAUUGACCAUUAAACUUAUUUGUGCUUUAAAUUCUUGUAUACAUUUUAUUUACUCACACUUUAAAAUUUCAUUUGUAAUCAAAUAUAUUGUGUGAGAGAGAUUUAUUGUGUAAUCUUUUGAAAAUCAAAUUGAGAGGUUGUAAAGUGUUAGGAUACACUUGGGUUAAGAGAUUGGGAAUAAUCUCUUGUUGUAAUGGUUAUUGACAAUUUGGAAGUCAAUUGUAAGAGUGAUUGAAGCCUUGGAGGCUUGCUUAGUGGAAUCUUUAAGCCCAGUGAGCUUGGAGGCGUGGACAUAGGCACGGUUAGCCGAACCUUGUAAAAAGCAAGUGUUUGAUUUCUCUUCCCUUACUCUUUUAUUAUUUUGCAUGAUUAAAUUUAUUGUUUUUGUUCUUAUUAAGGCAAGAGGUUUAAAUUGUUGUGUGGUUUGUUUUGCAUAAGUUUUUAUAACUCAAUUCACCCCCCUCUUGGGUUACUUAGAUAGUAUUUCAUAAGGAAGCUCAAACAUACUGGUUCAAUCAGUGAUUAUGUCAAAGAAUUUAGUUCUUUGAUGCUUGAUAUCAAGAACAUGUCCGAUGAAGAUAAGCUUUUCAAAUUCAUGAGUGGUUUGCAACUGUCGGCGCAAACCAAACUAAGAAGGUAGGUUGUACGCGACUUGCCUAUGGCGAUUGUUGCUGCGAAAGGUUUGGUUGAUUUUAGGUUUGCGAGUUCUUCUCCCUCCGAACCUAAAAAGAAUAAAGAUUUGAGGAAAUCUGACCCUUUUAAGCAUGAUGGUAGAAAGAAAGGGGGCUUUGCGGGGAAAACCAAACCGAAAGAUGGCCAUGAGAAGAAAAGCUCGGGAUGUUUCAUAUGUGACAGACCACACCGGGUGAGGGAUUGCCCAAAGCGGACACAGCUGAAUGCUAUGGUCAAGGAGACGGAGGUAGAACCUUCAAUGACUGAGGCAAGUACUUCUCGAAUGAAUACAUUACAGUUGAUGAACACUUUGAGGAAUGAGGUUGUGUGCAAUGACUUCAAUCAAGGGUUGAUGAUCAUGACUGUUUUGGUAGAUGGGAGGGAAGUGCGUGCUAUGCUGGAUACAGAAGCCACAACUAACUUUCUUGCAUCCCACGAAGUGGCACAUUUGGGUUUGAAAAUAACAGCUGUGGGCAGCAAAGUAAUGGCUGUAAAUUCUGUGAGUGUGGGGGUUCAAGGGGCUAUGCAAAGUUCACUACGGGUAGGAAUUUGGCAGAAAACAGUAAAGUUUACUGUCAUGCCUCUUGAUGACUUCGAUUUAAUCCUUGGUAUGAAAUUCUUUAUGGCGUAAUGAUACAAUUGAUGCCCUAUUAGAAGAGCAUCUUGAUCAUGGGAAUGGAAGACGUGCUAGUAAUUUAUAUAUUAUUUUUGUAUUUUCUUAAUUUAAUUUUAUGUUAAAUUAUAUUUUAUUAUGUUAAUUUUAUUUUAAUUUUUAUAUUUUGUUAUUUAGAUAUAAUUUGGGAUUAAAGAGGAAUUAAAUUAGAAUAUUCAGGAAGAAAUCUACUUGAAGGAAUUAAAAAGGAAAAGGAAUAAAGAGAUUUAAUAAAAAAUAAAUUAAAGAAGAUUAGCGGACACACCAUCCAUUGUACCAUUCCAAUUCUUGGUUCAUGGCAGAUCAUAACCAUCACUCCAAUUUGCGGGACAAUUUACAAAAGGCUUGAAACGGAAGGAGAACUCUUACUUGGCAGCGUUGUUGGAGAUAAAACCUUAUCAGAUUGUGGAGAUGCUUGAUAAAUACGCCCAAGUAUUGGAAUAGUUUGCGGAUGUCAUGCCGCCGGAGCUCCCUCGAGCCUGGUACUAGACCCCCUGCACAUGCUUUUUAUCGGAUAUUGCCUUCGAUAUUAGUAGAACUUCGGAAACAAUUGGAUGAGUUAUUGGAUGCGGGAUUCAUUUGACCAUUCAAAGCACCGUAUGGUGCACCAGUAUUAUUUCAGAGGAAGAACGAUAGCUCAAUGCGAAUGUGUGUGGACUACCGUGCCUUAAACAAUGACGAUAAAAAACAAGUACCAGUCCCCAACAUUGCAGAUUUGUUUGAUCGAUAGGGUAGAGCCUCUUACUUCACGAAGCUGGACUUGAGGUCAGGGUAAUGGCAAGAACGGAUUGCGGAAGGUGGUGAAGCAAAAGCAGCUUGCGUAACUCGGUAUGGAUCAUACGAGUUCUUAUUAAUGCCUUUCAAACUCACCAAUGUGCAUGCAACAUUCUGCGAUUUGAUGAACGAUGUUCUUUACGAGUACUUGGACUUCUUUGUGGUGGUGUAUCUCGAUGAUAUACUGGUGUACAACGAGUCUUUGGAAGAUCAGUUGGAUCACUUUAACCAAUGUUCUCACGAUUAUGGGAAUACAAGCUCUUUGUCAAGAAAGAAAAAUGUGAAUUUUGUCACCGGGAGAUAGUAUUCUUAGGGCUAUCAUUGAUUGGCCUGCACCUACAAAAGUGGUGGAACUUCGAUAAUUUCUUCGGUUAGCUAACUACUACCGCAAGUUCAUUAAAGGGUACUCAAACAGGUAAGUGCACUCACGGAGUUGUUAAGGAAAGAUCGAAAGUGGGAAUGGGCAGAAGCGUGCGAGCAAGCAUUCAAGAAACUCAAACAAGCAGUAGCUUUGGAACCGGUGCUUAAGCUACCUGACUUUAGCUUGCCAUUUGAGGUACAUACAGAUGCAUCAGAUAGGGCCAUUAAUGGCGUGCUUGUUCAAGAUGGCCAUCUGGUAGCGUUUGAAAGUCGAAAGCUAGAGGACACAGAACAACGGUACUCGGCAAAUGAGAAGGAAAUGACGGCAAUGGUACAUUGCCUAAAUAUAUGGAGACAUUACUUGUUAGGUAUGAUUUUUAUGUUGUUAAGGACAAUGUAGCCAAUGCUUAUUUCAAGACACAGAAGAAACUAUCACCAAAACAAGCAAGAUGGCAAUAGUUCCUUGCUGAAUAUGAUUUUGUAUAGGUACAUAGACUUUGGAAGGCAAAAUCAGGUUGCGGAUGCCCUCAGCGGCAAAACAAUUGAAACAUAUGUGGCGGCUUUAACUCAGUAGUAACGGAUUUUCUUGACAAGAUUCGGCAGCAAGCGGAAAUAGAUACUAGCUACUGCCAACUCCGCAAGAAGAUCAAGCAAGGCUUGAUGCGAAGAUAUUGGGUUGAUGAUGAUCUAAUUUAUGCACAAGGUGGAAAAUUAUAUAUUCUUUCAGGAGGGGACUUACAAAGGAUCUUAUUGCGUGAUACACAUGAUUCUCGAUGGGCUGGACAUCCAGGGGUGAAAGGAUAAUGGCGUUGCUGGAACACUCAUAUUUCUGGCCUAAAAUAGAAGACAACGUGCAUCUAUAUGUCAAAACUUACCUAGUGUAUUAACUAGAUAAGUCGGAAAAGAGGAAGCCAGAGGGACUUCUUCAACCAUUGCCAAAUCCGGAGAGACCUUUGCAGUCUCUCUAUGGAGUUUAUCUCGAGAAUGGCUAAAUCGAAUAGAUAGAAGUCGAUUUUUGUUGUGGUUGAUCGAUUUUCAAAAUAUGCGAUAUUCAUACCUGCACCUCAUGCUUGCCCAGUGGCCAAGGCAGUGGAGUUAUUUUUCAAGCACAUGGUUAAGUACUUUGGUGUUUCGGAGGACAUCAUUAGUGACUAGGAUGCUUGGUUCACGGGAAGAUUUUGGAAAGUGCUCUUCAAUUUAAUGGGGAAAGAAUUGAAGUUUUCUAAUGCCAAUCAUCCUCAAACGGAUGGACAAACAGAGAGGGUGAAUCCACUAUUAGAGGAAUACUUACUGCACUAUGUGACAGCAAGCUAAAACUAAUUGGGUAGACUUGCUAGAUGUGGCUUAAUUUUGCUGUGACAUCCAUUGCUCUUCAACAACAGGGAUGAGUCCAGUGGAGCUAAUUAUGGGACAACAACCAUUGACUCCUCAUGAAGUGGUGAAACAGCACACAUGCGGAAAAUGCUCCGCAGCUUAUCGAUUUGCACGAGACAAGCAAGAAAUGAUUAAACGGGCCAUUGAUAGCUUGGCCAAGGCGUCGCAACAAAUGAAGAAUAUGCGGAUGCUGGAAGAAGACCGCCAGAGUUCAAUGUAGGUGACAAGGUGUUACUCAAAUUAACGCCCCAAAAUUAGAAGAAAAUCAGUAGCAAAACUAUACAUCGGGGGCUGGUACCAAAAUAUGAUGGACUAUUUGAGGUGAUCAAAAGGGUGGGUCAGGCGGUGUAUCGAUUACGACUACCCAAGCAGUUGAAGAUCCAUCCUACAUUUCAUGAGGGUUUCUUUAACCUUUCAGCAAAGACUUGGCUGACAAGGGGCGCCAACAAGCUAAGCGUGCUCCACCGGUAAUUCGGAAACAAUAUGACAAGGAAGUUGAAAAAAUCCUUGAUCAUAAGCCAAUGGGGCAAAGUAAGAAGAAUCGGAGAAUGGAGUAUCUAGUUCAAUAGAAAGGAGGCAGCGAAGCGAAUGCUAGCUGGCAAAAAGAAGUAUCAUUAUGGCAAUUCUAGAAAAAGGUUAAGGCGUACUUAGACUCCUUGCCAACGAGGGCGUCGGGUUCUGCUGGUAGGGGGGUUUGUUACAGCCUUAAAACUCGAGGCACACCAGUGUUUGGCUUGCGGCCUUUUACCAAGCAUGGCUACAAGUGAAUGUGUGAGGGAAGACACGAAAGCAAGGUAAGUCUGUGCGCAAGCUGGGGCGUGACAGCAACUAAACAGGCUGAUGGAGAACACUCAAGAUAUGUGCAAGGCAGUGCACAAGUGCUCCGACGGAUAGCGCGCACUGAGGGUGAGCGCGCCAAGCAGCAUGUAGCGCACGCUAACGGACAGAGAGCAGGCGCGCGAGGGAGCGCACAACGCACUAGCAAGAGCCACACACAAGCAACAGGCUAAAGGGUUGCUGGAGCAAUCCUUAGUGGCGGCGGCCAGCCACUACAUGAGCAUUGCCUAUAAUAAGGAAUUUGUCAGGGUGGGGUUAGUCCACCACUGUUCAAAAUAUCCUAAUUAAUAGUGUUUGGGCAAAGCAAUAGGGUAUUGAGCUUAUUUGUUUAGUGCGUUGGUGGCAAACAAAGUAUGGCGUAGGAAUACAUUAUACUAUCCUUGUAAGUGGGGGUGUCACAUACAAAUGCUAUAAAUAGCAUUAGGAUGGUGAGCUUAGGGAAGCCAAGUUUUGUAGAGAAUGAGUGGCCUUCUCCAAGCUCACUAAGCUUGAAGCUAUUUGUCAUUCUUUGUUCUUGAUAAUAAUAAAAUGUUGGAACUUGGUGCUUCUGUAAACAUUGUGUGUCUUGUGUCCUCUUCGUGUAUUGGAUCGUCGAAAAUCUUGGGGUGUGUCUAUCACACAUAGUCACCACUGUAAAUUGUCAAGUGGUUGGCUAAGCGGAAAACUUAGCGCCAUCAUAGGCUUGCCGCAUAGAAGAAAAUAGCCUUGUGACAUAAAGCUUAGUUAACACAAGUACUAUCUGCUUAUCGUACGUUUGGUGUGGGAUACUCUACCAUACCCCUAAUUACAAAAAUUUACAUGAAAAUUCGUGGGGCCUUCCUGUAUAUCAACUUUCUUGAAUGAUUUGUAAUCAUUCUUUCUCAUAUUUAAGUGCAGAUUUAGUUUUAUUUUAUAUUAGUUUUUUAAAAUUAUAUAUAACUCACAAAACCUUCAUAAGUUUCCCUUUAUACUUCGACUUUUUUCUUUUGUUGCGUCACCAAUAUCCAUGCUUUCAUAUUUGCAAAGUACAUUGCUGAAAAUUAUUGUUCAAGACAUCAAAGAUUUGCAACUCAGUGAAAAAAUAAUCAGCCUUAAAAUAACUGUAAUUUAUUCGAGUGUAGAACAAAAAACUGAAGCUCCUGAAGAUUUCCCAGCCAACGCGUAAAUUAAUAUAUCCUCUAUCUUGUUGUUGCCGAGAUCAACAACUUGAAGAUUGCACAAUUGAGCAAAGAUCUUGGGACUGACCCUACAAGUUCAUUGCCAUUGAAGUUAAGGGUCCUCAAAUUAUUGCAAUUUGAUUAUUUCAGGAAUUGGCCAUGGAAUCUAUUCUUCCUUAAAUCCAACGCACACAGAGUAUUGCUAAAGUUUCUAAUUAAUGCAUUCUGGAAUGGUGCCACUCAAGCUGUUGCUGGGCAGAUCACGAACUUAAAUAGUACUUGAGUUACAGAUCACACAAGGUAUCUUUCUAGUGAACCUAUUUCUUGAUAUCAGAAAGACUUUCAUAUUAGAUGAUGGAGCUGGAAACGAUCCUUGAAGCAAGUUGGAAUGAAAGUCAAGAUAUUCAAGAUUCUUCCACAGAAGUUUCUUCGUGCCUGUAAAGAAAUAUUCUGAUUCAUCAAAUAUCUAAGAGGCUUUCUUUAUUAAACUGCCUUGGGGAUUGAGGUAUGUAAUUUUCAAUAUAUUUGUGCCAGCAUUCAGCAGUUGUAUGCCCUGAUUUGAAGCAAAUUUGAGAGAUAGGCACGAAUUUAUCACCAUUUGAAGCUUGUGGUUCAAUAACAGACAUAUUGCCACUGCUAAUAAGAUUUUCGCCAAAUGAAGUCUUUCCAAACUGAGCAGACUUAUUACUUCCCAUCAUAUGACCUCUUCCAGAAUUACCAAAAAUACCAGUACUAGGGGGAAAACCUCUUAGAUAAGUACUAAAAAACAUGAUUUGCCAUUUUUUUUUUACAACAAGGCUUAGCCAAGCUAAGAAAUAACAGAUCGGGAAAUUCUCAUCCCGUACAUAUCAUAAGAAAGUUAAGGACCAAUUCCUGUUGGAGGUUCCUAAAAAACAUGAAAUUCAAAAGGCAAAGAUCCUGCAUUCCUAACUAAAAAAUCAGUUGCAAAGUUGGCUUCGUGAUAGAUAUGUUGAAAGGAUACAUGCCAAUCCUUCGUGAGAAGAUUCUUGAUCGAAUUUAUCAAAUAGGUGUGCACAUUCGAGCUCUGACCUCUAGGCUCCAUCAUAUGCAGUAUGCAAAGGCUAUCAACCUUUGCCUCUAAAAAUCGAAUACCGUAAUUCCACGCAAGGUUAAAAUCUUUGUAUAGCCCCUAAAUUUCUGCCAUACUAAUGGGACAAGAUCCAAUAUUCAUCACGAAGCCCCGAAUCCAAUUUCCAUUUGCAUCACGAAUUAAGCCACAUGCACUAGCUUUUCCAUUAAUUUCUCUUGAUCAGUCAGUAUUUAAUCAGAAAUAAGGUCAUCUAAGGGCUAUUCAGCCAAUACCAACUGACACCUUGCAAUGUCUCUGUUGCAUAUUAGCCUUAAAAGUCUAUUGUAUCUCAUGCACCCAUGCUCUGAUAUCUGACACCACACGAAGGCUGCAUGGGGAAUUGUUGGCAAAAAGAAACUAAUUCCGACAGUGCCAAAUUUUCUAUACAGUGAUCUAAAAAGCCAAGGACCAGCUAUCUCCCAUCUCCACACUCUCCCACAUAGAAAUGUUGUUAAAGAGCCAUUCUUUAAAGUAGCAAAGAAGAAAGCAUAUGUACUAGUAAUAGGAAGCCAGGAAAUCUAUACCUGUUUGGCCAAAAUGCAGUCACGGAGUGUGUGCAAAAUAGUCUCUGUGUCAGCUCUACAGAUAUCACAAAUGGAAUUACUAUAAAUGUGCCUUCUAAAACGUUCCUCCUUUGUCUUGAUUUUUUCAUGCAUUAAAAGCCAAAGAAAUACCCUUACUCGGUGUGGGCCUUUCCAACUCCAGAUGAGCUACCAAUCCUUUUUAUCCCCACAAAAGACUUGGUUACUGAUAGAUUCAGAGGCUGAUUUUGUAGUAAAAUUGCCAUUACAUGAAAAACUCCAAAAUGAUUGGUCUUCACCCUCCAAGCUAGAUGGGAGUUUAACCACCGCAAGUUGGAGGAUAUGUUUAUUAGAUAAAAGGUAGCCAAAAACAUCCUAUCAUAAUGACCCGUCUAGGUUAACCAUACCAGCCACACACAUGUUUGCCAUCCCUAAAGGAAUCUGUUGUACGUGAGAUCCAAUAUUACAAACCUCAAACACUCAAUUAUCAUUCCAGAAACUAACACUUUUCUUGUUCCUUAUAGCUCAUUUAAUGCCCUUCACAACAUGAGGCCAAACGUUACAAACUAACUGCUCUCCACAAAUGGGAACCGUGUCCAAAGUAUAGAUUAGUUGAAACGUUACAAACUCUGAUCUAUAACCUUUGGGGUGAAGCAACUAUAUUCCAACUAAUUUUCAUUAAUAGGGUAGUGUUCAUGUGCAAGAGAUUUUUCAAGCUAAGGCCCCCCAGAUUUUUCAACUGGCAAACUGUUUACCAAUUAAUCAGGCUCGUCUUACGCUCAUUGGCAACACCACUCCAAAUAAAUCUUCGACAAAUUUUGUUAACCCUUGCACCGAACACCCUCGAGGAGUCAAGUAGUUUGCAUAGCAUAGGUGUGUUAAGGAAGCUCAUACUUGUAAUGUGGUCAGCAGAGCAGAGGAUCACAGUAGCAGCAACAACAGAGCAGAGCAGAGGAUCGCGACAGCAGCAACUUUUAGUUACAAAUUGAUGACAUGGCUUUCCGGUUGGCACCUAGUAGUUAUGUAAUCGGUUGUGCGUGUAUUAACUAGAAGUAGUUAAUUAGUUAUAGUUAGUUACAACAAUUUGAGCUGAGCUUCAGCUUUGUAUAUAAAGAAACCUCUUGUACAUAUCAGUGUGUGGUUAAUAAAAAUGAUGUUAUAGAGAAUUCUCAGAUCCAACUCUUAUUUUCUUUCAAUUGUCUCACUAGUUUCUCAGCUGCCAAACAAUAUUUUCAUUUUUUAACUUGGUAUCAGAGCUAAUUGCAAUGGCCUCAGUACAUUUAGCUUCUUCUUCUCAAGCGGCAGUCAAUCAAACAGCUGUUAACUCAACAAAUAUGACAUUUACUUUCAAUGCUCCGAUUAAGCUAGAUCAAUCCAAUUAUUUGAUCUAACGAUCUUCAGUUCUUGCCUCGAUACGUGACAAUAGACUUGAGAAUUCAUUGAUGAUUCCAUCACUUCACCUCCUUCACACAUUGCUCAAAGGAUUAGUGAUGAUCUAAGAUCAGUGGAGAAUCCAGACUUUGUGACUUAGAGAUGAUAAGAUCAAGUGCUUCUUGGCUGGCUGUUCUCUUCAAUGAGUGAAGGUAUUAUUAGUCUGGUGUUCGAUCUAGAGACUUCUCGUGAGAUAUGGAAAGCUAUUGAAGUUUAGUUUGGAACACAAUCUAAAUCCAGGCUUUUGCAUUUAAGAUAUAUGAUGAACUCGACUAGGAAAGAUAAUCUGAAAAUUACUAAUUACUUUAUUAGGAUGAAAAACAUAGUUGAUAAUAUGGCUGCAGCAGGGAAUGCUUUAAGUUAUAAUGAUUUAAUCCUGCAUAUACUCGAUGGCUUAAGUCUAGAAUAUAGUUUUGUUGCUACCUACAUCACUAGACAAGUAGGUGUGGGAAAGAUGAAUGUGAAUGAAUCUUAUGCUAUGCUCUUAACAUAAGAAGCUAGGAUUGAACAGCAAACUCAUAUGUUAGAUUGGGUGUUCAGAACCAAGUACAACACAGAUAGCUCAGUCUUUAAAUAUAAAGCUAGAUUGAUAACACAAGAGUGUUUGAAAUAUUUGGUAUUCAAGUUAUACUAAGUGCAGUUCAAGUUCUUACAUUAAUCAAGUGACAGAAUUUCUGUGCAGAAGGAGCAUCUUUGGGAAUUAAAUUGUACUGCACGAGAUCGAAAUAAUUUUCGAGCCAUACAUCAUUGGAAAGAUAUUUCUGUCAGCUUUCCAAUGAAUUUUACUAAUUUAAAUUUGGAGCUUUCUACAGUAAGUUAUGAUCAGUUAAGUGCAGGCUGUUCAGUUUCGAGUUAAGAAGAAUAUUUCUGGACUUGGACUUUUUUUUAAUGCUCUUUGCUGUGUUUUAAGCAUACCAAUGAUUUAUCUAGCUUUAAUGUUGGUCUUUGAAGUCAAGUCAUUUGAAGGGUUUCUUUGUAGUAUAUCUAUGCUUGGAGGAUUUUUCCAAGAAAGUUAUUGAAGCUUAUGUAGUUGUAACCAAAAGAUAGAGAUUAAUUUUGGAAAUUGAAUGAACUUUGAGCUAUUAUCAAACUUUGUAUCUCUUUGGUGGAUUCCAUUGAGUAGUGAGUGUUUUAAGCUCUGUAUCCUUUUGUUGUUUGCUGUGGUGGUGAGCUUGUGAUUUUUUGGGUGUGUGACGUUGUGCUUUCUCAUCUAUUGUGUCCGGUGUCAAUUGGUGGCCAAGGAAUUUCAUCAAACUGCAGGUAUUGAUUAUUCAGAAACCUUUAGUCCUGUAGUAAAGCCCUCGACAGUGAGAGUAACUCUAAGUCUGGUUGUCAUGAAAGGUUAGAAGGUUAGACAAAUUGAUGUCAAUAAUGCUUUUUUAAAUAGGGAUUUAUUAGAGGAUGUGUAUAUGACUCAGCCUGAGGGUUUUGUAUCCAAAGAAGGCUACAUAUGCAAGCUUAAUAAUGCAUUAUAUGGAUUGAAACAAGCUCCAAGAGCAUGGUAUGAUAAAGUGAAAUGUUAUCUUACCACUUGGCAAUUCUUUAAUUCUAAAGCUGACACUUCUUUAUUCUUCAAAUAUGAUAUUAAAGGCAUGAUCAUUGUGUUAAUUUAUGUUGAUGACAAUUUGGUUAUUGGUACUUACUCAACAUUACUUAAAGAUUUUAUUACUAAACUCAGUAAGGUCUUUGCUUUCAAGGAUCUGGGAUUAGUGGCCUAUUUUAUGGGUUUGCAAGUUUGUUACAUAACUCAUGGUAUGCAUUUCUCACAGACGAAGUACAUUAAGAAUCUGUUGAGUAAAGCCUCAAUGCAGGAUUGCAAGGGUUCUGAUACAUCUCUCAGUACUGGUUUCAAACUGGAGAAAAAUGGUGAAGGACCUUUGGGGCAAGAAUUUGAAGAAGCAGCACUCUAUGGAAGCAUUGUUGGGGGUCUUUAGUACUUGAUUCUCACCAGACCUAACAUUACUUUCUCUGUACAUAAACUUAAUCAGUAUCUUAAUAAUCCUACACUUUAUCACUGGUUGCAAUACAAAAAAGUUCUCAGGUAUCUUCAAGUUACAACCACCCAUGGUCUAUAUCUUCAAAAUGAGGGAACACUUGAAUCUGUUGGUUUAAUAGGCUACUCUUAUGCUGAUUGGGCGUGUGAUGUUGAUGAUCGAAAAUCAAUUAGAGCUUAUUAUAUCUACCUCGAUAAUAAUUUGAUUUCUUUGAUGGUUAUCGAAGCCAGCAAAAAUAAAUAUCUACUUUAAAUAAAUUAUGUAUAGUGAUUGAGCAGGGCCGUGUCCACAGAGAUCGGUAAUUAUUUAAAUCCUUUUAAAAUGUAAAAUGCAAAAUGGGGGAAUUGUUGACAAUAAUAAAAAUCAAAUUAAAGUAACAAUAAUGCAAAUUAAAAUUGUAAUUCAAAUUGGGGAAAGCUCUGGUUGAAGGAAUUAACUCAGCUUGAUUAGACUACUGAUCAUUGAUUCAAAUAUAAAUCAUUACUACUUAUGAAUAGACCGGUUAUAGCUACUGAGACCAUCUAAUAGCCAAUCUCUCCUUAACUAGUUGAUAACCAAGGUACGACCGUUGAUUAUUUCCUUAGUCAAUAGAGAACCCUAGAUACGAUCAUAGGAUUUAAUCAAUUGACAGCCUGAAAAAUCAAAGAGACCCAAAUCCUAAUCAACAAACGCAUACGAUCGUUCAUUUAAAUUAAAUUGUUUAUUCUCAUAACACAACGCACUGCUAUGCUAUUUGUCACAAACAUUAAAAUCUUCAUACGAUGAAUCUUUUAAUUGACAAUAGAUUAAGUUGAUAAUUAAAUAGUGGCCAAUUAUCUAAUUAACAAACAUAAUCAUGACAAUAAUUCAGAGAAUAAACAGAUACCCAAAAAGUAAUAAAACAAUUAAAACAUAAGAAAGAUCUCACAGUAGUGAUGAAUCAAAGCUUCAUUAACCUUCAACCAGAAUAAUAGGUUUAGUUCUUCAUAGAGAGAAGAGAAAAAUUUAGAUUUAGGGUUUCUUUCUUUUAAAAAAUCUCCCUUUUGUUUCACAAUAGAUUCUUCCCUUAAAUACUCUCUCUCUCUUCUCCUCUAGAGUUCUUUUUAAAAUAAAAUACUAAUAUCUAAAAUAUUAAAUUCGUAAUUACAAAAAUAACCAAAAAGACAAAACACGUUAAACUUAAAACUGCAGGUCCGUAGUUGCCAGCACGCACUCACGCCUUAUCAACAAAGUUCUUCUAACGCUCAUAAUUUCUCCAGGAAAACAAUCAUCCUCAAACAUCAUCUUAUAGCUCAAUUUUAGCACCAAUCAAUAGAAUUGCACCUACAAAAAUAAAACACAAGUAAAUCACUAUUAUUAAGUGCAAAACAUCGAUAUUAAGGGAAGUAAAUAAUGCAAAACUAGUGCAUAAAUUGCACUCUAACAAAUUUCCCCACACCAAGAUAAUGCUUGUCCUCAAGCAUAUAACUCAAGACUAAUCCCAAAUCUCCACUCAAUUCUCAUCUCAACUCAUCCAAAAACAAUUUUAAGCAAGCAUGCCUCAAGAAUUUAAGUCGAUCAACAUUCGAGAGAUAAGGAUUUUAAAGCAUGGAAUCUCUAAGCUAGAAUAAAAAUAUUCAACCACCAAGAAGAUCCAUUCAAAAUUCAAGUGCAACAAGAUUUAAUAGCCCUCUCAUUGACUUCACUCCAUGCACUCAAAGUGUUUAGGGUGUCAUUUAUGCACUCAAAUCAAAUCAAAGAAUGUUAUUACUAUAAGCUUGCUUAUAUAUCACAUCUCAAUCGACAAAACAUGAAUUAAAUGCAAAAAUCUAAGGGUCUUAAAAAGGUUGUAACGGUGUUAAAUGAGUUAAAUGAAAAAGAAAGGUCUAUGAAAGAAAAAGAGAUCAAAAUGAGAAAAAUGAACUCAUUGAAUGAACCUUAUGAUAUCAAAACGUUUAUUUCUACUCAAGUCGCCAAGAAUGUAAAUAAUUUUUUUUAUUAUUUUUUUUUUCACUUUUUUUUCUCGAUUUUUUUUUGUUUUGUUUUUUUUUUUGAAUCAAACAAAAGAAAUGAACCUUGCACAAUUUAAUUCAAGCAUAAUGCUUGUUGAUCUAAUUGAGAACCUUUAAUUCAAGGUAGCAAGAGCAACAAAAUAUAUCCAAACAAUGAGUCCAAAAAUCUCCUUAAAUUGAGGCUCAAAAAGAAGAAAAAUGGGUAAAUAGAUGGAGAGAAUUAGAUGGGUAAUGGUUAAGGAUCAAACAAAGAUAACAAAUAAAGGUCUUCGGGUGGAGAAAAAAGAAGAAAAAUACGAAAAUAGAAAAAUGGAAAGUGGUUUGCCCUUAUCAUUUUAAUGCAUAAAAUCCAGUAAUGCGGCUUCAACAUGCAUAACAAAGCAAGUUCUAGAAUAAACAAACUAAGAUUGAUAUUCACAUAACAAAAAUAAUUAUAGCAAAGUGGUUGCUCAUAGGCUUAAAUCCGCACAAAGUUGGUAAAUUUGCCAUCAAAUCAUGUAUACUCUUCAAAUGAAUCAAUCAUCAAUAGUGGUGUAAAAUGAGAAGAAGGUAUGAGUGAUAUAUAAAAGGAAAGGUAAAAAGGAUAAUAAGCUAGAAAGAUGUAUGUAGUAAUAAAAAAAAUGAAAGAUAAAAUGUGAGUGAUGAAAGAAUAUGAUAAAAUAAAAAUAGAUGUGAAUAAUUUGAGAUAGAUGGGAAAAGAAUAGUGAGAAAGAAAUGAAAAGAAAAAUAAUAAUAUAUGAAGCAUACUAACUCCAAAAUCAUUUAAGGAUGAGUAGAGUGAAAAUAAUACUUCCAAACAUCAAUAUUGCAAAAAUCUCUCUCCCACACCAAGAACUUACAUUGUCCCCAAUGUAAGAUAAUCAAAGCUCACAUAAACAUUAAAGCGUAAAGAUAAAAGAUUAAAGGUAAAAACUUCCAUGAAUUGUGAGUUUUGAUCCACAUAUCGUCUAUGGGUUUAGCGGCAAUGGUGGGAUAAAUCCCACACUCUCGAAGUAUGCGGCCAAAUUCUUCUCCAUCUUGUUCAGUUUGCGCUCUAUUUUCUCUAACUGAAUGCUCAAAGGUGGUGCAGAUGUAGAAGGAAUAAUUGGUGGGGCAGGAGUUUCAUCGUCAAACUCGUCAUCAGAGGUAGCAACACUCCUAGCAUAAAGCUUCUUUGGAGGUUGAGUGGGUCCUGGUUCAGUAAACUAAAAUCUCCCCUUCUUGAAUUCGACCACACCUGUUCUUUCAAACACAUACAUAUCCAAAAAUUCCUUUUUGCAAGCAGGAUGCAAAUCAUUAUUGUCAGGAUCAAGCACACAUAAGUUUAAAGCUAACAGAGUAAUGUACGGACCAAGAAAUAAAGUCUUAUACCGUUUAAGCACACUUUGAAAUUGAUCUGCUAACCAAAAACCUAAAUUAGGUCUCACAUCAUUUAACAUGCAUCAGAUAAAGUAAAACUCAGUUUUAGAGAAAACUCCCGAAUGAUCGUUCUUUCCUAAAAAAUUAUAUGCUAAGAACCGAUGCACACAUUUCAAAACAGGAUCACGAGAGAAAGAACUAUUUGAUUUACUCGGGUCAUAGGCAUUGUGAUCAAUAGAUAAAUUACGCCAAAGACCAUAAGGCUCAAAAUUUUCGCUAAAGUGACAAGUUGUUCCUAAAUAUGCAUCACUAGAAGAAUAAUCAUCAUCAAUUAAUGAAUCUUAAAGCUAGGUUAAAAUCUGUGAUAGAUUGUGAAAAAUUUCGUCCCAUUAACCUAAACUUUAUAACAUCCGGAGUAUGCAAAGUAAAAUCAUUCGGUAUAUUAAAUUGAAAAGUAGCAUAGAACUCUCUAAUCAACUCAACAUAACCCAAACAUUCAACAUCAACAAACUUACGCAAACCAAUCAUAUUUAUCAAAGAAUCAAAAUUAUCCUUAACAUUCAAUUUUUCAAGAGUCGGGUAAUGAAUAUACUUAGCUGGAAGUAUUUUUCACUUGGAAAUAUCUUUGUACCUUUCUUUCUCUUAUUGAGUCGUGAAUGUGAGGCACCCUCCGAGAUUGGAUUCCGCAAGUGGCAAAACACUCAUGCCCUUUCCAUGUUUCAAUCUUUGUCUCACGACUUGGCGUGAAUCUGAAAUUGUGUUCCAUGGAACUGUAGUGGGAGCAGCAAUCUUAGAUUGCUUUGCGACGUGUGUCUUUUUAGAUGACUUGGAAGUUAAUGCUUUCCUAUUCGGCAUUGUUACAAUAAUUUCACUCACGGAUUUCGAUUCAUGCAGCGGGAAUGCAUAGCGUGGGCUGGUUUUAGACGAUUGCUACUCGGCUGGAGCUUGCUGGUACACGGCUGCUGGUUCAGGUUGCGCGCGGAUGGUGCUCGAUGGACUGGUUGCGCGCGCGGGACUGCUUGUGUGAUUGCACGCUGGAGACGAGGGCUCAGGUUGUGGGAGUGUUGCUCGAUGCUGGUUGCUUACAACUGCUGGUGAGCGCGGCCGUUGGAAGCAAACUGUGUGCGCGCACGGCUGGUGUGCGAUGGUCGCAAGAUGCUUGCACUGACGGGAGAUGUUUGCGCAGCUGAAAAAGGCUGGUGCUGCGGCUGGAGCUUGCUGGAGAAUGAAAUAAAUUUUUUUUUGUGAAUUAGGGAUUUUGUGAACAUUGAAAUUUUUUUUUUGUUUUUUAUUUUUUUCAAAUAAAAAAAAAACCUCUUCUUUUAUUUAUUUUUUAAAUAAUAAUAAUAAAUAAAAUAAUAAUAAUUUUUUUUUCUGUUGAACAACGUUUAGAUAAACUUACUUUUCUUGUGGAAAAGUUUAUUGUAGGUAAUGUGCAACAUAUGAAGACUUGUGGCAUUUGUUACAAUAUGGGUCAUUCAACUGAUACGUGUCCUACACUUCAAGAAGAACCCGUUGAACAAGCCAAUGCAGUUGGAGGAUUUCCAGGCAUGCCUCAGAGGAGAUAUGAUCCUUAUACACUAACAUAUAAUCCGGGAUGGAAGGAUCAUCUCAACUUCAGCUGUGGAGUUAGGCCGUCAGGAUUCCCACAACAAUAUUCACCAAGACAACCAGCACCUCCACAGUCAAACUCCAAGUUAGGUAUAUCUCUUGAAGAAAUUAUUAAAUCACUUGCGACUAACACUCAACAAUUUCAGCAGGCAACUACAAUAAGCAUUUAGAAUUUGGAGAGCCAAAUGAGUCAAUUGUCGACUACAGUGAGUCGUCUGGAGUCUCAAGUAUUAGGGAGAUUACCUUCACAAUCUGAGGUGAAUCCAAAGAAAAAUGUUAGUGCUGUCAUCCUUAGAAGUGGGAAGGAAUUGCAAGAGCCUAAUAAGAAAGUGACAAAGCAUGUAGAAGAUGAGCUUGAGAAACAUGAAUUGAUGCCUAAAUCUCAAGAUGUGCAACCCACCAGAGUGAAACCCCUACCUGUGGUGAUACCUCCUCAUUUUCCAAGCCGAUUUGCAAAAUACAAGAAGGAAAAACAAGAGAAUGAUAUCCUUGAGACAUUUCGCAAGGUUGAGGUAAAUAUUCCUUUAUUAGAUGCUAUAAAACAAAUACCUCGAUAUGCUAAAGUCCUUAAAGAACUGUGCACCUCCAAGAGAAAAUUAAGAGGAGAUGAAAAAGUUCACAUGGGGGAGAAUGUUUUAGAAGUUCUCCAAAAGAAACUACCUCAUAAAUGCAAGGAUCCAAGUAUGUUUACUAUCCCUUGUAAAAUUGGUAGUGUUAGAGUUGAAAAGGUUAUGUUAGAUCUAGGAGCUUCUAUUAAUGUCAUGUCUCGUUCCAUUUAUUCAUCUUUGAAUGUUGGUCGAUUAAAAGAAACUGGCGUGAUAAUUCAACUAGCUGAUAGGUCUAAUGCAUAUUCUGAUGGGGUAUUAGAAGAUGUCUUAGUACAAGUUAAUGAGUUGAUUUUUCCUGCUGAUUUUUAUAUACUUGAUAUAAAAGAGGAUAACUCCUCUAAUUCGGUCUCAAUUUUGCUAGGAAGACCUUUUCUUAAAACUGCUAGGACUAAAAUGGAUGUAUAUAAAGGGAUUCUCACUAUGGAGUUUAAUGGAGAGGUUAUAAAAUUUAAUAUGAAUGAUGCCAUGAAAUAUCCUAGUGAGGAACAUUCGGUAUUUUCUGUGGAUGUUAUUAACCCUAUAGUGCAGGAAGUUUUUUACAAGGAAAAGAUGAAGACAUUUCAUGACAGAAUGAUUUUGAGAAAGGAAUUCUCUGUUGGUCAAAAAGUUCUUCUUUUUCAUUCUAAGCUUAAACUUUUUCCGGGUAAAUUACGUUCUUACUGGGUUGGACCUUUUAUUGUUACUAAUGUUUUUCCUCAUGGUGCAGUUGAGCUUCGGAGUCCGACCUCUGACAAAGUUUUUAAGGUUAAUGGUCAUCGCUUAAAAUCAUUUUAUGAAGGUUUUUCAGUGAAUAUUGUGGAGGAUGUGGCUCUCGAGAGUCCCAUUUAUGGAGAUUGAUGCAUGAAUAUGUCCAGCCAAAGACAUAAAACAAAGGCGCUUUUUGGGAGGCAACCAAAGAGACUUAUUUAUUUUUAUUUUUGUUAUCUUUUCUUUUUAAUUUUGAUUCAGAUUGUUUAAAUAAUGUUUUUGCUUAUUUUGGCCAGAAGAAAAGUUUUGGUAAGGCGUGCCCACGUUUUAACUAAUAAGUACUUCUGUGAUUUUAAAGUAAAAUGAUUUUAAGGCGUGCCCACGUGCUUAUUAAAAAAAUACUUUUGAAAUUUUUAGUGUCUCAAGUGAUUCAUCACUAAAAAAAAAGUUUUUUAUUUUAUUUACUUAUUAUUAUUAUUUUUUAAAAAAAUUAAAAAAAACAAAAGCAAAAAAUGAAAAAGGUUUUUUUUCUUUUCUUUUUUUAUUUAUUAGAAAAAAAAUAAUAAUAAAAAUAAAAAACAAAAAAAAAUUCACUGCUCAUAAAAUUCCUAAUUCAUUAGAAUUUGUUUUCUUCUCCAGCCGCUUGCAGCACACCAGCAGCAAACCAACCCGCGUGAACUAGCAAGCAUCUCCCGCAACAACCAGUCGCACGCGCGCGCAGCACCAGCAUCGAGCACCAUCCGCGCGCAACUCCAUGCCGUAAUCAGCCGUGCAGUAUCUCGCGUGCAAACAGCCUGCGCGCAGUUUCAUCCACAACUAUCAAGCACCAGCGCGCGCGCAAGUAUCUCGCGAGCAGCAGCCCGUGCAAGCAACCAACGUCAGCCCAGCAGCGCGCAUUCAAAAUUAGUCCCGCGCGCAACCAGUUCCAACCGGCGCAGCACAACCAUCCGCGAGCAACCUAAACCAGCAGCCGUGUACCUACAAGCUCCAGCCGAGCAGCAAUCGUUUGCAACCAGCCCACACCCUGCAUUCCAGCCGCGUGAAUUGAAAUCCGUGAGUGAAAUUAUUAUAACAAUGCCGAAGAGGAAAGCAUCAACUUCCAAGUCAUCUAAAAAGACACUUGUCGCAAAGAAAUCCAAGAUUGUCGCUCCCACUACGGUUCCAUAGAACACAUUUUCAAAUUCAUGCCAAGCUGUGAGCUAAAGAUUGGAAAAUGGAAAAGGCAUGAGUGUUUUGCCACUUGCGGAAUCCAAUUUCGGAGGGUGCCUCACAUUCAUGACUCAACAAGAGAAAGAAAGGUACAAAGAUAUUUCCAAGCGGAAAAUACUUCCAGCUAAGUAUAUUCAUUACCUGACUCUUGAAAAAUUGAAUGUUAAGGAUAAUUUUGAUUCUUUGAUAGAUAAGAUUGGUUUGCGUAAGUUUGUUGAUGUUGAUUGUUUGGGUUAUGUUGAGUUGAUUAGGGAGUUCUAUGCUAUUUUCAAUUUAAUAUACCGAAUGAUUUUACUUUGCAUAUUUCGGAUGUUAUAAAGUUUAGGUUAAUGGGAUGAAAUUUUUCACAAUCUAUCACAAAUUUUAACCUAGCUUUAGAAUUCAUUGAUGAUGAUUAUUCGUCUAGUGAUGCAUAUUUAGGAACAACUUGUGACUUUAGCGAAAAUUUUAAGCCUUAUGAUCUUUCGCGUAAUUUAUCUGUUGAUCAUAAUGCCUAUGACCCGAGUAAAACAAAGAGUUCUUUCUUAAGUGAUCCUAUUUUGAAAUGCGUGCAUCGGUUCUCAGCGUAUAAUUUUUUAGGGAAGAAAGAUCACUCGGGAGUUUUCCCUAAAACUGAGUUUUAUUUUAUCUGAUGCAUGUUAAAUGAUGUGAGACCUACUAUAAGUUUUUGGUUAGCAGAUCAAUUUCAGAGUGUGCGUAAACGAUAUAGGACUUUAUUUCUUGGUCCAUACAUUACUCUGUUAGCUAUAAACUUAUGUGUGCUUGAUCCUGACAAUAAUGAUUUGCAUCCUGCUUGCAAAAAAGAAUUUUUGGAUAUGUCUGUGUUUGAAAGAACAGGUGUGAUUGAAUUCAAUGAGAGGAGAUUUCAGUUUACUGAACCAGGACCCACUCAACCUCCAAAGAAGCUUUAUGCUAGGAGUGGUACUACCUCUGACGACGAGUCUGACGACAAAAUUGUUGCCCUACCAAUUAUUCCUUCUACAUCCGCACCACCUUUGAGCAUUCAGUUAGAGAAAAUAGAGCACAAGCUGAACAAGAUGGAGCAGAAUUUGGCCGCAUACUUUGAGAGUGUGGGAUUUAUCCCACCAUUUUUGCCAAGCCCAUAGACGUUAUGUGGAUCAAAGCUCACAAUUCAGGGAAGUUUUUGCCUUUAAUCUUUUAUCCGUACGCUUUAAUUUUUAUGUGAGCUUUGAUUAUCUUACAUUGGGGACAAUGUAAGUUCUUGGUGUGGGGGAGGGAUUUUUGUAAUAUUGAUGUCUGGAAGUAUUAUUUUCACUCUGCUCAUCCUUAAAUGAUUUUGGAGUUAGUAUGCUUCAUAUAUUAUUAUUUUCUUUUCUUUUCUUUCUCACUACUCUUUUCCCAUCUAUCUCAAAUUAUUCAUAUCUAUUUUUAUUUUACCAUAUUCUUUCAUCACUCACAUUUUAUCUUUCAUUUUUUUCUUUUACUACAUACAUCUUUUUCGCUUAUUAUCCUUUUUACAUUUCCUUUUAUAUAUCACUCAUACCUUCUUCUCAUUCUACACCACUAUUGAUUGUUGAUUCAUUUGAAGAGUGUAUAUGAUUUGAUGGCAAAUUUACCAACUUUAUAAGGAUUUGAGCCUAUGAGCAUCCACUUUGCUCUAAUUAUUUUUGUUAUGUGAAUAUCAAUCUUAGUUUGUUUAUUCUAGAACUUGCUUUGUUAUGCAUGUUGAAGCCGCAUUACGGGAUUUUAUGCAUUAAAAUGAUAAGGGCAAACCACUUUCCAUUUUUCUAUUUUCGCAUUUUUCUUCUUUUUCUUCACCCGAAGACCUUUAUUUGUUAUCUUUAUUUGAGCCUUAACCAUUACCCAUCUAAUUCUCUCCAUCUACUUACCCAUUUUCAUUCUUUUUGAGCCUCAAUUUAAGGAGAUUUUCGGACUCAUUGUUUGGAUAUAUUUUGUAUAUAUUUUGUUGCUCUUGCUACCUUGAAUUAAAGUUUCUCAAUUAGAUCAACAAGCAUUAUGCUUGAAUUAAAUUGUGCAAGGUUCAUUUCUUUUGUUUGAUUAAAAAAAAAUUGAGAAAAAAAAGAAAAGAGAAAAAAAAUGUUUACAUUCUUGGCGACUUGAGUAGAAAUAAGCGUUUUGAUAUCAUAGGGUUCAUUCAAUGAGUUUAUUCUUCUCAUUUUGAUCUCUUUUUCUUUCAUAGACCUUUCUUUUUCAUUUAACCCAUUUAACCUCAUUACAACCUUUUUAAGACCCUUAGAGUUUUGCAUUUAAUUCAUGUUUUGUGGAUUGAGAUGUGAUAUAUGAGCAAGCUUAUGGUAAUAGCAUUCUUUGAUUUGAUUUGGGUGCAUAAAUGAUACCCUAAAUAGUUUGAGUGCAUGGAGUGAAGUCAAUGAGAGGGCUAUUAAAUCUUAUUGCACUUGAAUUUUGAAUGGAUCUUCUUGGUGGUUGAAUGUUUUUAUUCUAUCUUAUGAGAUCCUAUGCUUUAAAAUCCUUGUCUCUCGAAUGUUGAUCAACUUAAAUUCUUGAGGUAUGCUUGCUUAAGAUUGUUUUGGGAUGAGUUGAGAUGAGAAUUGAGUGGAGAUUUGGGAUUAGCCUUGAGUUAUAUGCUUGAGGACAAGCAUUAUCUUGGUGUGGGGGAAUUUGUUAGAGUGCAAUUUAUGCACUAGUUUUGCAUUGUUUACUUCCCUUAAUAUCGAUGUUUUGCACUUAAUAAUAAUAAUUUACUUGUGUUUUAUUUUUGUAGGUGCAAUUCUAUUGAUUGAUGCUAAAAUUGAGUUACAAGAUGAUGUUUGAGGAUGAUUGUUUUCUUGGAGAAAUUUUAAGCGUCAGAAGAACUUUAUUGAUAAGGCGUGGGCGAGUGCUGUCAACUGCAGACCUGCAGUUUUUAGUUUAACGUGUUUUGUAUUUUUGUAAUUACGAAUUUAAUAUUUCAGAUAUUAGUAUUUUAUUUUAAAAAGAACUCUAGAAGAGAAGAGAGAGAGAGUAUUUAAAGGAGGAAUCUAUUGUGAAAAAAGGAGACUUUUUAUAAAAGCAAAAAAUCCUAAAUCUAAAUUUUUCUCUUCUCUCUAUGAAGAACUAAACCUGUUAUUCUGGUUGAAGGUUAAUGAAGCUUUGAUUCAUCACUACUGUGAGAUCUUUCUUAUGCUUUAAUUAUUUUAUUACUUUUUGGGUAUUUGUUUAUUCUCUGAAUUAUUUUCAUGAUUAUGUUUGUUAAUUAGAUAACUGGCCACUAUUUAAUUAUCAACUUAAUCUAUUGUCAAUUAAAGGAUUCAUCGUAUGAAGAUUUUAAUGUUUGUGACAAAUAAUAUAGCAGUGAGUUGUAUUAUGAGAAUAAACAAUCUAAUUUAAAUGAACCAUUGUAUGCGUUUGUUAAUUAGGAUCUGGGUCUCUCCGGUUUUUCAGGCUGUCAAUUGAUUAAAUUCUAUGAUUGUAUCUAGGGUUGUCUAUUGAUUAGGGAAAUAACCAACGGUCGUACCUUGGUUAUCGACUAGUUAAGGAGAGAUUGGCUAUUAGAGGGUCUCGAUAGCUAUAACCGGUCUAUUCAUAAGUAAUAAUAAUUUAUAUUUGAAUCAAUGAUCAGUAGUCGAAUGAAGCUGAAUUAAUUCCUUCAACCAGAGCUUUCUCCAAUUUGAAUUACAAUUUUUAUUUGCACUCUUGUUAUUUUAAUUUGAUUUUUAUUAUUGUCAACAAAUCUCCCAUUUUUCAUUUUACAUUUUAAGAGGAUUUAAAUAAUUACCGAUCUAUGUGGACACGACCCUACUCAAUCACAAUACACAAUUUAUUUAGAGUAGGUAUUUAUUUUUGCUGGCUUCGACAACCAUCACAAUUCUUUAAUUCAAAAGCUGACACUUCUCUAUUCAUCAAACGUGAUACUAAAGGUAAGACCAUUGUGUUAAUUUAUGUUGAUGACAUUUUGGUUACUGGUCCUGACUUAGCAUUACUUAAAGAUUUCAUUCCUAAACUCUAUAAGGUCUUUGCUCUCAAGGAUAUGAGAUUAAUGGCUGUUGGUUAAUUUUAUAAUCAAUUGCUGCCAAUGCCAAUGUGCAAGUAUACACAACAAGUAAUAAAGUGAUGAAUAUUCAAAAUUGUCUCCACAGGGAUUGAUGUUACUCGAAAUGCUGUAGCAAUCACAAUAGUGCAAAUCAACUUAAGGCCGAAGUUAACAAUCGUAAAUUAAGUUCUAUCGUAAUUGAUGAUUGUGAGAGAAUUAAAUAAAACAAUACCGUAAUGAAAUAAACUAAAUUAAAUGUGUCUAAGAUUCAAUAGAGAUUAUGGUAGUUGAAUGAUCAAACUUUCCAUAUGGGCUGACUAUUUUUCAUCAAGUUAGCUUAGCACCAGUUGUUACGGUAAGUGCUGCAGCACUGGGCAGAAUUAAUCUGCAUCCUCAGCUAUCGCAUAUUGGAAGUCUCAUAUCUUUAAAUCUAUUAACAAUGACCAGUUGCUAAUCUAUUUAUGGUAUGGCAUUAUGAUCUUUAGUCUCUCCACCCUACAAGGUGAACACCUAUGUCUAGUGUGUCACAAAUCUUAACUUCAAGUAUUGACCUUAUGGGAUUCAAGAUAACUUAAUCUAGGAAACUUAACUUAAGAUCAAGUAAUACUCUAAUAAUAUCUGCUAACAUAUGCCCUUUUGCUGCUCUAUCUUAACUGAACUAUUAAAUAGGUGGUCAACCGAAAUAACAGUUAUAUUCAUUAUAGCUAUUAGAGUAAAAUGCUACAGCAAUGACAUAACAACACAUAAGAACAGUCAAGAACCCAUUGGAUUGUUUGUCACUCAACUACAAACAAGUUCAUAUUCUGAAUAAGAAAAAUAAACAUAAAUAUAUUGAUCACGGGAUACAUCAAAACAAUUAAAGGAAGAAGAUAAAUAAAAGUUGAGCACGGUGAAAGACAAAUCCAAAUAAUUCUGUACGAUUCUUCAAUGUUGCCGAAACAGCACUCUUCAAUUCUGAUCUUCUUCUUCUUUCCUUUGUAAUUAUUCUAAUGAUAAUUCCCUUGCCGCCUUUCUAUGUCGUGCACGCUUUCAUUUUAUAUUGCAAAUUAGGGUAAAACAAAAGUCCAUGGGCGUGCAUGCGUUAAAUUAGGAAACAUGCAGAUCGCGAUUCUGUGGCUGACCCGCGCCUAAGUUUUCUCCUGCAUUGCUCCACGAUUGCUACAGCACCGGUUGCUCUAACAUCUGCAACAACACUGCACUCUUCCCGAUUGUGCUUUAUUUCUUUUGCGGCCAUCUUCUUUCCUCCUCUUGCUCAUCUAAAGUCUCACCAUCCCCUCAUGAAUUAAGACUUUCUGAAAACCUACAAUUAUGCACCUGUUUUUAGCACAAAUUACUUUGAUUCAAACAAAACUUAUUACAACUUAACUAAAAUGAAUGUUUAUGCAAAAUAUAACCAAAAUGUAAUAAAAACACCUUAUUUUUUCUUUAAGUGAUCUUGAUUUAAGUCUAAAAUUGAUGUAAUAACUCUCAUUUCCUAGAGUUAUCAAUGGCCUAUUUUCUUGUGUGGUAGUUUAUUUCACAACUCAUAGUAGCAUUUCUCACAGAUAAAGUACAUUAAGAAUCUGUUGAGAAAAGCCUCAAUGCAAAUUGCAAUGGUUUUGAUACACAUUUCAACAAUGGUUUCAAACUGGAGAAAAAUGUUAAAGGACCUUUGGGGCAAGAAUUUGAAGAGGCAGCACUUUAUAAAAGCAUUGUUGGGGGUCUUUAGUACUUGAUUCUCACCAGACCUGACAUUGCUUACUCUGUAUAUAAACUUAGUCAGUAUCUUAGUAAUCCUAUACUUUAGCACUGGUUGGCAUACAAGAAAGUGCUCAAGUAUCUUCAAGUUACAAUCACCCAUGGUCGAUAUCUUCAAAAAAGAGGAACACUUAAAGUUGUUGGUUUAACAUGCUACUCUGAUGUUGACUGGACAUGUAAUGUUGAUGGUCGAAAAUCUAUUACAGCUUAUUGUAUCUACCUUGGUAAUAAUUUUAUUUCCUGGUCAUCCAAAAAGCAAGUUAUUGUAGCUAAGUCAAGUAGAGAGAGUGAAUAUAGGGCUCUAUCUUUAGCAAGCUCAGAACUCUCUUGGCUACAAUCCUUACUGUUAAGGCUUAAUAUUGUGCAAUUACCAACUCUAAUUCUUUGGUGUGGUAAUCAGAGUACUGGAGAAUUAGCUCGAAAUCCUACUCUUCACUGUAAGUCUAAGCAUGUUGAAUUAGAUGUUCACUACAUUACAGACAAAGUGGUAAGAAAAGAGUUGGAGGUAAGAUACAGUCCUACUAAAGAACAAGUUGUUGAUGUUCUUACAAAGCCUUUAUCAUUUCCUAACUUCAACUACUUUCGAUCCAAGCUUAAUGUUAUCAGCAGGCCAUUGAGCUUGAGGGGGGAUGUUAAGGAAGUUCAUACUUGCAAUUACUAUUUACAAAUGGUAUAAUCAAAAGAGGGUGUUUAAAUCCCUUAUUGAAAAGUUGAGGAUCUACAUCGCCAUGCAUUUCCCCAAACCUUGUAUAUGUCAUAUUCCCUUGUUUACGCCUCAAAAAUUGUUUGAAUAUUUAAAAAAGAAUUCAAAUAGAUUUUUUAUGUAAUAAAUGACAGAAUUUGACAAACAUUUGUAAUUAGUUAUAUUCCUCUAGUUGAAAGGUUCAAAAAGAUAUAUUAUAUGACCAAAUCGAUAUCGUUUGAGCUAUCUGACAGUACCAAAAAAAUCCUAUGUUAUAAUACCAAAUUACAUUACAAGGGGAACAAAUUAUCGUGUCAAAAGUCAUCUCUUUAGGAGUUUUCUCUGAAAACAACUAAUGAGAGAUAAAAUUGAGUCGUCAUGACUCUUGAAGUCGCUCCUAGGUGGGUGGUUGGCCUUUAAUGUCUUUCACUGGUAGAUAAUUCUCAAGGCUUGUUAUUGAAGAUAAAAAAGUUUUAGCAGUAGUGUUGUUAGGAGGUCAUAAGCAAUUUAGUUCCAGAGCGCUUCCAAGCUGAAAUAAAUGGAUUCAGAAGAGCUCAUUAAGAGGUGCAGAGCUAUUAAGAUAAAUGACGAGGAAGAAGGAUAAGUAACGUUUUAGAGCAAAAUGAAAGCUAGAGGAGAAAAAAUAGUAGCAGGUUGUUUAAUUGGGAAAGUAAUUAAUACAAGGGGAGUCAGUAUUGAAGGCUUAAAAGCUAUGAUACAGAGGAUUUGGAAAACGUCGCGGGAGGUUAAAAUAGAAAGUCUGGGAGACAAUGUUUUCAUGUUUAAAUUUGGGUCUGAGAUGGACAAGCGAAGUGUUUUGGUUGGAGGUCCGUGGCACUUCGAUAGAGCGUUGAUUGUGCUCAAGGAACCAGCUGGGAUCAGAGAUCUAAAAAAGCAGAAUUUUAGCCGAGCUUCUUUUUAGGUUCAAAUUCACGAUGUUCCCAUCAUGUGUAUGUCAAAGGAAAUGGCACAAGAGUUGGGUCAAGUGAUUGGUAAAGUGGAAGAAGUAGAAACAGAUGCUGUGGGGGACUGUUUCAGUGAAUUUCUUAGGCUCAGAAUUUCAAUAGAUAUCACUAAGCCAUUAAAAAAGCUUAUUGAGCUCCAACAAGAAGGGGAAGAAGAAGAUAUCCCGAUGAGAGUAAUGUAUGAGAGCUUACUGGACUUUUGCUUUUGUUAUGGGCGAAUUGGGCAUCAAUAUAGAGAAUGCACACAUUACAAAUCCCAAUCAAAUGAUGAAAUGGCUUACGGGCCAUGGCUAAAGGCAACUACCAUAAUCGAAAGGUUAAAACAGAGCAGACGUAGAGAUAGGUCGGAGUCCGAACCAAGCAAAGAUUAUACAAACUCUCCAACACCUAGGAAGGAAAACGCAAGUCAAAAUAGAAUAGAAGAGGAAAGAAACAAGCUUAGGGGAAAUGGGCAGUAUCGAGGAUGAAAAUUGGAUCCAUCAAAAUCCGGGUAUGAAUAGUUUGGAUGGGAAAGUGAGUAAGGUUCAGAAGAUUAAUCAAAAGUAAUUAAUGCAAGGGGACACAAGAGACAGAGAUCCAAAUGAUAGCUGUAAGGGUAACCACAAGUUAAAUGUUAGCAACGCAGCCCAUGGGAAUAGGUUCGAGGAAGCUGAAUUAAAAGGCGGGAAUGUAAAACAGCUGGAAGAAAAAAUUCAAGACAAAAAGCUACCGGAACAGAGAAUGAAAGUUUGAAAAAUGCGAGAAUCAUUGAGCGGGAAAGGGAGUGUCCACAGAAAGAUUUAGAAGAGUUGGGCUACCAAAAAAGAAAUGGGCUGCAAACAUUAAUGGAAUCUGAGGUGGAGGACAUGGGAAACGGGCCCAAGAUAGACAGAAUAAAAGCGAAAAAGAAAAAAUGGAAAUACUCAGCCCGAAAUAUUGAAGGAAAAAGUGAAACAAGUGAAGAGAUUGUAAAGAUAAAGAGGCCCAAUAGCACAAUGGGUUGGGAAAGCCCAAAGCCAAAAAGAAGUAAAUUUACCUGUCCUCAUAAGACUGUUUUAUCAUCACCAUUCCAGAGAGCAACGAUGGCAGCAACUAAGCUAACUUUUGAUAGAAUAUGUGAUGGGUGGGAGAGGAUUUAGAAUGUUGAAACUAAAUCAUCGGCGGUGGUUGGGAGACAGCAUCGCCAACAGCCAUGAAACCCUUAAACUGGAACGUUCGGGGGCUGGGGCAAGAUCAAACGUUCCGAGAAGCCCAACAACUCUCGCAUGAGAAUAUGUCUCAAAUUUGUUUCCUUUAUGAAACAAAGAUAACGACUAGACAAAUGAAAGAAAAAAGAAAGAAGUUGAAGUUCCAGAAUUGUUUUGCAGUUAGUAGAGAGGGUUUGGGAGGUGGGUUGGCAAUGCUUUGGAAGAAUCCUGACAUCAAUGUGGAAAUCAAAUCCUACAGCAAACACCAUGUGGAUGUUGUAGUCCACAGUGAAAAGGGAAGCUACUGGAGAUGUAUUGGCAUUUACGGGCACCCAGAAUCAGACCAGAAAAAACACACGUGGGAACUGCUGAGAAGGUUAGCUGCUUUAUCUUUUCUCCCUUGGUUAUGCUUUGGGGAUUUCAAUGAGGUGUUGAACUUAAAUGAAAAAUCGGGAGGAAGAGAUAGGAGGGCAAGUAUGGUAAUUGACUUUAGGGAGGCUAUAAGAGAUUGUGGCUUGAUGGAUUUGGGAAGCACUGGGUAUCCAUUCACUUGGUCAAACAGGUGAUUUGGGGCUCACAUUAUAGAAGAAAAGUUGGAUAAGUUCUUAGGGAACAGCAGCUGGAAGAGUUUUUUUUAAAGAAAAUAUAGCUUCUAAUUAAAUUUCGUGGAGCUCUGAUCAUAGUCCCAUAAUGAUAGAGGUGCUGGAAAAAGGGAGAGAAACAAGAUACACGAGGAAAACUUAUCAUAGAACCCACUAUGAAGAUAUGUGGAGUCCGUAUGAAAAGUGUAAGGAGAUCGUUAAGCAAGAAUGGGUGGAGAUGAGCUGCUGGAAGAAUAAGAACCCGGUUGACAGCUUUACAAAGAUUUCAAAUGAGUCUUUGCGAGAUUAAAGAUAUGAAGUAAGGAGUGUUAGCCUAUAUGGCUAUAGAUAUUGAUUUUGAUGAUAACAAACCACAUAUGUUGAUUAAACAAAGAUUUAUGAAUUAUGCUUUUAUAAUAAGAAAAUGAUGUUAUGGAAUUAAAGUGUUUUGGACUAAAAUGAAAGUAUUUUAAAACCUUUGGUAUUGUUUUAAAAUUUCAGAUUUGGACUUAUUUGAAAAUAUUUAAAUAUUUAGGGUCAUUCUAUAAUUUCACAUAGUUUGGGUGAAAUCAUAAUUUUAAAAAGUUUUGGGAUUGACAAAGUGUUAUUUAGAAAUUCUGAAAUUGGACCUAUUUGAAAGCUUUCAUAACGUUUUGGGUUAUAAUAUAGUUUUAUAAAGUUUUAAGGUCUAACUAUAAUUUUAGAAAAUAUUUUACUGUAGCAAGCGGCUAACCGGAUAUGAUAAGCGGCAAUCCAGAUUUUGGGUAGUAAGCUUCUGGAGCAUAAACGGCUAUCCGGAUAUCGUAAGUGGCAUGCUAGAUGUUUUGAAAUUCAAAAUUUUUUUUGUAACGGUAACAAAAAAGCGGCUAACCGGAUUCCAAAAGCGGCAAGCCGGUUAUCAUCAGAAAACACAUAACGGCUAGUUUUUGGGCUCAAACUAUAUAAAUUCAAAUCCAAUUCAUUUUCAAGUUCUCUAGCAAGCAUAAACAAAAAGCACACAAGAUAUCUUGAGCUCUCAAUUUCGCAAAUCAUAAAACAUUGAAUCAUCUCUUGCUCUUCAUUUUGAAUAUCUACUCUUUGAGUGAGUUUUGUUGUAACUUUCAUUUCUUCAUCUUAAUUGUAAGUAUUUGAGUGUGUGAGACACUUGAGUGAAGAGAUUAUGAGACAAUCUCUUUGUUGUAAAGGUUCAUUGACACCUUGAAGUCAAUUGUAAACGUUUGAAGCCUUGGAAAGGCUCGGAUAGUGAAAUCCUCAAGCUUGGAUCACUUGGAGGCGUGGACAUAGGCGGGGAUUGCCGAAUCACGUAAAAAUUCAUGUGUUUGUUUCUCUUCUCCCUUACUCAUUUGUUAUUGUGCUUUUAUUGAACUUAUUGCUUUCGAAUUUAUUAAGGCAUUAGAUUGGAUUGUUGUGUGGCUUUAUUAGGAUAAUUUUUAAAAUACCAAUUCACCCCCCUCUUGGGUUGCACACUUAUAUUUCAUUGGGUAUCAGAACAAGGUGCUCUUAUUUAGACUUAACCGUCUAGAGCUAAAGAUCAAUGGCAACUCAAAAUGAUUCCACAUUUAGGGAAGGACAGUCCACCACUAGACCACCAUAUUUUGAUGGAAACGAUUACCCUUAUUAGAAAACUAGGAUGAGAAUUUACUUGCAAGCUUUAGAUUACAAAAUUUGGGAAAUCGUUAAUGAUAGUCCUUUCAUGCCUUUGACUAAAAAUGAAGUUGGGGAAGACAUUCCAAAACCUUCACGGGAAUGGAAUGAAUUCGAAAAGAUAAAAGCUUCUAUAAAUUCCAAGGUUAUUAAUGCCUUGUUUUGUGCACUAGAUAAGAAAGCGUUUCAUAGAGUGUCUAGUUGCGAAAGUGCUAAUGAAAUUUGGCAUAAACUUGAAGUUUUUUAUGAAGGCACGAAUCAAGUGAAAGAAUCUAAAAUAAGUAGGUACACUCAACAAUAUGAAUUGUACCAAAUGGAACAAAAUGAGAGUGCGUACUCUAUGUAUACUAGAUUUACGGACAUAGUGAACACUCUAGAAGUCCUAGGAAAGACCUUUUCAAAUAGCGAGAAAGUUAAAAAAAUUAUUAAGUCACUACCUAAGGAAUGGAGACCAAAAAGGACUAUCACUGAGGAAGCCAAAGAUUUAAAUGUAUUACCUAUUGAUGAUUUAAUUGGUUUUCUCAUUUCAUAUGAAGAAGAUUUGGCAGCAGAAAAAUGACAUGAGAAAAAAAAGAAAAGCAUUGCUCUCAAAGCCUCAAAAUGUGAUAGUGAUGAGGAAAGCGAGAUGGAUGAUGAGGAGUUGGCUAUGUUGGCUAGAAGAUUCAGAAAAUUCUACAAGAAGAAUAAAGAGCAGAGAAAGUUUAGAAGUCACAAAAACAAAAAGGAGAAGAAAGAGCCAAUUACUUGCUAUGAAUGCAAGAAGCCCGGACACAUUCGACCGGAAUGUCCUCUCCUCAACAAAUUCAAGAAUAAAGCUAUGGUGGCCACGUGGGAUGAUAGUGAUAAGGAAACAAGCAAUGAUGAAGAGCAACAAGAGAUGACUAAUCUAGCUCUCAUGGCCUUUGGGGAAGAAUCAUGUAAUUAAGUUGAUGAGGUAAGAGUUCUUCCUACAUAUGAUGAAUUACAUGAUGCCCUUAAGUAUAUGCAUGAUGAAUUGAUGAAGAUUGGUAAAAAGAAUACAUGUCUUAAAAAGAAAAUGAUAGAGCUUAAAAAUGAAAAUGAAUCAUUUAGUGCAAAGAUUACAUGCCUAGAAUUAGAGAAUAAAACAUUGCUUGAUAUAGUUGCAUUAUUUGAGAAUUCUAGCACUUCAUAUGAGCAUUUAGAGUCACAUGUGAAUAAUUUGAAAAAUGAAAAUGAAAUGCUUAGAAAGAAGAGCAAUGAACUAAAUGAGAUUGUGCUAAAAUUCACAAAUGGGCAAACGAUGUUGGAUAACUUGCUAAACUCACACAAAUGUGUAUUUGACAAAGGAGGCAUUGGUUAUAAGCCAAAUUUGAAACAAAAAUAUUACAAGAGUUGUUUUGUAAAGAAUACAUCUGUUGACAAUCAAAUUGUAUGUCAUUAUUGUAAUCAAGAUGAUCAUAUGAAAAAUAGAUGUCUAGUGAAGAGAAAUGCAUAUUAUGGUAUGAAAUGUGUUUGGGUUCCGAAAUAAACCAUUGCUCAAGGACCCAAAAGAUUUGGGUACCUAAAACUUGAGAUUUUCUCUACAUGGCUUGAAGAAGAAGAAUAAUAAUAAGUGGUACUUGGACAGUGGUUGUUCAAGACACAUGACAGUGAAUUAUUCUUGGUUUUCAAGUUUUACUAAGAUAAAAAAUGGUGGAGAUGUAUCGUUUGGAGAUAAUUCAAAAGGAAAAAUCAUUGGCAUUGGAAAUGUCGGUAAUGUAUCCUCUACUCUCAUUGAAAAUGUGUGUUUGGUUGAAAACUUAAAACACAACUUGCUCAGUAUUAGUCAAUUAUGUGAUAAAGGAUAUAUAGUUAUCUUUGAUGAAUCAAAAUGUGUUAUUGAGAAUGCAUGUGAUGGGAAAGUUUUAUUUGUAGGAAAUAGAUGUGUUAAUGUCUAUACCAUUAAUAUAGAUUGUGGACCGAUAAAUGAUAAAUGUUUCUCCACAUUGCAUGAUGAUGGUUGGUUGUGGCAUAGAAGAUUAGGUCAUGCAAGCAUGAAUUUGAUUUCAAAAAUCGUGAAAAAUGCUUUGGUUAAAGGUCUUCCAAAAAUCAGUUUUCAAAAAUAUAGAAUUUGUGAAGCUUGCCAAUUUGGAAAACAAAUCAAAACUUCCUUCAAAAGCAAGAAUCAUGUCUCUACUUCAAAACCACUUUAAUUACUUCACAUAGAUUUGUUUGGACCUUCUAGAUAUGCUAGUUUAAGUGGCAAAUUUUAUGCACUUGUAAUUGUAGAUGAUUAUUCUAGAUACACAUGGGUAUUGUUCUUAACUAAUAAGGGUGAUGCCAUUGAUGCAUUUCGAAUUUUCUGUAAAAAGGUUCAAAAUGAAAAAAGUUAUUCUAUUACUUAUAUUAGAAGUGAUCAUGGUGGAGAAUUUGAAAAUCAUGCAUUUGAAAAUUUUUGUGAUGACUUUGGCAUUGAGCAUCAAUUUUCAUCACCUAGGACUCCACAAAAAAAUAGAGUUGUAAAGAGAAAGAAUAGGUCUAUUCAAGAAAUGGCUAGGACCAUGUUGAAUGAAAAUUCUUUGCCUAACUAUUUUUGGGCCGAAGCCGUCAACACCGCUUGUUAUGUUUUGAAUCAUGUGUUAAUUAGACCUAAUCUUAAUAAAACUCCAUAUGAGCUUUAGAAAGAUAGAAAACCCAACAUUGGCUAUUUUAAAGUCUUUGGAUGUAAAUUUUUUUUUUAACACAAAAGAUAAUCUUGGUAAAUUUGAUCCAAAAUCUUAUGUUGGUGUUUUUCUUGGUUAUUCAAACUCAAGCAAAGCUUAUAGAGUUUAUAAUAAAAGAACUUUAGUUGUUGAAAAAUCUAUGCGUGUUACAUUUAAUGAGUCUAAUCUCUCCUCUACGGAGAAAGUCAUUGUUGAUGACAAUGCAAAAGAAGAACAACAAGAAGAACCAUAAAAUGACAACCAAAAAGAUGCACCACAUGGAAUUCAAGAAGAAUAUCAUGAAGAAACAAAUGCAGAGCAAAAUGAAGGUAUUUCUCAAACACCCCCCAAGGAGUGGAGGUAUGUUUCUUCUCACCCUAAGGAUGUAAUUUUAGGAGAUCUCUCACGAGGUGUUAAAACUAGAUCAUCUCUUAGGAACACAUUUGAGCAUGCUGCAUUUAUUUCUCAAAUUGAACCAAAAUCUUUUACGGAUGCAGAAAAUGAUGAAUCUUGGAUUAUGGUAAUGCAAGAGGAGUUGAAUCAAUUUGAGAGAAACAAUGUGUGGGAAUUAGUUCCUAAUCCAGAACAUCAAUCCAUUAUAGGCACUAAAUGGGUAUUUAGAAACAAAAUGGAUGAAUCUGGUGUGGUUGUAAGAAAUAAAGCUAGAUUAGUGGCUCAAGGUUACAACCAAGAAGAAGGAAUUGAUUUUGAUGAAACAUUUGCACAUGUAGCUAGGUUAGAAUCCAUUAGGAUGUUGUUAGCAUAUGCAUGUCAUAAGGAUUUUAUUUUAUAUCAAAUGGAUGUCAAAAGUGCUUUCUUAAAUGGUUAUAUUAUGGAGGAAGUUUAUGUGAAACAACCUCCUGGUUUUGAAAAUAAAAAAUUUCCAGAUCAUGUAUAUAAGUUAUCUAAGGCUUUGUAUGGACUAAAACAAGCACUUAGAGCUUGGUAUAAUAGGCUUAAAAACUUCUUGUUAGAUAACAAUUUUUCGAUGGGAAAAGUGGACACAACUUUAUUUGUUAAGAAUAAGAACCAAGAUAUACUUAUUGUUCAAAUUUAUGUUGAUGAUAUUAUUUUUGGUUCUACUAAUGAGUUGUUGUGUAAAGAAUUUUCAUCGUGUAUGAGCAAAGAAUUUGAAAUGAGUAUGAUGGGAGAGUUGAAGUACUUCCUUGGACUUUAAAUCAAACAAAAUGAGGAAGGAAUUUUCAUAAAUCAAGCUAAGUACGCGAAAGCUCUACUCAAAAGAUUUGGCUAUGAUAAUGGAACGGCAAAAACCACUCCAAUCAGUACUACCAUUAAGCUGGACAAAGAUGAGAAAGGUAAGUAAGUUAAUAUCAAGACAUAUCGAGGUAUGAUCGGAUCCUUACUCUAUUUGACUACUAGUAGGCCCGAUAUUAUGUUUAGUGUAUGCUUGUGUGCUAGAUUUCAAUCUUGUCCUAAAGAUUCACACAUGCUUACUGUCAAACGAAUUUUUUGAUAUUUGAUUGGCACCAUUAAUCUUGGCCUUUGGUAUCCUAGGGGAACUCAUAUUGACUUAACUUGCUAUUCGGAUGCCGAUUUUUCCGGUUAUAAGGUUGAUAGAAAAAGUACUAUUGGAACAUGUCACUUUCUAGGCCAUUCAAUUGUCUCUUGGUUUAGUAAGAAAUAAAACUCGGUUGCACUUUCAACCACCGAGGCAGAAUAUAUUGCUGCAUGUAGUUGUUGUGCACAAAUUCUUUGGAUGAAACAAACCCUUAGAGACUAUGGUAUUAAACUCGAUCAAAUACAUAUCUUGUGUGACAAUACUAGUGCUAUAAAUCUAUCUAAGAAUCUCAUUCAACAUUCUAGGACUAAGCAUAUAGAAAUUAGGCAUCACUUCCUUAGAGAUCAUGUUAAAAAAGGAGAUGUUGUGAUUAAAAUUAUUUCUACUGAAAACCAACUUGCGGAUAUCUUUACAAAACCUUUUAGUGAAGAGUAUUUUAUAAAGAUAAGACAUGAGCUUGGAAUGAUAAAUGUUGCAUCUUGAAUUAUGAUUUGUUGAUUAAGUUAAUAUGUUUGUUAUUGUAUGCAUUUAUGGUUCAUGCAUUGAGUGGCUUAUUGAAAAGUUUUAAAUCUCAAAAUGAUUUAAAAUUGGUCAAAUUUUAAGCCAAAAACAAAUUGGUGUAUAUAAUACAAGUAUAAGAGCUUGCUAAAAUUCAAUUAGAGAUAAAAAGAUUUCCAAGUCUAAACCGGUAUACCACUUCCUCUCAACCGAAAAACCGCUUUCUUAUUGAUUCCUCUGGAAACAAAUUCUGGAUAACCGGAUUUAGCAAACCAGUAAGCCGGAUUAGCUUUGGUCACUCUCGGGUCAACAUUCAGAUAACCAAAUUUAUCAAAACGGUAAGCCGGAUUUGCCUUGUAAGAUUUCUAGACCAAAACCGGUCAACCGGUUAUAAAAACCAAAAAGCCGGAUGUAUUUUGGAGUUCACUGGACGAAAAGCGGUCAUCCGGUUAUUCAAUCCGGAAAGCCGGAUUUGCUAAGCUUCCUCUCUGCCUCAAAAUCGGACAGUCGGUUCUUCAAAUCCAGAAAAUCGAUUACGAUUUGCAUGGUUCUGCCUCACAACCGGCUAACCGGUUCUUCAAUCCGGAAAGCCGAAUUCGUGAAGCAAUAUUUUGCCUCAAAACUGGUCAGCCGGUUAAUCAACCAGUAAGCCGAAUAAGUUCUUGACACAGCAGCUUAUGGAUGAGGUGCGAACACUCUCUAUGCGGCAAACUGAGUUUCAGCAGCAGCAACUCAUUCAUGGACAGCACCUUCAUUUUUAGCACUUUGGCAUUCCAUAUCUGUAUCCUCCUGCAUCACCACCAUCCUCACCACCUCAGUAGUCACUUAUGCUUGUAUUUGGACACACUUACAUAUUAUUUACUACUUUAUGUCCUUUUAUUUUCGACUAUAUGGAUGGUUAUUAUGCUUUUGGAUUAUAUUUUUGUUUUGGAUGAUAUGGAUUUGUUUUGAUUGUUUGUUAUGGAUUAUAUGGAUUUCCUUAUGCUUAUAGAUAUUUUUGAACUAAUGUGCUUGUAUUGAGACUUUGAUGAUUGAUAGGGGGAGCUUUUAUUCUUUUUGAUGAUGAAGGAGGAGAAUAAUAUAAUAUAUAUUAUAAAAAUAUGCAUGUAUGCAGGGGGAGUAUGCAUGUAUGCAGGGGGAGUCUUUUAAAUAGUUUUCAAAUCAGUUUUUUAACCUUGCAUUGAUUAAGGGGAGCUUUUCAUAACUAGAUUAAAUUUUUAUAAUGUGUUUUGUCAUCAUCAAAAAGGGGGAGAUUGUUAGCCUAUAUGGCUAUAGAUAUUGAUUUCGAUGAUAACAAACCACAUGUGUUGAUUAAAUAAAGAUUUAUGAAUUGUACUUUUAUAAUAAGAAAAUGAUGUUAUGGAAUUAAAGUGUUUUGGACUAAAAUGAAAUUAUUUUAAAACCUUUGAUAUUGUUUUAAAAUUUCAGAUUUGGACCUAUUUGAAAAUAUUUAAAUAUUUAGGGUCAUUUUAUAAUUUCACAAGUUUGGGUGAAAUCAUAAUUUCAAAAAUUUUUAGGAUUGACAAAGCAUUAUUUAGAAAUUAUGAAAUUAGAUCUAUUUGAAAGCUUUCAUAACGUUUUAGAAAAGAUUUCACUGUAGCAGUUACUGUAGCAAGCGGCUAACCGGAUAUGGUAAGCGGCAAUUCAGAUUUUGGGCAGUAAGCUUCUGGAGCAUAAACGGCUAUCCGGAUAUCGUAAGCGGCAUGCCGGAUGUUCUAAAAUUCAAAUUUUUGUUGUAACGGUAACAUAAAAGCGGCUAACCGGAUUCCAAAAGCGGCAAGCCGGUUAUCAUUAGAAAACACAUAACGGCUAGUUUUUGGGCUCAAACUAUAUAAACUCAAAUCCAAUUCAUUUUCAGGUUCUCUAGCAAGCAUAAACAAAAAGCACACGAGAUAUCUUGAGCUCUCAAUUUCGUAAAUCAUAAAACAUUGAAUCAUCUCUUGUUCUUCAUUUUGAAUAUCUACUCUUUGAGUGAGUUUUGUUGUAACUUUCAUUUCUUCAUCUUAAUUGUAAGUGUUUGAGUGUGUGAGACACUUGAGUGAAGAGAUUGGGAGAUAAUAUCUUUGUUAUAAAGGUUCAUUGACACCUUGAAGUCAAUUGUAAACGUUUGAAGCCUUGGAAAGGCUCCGAUAGUGAAAUUCUCAAGCUUGGAUCGCUUGGAGGUGUGGACGUAGGCGGGGAUUGCCGAACCACGUAAAAAUUCAUGUGUUUGUUUCUCUUCUCCCUUACUCAUUUUUUAUUGUGCUUUUAUUGAACUUAUUGCUUUCGAAUUUAUUAAGGCGUUAUAUUGGAUUGUUGUGUGGCUUUGUUAGGAUAAUUUUUAAAAUACCAAUUCACACCCCCCCUCUUGGGUUGCACAUUUAUAUUUCAAGGAGGAGUUUAGUAGGAGAAAAAGAGCUGAAAUGGCUAAAGAAGAAGCUCCAAGAUUUAAAGAAUGGGUGUUAUCAUUUGGAAAAUUAGGAGAAUAUCACGCAAGUAGAAAAGCAGAUUGACAACAUCUUUCUGGAUGAGGAAAUUUUUUGGAAGCAAAGAUCGACAGCUGACUGGUUGAGGGAGCAAGACAAAAUACAAAAUUUUUUCACACAAAAGCCUCAGCUAGAAAAAAGAAAAACAAGAUCAGUGGUUUGGAAGAUGAUAGUGGAAAGUGGAUAGAAGAAGAGGAGGAUGUAGAACCGCUGAUUUGUGAAUACUUUUGAAAAAUCUUUACCACAACAAAUCCUUUGCUGGAUCAAAUGAAUGCAGCGUUGGAUGACUUGCCAGCCAGAAUUACGGCGAAGAGGGAAAGCUAUUUGGAGCAGCCCUUUACGAGGGAAGAAGUUGCUGAAGCUUUAGCCCAAAUGUGUCCCACGAAAAAUCCAGGCCCGGAUGGACUUCCAGCAGCAUUUUUUCAGAAACACUAGUGCUUAGUGAAAGAUAGGGUGACCACAACUUGUUUGCACGUCUUGAAUAAGGGAGGUAAUAUUCAACCCUUAAAUCACACUUACAUUGCUAUGAUUCCGAAAUUAAACAAGCUAAAGAAAGUGACUGAUUUUAGACUUAUUAGCCUUUGUAAUGUUAUCUAUAGUAUCAUAGCAAAAACAAUAACUAAUAGGCUAAAAGAGGUGUUAAAUGCUAUCAUUUCCCCCACCCAAAGUGCCUUUGUUCCUGGCAGACUCAUCACUGAUGACAUUAUUAUAGGCUAUGAGUGCUUGAAUAAAAUAAGACAGAGCAAAAGUAGUAGAAAGGGGAUGGUUGCUUUAAAACUUGAUAUUAGCAAGGCAUAUGAUAGGGUGGUGUGGAGUUUUGUCAAACACAAAAUGCAGAGGCUGGGAUUUUCUUCAAAAUGGGUGAAUUUGGUUAUGAAUUGUAUAUCCACAGCUAGUUUCUCAGUUUUGAUCAACGAGGUGCCAAAAAGGCACAUCUUUCCGCAAAGAGGAUUAAGGCAAGGUUGUCCUCUUUCACCUUACAUUUUCAUCAUGUGUGCAGAGGUGUUCUCGAAUAUGUUAGUGCAGGCAAAAAACCGAGGGCAAAUUCAAGGGCUGAGAUUCACUGGAAGCUUGUCAAUCAUCCACUUGUUAUUUGCGGAUGAUAAUUUGGUUUUUGCAAGAGCAUUGACACGACUCAAAAGUGUACUACUCUCAAGUAUAAGAGUGUCUAGUUAUAAUAUAACCCUGUGAGACCGGGGUCGAACCACAAGGAGUUUUAAAUCUAGUAAAACUAAGAAAAUUAAUUGUGGGGAAAAGAAAUUAUUUGAAAUUAAUUUAAAAAUAAGCUAAGGUUUAGGAUCCACUCUCUGUAUUCAAACUAUAAUUUUAAUACUCUCUCAUUUAUAUUUUACCUCACUUUUACCAAUUAAUUAUUAUAUCAUUUAAUUCUAUGUGUAUGGAUAAAUAUAGAAUAAAGUACCUAAUGUGCCACACUAUAUUAAUGUGUCGACAUUAUGUCAAAAUACCAUAAAAUCUAGUGAGAUUUAUAAAUUAACAUGAUAUAAAAAUAAUUAGAAAAGAAUUAAAUAAACUUCAAAACUCAUUUGAGAAAAUAAUAAUAAUUAAUAGUUUGAAACAUUGAGCUUUACCAUUCACCUCAGCUUAAUAAAAUUAGCUACUCAUAUUGAAAGAAAACACAAUACUUUUUUUAUUUGAUAAACUUUUUGAAAUAUAUUACAAAGAAAAUUGAUAAAAACGGAAACAAGAAAAGAAAAGAAAAGAAACAAAGAAAGAAAGAAAUUCUUUAGCUGCACUCUAUUCUCUCUCGGCUUAAGCUCUCAAAAUAUACGUCCCCAGCUUCUCGCUCCCCCAUCGCUUGCCACCCCUUUGCCUUUUAUAGGCAAAGUAAAUCAUCUUCUUUUCUUUUAUUUUAUUAAUAUAUAUAUAUAUAUAUAUAUAUAUAUAUAUAUAUUGAAUUGUGUGAUGGUCAGGAGGCGUGAUGGCCUCCUGACCAUCACAGGCAACCAAUGUUUUGGUUGCCUUUUACUCUUUUGUCUUUUUGUUCUUUUUUAUUUAUUUAUUUUUUAUUAUUAGAUCUCCUCAAUUGUGUUCUAGUAGUUCUUCUUUGUUCCCGCUUUCAAUUCUAAUUCCAAUUCCAUCUUUAUUCCUGAAAAAUAUUUACAAGAUAAAAAUUAACAAAUUACGAAUUAAUUUAACAUAAAAUAUAUUUGGGGAGUAUUAAAAUAAUUUAGAAAUAAUGAACGCAUUAAUCGACACAAUAAGUGAAAAACUAAUAAUUUUAUCCUUAUUAAAUAUACACUUUUUAGUGUCAAUCAAGCAUCUAGUAUAGAUUGUAUGAAGUUAAAAGACAUUUUUGAUUGCUAUACAGUUGCAUCAGGCCAGGUUUUUAAUUAUGAAAAAUCCUUAAUGUUUUUUAGCUCGGGUACAAGCCAAUUUCAAAGGGAGGCACUUAGGAAUAUAUUUGGGCUGAAUGUGAUCACAAAACAUGAGAAAUACCUUGGUCUUCCAUCCAUGGUGGGGAGAAGGAAGAUUAGUUUUUUCAAUGAAGUAAAGCUAAGGGUUUUAAGCAAGCUUUCUAGUUGGCAAAGCAAAAAUUUCACCCGUGGUGGUAAAGAAGUUCUCACUAAGGCUGUAAAGCAAGCAAUUCCGGCCUAUGCUAUGAGUGUCUUUAAAAUCCGUCAAGGCCUUUGUUCUUAAAUUGAAAAAGCCAUUGCAAGAUUCUGGUGGGGAUCCUUGAAUACACAUAGAAGCAUACAUUGGGCGAGAUGGGAAAGAUUAUGCCAUGCCAAGAUAAGAGGGGGAAUUGGCUUCCGAGAUUUUUCUAGCUUUAAUCAAACCCUCAUAGCUAAGCAAAGGUGGAGAAUUCUGCACAAUCCUGAUUCAUUAAUGGCAAAAAUCUUGAAGGCUAAAUAUUUCAAACACAUUAAUUUUAUGGAAGCAAAGCUUGGCUCAAAUCCAUCUUUUGUGUGGAGGAGUAUUCUAUGGGGCAAACAAGUGCUUCAUAAAGGGCUGGGAUGGAGGAUUGGUAAUGGGAAUCAGGUGCCAGUUUGUGGUAGCAAUUGGGUUCAAAAUUUUGAGAUCACUGAAAAUGCCACCCAAGUUAUUGUACUAACCAAGGCAGUUGUGCCCGAUUUUAUUGACGAGAGCAAUAACUGGAGGGAAGAGUUGGUUGCUAAGUAUUUCUCUAAAGAGGCUUAGAAAGAAUACUAAGGACUCCACUUCCGAAAAUCCCAAGACCGGAUCAGCUGGUACGAUCCUUUGAUAAGCAUGGUUUGUAUACAGUUAAGAGUGGCUAUCAGCAGGCCAUAAAGCUCAAAUUCCCGGACAGAGCAUGUUGCUCAGAUAGCUCCAAAACUCAGUGGAAGGUAAUCUGGGCAAGUGACAUUCCGAAAAAAGUGAAAAUCUUCAUGUGGAGGGCAGCUCAAGACAUGUUACCAAUAGGGGAGAAUUUAUGGAGAAAGAAAAUUGUGGGGGAUCCAAUUUGCCAAAGAUGUUAUAAUAUGGGAGAAGAUGUGUUUCAUGCGUUAAUUGGGUGUAAGGUUGCUCGUAAGGUCUGGAAGUUGACAAAAAUUUAUGAGGAUAUCAGGCGAAUGGCCCUCCAGGACAUGUUGACACUACUAGAAAAAUGGUCUUUACUGACUUUAAAAUAGUGUCAGAAAUUACUAUUACUGACACUUGUUAAUUGUGUCAGUAAUUUGGGAGUCAGAAAAAUAGUGACACUUGUAAGUGGUGUCAGUGAUUACUAUUACUGCAGUAUCACCGAUAUUAUGACACCAUAGUAUUAGUAGUUAUUGAUAUUUUAUUAGUGUCUAUGAUUACUGUUACCAUGGUAUCACUAGUUAAUUUAUUUUUUAAAAAAUAAAAAAUUAAAUUGGAUAAUUGCCUAUUGAUUUAUUUGUAAAAUUAAAAGCACCAUAAAAUAACAAAAAGAAAUUGAUUUAUAUCACAAAAUCUUUCAUUUCACAUUUAAAUAUUAUUAGUAUAUAUUACAAAUUGAACUUCAAUAGCCAAAAUAUGAGAUAUCCUACUCUUAUAACUAAAUAAUCCAAAUUCAAUACAUAAAAAUUAGUCUCUGUCCCUAUCUGACCAACUUCCAUCAGAAUUAGCCUCAUCACUUCUGCUUUCACUGUGAUAAUUGGAGCGCCUCCGACUCCAAGUUGUUUCAUGAACUUGACGUUUAUCAUCAUGGCUUCUGCCAGAACCACUUUUCACACGAUCAGCCUCCCUUGAUCUAGACCUUCUGUAAUGAUGCCUGCAUAAGAAAUUACAAAACCAUAAAUAACCAGAAGAUUUCUAACAUCAGCAGUAAAUACAUUAAAUAAUGAAAUUUGAUCAUAGUUUGGAUCAUCAUCCCUUGUACAUAAGAUUGCAAUGCUACAUCACCAAAGGCAUCUUGUUGAAUCUAAUUAUUUUCUUGCCAUGCUUGCAACAUGGUCAUUACGCCACAUACUAAUCAUACAUUUUUGAAAAUGGGUUUUAAACUCAAACAAUAGACCAAAAAACCAACAGAAGAACUUUCUUUAAAUCUUACAUUGUGAGAACAUCUUUUCAUUAUUCAUUGCUUCUAAGAAAACCGAGUUAGGAGACUUGAAGAAAACACAAAUGAAGAGAACGAUACUAUGAAGAAACCUCUCAAAAUCAUAGGUCAAACAUGGAAGUUUAAACUAAAAAAUUCAAAUAACAGAAAGUGAAUUAAAUAAACAAGAGUUCAUAUAUACCAAGUACAGUUUAUAGUGUCUAUGACUAGUAAUAAAAGCAUACCUGUCGGCAUUAGUUGAAUCUAUCUUGUUCCUCGUUUGUCCUGAGCGUUCUUGAUUCCAGGUCCCAGAUUCAUUAGAAUAACCAAAUAAAGCAGCCAUCUUUUUCACCCAAUAUCUCGGAGGUGGUUUAUCCAAAUCAGCCCAUUCAUAGUCUCCGCCAGGGUUGCGGAAACAGUGGAUAAAAUUGCGAGCCAUUCCACGAGAGCAUGUCUGAUAAAAAAUGCCCAACGAAGAUAAUAAGAGCGUAAAGAAAAGAAGAAAAGAAACAAACUCAUUUCAUAUCAAAAGAAAAAUGGCAAUUGGCUGUACCUUUAGUCUUGACUUCAUAUAUUCCCCACAUAUGGCAAUCUUCCAUCUAGUCACAUUAAUAAAUUCACAUGUGAUCUGUCAAGAAACACACAAAUAAAUAAACCAUCACCAUCCAGAAAAUGACAAGCUGUAAAAUUCAGUAAACAGUAAUGUGUUGAUUACAAUUUAAGCAUGGAGAAAAUUUUCAGAUUAGACUAUGUCAACAGUGUCCACAGAUAGUUAAAAGAUGGGAGAAUGUGCUGGCGUUCACUAAGCAUAUAAUUUUUCACAGCUUAACCCAUUGCAAUUUUACCAGUGUCAAGUCUAAAGGAAACUAGUCAGGAAUCUUCUGUAAAGUAAAUAAAUAGUGAAACAACUGUUCUCAUAGCAAUAAAAUGAAAUUAUUUUAAUAAUUUUCUUCAACUUUCAGACCAAUCAAACAAGUAAAGCAAUUUUAGUACAAUGCACAGCAAUUUAAGCUGAAUGGACAAUUGGAACAAUUACGGAACAACUAGACCCCAACGAAUACUGCAAAAACAACCCUUAAACAAUGACUUAAGAAAGUAUAAGCUUCUCUUAAGAAAGUAGAAGCUUCUCCUAGAUCAUGCCUUUUCAAUCUCCCUUUACUAAGAAAGCUGCCAUGGUAUUUAAGACUAUCCAAAUCCUAUCAACAUGUUGGGAUAUUCAAAUACAGCCUCCAAGAAGACAUGCUGUAAACUUUACAACUGAAGUCUGUCAGAUAAACCAAAUCUUAUACCCAAUGCCAAGAGCUUUAAUUCAAUCCAUUUUAAUAGGCACCAAUUACCAGGAAUGCAGGCAGACAAAAAGGCUCAAAAUGACAGGAUAUCAGUAUUCUGGAAUUUUGUAUCAGAAACAUGAAAAGUGGCAAGGCCCAUUCACUGAGAGCCAAACAUUUUUUAAAUAGUAGUUACUUUAUAUAAAAUAAAUAAAUAUAAAGUAGAAAGUAAGCUCCAACAAUUCUUCACAAAGACCUGUUUCCCAGCAAAGUAAUGACCAUUGACAGAAUGGUAAGCGAGAACAGCUGAUUCCAGCGACUUAUAGUGAACAUAGACAUUUCCUCUCAAGUGGGAAAAACCAUUUCUACACACCUGCACAUAUUUGUUAGUUAGUAUAAGCAGAAAAAGGAAGAAAUCCAUGCCUAAAUCUUACAGAAUACUGAGUCUACAAGAAAUGCUAAAUAAUGUCCAUAGAGUUUCAAUUAAUCUGGGAGGCCAGAGAAUGAUUUAAGAAAGUGUAAUGAAAUAACCAUAGCCAUCUUGUGCAACCAAGGGCAUACAAACUAAUAUGGCACAACGAGAUUGAUUGUAUAAAACCAUCCUAGGUCUACAUAAUUGAAAAAAAUAACUGUUAUCACUUUUCAGCCAAGCUCUUCAUACCACAUCAGUUGGUACACACUAAGCUGUAAAAAUUUGUUUGUGGCUCUGUCAUUAUUGUCAAAGAAAAUGGUAACAGGUAGUUUUCUUCAUAUUUAUCAUAUUUGUUAAUCUCAAAAUUGCAAUAUUUGAAAAACCUAAGAAAAGGGUAAUAGAAAUAAAGAAACUUGAGAAACUCCAAGAUAGCAAGUACAUUUACAGAAAAUAGUUAACAACCUUGAAAUUGACAAUCUCACCAAACUUCAGGAACUCCGUAUGAACAUCCUCAUAAAAUUCUUCAUAAGAGCGUUCAACUUACUCAUCUAUAUACUGAAAAGAAAGAAGGCAAAUCAACCAAAAUUUUUUUUUGCGUAUGUUAACAUCAGAAACAUAAAAUCAAAAGAAAAGUAUGAAAGUAUAGUUUGUCAAGAAUGCUUUAUUUUGACCUUGGAAAAACAAAAUGAUAUUUAUCAGGAGGUGAAACAACUUAUAAAAAUACUCUAGCAUAUAACUUGAAACUUCACUAUGAUAGUUAUCGAUUUGAUUAGUUUCUCAAUUUGCAUUUUGUUCUUCCAGAUAAUGGUCAAAGGGUAGUGGAUUAACACGGAGACAACUAUUAACCAUGAUCUCCAUUGACAUGGUUAACACUAUUCAAAAUACACAACUAGGGGACAAGAUAUAUAUAACCUGCAAUUUAAUCCUCACCUAAUGGCUAAUAUUUUCUCAUCUGUAUAAUCGACUGAAAUGAAACCUAUCAUGUGUUCAACUAAUUUAAUUUGCAUCAAUCAAAGCAACUUCUUUUUCUCCAGCUUUCUGUCUCCCCUGACACAUUCUAAAGUAAAUGAAGAGCACCAACAACAUGUGUCAGUAAAUAGGUGUUGUGGCAAACAAUCCCAAACCUUCCAAAGUAAUGACCAUUGUUAGAUGACCAGCUCUGACAAUCGACGAUAUAUGGUAUAUUCCACAAGAAACUACUAGUUGUUAAGGAGAAAUUUUUAACUCAAACAGAGUUGUACAGUUAUGUGACUAGUGAGAGAGAGAAAGAAAGAAAGAACGAAAGAAAGAAAGAGAAAUAAGCCAAACAUAUAAACAAAAAAUUUCAUAAUAGCUAAAAUCAUUUGUAGCAUGUAGGAUACAUAAUAGCUCAUAGCCUUCACUCUUACCCAAUCAAGGCCAACACCAUGAAUCUCCAUCGUUAUGAAAACAUAAAUAUCUGAUUUCACAUAGUCAAAGAAAAGAAAUAAAAUGUGAACUCAAAAGAACUCACCAGUAAUACUAUGUAGAAUAAUUAUAAACACAUUACAGUAUAUCAACUGGAAAAAUAUUUUUCUCUAUAAAAAGCAUCUUCUAUAUAGCAAGGACAAUCCGUAUAUAAAAUGAUCCAACAAAUUGCACAAAAGUAUAAAAGUUUGGAAGAGUCCUUAUCAGGAUAUAAGAAUCAGCAAUUACAUACCUCGAGCCCCUCAUCUUGCUCCCAAGCAAGCCCGGGACCAUUAUGCAUAUUCUUGAUGAGCAGAGUGCACGAUUUAUCAGGGAAAAAAUAAACUCUGCUGCAUCUCUGACCAAACCGACAAGCUCCAGUCUUCAAAUGGAAAGGACAAUGAACUUUAUCCUGCCAUAUAUAAUAAAAACAUGAUUGACCAUGAUAAACACGCAAAUAUAAUAGAAAUGAAAUAUAAUACAGUAAUUGCAAAUUGAAAAUUUUAGAUAGACAUAUUGAAAGAAAAGGCAUGCCUGUUCAGUUCCAAAAUUGGGCACUUGUUGAGCAACAGUCUCCAACGCCUGUUGUGCAUUCUGGUAAUCAGCAAAGGCUUCUGAUUGUGGGGGCAUAGGAUUUGAUGUAGGCCUAUCAACAUCUUGUAAAGGCAGUAAUAACGUAGAAAGUUUAAUUUUUGCCAUAACCGAAGAGAAUGGGCAUCCUGAAGUAAAGUAGAAACAAGUCUAACAUAGCUGUCAAUAGAGUCAAAAUUACCUCUUUUUUACUUAGUGGGUUCGCAUCCUUCUUCGGAACUCUGACCUUUUUCAUCCUAAUAAUAAUCUCAUUUCCUUGCCAUAUAAUUUUUGCAGGCCCUUCUUCAACAUAUUCCCAAUCAUCAUCCUCAUCACAUUCAUUCUCCUUUUGCCUCCAAAUUCGCGAUACUCCGAGAACACGCCGUAGCUGGUGAGCAAGCGGAGGAUACGUUGCAAGUUCUCGGCGUCCCCACCACCGGAUGGGAGGAUACGUGUCAAGAUCUGGGAGGCAGAGAGAGGGGUGUUGGCCCUACCUUGCCAGAUGGCAUCCGGUACGUGGAGACGGAUGGCAGCGGUUAGAGACAUGGGAACACUUAUCAUGUUGGCCAGCUCUAUUAUGGCUGGUCUUACCUUCUUCUCGCCAUCUCUGCACUCGUUAUCUUCCAUUACUGCUUACUGACCUUUGAUUUCGCAGCACCAUGCCGGCCAAACAAAAAGAUAAAACCUAAGCACUUUUUGACAAUUUGGAUGUUAGGGAUUUUUUAGAUCUGGGGAGCUUAGGAGGGAACGAAUACUUUGUAAAGGGAGUUGAAAAAUUGUAUUUUGGAUAAGAUAAGAUUUGUCCAUUUGUUUUGUUUUUAUCCACUCAAAAAGCACAACUCUAAAAAAAUCAAAAAUAAUUCGUAGCCUAAUGGUCUUUUGAUUCAAUGUAGAAGCUCUAAGUUUAAGAGGUCUUGGGUUCGCAUUCAGACUAAAACAAAAUUAAAAUGAUAAUUUUUAAUUGCUGAUACCUAAGCGUCAUUGAUCGCUAUUACUAAAGCUAUUGAUACUUUAGUAUUAGUAAUUAGUGAUACAUAUUUGUUAAACGCGGAAAAUGAUCCAAAUAUAUGUAUAUACUGAUACUUUUAAAUAAAGUGUCAGAACACAAGUAUCAGUAAAGACCAUUUUUCUAGUAGUGUGAGUUUGCUGCAGCUAGCAGUGAAGAGGAAGAAAGAGGAGAUAGAGCAAAUAAUUGUUGUUUGUUGGGCAAUAUGGUAUUCAAGGAAUUGUUAUAUUGUGGAGGGGAAGAAGGAAGACCCCAUGCCUCAGUAGCAAGAGCAGAAGCUAUCGUGGCAUCCUACAGAAGAAUUAAAUCUGGAAACGGUCAAGAUCUGUCUCGGCAUCAGUACGACAACAAGAAAACUUGGGAACCCCCCUACCAGGAAGGUACAAACUGAAUGUAGAUGCUGCAAUUCAAAUGUCUAAGCAAAGAGCGGGUCUUGGAGCAGUAGUUAAAAAUUCAAGUGGGGAGAUCAUGGCUGCAGCUGUUAAGAGAGUAGCUUUCAAAGGAAACGUGGCAAACAUGGAGGCAGAAGCAGUGCUGCUCGGUAUUCAAGUAGCUUAGAAAGCAAAUUGUGCCCAAUUUAUUGUUGAAUCAGAUUAAAAGGAAGUUGUGGAGCUCACUUUAAACAAAAAGGAAAGUUUAACUGAAAUUUGUUGGAACAUUGAAGAAAUCCAGGCAGGGCUGAAAAACAAGGCUCGUCAGCUAUACUUUUUGUCCCAAGAAAGUGUAACGUAAUAGCCCAUAACUUAGCUAAUGUAGCUUUAGAGUUUGAGGUUGCUGUCACCUGGAUAGGUGACUUCCUUGUCCAGGUGUUGAUGUUGCUCUCUUCUUCUUAAUCUAUUGAAAGCUUUACUUUCUCAUCAAAAAAAAAAAAAAAUUACAUUUCAAGGGAAAAAUCAUCUUUUUACAUAAAUUCAGUAACAAAUACAAGGGCAAGGUGUAAACAUGUUAAUUUCAGAAACUCGGGUAUAAAGAUGACCUUUGUAUUAUAAAGAUGGACAAUAAGGGGAACUAGAAAUAUAAAGAUGGAAUCUGGACCCCUUCGUACGAAAAUUAUCUAGCUCUAAUAAUUAAACUAAAAUAACUCAUAAGUUGUUAUUUUUUCUUAUGGUUUAUAUUUGGUAUGUAACGGUUAAUUAAAAAAAUUAAAAUCUAAUUAAAAUUGGAAGACCUCUUUCUUGUGAUGGCAAGAUGGCGGUCACAUAAAGGCCUUUUUCUUGUAACUUGAGUGGAUAAGAAGUAUAUUAGAGACCCAAGUUUCAUCCCAGAAAAUAAAAAAUGAAACCAUUCACAACAGAUCUUCUUUAUGAAAACUAAAUUACUUGAUAUAUGGAACUUCUAAAUAAGGAAAAAAGCCAUUUAUACCCCAAGAUUUAGGAAAAUAGCCACAAAGACCUUCAAUUUUCAAUACCCUAACUCCUUUUAGACCAUAAUGUCCCUCAACUCUAUAAAUCCCAAAAAAUAACUCCAAAAUUUUAUAAUAAAUAGAAUAUGGCAUUAAAAUAAAUGUAAUAAUAUAUACAUUUCAAAAUAAUUUUAAUAUUUAAAAAUAUUUUAAUAUUUUUCAAUCCAUGAGACCUAUUUUAUUAAUUAAAGUAAUUUUUAAUAAUAGAUAGAAACAUAAUAAAAUAAAUAAAUUAAAACUAAAAUUAUUUUGAAUAUUAUGUAAAGUUUAAUUCUAAUAUUACUAAUAGGGAGAUUUUUUUAAUUGUAAAAUCUAUUUAACCCAAAGAUUUAUUUAAAAUCUUUAUAACAUUACAAAUAUAUUAUUAAAAUAAAUAUAAUAAUUUAAAAUUUUAAUAUUAUUUUAAAAAUAAAAAAUAAUUUAAUAUUAUUAGUCUACUAGACAGAUUAUAUUAUUUAUAUUAAAUUUUUGUUAAUUAAAAACCAUUAAAGUCAAUUUUUUAAUUACUAUAAUUAAAGAGUUUUAUGGAUAAAAAGAAUUUUGAUGUCCUUUUAUUUAAACUUGCCAAUUUUUAUGACCAUUUUCUCAAACUUUAGAGAUGUAGGUGUCUUUUUUUCUUUAAAUAAUCAUGCCACAGAGGAUUAGAAAUCGUUGCAUUCUAUGGUGCAUAUAGAUUUUUUAAGACCGUCAUUAUUUUCUUGUCAAAUUCAUCUGAAUUAUCCAAUUUUCUAUAAUUUCACAAAUCAACUGGUUUACUUUAAUUUGCACUUUUCUAAAUCGACUGUUUAGUCCCAAAAACACGGAAAAUUCACCCAUGAUUUCUUGUUUUUCAUAUUAGUUGGGAAAAAUCAACCGGUAAUCUACUUGGAUCAUUCAUUUGACAAUAUGACUGGUCCGUUUAUUGUGUUUUCUCCGCACAAUAGGACUGAAUGAUAAAGCAUCGUCCGAUUAUGUGGUGCAGAUUUUAAGGGCAUUUACAAAUCUUAUGUGUGAUUUACAAGUUUUAUGCAAUAUUUACAAGUUAAUGUUGAUUUACAAGUUUUAUGCAACAAUUACAAGUUUUUGUUUUGUUUAUAAAUUCUUCUUACAAUUUACAACUCAAAUAUUAAUUUACCUAUUUUCUAUCAAUUUACAAGUUUUAUGUAUGGUUUACAAAUUUUUUGUUUCAUUUCACACUUAAUGUCAAUUCACAAGUUUUUUGUCAUUUUUCUAACUUUUUGUUUUGUUUACACUUUUUUCUUUUAAUUUACAACGUCAUCAUUAAUUUACCUCUUUUUCCAUCAAUUUACUAGUUUUAUGUGUGGUUUACACAUUUUUUAUUUUAUUUCACACUUAAGUCAAUUUACAAAUUCUAUAUUAUUUUUCUAAGUUUUUGUUUUGUUUACAAGUUUUUCUUGUAAUUUCCAACUCCAACAUUAAUUUAUCAUUUUUUCCAUCAAUUUACUAGUUUUAUGCGUAGUUUACAAAUUUUUUGUUUUAUUUCCCACUUAAUGUCAAUUUAUAAGUUCCAUGUCAUUUUCUAAGUUUUUGUUUUGUUUACAAGUUCUUCUUACAAUUUACAACUCCAACAUUAAUUUACCCAUUUUUCCAUCAAUUUACUAGUUUUAUAUGUGGUUUACAAAUGUUUUAUUUCAUUUCACACUUAAUGUCAAUUUACAAGUUUUAUGUCAUUUUUUUAAGUUUUUAUUUUCUUUACAAGUUCUUCUUACAAUUUACAACUCAAACAUUAAUUGACCAUGUUUUCAAUUAAUUUACUAGUUAUAUGUGUGCUUUAAAAUAUUUUGUUACAUUUCACACUUAAUGUCAAUUUACAAGUUUUAUGUCGGUUUUCAAAAUUUUUGUUUUAUUUACACUUUUUUCUUGUAAUUUACAACUACAUCAUUAAUUUAUAUUUUUUCAUCAAUUUACUAGUUUUACGUGUGGUUUACAUUUCACAUUUAAUGUCAAUUUACAAGUUCUAUGAUAUUUUUCUAAAUUUUUGUCUUGUUUACAAGUUUUUUUUUCAAUUUACAACUCCAACAUUAAUUUACCAUUUUUCAUCAAUUUACUAGUUUUAUGUGUGGUUUACAAAUUUUUUGUUUCGUUUCACACUUAAUGUCAAUUUACAAGUUCUAUAUCAUUUUUCUAAGUUUUUGUUUUGUUUACAGGCUCUUCUUGCAAUUUACAAUUCCAAUAUUAAUUUACCCUUUUUUUUAUCAAUACACUAGUUUUAUAUUUGGUUUAUAAAUUUUUUGUUUUGUUUCAUACUUAAUGUCAAUUUGCAAGUUCUACGUUAUUUUUCUAAGUUUUUGUUUUGUUUACAAGUUUUUCUUGCAAUUAACAACUCCAACAUUAAUUUACCAAUUUUUUCAUCAAUUUACUAGUUUUAUGUGUGGUUUACAAAUUUUUUAUUUCGUUUCACACUUAAUAUCAAUAUACAAGUUAUAUGUCAUUUUUCUAAGUUUUUGUUUUCUUUACAAGCUCUUCUUGCAAUUUACAAGUCCAACAUUAAUUUACAUAUUUUUUCAUCAAUUUACUAGUUUUAUGUGUGGUUUACACAUUUUUUGUUUCACUUCAUACUGAAUGUCAAUUUACAAUUUCUAUGUCAUUUUUCUAAGUUUUUAUUUUGUUUACAAGUUUUUCUUACAAUUUACAAUUCCAACAUUAAUUUACCUCAUUUUCCAUCAAUUUACUAGUUUUAUGUGUGCUUUACACAUUUUUUUUGUUUUAUUUUAGAUUUAAUGUCAAUUUACAAGUUUUAUUUCUUUUUUCUAAGUUUUUGUUUUGUUUACAAUUUUUUUUUUGGUAAUUUACAACUCUAACAUUAAUUUACCUAUUUUUCCAUUAAUUUACUAGUCUUAUGUGUGGUUUACACAUUUCUUGUUUUAAUUUAUAGUUAAUGUAAUCUACAAAUUUUGUGUCAUUUUUCUAAAUUUUUGUUUUGUUUACAAGUUCUUCUUGCAAUUUACAACUCCAAUAUUAACUUACCAUUUUUUCUAUCAAUUUACUAGUUUUAUAUUUGGUUUACAAAUUUUUUGUUUCGUUUCACACUUAAUGUCAAUUUACAAGUUCUAUGUUAUUUUUCUAAUUUUUUUUGUUUACAAGUUAUUAUUGCAAUUUACAACUUCAAUAUUAAUUUACCCAUUUUUCUAUCAAUUUACUAGUUUUACGUGUGGUUUACAAAUUUUUUAUUUCAUUUCACACUUAAUAUCAAUUUAUAAGUUAUAUGUCAUUUUUCUAAGUUUUUGUUAUCUUGACAAGUUCUUCUGCAAUUUGCAACUCCAAUAUUAAUUUACCUCAUUUUUCAUCAAUUUACUAGUUUUAUGGGUGGGUCACAAAUUUUUUAUUUUGUUUCACACUUAAUGUCAAUUUACAAGUUCUAUGUCAUCUUAAAAAUUUUUGUUUUGUUUACAAGUUCUUCUUGUACUAUACAACUCCAACAUCAAUUUACCCAUUUUUCUAUUAAUUUACUAGUUUUAUGUGUGCUUUACACAUUUUUUGUUUCAUUUCACACUUAAUGUCAAUUUACAAGUUUUAUGUCAUUUUUAUAAGUUUUUGUUUUCUUUACAAGUUCUUCUUACAAUUUACAACUACAACAUUAAUUUACCCAUUUUUUCAUCAAUUUACUAGUUUUAUAUGUGAUUUAUAAAUUUUUUGUUUCAUUUCACACUUAAUGUCAAUGUACAAGUUCUUUGUCAUUUUUCUAAGUUUUUGUUUUGUUUACAAGUUAUUCUUGCAAUUUACAACUCCAAUAUUAAUUUACCCAUUUCUCUAUCAAUUUACAAGUUUUAUAUUUGGUUUACAAAUUUUUUGUUUCGUUUCACACUUAAUGUCAAUUUACAAGUUCUAUGUCAUUUUUGUAAGUUUUUGUUUUGUUUAUAAGUUCUUCUUGUAAUUUACAGCUCCAAUAUUAAUUUACCUAUUUUUCUAUUAAUUUACUAGUUUUAUGUGUGGUUUACAACGCCAACAUUAAUUUGCUCACUUUUCUAUCAAUUUAUUAGUUUUAUCCGUUGUUUACAAAAUUUUAGUUUCAUUCCACACUUUGUGGUAAUUUACAAGAUUUUAAUCAUUUUUCUUAGUUUUUGUUUUGUUUAUAAUGCCUAAGAGUAAUUUACUAUUCGAACAUUAAUUUACCCCGUUUUCCUUCAAGUUACUAGUCAUAUGUGUGGUUCAUAAAUUUUUUGUUUCGUCUUACUCUUAAUAUUAGUUUACUAAUUUUAUGUCAUUUUUAUAAAAAAAUUUUGUUUACAAUUUCUUAUUGUAAUUUACAACUCCCACAUUAAUUUACCCUUUUUUCUAUCAAUUUACUAAUCUUAUGUGUGAUUUACAAAAUUUCUGUUUCAUUUCAUACUCAAUGUCAAUUUAGAAGUUUUAUGUUAAUUUUCUAAGUUUUUGUUUUGUUUACAAUCUGAAAGAGUAAUUUAUCACUCUAACAUUAAUUUACCCAUUUUCUCUUCAAUUUACUAGUUAUAUGUGUGAUUUACAAUUUGUUAAUCACAUUUCACAUUUAAUGUCAAUUUACAAAUUUUAUGUUAUUUUUCAAAAUUUUAAUUUUUUAUUACAAUUUUGAUGAUCAAUUUACCUCUUACCCCCUUGUCCUUCAAUCUACUAGUUCUAUGUGUGAUUUAGAAAUAUUUUAUUUUAUUUCACAGUUAAUCAUUAUUUUCAUUUAUUAAUUUAGUUUGCUUGACCCAACCCAAAUCCAAUGUAAAAUUGGCUAGAGUAUCGAACUAUUGGCAUCCUUUUGAAAGUCUUUCAAAGCAUAUUUGUGUAUUUUAUAAUUUUCGAUGGUGUUAGAUUAAAAUGAUAGUAAUAAAUUUAUAGUAAGUAUGAAUUUGACUGAUAAAUUCAUGAUGGAUCUAUAGUAAGUACGUUCACAAGUUAAUUUUUAUUUUUAUUUAUCUAAAGUAGGUAGGUACCAUUAUUUAUCUAAUAUAGACAUGUAUUUGCCCUAUAUAUGAUAGAUUUGGAAAAAAAAAAUCAAAUCAUACAAACUCUUGUACAAAAUUGUUUUCUACAAACCUAUUCAACAUAAUUUAUUUGUUUAGAUUAAUUAGCUCUUGACUCACAUUAUUUAUUUUUAUUAUUUUUUUAAUUUCAUUCAACCAAUGAAUUUAUACCACACCAAUUUGUAUAAAAAUAAUAACUACUUAUUUAAUUAAAAAAUAAAACCUAAAAACAUGGCAUUACUACUUACUGAUAAACUAAUAAGUUGAAAUGUAGUUACACCGACACCCUAUUAUAUCAUCCAAUAAUAAUAUUAAAAAAAAGAACUAAAAUAAGUAAAAUGGUUAUUCGGUUUUUAUUAUCCGAUUGAAUGACUAUCAAAUUAUAGGCUGCAUCCAUCGUAUGGGAGGAGAAUGAGGGAUACAUCCUCGUACACUACUAAUAUUUUGUAUAUGCUCUUCCCGUCAGAAUACUUAAGGGAUCUUGUCCCCUCCCCAAAUAAUAUUCAAGGGAUCCCCAAAUACUCUCGAAUGACCGAUACGUUUUAGUCUCUAAAUUGAUUUAAUCACAUUAAAAUAAAUUUUUUUUAAUAAACAUAAAGUUUGACAAUAUAUCUUAGCAAAGUUUGGAUGUUAUAGUUUUAGCCUUUUUUUAAUUAGAUAAAUGUCUAAAACAAAAAUCUUGGGCCAAGUCCUUUUGAAUAAGACUUGAUCAAAUAGUAAUUCAGGACACAACUAGUUAACUAAGCCCGAAAGUUUCAUAGUAUAUUUGUAUAAAUAUUUUGAUAUUUGUUAUUUAUACUGAUAUUUAAUAUUUAAUUAUUUAAAAUUUAUUGGUUAAAUAAUUAAUAAUUCUAAAAAAUAAAAAUAAAUUUAAAAAUUAAAAUGGGUAAGUGGGGAAUGAGGGAGGGGAUGAAGAUUCCAGCUCAUACCUAUCCCUUCCCCUAAAAAUAAAUUGGGCAAAAAAUCGACCAUGUCCUUUUCCUUGAGAAAUUAGGUAUAAAAUCAUAAAUUUAAAAUUGAACUAAAAAUCAUAAAUCUGAACCCCAAAAAAUCAUAACCAUAUGUGGUUCUAUAUAUUUUACACCCACACACACACAAAAGUCCCCAUUAAGUCAAAAUAUAACGAUCAAUCCCAUUUAUUUUGAACAUACUUAUCAAGGCCCAAAAUUAUGAAAUCAACCUAUUCCUUAUGUCCGGUUUUGCCUGUUAAGUAUAAUUGUAAGUGUUAAAAUAGUAAGAGCAAUUUUUUUUUUCACGUGCUCAUAUGUCUAGGAGUUAGAUUUCAGAUUAUUCUAAUCUGCUAUGAACUUUCUGGCCUGGGAUUGAUACAAACUGGGUUAAUAUUUCAAAUUUGAUUUAUAUUUUUUGUUUUAUUUCAAUUAUUAGCUUCUUUCUUUCUUUUUUUUUCCCCCACUAACUAGCUUUUUACCCAAAACAAAAUUUAGUUAAAUCACGAAUAGAAAGAAAACGAUUUUCUUUUUUCAAAUAACUAGAUUACUAAGGGCUUGUUCGAUAUUGUUCUUUAAUUGAUAUUUUCUAAACAUAAAAAUGAGAAUGAAAAUUAUGUUUUGCAAUUGCUGUAUUUUGAAUUUAAGUAUAAGUUUGGUAUUAUUUUCUAUAACCUAUAUUUUAAAACUGAAAAAAAAUAAUAUGUAUUCGGUAGACAUGAUUGAAAAUAAUUGAAACAGUGAAUAUGUAGUCGGUAGAACUAUCCUAUAAAAGCAAAAUUUUAGUAAAUAUAUUAUCUUAACAUUUAAAUAAAAUUAAUUUUUUUCCAUGUUAUAUGAUAAAAAAUUGUAAAAUUUUGAUCAUUCAAAAUUCUUUUUAACUAGUCAAACGAAGAAUCAUAAUGAACACAAGCAGAAUUUUAUACAAGAUUAAGUUAGAUUAUAAGAUUCAAUAUAGAUUUUAUAAAAGUAAGGGCAAAACAAAGUUAAGGAGAGCAUUGUUAGUCAUCACCGAGUUACUGAAUCCAAGAAAAAUUGAGAGCAACCAAAAGAAAAUUCGAGUUACUCAAUGGGUCACAUUGUAUAAAUGUUCAUAUUAAUCUUUCAUGAGCAGUCAUCCAUUCUUUUGCUUCUUGAUAUAUCACAUGGUCUAACUUGGAUACUUUUUGUUACUUUCAUCUCUGUACAAAUGCUCAAACAUCUGUUUAAUAAUCUCAUUAAUUUGAACAAAUAAAACUAGCUAGCUCCCUAAACACCCAUUGAGUUUGCAGUAUUUUCAUGUAGCAAUAGAACCAAAUUUUAUAGUAAUUUCUUAUUUUUUAAAAGUAAUAGUAAUUUCUUAUUUUUUAAAGCAAUAUCAUACAUGUUUAAUUACAUUGAUCUGAACUAAUCAAACGUAAGGUGAUUUGAGAAGAUAAAGGAAAAAAAAAGGAGUUUACGGAAGAAGAAGGAAAGAAGAGGAAGAAGAAAUGGCCAAAGAAGAUGAUGAAAAGAAGAAAGGACGAAGAAGAUGCAGUAUAAAAGAAUUGAAAGAAAGAUUUUUAUAUUGUUUAGUUUUUAUGUCUCGAAGUUUGUUCAGGGAAUUGUUUUGUAGGAUGAAGAAAACGUGUAUAAGAAAACGUGGAAAUCCUUUUUUUUCUUUAAAUUUAUACCCGUAAAAGUUUUAUUUUUUAAAACAGUAUUUAAGCGGCUUGUAACUGGUUAAAUAUAAUUUAAUUAAAUUUUUUAUUAUAUUAUAGUAAUUAUGAAUUAUUGAUCUAAUUUAAUGGCUCAAAAUAAUUACGGUAUUGAUGCCAUGAUUUUAAUUACGGUAUCAUAUAAUUUUCCUUAUUUAUGUUAUAAUUUAACUUUUUUUAUAAUAUACUAAUAAAUUUUAAAAAAUAGUGCACCAAUAUUAUUUUAGUUCUUUACUAAUAAUAGUAAUUAGUGUUUUAACGAAUAUAAAAUUACUAUAAUUAUAUAUUAUCUAUAAUUUAUGUGGAUAAAUCAUCCAACAAUAUAAUUAACUAAUGCUUUAAAUGAUAUAAACUCUAUAUUAUAAAUUAUACCCUUUUAAAACUAUUUUAGUUGUUUAUGUUGUUGGUUAAAAUUAAUAAUAAUAAUAAUAAUUGUUACUUAAAUAAAAGCACCAGGUCGGCCAUGCUACUAUUUCCACCCUGGCAUGGAUCACUUCAGCCAAAUGGUACGAGCAGAACACGGGGACAAGUAUGAAUCGACCAGAGGCGAAUAUACCGACCAGAGGUAUUGCGGGAGACGCGAGAUCCCACGUUUACCCAUAAUGUAGCAGUUAGAGUCCCAUGAGGGGCUGCCACCACCCGAAAAAGGUGGGAUGCAGGGCAAACGGGAACGUGGGGACAGCGGCUAUAAAAGAAGAAGAAAUCGAUGAAGAAAAGGAUAGAAAAACUGAGAGAGGGGAAAACUCUGCCAAAUUAUAUCCAGAUAUUUUUCAUAUACCAAGAGUGAGCUAAUUGUAAGCAAUUAUUUGAACCUUAAUUACACCGUUUUCCCGUAAACACCUUGUGCUAACUUAGGCAUCGGAGGGUUUACGCCGGCAAAACCACCGGCGUCUCUGAUCCAUUUCUGUGAACGCAUGCUUAGUGAGAAAAAGAGGGACAACUCCAAUUUCACUAGCAGGAGCAAUCGUCGAAGCAAGAAGGAGUUGAUAUCUUCAUUAUUGAUAACGUGAACGUUGGUGUAAGUAUCUGGUCGGGCAAAGGGCGAGCAGAUUUCAGCAUCAACAAUAAUAAUAAUAAAAGACCAUUUAAAAUAUUUAGAUAUUGAAAAAGAUUUCAUUAAAUUAUUUUUUUAUUUUUUUAUUAUCACCAAAUUUUCAGACAAAUAACCAAAUAUAUUUGUAUUAUUUUCAUUUUUAUAUACUAUUUUAAAACAAUCAAUCAAAUACAUUUUCAAAUUCACUAAAAACUAAUCAUUCUUAUUUUAUAAAAUAAAUUCAAAAAUAUCAUUUGAAAAAAAAUACUAAACGCACCCUAAUAGUUUGAAUAUGGCGGAACACCAUUUUUCUAGCUCUAAAUUUUCUGUGGACUGCAAUUCAGGUUGCAUAUUGAAGCACGUGGGGCCUUGUAAAUACUGACAAUAAGACAAUGUGUUAUCAAUUUCUAUGAGUUUGCUGGUACCGCUCGAAAUUAUAUUUCAUGCUGAUACAUUGGGAUGCAAUGCUAAUUACGGUCGACAGAUGGCCGACAAGUAUUCAUUUCUUUUUCUUUUUUUUUUUGUUAUUCACAAAACAACCGCUCAAGUCAAAUCAAAAGUGGAAAAAGAUUUCCACGUCUAAAGCAAAAGCCAGAUAGAUAAUUACAUACGACAAAAAUCAUGUUGUAAUAUGUAUAUAUGUAUAGGUUUUGGCAAGAUGACAAUUCGUACGGUGAUAAACAUGCUUGAUCUUAUCUGAUCGAUAAUUGCGAUUGUGUUUUCGCCGCGUAAUAUGACUUAAUGACAAGGCAACUUCCGAUUUGCUAGAGAUUUGACGGGCUAUGGUCAUCAUGCGCCACUUAUCACAAUUACGAGAAUUGAUUUGGAUGAGAGCAACUUUAUAGAAUUAUUAGUUUUUGGGGGCGACUUUAUAGAAUUAUUAAACAACCAGAAUAAUACUUUGAAAAAGUAAGAUAAAAGUCAAGUAAUUAAUCGGAUCAAUCUUUUGGGGGCGGAAAAAAUAAAGUAAAUGUUUGAUGUGACUGAAAAGAAUAAUGAUAUGUGACCCCUAAAUAUAUUUCAACCGCUCACCAAUUAAUUAUCUCUACUAAUUUCCAAAAGUACCCUUGUUCAUAUAAGUUUAAUUCUGCAGCUCCAAACUUAAUUUCAAGUUUAGUGUUGGCCAAAAAUGGUCUCGGAACUGAGAAUAUGACUUUUCAUAAUAUAAUGUAGUGAAAUAAUCAAUGCAAAUUGCAAACAAAACGCAGGGGAAAUAAAACCGCCGAAAAUAUUAGAAACCUUGGAGAAAGAUUGCUGAGACGUUGGAUUGUUAGUAUCGGUAUUGUCUUGGCAAGCAAACGCGCCAAUUUUCAAUCUUUACUUUAGAAAAUCAAUUGCUGUCGUGGGCGUUUGGCAGGGGAGGAAAUGAAGGAAAGUGGUGGAGAAUGAGAGAAGGGAGAGAGGAAAAAAUGGGCACUUUUUGAAAAUAAACAUUAUUUUACUAAGUAUAUUUUAAUAAUUAUUUUAGAUAUUUUAAGUUAAAAUGAGAAAAAUAGGGGUUAGUGAGAUAAGUUGUGGAGGUCAAAUAUCACUAUUCUCUUAAAAAAGAGUGAAGCUGUUGGCAGUACUUUGUAGUCUUUAUAAAAUCCCACCUCAAAAAAAAUUAUAGUGAAGGACAAAUAAGAAUAAAGCAUACAUAAGUCCCACCCCCCCCAACAAAAAAAAACAUAAUCAAUCCUUUUCUUUUUUUUAAUUUUCUACUUGUUUCUUCCUAUUUAGCUAAGAUAAAUUGUAAAAAUUUAGAACAAUCCAUUACUCUUUUCAUAUUUCUUAUUUAUUUAAUAUAUUUUAUGCUUAAAAUUGCUUUUCAAAUUAAAAUUUAGAAUAUGUGUAAUUUAAGCCAAUGAUAAACAUUGAAAAAUUUUAUCACCCAAAAAAUUUUUAAUUUGUGUGUCCGGUAACAAUAAGAUUACAAAAUAAAAGGAAAAUAGCAUAAUAAGACCUUAAGUUUUAACAAAAUAAAAAAUUAGAAGUGUAUUAAAAAAGAAGAAAUUUUUUAAAAUAAAAUAAAUAUAACUGAAAAAAAAUGGGGGUUUUAUGAGGAUAUUAGGGGGUGCCAAUAGUUCAACUUUCUUUAGAAAUCCAAAUUAUGCCCAAUGCCUAGGGCCUUGUACAGCCCGAAGGUAUGUAUUUUACUCAAUGGGCAAGCUAGUAUUUGGGGGUAUUUAUCUUCUAUCUAAUAAAAGUUCAAACAAACUUUGAAAAAUAAAUGGUUUCAAUACUACAUUACAAACUGUUCAAAGUCAUAUAUAUUAUCCGAUUCAAAUAAAANNNNNNNNNNNNNNNNNNNNNNNNNNNNNNNNNNNNNNNNNNNNNNNNNNNNNNNNNNNNNNNNNNNNNNNNNNNNNNNNNNNNNNNNNNNNNNNNNNNNNNNNNNNNNNNNNNNNNNNNNNNNNNNNNNNNNNNNNNNNNNNNNNNNNNNNNNNNNNNNNNNNNNNNNNNNNNNNNNNNNNNNNNNNNNNNNNNNNNNNNNNNNNNNNNNNNNNNNNNNNNNNNNNNNNNNNNNNNNNNNNNNNNNNNNNNNNNNNNNNNNNNNNNNNNNNNNNNNNNNNNNNNNNNNNNNNNNNNNNNNNNNNNNNNNNNNNNNNNNNNNNNNNNNNNNNNNNNNNNNNNNNNNNNNNNNNNNNNNNNNNNNNNNNNNNNNNNNNNNNNNNNNNNNNNNNNNNNNNNNNNNNNNNNNNNNNNNNNNNNNNNNNNNNNNNNNNNNNNNNNNNNNNNNNNNNNNNNNNNNNNNNNNNNNNNNNNNNNNNNNNNNNNNNNNNNNNNNNNNNNNNNNNNNNNNNNNNNNNNNNNNNNNNNNNNNNNNNNNNNNNNNNNNNNNNNNNNNNNNNNNNNNNNNNNNNNNNNNNNNNNNNNNNNNNNNNNNNNNNNNNNNNNNNNNNNNNNNNNNNNNNNNNNNNNNNNNNNNNNNNNNNNNNNNNNNNNNNNNNNNNNNNNNNNNNNNNNNNNNNNNNNNNNNNNNNNNNNNNNNNNNNNNNNNNNNNNNNNNNNNNNNNNNNNNNNNNNNNNNNNNNNNNNNNNNNNNNNNNNNNNNNNNNNNNNNNNNNNNNNNNNNNNNNNNNNNNNNNNNNNNNNNNNNNNNNNNNNNNNNNNNNNNNNNNNNNNNNNNNNNNNNNNNNNNNNNNNNNNNNNNNNNNNNNNNNNNNNNNNNNNNNNNNNNNNNNNNNNNNNNNNNNNNNNNNNNNNNNNNNNNNNNNNNNNNNNNNNNNNNNNNNNNNNNNNNNNNNNNNNNNNNNNNNNNNNNNNNNNNNNNNNNNNNNNNNNNNNNNNNNNNNNNNNNNNNNNNNNNNNNNNNNNNNNUGCAGAUUUUAUUCUAAAUUAAAAUAAAUUAUUAAUGAAACUAAUAUACUAAUUAAAAUAAAAACGCAAUAAAUAAAAUGCAACAAAGUAAAUUAUCACGUCAAACUCAAGGAUAAAACCAAUAAGAAUAUAGAGUAGUUGAGUGAAUAAACUCUCCUAAUGGUCUUGACUAUUUUCUAAUGGUUGGCUCGGUUGCUGUAGGAUCUGCUACAGCACUGGGCAGAAUCCUUAUGCAUCCUCAGCCGUUGCAUAUUGGAUAUCUUAUAUCUAUAUGUAACUUAAUAGUGAUAAGUUCUUAUGCCAACAUAAGAUAUAACAUUACACAUUUAGGUUCUAUUUACCCUACAAGGUGAAUCCCUGUGUCUAGUUCAUCACUAAUCGUAAAUCAAGCAUGGUCCUUUUGGGACUCAAGUAAAACUCAAUCUAGGAAACCCAAUUUAAGAUCAAGUAUUGCUUUGAUAUAUUCCACUAAGAUAGGCUCUUUUGUGACUCUUCCUUAGCUAGUAUCAUUAAAUAGGUGAUCAGCCGAAAUAAUGAAUAAAAAUAAAUUCGAUCAAAACAAAAUGCUACAGCAAACAUGCAGCAACUCAUAUUUUCAGUCAAUAAACCAUCAAUAUUAUUUAUUACUCAACUAAAAAUAAAUUUAUUUCAUGGUUUGCAAAAGAAAAAUAAAGAACAAAGUUUUAGCCAUGAAACACAUUCUCAUGAAUAAAUAGAAAACAAGAAAACAAGAAAAGAACAAGAGGCCUGGAGUUUCUUGAUUGAUUUCUGCAAAUUNNNNNNNNNNNNNNNNNNNNNNNNNNNNNNNNNNNNNNNNNNNNNNNNNNNNNNNNNNNNNNNNNNNNNNNNNNNNNNNNNNNNNNNNNNNNNNNNNNNNNNNNNNNNNNNNNNNGCUGAAAAUUAGGGUAAACGGAAGCCUAGGGCGCCAAUAAGUCAGAUUAGAAAACUGUAAAUCGCAAUUCUGUAUACCGCUGCACUCCGGCCUCCAGCUUGCUCAUGUCCAGCUCGGGAUAUUCUUCCUUAAGCACAGACAUGAUGCACUUAUAGGAGAAAGCAACCCCAGAAUCAUACUCGGCAUCCAGCCGAUCGUCCACAUCAGUGGAUUUGCCUUUCUCCUCAGCCAGCUGCUCACCCAAGGAUUUGAUUUUCCCCUCAAGGGCGGUUCUCAGAGUAUCCCUUUCACUUUGAGUAGCCUGAAGAUCAGAUCUCAGGUCACCCAACUCACCCUCAAGUUUGGAGGAAGUGGACUCAGCAACCGCAACUUUCUCCUCUAGCUCCGUAAUCUGCUUGUUCAGCUCGGCCAGCUUCUCCUUGGAGCGAUCAGCAGAUUCAGCUUUCUUCUUUAAUUCCUGAUUGUCAGCUUGAAGCUUCCUCUCAUGGCGCGCGGACCCGAUCUUGUAGCACGAAACCAUGGUGGCCAGCCUGAAGGAUACUCUUUGAACAGAAGCAGCUAACUCGGAGAGGUUCAUACUCUCGAUGUCUUUCACCAUCUUGGGCCCCACCGAUUUUUUGUAAUCCUUCUGAUAUGGGCUCAGGUAGUCACCUUGAUCCCGAGAUGGUAGAGAAGAAGAUCGGUCCCCAGACUGGAAACUGACCUCAGGACUCUUGUCAGAAGUUUUCUCCCCACCACUCUUACGGGGUGGGGGAGGGGGCAGAGCAGGAACAGGAGCCUUGGAAGGGCCGACGCUGGUUUUCUUUGGAGGAGGAGGAGGGUUGCUGGAGCUGCUUGGAGCCCGACCAUGCUUCCUGCUCAUCGUGCUGAGGAUCUUGUUAUCCAUUCCAGCAGCAAUAUCUACCAAGCUCGAACAACCAAGUUUGUUGGCGACAAGAGGUCUUGGCAAGUAGACGCGUUCACCAGAGCAGUUUCCACCUGAAGCAAAGGUCGGUCUUCAAGAUCCUUAAUAAAACCCCACGAUUCUAAAAAAAUAAACAAGGUUAAAGAACCCGAUAAGUGGCAAUUGGAGAAAAAACACAGGUAAAAAAUGAACGACCUAGGGUGACAAAAUGCGUUAGAAGGUAAAUAUCACCACCCAACGAAUGGGCCGUUGGACACCAAUUUCCUCCAGCAAAUAAGAAUUUGUUCUUCUAAUUUUUGCACGAGGAGGGGAAGCCGGUGAUUGGCUUCCUCUUCGCAGAGCUCGACAUAAAAUAAUACCAGCCUGCUUCCUUUAGGCUACUCCUCAGCUGGUAUAAAUGCUUUACUUUAACAUGGGAGGGCUCCUCUGAUCCACACCUCUCCCAUAAUAUGAACAUAGCCGAGAGAACCCUCCACCCAUUUGGAUGUAAUUGACCUGGGGCCAUAUGCAUAUCCCCCAGUAUCUUGGCAAAAUAACACUGAAGGGGCAGCCGAGCUCCUAGUCUGAAACUCUCUAAGUGCAUUGUCACAUACCCCCGCGGAGGCCGACUAGGAACAUCACCCUUCCUAGGGACUACAAGGAUAACCUCCUCAGGAAUGUCAUAGAGAUUCCUAAGCUUGAACAUAUCAGUUUGGGUGGUGGCACAGGCUAUGUAAUCGAUUGGAUAAGAAUCUGCCUCCACCCUAUGGCCAAGGUGUCUUUUCUGAGGAAGUCGGGUCGGCUCGGAACUGCUUCCCUCACCAUCACCCACUUCUUCAGGGACCCCUACCCCACCAGAAUUGUGGUUCUCACCAGAGCCCGACGCAGGUCCACCUCCAUUCCCUACAAGCUCUAGUUCGGGGGAGGGAGAAACAGCCAAAGGGUGUGAGUACUCAAGGGUAUCCCUGCCAUGGGAAGGGCCUACACUACCCGAGGGACGUAAGAAAUCGGUGGGUAUCGACAAGUUAAGGUCUGAAUCCCCUGCUUCUUCGUCACUCUCAUCGACAAUUAACCUCAUUUUCUGAUUUGACAUGUCGGAAUCCCAAAAGAAUACAAAGAAAACUCGAGUAUAGGGACACAAAAAGGGCAACACAAAACCCAAUCAACAACAACCAGAGGAGAAGUUAAAAGCAAUACCUGGAUUGAACUGGCACUGAUAGCGCGGCCGUGACAGAAGAAAAACCCAGCGAGUGGAUACUCCGGAUGCGAGAAGUGUGAGCAAAGUUCAAGAAGGGGGUUGGUUGGCGACGGAGAGACGAAUGGCAAAACGAUGAUGAUUUAAGUCUAGGGAUUUGAAACGAAAAGGGGGAAAUGAAAACAUUUAAGUGAUGAGGAUGCCAGCUCAUUCACCGAAUAUAGAGGACAGAUAACCCGUCGUUUCAAAUUUCAAAUACGAAGAGUCUGGAGAUGCCACGUCACUAACCGUUACCAAAGACCAGGUUAGAUGCAAGCCCAGAUAUGCAAUGGACAUGAUUAUCUAGGCCCAUGCCCAGGUCGGAUUCUCCCCAGAAGAAAAAAUGGUACCUCAGGUCUGUCCUGGUAAACAGAAGACCAGAUGAGAAGCCCCCGGGUUGGCAAGAGUUGACUAUCAGUUUCUACUCUUAACUCAUUUCACUCGCAAGACCAGAAACUGGGGAACUGGUGUUACGUAAAUAAAAGCACCAUGUCGACCAUGCUACUAUUUCCACCCCGGCAUGGAUCAAUUCAGCCAAAUGGUACGAGCAGAACACGGGGACAAGUAUGAACCGACCAGAGGUGAAUAUACCGACCAGAGGUAUAUACCAAGCCAAUACCCGUCCCCCAAAAAAGUGGGAACACGAUCCCACAGAAUCACGGUAGUUACGCUUUUCCCAGAACCAUUGCGGGAGACGCGAGAUCCCACGUUUACCCAUAAUGUAGCAGUUAGAGUCCCAUGAGGGGCUGCCACCACCCGAAAAAGGUGGGAUGCAGGGCAAACGNNNNNNNNNNNNNNNNNNNNNNNNNNNNNNNNNNNNNNNNNNNNNNNNNNNNNNNNNNNNNNNNNNNNNNNNNNNNNNNNNNNNNNNNNNNNNNNNNNNNNNNNNNNNNNNNNNNNNNNNNNNNNNNNNNNNNNNNNNNNNNNNNNNNNNNNNNNNNNNNNNNNNNNNNNNNNNNNNNNNNNNNNNNNNNNNNNNNNNNNNNNNNNNNNNNNNNNNNNNNNNNNNNNNNNNNNNNNNNNNNNNNNNNNNNNNNNNNNNNNNNNNNNNNNNNNNNNNNNNNNNNNNNNNNNNNNNNNNNNNNNNNNNNNNNNNNNNNNNNNNNNNNNNNNNNNNNNNNNNNNNNNNNNNNNNNNNNNNNNNNNNNNNNNNNNNNNNNNNNNNNNNNNNNNNNNNNNNNNNNNNNNNNNNNNNNNNNNNNNNNNNNNNNNNNNNNNNNNNNNNNNNNNNNNNNNNNNNNNNNNNNNNNNNNNNNNNNNNNNNNNNNNNNNNNNNNNNNNNNNNNNNNNNNNNNNNNNNNNNNNNNNNNNNNNNNNNNNNNNNNNNNNNNNNNNNNNNNNNNNNNNNNNNNNNNNNNNNNNNNNNNNNNNNNNNNNNNNNNNNNNNNNNNNNNNNNNNNNNNNNNNNNNNNNNNNNNNNNNNNNNNNNNNNNNNNNNNNNNNNNNNNNNNNNNNNNNNNNNNNNNNNNNNNNNNNNNNNNNNNNNNNNNNNNNNNNNNNNNNNNNNNNNNNNNNNNNNNNNNNNNNNNNNNNNNNNNNNNNNNNNNNNNNNNNNNNNNNNNNNNNNNNNNNNNNNNNNNNNNNNNNNNNNNNNNNNNNNNNNNNNNNNNNNNNNNNNNNNNNNNNNNNNNNNNNNNNNNNNNNNNNNNNNNNNNNNNNNNNNNNNNNNNNNNNNNNNNNNNNNNNNNNNNNNNNNNNNNNNNNNNNNNNNNNNNNNNNNNNNNNNNNNNNNNNNNNNNNNNNNNNNNNNNNNNNNNNNNNNNNNNNNNNNNNNNNNNNNNNNNNNNNNNNNNNNNNNNNNNNNNNNNNNNNNNNNNNNNNNNNNNNNNNNNNNNNNNNNNNNNNNNNNNNNNNNNNNNNNNNNNNNNNNNNNNNNNNNNNNNNNNNNNNNNNNNNNNNNNNNNNNNNNNNNNNNNNNNNNNNNNNNNNNNNNNNNNNNNNNNNNNNNNNNNNNNNNNNNNNNNNNNNNNNNNNNNNNNNNNNNNNNNNNNNNNNNNNNNNNNNNNNNNNNNNNNNNNNNNNNNNNNNNNNNNNNNNNNNNNNNNNNNNNNNNNNNNNNNNNNNNNNNNNNNNNNNNNNNNNNNNNNNNNNNNNNNNNNNNNNNNNNNNNNNNNNNNNNNNNNNNNNNNNNNNNNNNNNNNNNNNNNNNNNNNNNNNNNNNNNNNNNNNNNNNNNNNNNNNNNNNNNNNNNNNNNNNNNNNNNNNNNNNNNNNNNNNNNNNNNNNNNNNNNNNNNNNNNNNNNNNNNNNNNNNNNNNNNNNNNNNNNNNNNNNNNNNNNNNNNNNNNNNNNNNNNNNNNNNNNNNNNNNNNNNNNNNNNNNNNNNNNNNNNNNNNNNNNNNNNNNNNNNNNNNNNNNNNNNNNNNNNNNNNNNNNNNNNNNNNNNNNNNNNNNNNNNNNNNNNNNNNNNNNNNNNNNNNNNNNNNNNNNNNNNNNNNNNNNNNNNNNNNNNNNNNNNNNNNNNNNNNNNNNNNNNNNNNNNNNNNNNNNNNNNNNNNNNNNNNNNNNNNNNNNNNNNNNNNNNNNNNNNNNNNNNNNNNNNNNNNNNNNNNNNNNNNNNNNNNNNNNNNNNNNNNNNNNNNNNNNNNNNNNNNNNNNNNNNNNNNNNNNNNNNNNNNNNNNNNNNNNNNNNNNNNNNNNNNNNNNNNNNNNNNNNNNNNNNNNNNNNNNNNNNNNNNNNNNNNNNNNNNNNNNNNNNNNNNNNNNNNNNNNNNNNNNNNNNNNNNNNNNNNNNNNNNNNNNNNNNNNNNNNNNNNNNNNNNNNNNNNNNNNNNNNNNNNNNNNNNNNNNNNNNNNNNNNNNNNNNNNNNNNNNNNNNNNNNNNNNNNNNNNNNNNNNNNNNNNNNNNNNNNNNNNNNNNNNNNNNNNNNNNNNNNNNNNNNNNNNNNNNNNNNNNNNNNNNNNNNNNNNNNNNNNNNNNNNNNNNNNNNNNNNNNNNNNNNNNNNNNNNNNNNNNNNNNNNNNNNNNNNNNNNNNNNNNNNNNNNNNNNNNNNNNNNNNNNNNNNNNNNNNNNNNNNNNNNNNNNNNNNNNNNNNNNNNNNNNNNNNNNNNNAAAUAGCCAAUAAUUUUGAUUUUUUUUUUAGUUAUUUCCGUCUACAAAUUAUUGUUAAGGGUAAUAUUGUCUUUGCACAGUCAACUAACGGUCAAUGUUAAAAUUAACUGACGGUAGGGGGUUUUCUUACAAAUAAAUCAAUUCUCGCCAUCUACUUGCAACAAGCCCAAACUUUAUGGGAGGUUUUUAAAAAUUAUCCAUGUUAAAAAGCUAAAACUAAAUGUUUCUUUAACUUUUUGGAAAUUUGAGCCAAUUACUUAGGGUGCAUUCACGGCAGCGGCACAAUACUCGACCACUUAUAUUUUCACUUAAAUCCAAACGCACCAUUAGUUGGCCCUUGUGGUUAAAAUCAUCUUUAUUACAUAUCUAUUUCAUUUAAAAGCUACUUAGUAACUCUUUACUUUACUUGCUGCAUGUUGGAUUUGAUUUAAAUGUUAAGUUACAUAUCUUAGUUUAAAAUUAUUUUUUAGCCUUGAGAAGUUGGAUCCAACAAUUAUGUUUUGAGUAAUUUUUAAAUUUAGAGUUUUAUCUGAAUUAUUGACCAAUGCGCUAGUGCCUAAAUAAAAAUUUACCCGAAAGAUAAAAAUAAAUUACAAAUAUCAAUUUCUUUUUUAUAAAGUAAAAUUGAAAUAUACAUCUUGUUAAAGGAAAGAAAGCUCUGUGAAUUUAGAUAGAUUUCUUUAGCUUAUCUUUUAAACAUGUGUAUUUAUAUCAUUACAUAGUUAAGAUUCUUAUUACCAAGAAAAUCACAUCAACACUUGAUCAAAAUUUUAUUUAUCAAAUACUAAGAAGAUAUUAGAUAUCUACUUUUAUAACAAGUGAAAUCUACCUUCAAUUUAUGCUUUACAAAGGGUUAAAGGAAAAUUACCAUUUUCCCUCCUCCAGCAGAUGGUAAAGGGAAAAAGACAAUUAUACCACUAAAGUUUGGAAAAAUAGUUAUCAACACUCCAAGUUUUCAAAAAGGAAUACCAAGAUCCCAUUUUAACCAUAAUGCCCUUUAUCUCCAUUAUCUUCAAAAAAUUAACUCUAAUGUUUUAUAAUAAAUAGGAAUAUAACAUUAAAAUAAAUGUAAUAAUAUGUACAUUUUAAAAAAAUUAAUGUCUAAAAAUAUUUAAUAUUUUACAAUCUACUAGAUAUAUUUUGUUAUGUUAAUGUAAAUUUUAUAAUAAAUAGAAUCAUAAUAUUAAAAUAAAUGUAUUAAAAUUUAAAUUAUCUUGAAUAUUAUGUAAAAUGAUAAUUUCAAUGUUAUUAGUAUGUGAGUUUUUUUUACUUGUAAAAUGUAUUUAAUACAAAUAUUUAUUUAAAAUCUAUAACAAAUAAAAAUAUAUUAUUAAAAUAAAUAUAAUAAUUUACAUAUUAAAAUUUAUUAAAAUAUUCUAAUAUUGUUAGUCUUUUGCAUAGAUUACACUAUUUAUAUAAUAUUAGCAUUUAUAAAAAAAAAUUUAAAGUCAUUUUUUUGGGAUAAUAGAGGUAAAGGACAUAAUGAUCAAAAGAAGCUCUUGGUGUCCUUUUUUAGAAACUUGGGGGUGUUGAUGAAGGGUGCAUAUAUCAUUUCUGUGGUAAAAAGACAAAAAUAGUACAAUACUUUGAAAUCUACCAUUUUUAUAAACUAAGGUGGCGUUUAUUUUUUAACUUAAUGACUUAAAGUGACUUAACUUAAUUAAUUAAGUUAAUUAGAGGUGUUUAAUUAAGUUAAUUAGAGGUGUUUGAUUUUAUAACUUAAUGAGACUUUUUAGAUAAUUUUAACUUAAUAAUUACUUAAUGGAGAAACCUUAAUUAAAUCAAUUACUUGCUAAUGUCAAAAAUAUCUCUGCUUUAUAAUUUAUUUUUCAUGUCUAUUCCAAAACUUACCCAUAGACAAUUACCCAACAUAAUAAUCUCAUCAUUAGUUUACUUAUAAAUGUUAAAAUAUUGUGGUAUUUAAUAUAUUAUUUAUUUGACAUUCAAAUUUAAUAAGGAUACAAAUGUAAAAGUACAUAUUUUCAGUUUUUUAAGUUGAAAAAAAAAACAACUUAAUACUUAUUUUCUGAGAUUCAGACGAAAAAAUAAACAUAUUAUUUAGAUUCAGAUAUUCAAAUCUAUUCAGAAUUCAGACUAAUUCAGAUCUAUUCAGAUUUCAGAUAAAAAAACAAACGCCACUUAAAUUUGUAAAAUACUAUUUUUACACUUUGAUGUUAACAAGGAAUCCGUUAGUGAAUUUGUUUGAAAAGAUGUUUUUAUCCUUGAAAUGUAAUUUAAUAUUUUGAAGUAGAAUAUUUUUAGGAAAUGAAGUCAAAUUCGGAUGUAUAACAAAUAUAUAUAUAAAGCUCUUAAUGAGAGGAACAAAAAUCUAAGUAAAUAUUUUACCACGUUCUAUUGUUUGUGGGGAAAAUGACACCUGUAUCUCCAAGACCCUCGGGUUUUCAAUAAAGGAUGCCAAGAUCCCUUGUUGACUAUAAUACACUUUAGCUUUAUUUACUCAAAAAAAAUGACUCCAAUUUUUUAGAGUAAAUGCAAAUAUAAUAUUAAAAUAAAUGUAACAAUAUAUACUUUUUAAAAUAAUUUCUAUAUUUAGAAAAUAUUUUAAUAUUUUACUAUCUUGUAUUGCAUUAAAAAAAAUAUAAUAAAUAGAAACAUAAAGUUAAAAUAAAUAUUUAAAUAUUUCAAUUGUUUUCAAGAUUAUAUAAAAUAAUUUUAAUAUUAUUAAUUUAUGAGAUUUAUUUCAUUAAUUGUAAAAUCUAUUUAACCAAGGGAUGUUUGGUUUAAAGAAAGGGGAAGAGAGGAAAAGAGUAGAAUGGAAGGAAAUGGAGAAGAAAUGAGUGAAGGAGAAUAGUGAAAUUAAAUUUCAUUAUUUGGUUUGACAUAAAAUUUGAUAGGAAAAAGAAUUACAAUUUUUUUCUCUGGACAAAUUUAUUCUUUGCCUUAAAUACGAUCUAUAUUAGCAAUGAAAUAUAAUUUAAUUUCAAUACCAAACUUUUUUAAUGUCAAAAAGUCCUAAAAUAAUUCAUGAUUUAUUAGAAUUAUAUAUAUAUAACGGAGGUCCAGCGGCAAUCGAUGACGUUUCGACGGAAAUCAGUGGCGGUCGACGGCAUUCCAGUAGUGGUUUGGCAGAGUUCCGGUGAAAGUCUGGCAGAUGUUCGGUGACGGUUUGUCGGAGUUCCGGCGGCGGUUAAUUUAUAUUUCUAUAUUUUCAUAUUAAAUAAAUAAAUAAGUUUAUUUAUUUUGUUAAGUUUCUUAAAUCAUUCAUUAAAUUUAAUUAAUAUAAAAUUAUUUAUAACAUUAAAUUGAUGAUAUAAAAUUAUAAAUAAUAAUUACUAAGGGUAUUAAAUAAGCUAAAAAGUUGAAGGUAAUUUUGGAAGUUUUGGUUUCUAAUAUAAGAGGAAUUUAAAUUCUUCACUCUUUAGUGUGGAAAUCAAAUUAUACAUUAAUUCUUAUAUAUUUUGUCUAACUAAACAAUGAAAAUAAAAAUAGAACUUAAAUUACUUUCCUCUCCUCCAUUCUCUGCUCCCAACCAAACAACACCUAAAGAUUUAUUUAAAAUUUUUGUAAUAAAUACAGAUAAAUUAUUAAAAUAAAUAUAAUAAUUUGUAUGCUAAAGUUAUUUUUAUAUAUUAUAAAAUAUUCUAAUAUUCUAUUAGAUAAAUUAGAUUAUUUAAAUUAUAUUUGUCUUUAUUAGAAAAAUCUAAAAACCAAUUUUUUUAGUUACCAUUCACAAAGGAUAUUAUAGUCAAAAGAGGAUUUUGGUGUCCCUUAUUGAAUUCUUGAGGGUACAUAACUAUUUUCCCAAACUUAAAGUGUAAGUGUUCUUUUUCCUUGUUUGUGCCUCAAAAACUUAUUUGAAUAUUUAAAAAAGACUUCUAAUAGAUUUUUGAUGCAAUAAAUGACAAAAUUUGGCAUACAUUUCUAAUUAGUUCUAUUCCUCACGUUGACUGCAGUAACUUACUCAAACAGCUCUCUGAAAGAUAACAAAAUGAAUAGUCCUUCGUGACUGCAGUCUUCUUUCUUCUCCUUGCCUUUGCCACAAAACCGCUUGUGGGAUUCGCUGAUCCUUUGGUUGAUGUCAAUGGCAACAAGGUCGAAGCAUCCCGAGACUACUAUUUGGUCUCAGCAAUUCGAGGAGCAGGCGGCGGCGGCCUCACCCUCUUCAGGGGCAGAAACGAACUCUGCCCACUUGAUGUUGUCCAACUAAGUUCCGACUUACAAAAAGGAACCCGUUUAAGAUUCGCAACGUAUGACAACACUAGUAUUAUCAAUGAAGAAGUGGAUCUGAACGUGAGAUUCUCGACAGAGACUCGCUGCAACGAACCCACAGUAUGGAGAGUCGACAGCUAUGAUGCAUCGAGAGGAAAAUCAUUUAUAUCAACUGGUGGUGUUGAAGGAAACCCUGGAGCUCAAGCUUUGAAAAACUGGUUUAAGUUUGAGAGAAUUGGAAGAGAUCAAGGUGAGUAAUAGGGUAAAAAUACCAAUAUUUCUUGAUUUAAGUACCUAUUUAAUUCUUAUAUUUUAAAAAAUACCUCAAAAACUUAUAAUGAAAAUUUUACAUUACAUUCUUAUCCUUUUUUUUUUCUUUUCUUUUAAUGAAAUAACUUAAUUUGAUAUAUUAUAAUUUAUUUAUUGAUAUCCCAAAAAUAUUAUUGUAAAAAUAUUAUUGUAAAAAGAAAGUAAGGAUGGAAUUGUGGCUUAUUUAACAAUAAAAGUGUCUUGAGAUUUUUUUUUAAAUAUAGAGAUCAAAUAAAUAUUUAACUCAAAAUAUAAGCAAUAAAUAAAUAUUUACCCUAAGUAAUAAUGAUAACGGAACACAAAAUUUGAAGAGACAAAUAAUGACAAAAUACGACAAAAUUAACCAUCUCACUUAUCUUGUAUUGAUUUUUUUUUUUAACUGACUUUACAAAAUUGUAUAUUAAUGUAUCCUUGCUCUUUCAUUUUGAAAAAAAAAAAAAUGAAAUACUUCAAUGUUCAAUCAACCAUGACAAUAUUCAUAGGCAUAUUCAUGUGACUAAGUUGAAAAAUUAAUAUUCAUUCAAGUGAUAGGCUUAAGCAUUACAAUUAAAAAAAAGUUGUGACAAUCAGCUUAUUCAGAUAUCUGUACCCCACAGUCGUGGAUCUUAUCCCAACUAACAUGCUUUAAGACAAUGAACAAAACCGUGUAGUUAAACACAUUUCAAUUGUCUUGAACCAAACCGUGAAACAGAUAUCAAUUGUCUUGAUGCAAAUAAUUAUGAGUAAUAUCUUGCUAACAUUUUGGACCGCUUGUUAGUGAAUGCAACGUACAGGGUAUCUCCAAUUCUUAACUAGGAUUAAUAAGGGUAAAUAUAUUAGAAUAUAUAGUAUUUAAGUCAGAUCAUUCUUAAAUACUUUAUUUGAAUUUGCCUUGUUUUUUAUUUGUAUUUGAGUUUUUUUUUUCUAGUUAGUAUAGUUUUAUAUAUGUUUGACCAGUAACUUCUUUCUCGCUUAUUUUAUUAGAAUUUUUCUAUGAAUCUACUCGUGUUCAAAAGUUAGCUUAAAAUUUGAAAGUUUUAUAUUAUUAGUCCAGUAAUAGGGAUGGCAAAAAAAAAAUCAACUUGAUUUUAUCCCUAAUAAACUCUCCUGUUAUAUUUUUCAAAUACUCGGCAAUAUUCAUGCUCAGGCCUCACCUUAAAAGCUUGAUUCCAACCCGAAAGCUAGAAAAAUGCUUUACAAUAAAAAUACAUAUUUUUUUAUAAUUAGAGUACACAUUUUAAUAUUUAUAUACCCCACUAAUAAUAUAUAUUUAAAGUUGUAAAUCCUUUAACCCAACUUUUAAAUCCUAAUCUAAUAAAAACAAAAUUUUAUAGACUACCAAGCUGUUUACAAAUUAAAUUUUAUUUUUAAAACACCUUUUAAUAUAUUUUAAAGUUUAUAACGUUUUAUUUUUAUCAUAUUACGCUUUAGAAGGAUUUAAAUGUUGUUAUGAAUGGGCUAAACAGAUACAAAAAUAAAUAUUUUAACCUUUUGUUUUUAAGCAUUUCUCUUGCUUUAAGCUGGGUUCAGGUUUUUUAAGGUGAAAUUUAAGCCAAACAUAAGUGUGUUUAGAAAACAUGCCCAGGGCGGGCUACCUAGGCUAGGGUGGAGCCGAUUUAUUUUGCCAUCCCCAGUAUGGGGGUAAUAAUAUAAGUUUAAGGCAACCAUCAAUUCUUGAGUUAGUUUUUGAACAUAAAUUAAGCAUAUAGGCUUAUGGGCUUCUAUAGUACGAUGGAACCCACAAAUUUAUUGUUGACUGAAAAUGAUAUUUAACAUGUCAAUGUGGUCCUUUUUCCUUUGCUUCAAAAACCAAAUAUCUGGGUAUAUUAUCUCCCUUGCAAACUGAUUUUAAGCUAGAAAAUAGGAGUUGGACUAUUGGUACCCACCCAAUCUCCUCAUGCAACCCCAUUUUUAGUUGUAUUUAUUUUAUUUCUGAAAAUUUCCUUUUUUUAAUACAUUCUUUUAGCUUUUAAUUUAAUUUUUUUAAUGUUAAAACUCAAAGUGGUAUUUUGUCUUUUUUUUUUUUUGGCAAUCUUAUUGUUUGUCUACAAACAAAUUAAAAAAUUUUCUAAGUAAUGAAUUUUUAGAUGUCAAUCAUUGGUUUAAAUUAAACUAUUUUAAAUUAUAACUUGGAAGGAAAUUAAACACAAAAAUAUAUAACCAGUAAGAAAUAGGAAAAAAAUAAAUUAUUUUAAGUCUAUUUUAAUUAGAUAGGAAGUGAAAGAUGGAAAAUAAAAAAGAAGGAUUGAUUAUGAAUUCAAGAAUUUGUUGGAAAAAUAUAACUGUGUGUUUGAUUCUUAUUUGUUUUAACUAUAAUUUUAUUUAAAGUGGGGUUUUAUAAGGAUAAUAAAGGGGUACCAAUAGCUUCACUUAGAAAAUAGUUUCUGGUAUGAUGAUAUGAGCUUCAAGCAAUCCUUAACUCUUGUUGUAACUUUUUAGUAUAACUUAGGCCCAUAAGAUUUGAUAUGAUCACAUUAUAAUCCCCUAAAUUAAAAAGAUUUUAAUAUGUUUCAAUUUUUUUUCUUUUACUAAUUGUUGAAAAUAAAGAGCAGUAUAGAUAAGGAUAACAAUUGAUUUUUGUAAGCAUCAAGGCUUAACUUAAUUAUAACAUGAACGAAAAUAUUAAAACGGAAAUGUUACAAUUACCAGGAAAAGAAAUGUUACAAUUAUACUGAUUAUGAUUUUUUAACGAGUUAAUCCUUGAUGCUUAAUUUAUUUGAUUGAUUUACAAUAUAUUAUUAAGGAUUAACUCGUUGUCCAGGUGUUCUAUCAUAUUCAUGCCUAUUAGCCCUCUUCUUAAUCAAAAUACUAAUCGCAACUCUUCUUCUAUCAAGACUGUGUUUUGGCGUUCUCCAGGGGUUCCUUGGCUUGAGAUAAAUACGGAUGGUUUGGCUACGGGUAAUCCCAGAAUCUCGGUUUGUGGGCUUUUUUCAAGGCUUUAAUGGUGCUUUUACGAAGCCGCCUUUACUGUGGCUCUGGGCCUUGUUAUGCUGAGAUUAAUGCCAUUCAAGCUGUUAAUAUUGCUCUUUCCAUGGGAUGGCAAUUUGUUUGGCUGAAGAGGGAUUCAAAUCUGCUAACUCUUGCUUAUUUGCAGAACUCUCUUUUUUAUCUGCCGGGGCAACUCGUACUUUGUGGUUGAACUGUCUAUAACAGAUCAGUCAUAUGUAGUUUCGUAGUCAUAUUAAUUUUGAAGGGUAAUUCGGUUGCUGAUUGCUUAGGAAAGGCGGGGUCUAACUGAUUCGAGGCCCUUGGUGAACUUUUUUUUUUCUUUUAAAGACAUUCUUACGUUAAACAACAUCAAUUCCCAAAGGAAUAUUAAAGAGCUUAUAAUUCAACUAUCUUUAAUAAUAUAUUGAAUUUCAACAAUUAUCAACAUGAUCCUAAAAUAUAUAUAUAUUUAUUGUGAUCAUCUUCAAAGUUGAUUAUUUCAUUCACUAUUUCAUUAUUGUUUAAUUCAUUUGAAGUUAAUUGUUCAAUAACAAAUUCUUCACUUAAAUACAUAUCUUUUCUUACCAGCAGUGAAAAAUUUAUCAAGAGCUCGUUUUUGAGAUUUGACUAAUUUUUUUGUUCUCUUUUUUUUUUAAUUAUUUUUUGUAGCUUUUCAUAUUCUAAUGCUUAUUUUCUAGUUGACAUGCUUUUCAAAUCUAAAUAACAAACAAAUACACAAAUACACAUUUUCUUUUCUAGAUUAUUCGAGCCAUAUAUCAAAACCAAAAAUAUAAAUAAAUUAAAUUUAAAAAAGAUAAGAAUAGUAACAAUUAAAAAUAGAAUUGUUGAUACCACUUAGCAAGUUGACUAGUUGAGACAAAUAUAAUGAUUAGAUGAUGACAAUAAAUUCCGUACAAAAGAAUUUUCUUUGUAGAGAGGAGAGUAACAAAUUGUUUAGUUGAGCAUAUCAUUGAUUCACUGUCUAUUUGUUUUGGGUUUUUAAAUAGAUUUUGAUAGAAUACUAAGAGUUAGUUCUAAAAUAUAAGGUUAAUAAUUUUAAUAGAGUAAUUUUUGGAAAGACAAGGCAUUGAAUUUUUUUUUUAAAUAAAGAAGUAACAUCAAUUAAAGUCUUUCCCAUGGCUAAGAAAGGUUUCCGUAGAAUGAUUGGCACUUCUUUGUCUGUCUCAAAGUUUAGCACAAUGAAAUCCACCAAAAAAAUAAAUUUAUCCACCUUCACCAACACAUCUUCAAUCUUCCCUUCUGGAUAGGCAUGAAAUCUGUCAGUAAGUUGUAGAGUCACUAAUGUUGGUCUACAUUCACUAACUCCCAGUUGCUUAAACACUGAUAGAGGCAAGAGAUUGAUGCUAGCCCCCAGAUUACAGAGUGCUUUGCCACUAUAUUUAGUGCCUAUGGAGCAUGGGAUUGUGAAGCUUCCUGGAUCCUUCAUCUUCUGUGGUAUCUUACUCUAAAGCAUUCGUCCGCACUCUUGUGUUAGAGCAACUGUUUCAAAUUCUCCAAGUCUUAUUUUCUUUGUCAAAAUAUCCUUCAAAAAGUUCGCAUAAUUCGGCAUUUGCUCUAGAGCUUCCACAAAAGAGAUAUUGAUAUGUAAAUGUUUCAACAAUCCUAAGAUUUUGCUGAAUUGCUUGUUUUGUUGCUGUCUCUGGAACCUUUGAGGAAAUGGUGGUGAGUACCUAAACUAUUGUGCUGCAACAGGUUGUGCAGAUUGCUUCUCUUUUGCCAUGUUCUGGGUUGGUGCUACAACCUCGUUAUCCACAUGUGUUGGAUCAUCAUUUUCGGCAAAUGCUACGGCUUGACUGCUCUCACUAGUGUGCUGUGAAGUAGAGGAUUGUGGAUCUUUUUCAAUUUGAGUUUCUUUAUGGAUUGAAGUGGACUCAGCUCUUCUUUUUAGUACACCAACGAGACUAUGAACAUCAUUUUCAGAUCUCAAGUUAAUCACUUUGCAUUGCUCUUUCCCUUCUCUUUUUGGGUCCUCUGUGUUGCUAGGUAAACUGUCCUGAGGUCUGUUGCUUAAUGUUGUAGCAAGCUGUCCAAUUUGAUUUUCCAAGUUUCUCAAAUAUACAGUAUGACUUUGGACAACUGCUUCAUUCUUCACAAUAUAAUCCUUAAUCAAACCUUCAAGGGAGUUGAGUUGAUCAUUGUUGAUGCUUCUUUGCUUUUGAUUUUGCUGAUAAAAUCCAUUGGGUGCUGCAGUAGUCUGGUUCUAAUAACUGCAUGAAAAGUUCGGAUGCUCUUUCCAUCCAGGGUUGUAAGUGUUUGAAUAUGGAUUGCUCUAAUUCUGUCUGUUGAAGCUACCCAUAUAGUUAACCGAAGCUGGAUUACUAGGACAAUUGUCAAAUAAAUGUCCUUCUCCACAAUAAACGCAAGACACAUCAGAAAUUUGGUUAACAGUUGCUGGAGCAGUAGUCAUAGCCUUUACCAUAUUUGUUAAUGAAGUUACUUGGGCUAACAAUGCUGUCAAAGCAUCUACGUUAUGGACUCCUUCUGUUCCUCUUGCUGCAGCUUGUCUGGUUGAUGGCCACUGAUAGUUAUUGUAAGACUUAGAUAACAAGGCUCCAUUUAUUGAAGCAUCCACCAUCAAUCUAGUACUUGGGUUGAGACUAUUAUAGAAAGUUUCCAACUGUAAACAGCAAGGAAUACCAUGAUGAGGACAUCUUUUGAGUAACUCUUUAAAUAUCUCCCAUGCAUCACACAAUCUCUCAUCUUCAAGUUGAUGGAAAGAUGUGAUCUUGUUCCUCAACUUUGCAUUCUUGGUUGGCGGAAAGUAUUUCAUCAAAAAUUUGUCAGUCAAAUCAUUCCAUAUAGUGAUAGAAUCUGGUGGUAGAGAAUUCAACCAUGUUCUUGCUCGAUCUCUCAAAGAAAACGGGAAAAGUCUGAGUCUCAAUGCUUGGUGUGAUGCUCCAACAAUCUUGAAAGUAUCACUUACUUCCAAAAAUAACUUAAGGUGUAAAUGAAGAUCUUCAGAUGGCAAACCAUUAAAUUGCCCCACUGUUUGAAGCAUCUGAAACAUCAUGGGUUUGAGUUCAAAAUUUUCAAUUUGAACAUCGGGUUUAACUAUUUCCGGAUGUAUGGCUUGAGGAGUCAACACUGCGUAGUCUCGAAUGGCCCUAUCUCUAUCGUUCACCAUAUGAAAAUGUUGGUGUUCCCUGAUUGCCUUUGAACACAUUAUCCAUUCAGAUCUUCAUGUACAUUGACUGGUUGUAUCUCCUCUAUAUGGUUCAAGUUUCUCAAAUCUUGCAAAUCAUCAAUUGCUACAGUAGUUUGUAAUUCCCGAUGCCUUUGAACACAUUGUCCAUUUAGAUCUUCAUGUACAUUGAUUGGUUGUAUCUCCGCUCUACGGUUCAAGUUUCUCAAAUCUUGCAAAUCAUCCAUUGCUAUAGCAGUUUGUAAUUCCCGAUGCUCUCUUCUCAAUCUCCUUACAGUUUUUUCAAUUUCUGGAUCAAACUGGAAUUCAACAGAUUUAUAUUUGUGCAUGCAAAGGUUGUCGGAUCACCUAUGUCAACAAAAUAAACAAAUCAAAAUAAAAUUAAAAAUUAGCACUGUUAAAAUUAAUUUCACAAAUCACAAUGAACAAUCAAUCUCCGGCAACGACGCCAAAAAUUUAUUGGGUAUAAAUUCAAAUGCUAUUAGUGUCAAUGUGCAAGUGUACACAAUAAGUAAUAUAAUGAUAAGUAUUCAAGAUCAUCUCCACAUGGAUUGAUGUUAUCAAACUUGCUACAACAAUUUUAACAAUGCAGAUUUUAUUCUAAAUUAAAAUAAAUUAUUAAUGAAACUAAUAUACUAAUUAAAAUAAAAACGCAAUAAAUAAAAUGCAACAAAGUAAAUUAUCACGUCAAACUCAAGGAUAAAACCAAUAAGAAUAUAGAGUAGUUGAGUGAAUAAACUCUCCUAAUGGUCUUGACUAUUUUCUAAUGGUUGGCUCGGUUGCUGUAGGAUCUGCUACAGCACUGGGCAGAAUCCUUAUGCAUCCUCAGCCGUUGCAUAUUGGAUAUCUUAUAUCUAUAUGUAACUUAAUAGUGAUAAGUUCUUAUGCCAACAUAAGAUAUAACAUUACACAUUUAGGUUCUAUUUACCCUACAAGGUGAAUCCCUGUGUCUAGUUCAUCACUAAUCGUAAAUCAAGCAUGGUCCUUUUGGGACUCAAGUAAAACUCAAUCUAGGAAACCCAAUUUAAGAUCAAGUAUUGCUUUGAUAUAUUCCACUAAGAUAGGCUCUUUUGUGACUCUUCCUUAGCUAGUAUCAUUAAAUAGGUGAUCAGCCGAAAUAAUGAAUAAAAAUAAAUUCGAUCAAAACAAAAUGCUACAGCAAACAUGCAGCAACUCAUAUUUUCAGUCAAUAAACCAUCAAUAUUAUUUAUUACUCAACUAAAAAUAAAUUUAUUUCAUGGUUUGCAAAAGAAAAAUAAAGAACAAAGUUUUAGCCAUGAAACACAUUCUCAUGAAUAAAUAGAAAACAAGAAAACAAGAAAAGAACAAGAAGGACUGAGUUUCUGAUUGAUUUCUGCAAAUUCUCCUCUUGUGCAUCCCUCAAUAUCUCUCUUGAAUCAUGUUUUCUUUUGUUUCUUUGUGGUUUUUCUCUUUGGGCGACGACUCCUCUUAUUCCUUAUGAUGUGUACUUCUUUAUAGCUGAAAAUUAGGGUAAACGGAAGCCUAGGGCGCCAAUAAGUCAGAUUAGAAAACUGUAAAUCGCAAUUCUGUAUACCGCUGCACUCCGGCCUCCAGCUUGCUCAUGUCCAGCUCGAACGGUUGCUAGAGCAACGGUUACAACAACUGAACUGUUUUAGAUUUGUUUCAAUUCUUUUGUAGCUAAGUUCUUUUUUAUCUUUUGCAAGCCUAUUGUAUCAGCAUUCCUUCCUUGAAAUUUGGGCUUCUGAACAUCUAUAAUUAUGCAUAAAUUUAGCACACAAAUUAUUCUAAAUCAAACAAAAUUUAUUACGAAUAAAGUAAGAUGAAUAUUUAUACAAAAUGCAAUGAAAACAUAUUAUUUACUCUCUAAGUAUUAUUGAUUUAAGUUUAAAAGUGUCAUGAUAACUCUUAUUUCAUAGAGUUAUCACCAGGGUACCGGAGGAGCUGCCGCUCAUGCGACUGAAGAAGGUGUUGAAAUCUUCGGCGAAAAGGUCCAUAUUUAUCCAACAUAAAGCAAACAAAAAAAAGUGAGACAAAGAGAUGGAUCAGAAAAAUGAACAUCAGAAUUGUCACAGGCAAAAGGACACGUUAAGAAAAAUGAGGUAUGGUCGCCAAAACAAAAAAACAAAAAAAAAAGAAAAGAAAGUUUGUGCAAAUGACGGGGGGCACCCCACAGAACCGGUGAAGGCAAGGUACCCUAGCAACACCACAUAGCCAUACGUGAAUCGCCAUUCGAAGAAGAUUGAAGACUCUUCUCAAUCAAACCAGCUCUUGCCAGGCGGGUAGUGUUCAGAACAUCACUCUCACUCUGCAAAAACUAGAACUUCUCUAUAACAUCACUCACUUUCCUCCCCACUUCAUGAACUGGGCAUGUUCCCUUGGACCAAGUGAUGUCUGCAAAAGUCCCAAGAAACAACGAAUAAGAAGAAAAUUCAUACGAGAAAUAUAUAUAUAUACAUAAAAAGGGAGAGAGGAGGAAAAAAACACAUACUAUCUUCAUUGAAGAAGUUCCGAACUUGCACAACUUCAUUCCCCGCUGGUAUACUUCUCCCCCACUCGCCUUCAGCCAGAAACCACCCAUAUCUAUAGCCCUUUUUCAGCAAUGGAUCCGAUCUCACCAAACUACCAUGAACCCCCCCAAGUAGCAAAAUAAGCUACGGAUAAACCAGUCGGCUUCUUCAACUAAUAAAGCCCCCUCAGAUCUCCAUAAGAAAUAUCCUCCCCAAAUGCGUCCAGCCACCAUACCUCCAAACCCAUGAGUAACCUCCAAACGGGUAAAGAUAACUGUCUGGGAGCAAUCUUCAUCUCAGUGAACAUUUUUCUAAAAAAUAGUUGAAGAGGCAAACGGAGACCUAAGUCAAAAAGGUCAAUGUAAAGGGCUACACCAUCAGAAUGGGGGUGCUCAGGGCGCUCGCCCUUGCGAGGUAUCCUAAGGCGGACAGAAUGAGGUAUGUUAUAUUUAUCUCUAACCCUUUCUAAAUCUCUUGGAGUAGCUGGCCUACCCCCUAUUGAAUAGAGCCUACGAGCUACAAAGACAAAGGGGAGACUUGGGGAGGUUCAAAGAUGCUGACAGGGGUAUGAGAUUUGGGUCUGGAAUUUUUUGCAUGGGUUUUCUUACGAGCUGCCCUAACCGGUUGCUUCCCCCUAGUUUUAGAUUUACUACAAGGAUUAGUUCGUGACAAUUUGGGGCUACUCGAAGGAGACCCGUCAUCAUCACUAAUGGGUAUAAAAGGGGCUGACUCAGAACAUGAGGCCUCCUCACCAGCCGAAUCAUCAACAAUAUUUCGACCCUUGAUCCCAACUCUUUUUCUCCCCAUCUUGUUCCCCUAAAAACACAAGACACAAGUUAAAAAGAAAAUCUCUACAUCAAAACAUGCCCCUACAACUCAAGGCCUCUUUCAUCACAAGUCAAACACCAACAUCCACUAAUAAAAGCAUAAACAAAAAGAAAAGUACCAACACUUUGCAUGAAAUCCAUAAACAAAACCACAACAAUAUUUUUCAAAAUAAAGAAGCCAUAAAUAGAUAUAAAAAUUCAUACCUAGAUUUCACCGAGAGCAACAAAUUUUAGUCGCCAAAAAAAACAAGUUUGGAGACGAAUAGACUGUAUAUCGCCAAGAAAAGUCGCAGAUCGCCAAAAAUUGCUUAAAAGAUGAAGUUGUGCAGAGGCUGUCAUGGGCACAAUAAAACCCGUUAGAGAUUUGAAAAAAAAAAGAGUCUGGAUAAUGAUAAAAAAAAAAAAGGUCUGGAUGAUAUAUAUAUAUAUAUAUAUAUAUAUAAAGGAGCCUGGAUCAUAAAAAAAAGUAGUAAAAAAAAGCCAAAGAAAACGCAGUAGAGGAAGAAGAAGAAGAAGAAAAGAGAGAAGAAGAAAAAGAAGUGAAGAAGACAAUGUGGGAAAAAGAAGCACCGCGCCAAACCCGCCGGAAGGAGAUCUCGGCUGAAGCCGCGGGACGCGGCUGCCCGCCGGACAGAUCGGGCACCAGAGACCACCGUAGCAACAGCCAAGAGCCCGCCAGAAAUGCACAAAAAGAAGUACAGCCAAGAGGGAAGGAAAAUGAGAAAGAGAAAAGAAAAAGAAAGAAAGAAAAAAAAGAGAGGAAAAUGAGAGUUGAUCGAAAGAAGAAAGAUGAAAAGAGAAAGAAAAGGAAAAGAAGAAAGAAACUAUGGGAAAUAGGACAUGAAAAUGCACCAAAAGAAAAAAGAAAAGGAAAGGAAAAAGAGAAGUAAAGGAAGAUUUUUUACCUGUUUAUGGAAUGUUAAUGGAGCCGAGGAGAAGAUGAGAAGCUAAAGAAAAAGACGAAGCCAAAAAGGAAUAAGAAAUAAAGCUAAGGAAAAGAUGAAAAGCCAGGGAACAAUAAGAAGCCACUGGAAGCAAUUAAAUUUAAUGGGAUUUUCAAAAUAAAGUGGUAAUAUAAAAGGAGUGGAACAGGUUUAAAUUAAACCUGACAAAUCGAACUUCAUAAAAAGAGAGGUCAAAUUAAUUUUAUAGAAGAGUGUUUUCAAAUUCAAAUUAUAUGUCAGGCGGUUACCACUUCCCAAAAAAGUUGAAGAGACGUGAAGAUAUGCAUCAAUUCAGUGUUUGUUAAAAAAAAAGAGUAAAUAUCGCCACGUGUCAUUUGCAGUUACUCCAAGAGUUUCUUGUGCCUCAAUUACAUUCGCCACAAAGAAACAAGGAGGAUGUUGUUUGGGAAGGAAACAUGAGGCCAAUGAUGAAGCGCCAUGUGUUGAUAGUACCUUGGGUACCUGGAGUACUCUAUGUACCUCGGCUACCUUAGGUACUCUGGGGUACCCCGGCUACCUUAGGUACUCUAUGUACCCAAGGUACCCCAGAGUACCUAAGGUAGCCGAGGUACCUCGGGUACACUAUGUAGGGGUAUAAAAAGUUUUUGUAAAAAUGUCAAGGGAUAUGUGGGCCUUGAAUCUCAAAAAGAUUGGUUGAAUACGUGUCAAAAAAUGAGGAAUCGAUGAGGAAAUCUCGUGCUACAAAAGAGGAGACAGCUGCCUGUCACGCCAGCAAAUUAGCCAAAAGUUUGAAAUACGAUAGUUGGGACCACCAGCUUUUUUUGCCACGCCUGUAAAAUUACAACGGAAUUACAAAGGUACGCGAGACCACUCCACUACACUCAGCACGUGAAUACGCCUCAAACUUGCUCUCCACGCAUAUUUUUGAAACGCCUAAGCCGCCAUACGCAUAAAGAUCAGGAUAUUCCUGACAUGCAGCAGAGAACGUCAAUAAUAUAACGUUAGGUGGCACGGCGACCCGGGGUACACCAUAUAAAUACUCAGGUUUAAUUUUUAUCAAGUAAGUUCAUACACACACCACAAAAAACUGAGCUUUCUUUAACCUUGAAACCUCCAUUACCAAGAGCUUGCAAGCUCUCUAACCUGAGAUAACCUAACUCUGACUUGAGCAUCGGAGUGUGGUCGCCGGCCUCCCCCGGCUCCAACUCUGAUCUCUUUUUUAGUUGUUUCGCAGGUUUAAGACGAUUUUUGCCAGCCCUCCGCACCUAAAGUCAGACCGUCUCCAUAUCCACCGCCAUCUCAAUCCUCCUUCACUCCAAAAAAAGGCCUAAAUAGCCCGCACGCGCCAAAUAAGCGAGGCACCCCGCUCCUCAACAAAAAAGCAAAUUUAUUGUUCUUAGCUUGGUUUUGUGGUUUUUUAUUCAUUGACCCAAAAUCAUCCGCAAACAAUAAUAUUCAUUUAAUGUAUGAUUUCAUUCUAGUAUAUAUUAUAAUAUUUUAAAAGCAUACCUACCAGGGAAGGCUCAUCCAGGCAAUUCAAACCAAGUUUUGAUUUCGCUGCUGAUUUUAUUUAUAUAUGAUAUCUAAAAUGAGUGCUAUCUCAAUCAAAUGCCAACAAUUCAUUGAAUGAACUAUUUAUAUGUCUUAGUAACCUUAGUUCCCCUAACAAGGAAAUCCCUAUGAAAUUUUUCAUUUGCAAUUAUUUACGUUAAUUCUGCCAUAAAUUUAAUUUGAUCGUAUUAUUAUUUAAAAAUAAAUGUUAGAGACCAAACAUUUGGGUUCUAAAAGUAAGUCCCAAUAUUUUAUGUUAUUCAUUUAUUAAAUAAUAAAUUUUAUAGAUUGUAUAAUUAAACUGCCAUCUAAUAAAUGAUUAUGACUUAGACGUGGUAUGACUAACGUUGCUCUAUUUCAGGUGACUAGGCUGGCAGGUUCAGUGUUGAAAGGAACCCACUUCAUUAUUCGGUUGGUGGUUAAUGCAAUUGGGCUUGGGCCUCCAGCCCAUUAGAGAGGAUGUAUUUGAGCCUACGCAGCUAAGCUGAACCUAUUAUUUGUUCUCUUUUAAAAACUUCUAAUCCUCUUUAUUGGCACAAAUUUUAAACUUUGCUCAACCGACCACUGGCUCGAUUUCGAUCCUAAGAAUCACGAUAAUUUCGGACCAGCCAUGCGGCAGUGAAUUCAUUGACGGGCAUUGUACACAUUGAAAAAUAAUUUAGUUGCGUUCCUAAGAUUAAUAUUUAUAAAAUAAUUAAAUUAGAAAACAAGAAAAGAGGAAUGAUGAUGGAAAAGAGGAUUACGAUGAUAAUCUUAUAAAAGUGUGUAACUAUCAUCGAUUUUUUUAUUAAAUGUGUGAUUUAAAGUUCAAAUAAUGUUUUACUUAUUCACCAUUAAGAACAAUGAACGUGCAAUUGUUGACAAAAAAAAAUGUAAAAUAAGAUAAAGGUCAAAACAAAACUAAUGCAUCUAAAACCAACAAUUUGUUUAAAUACCAAUCUAGAAAUUGAUAUGCUCAACAUAGAUACAUUGAACUAGAUUUGAAACUUAAGCGUUGUUUAGGAUUGAGAUACUAUAUAUUUUAAAUACAAUUGCUAUGAAAAAAAUUAUAACUAUAAAAUAAUUUUUUUUUAUAUUUCAUAAUACAUAUUAAAUAUAAUUUUUAAAUAAUAAUUUUGAUAAAAUUAUUAAAUAUAUAAUAAAUUUUUUAUUAUAAAGGUGAAAAAUUAAUUUAGCUUAAUUUUUAAACUACACUAAAUAAUUGGCUUUAUAAGCAUGUGUAAAGAAUUGCGUGACUAAUAUAUUUUUUAAUUUAAUGAUGUUAAAUCCAAUGAUGGGUUUGUUAAACUGAACUUCUCCUUUUUGAAAAAUUUGUUUAGGUCGAGGGUGUGUAUGGCUAAGGCUUUGGACAAGGCUACAGCUGAUGGCCACAAUGUAGACACUGGAUUGAAGGCGAUUGGUUUGACCAAUCAGAGGGAGACAACUGUUCUUUGGAGCAAAUCUACUGGUUGUCCGCUCUAUAAUGCUAUUGUUUGGAUGGAUGCUCGUAACAGUUCCGUUUGCAGCUGACCGGCCUGUCCUUUUCCUGUCGUUUUUCUUUGUUUGUUUCUUGUCAUUGUUUAAACGAUUGAAGAUCUGGAGCUUUUUGAUUGUUGGUUUUGCUCAUGAGUUGGCUUAGGGUGUUAUCUAAUGACCAUGAUUCAGAUUUUGCAAUUCUGGCCAUUUUUUGACUUUUGGAAUUUCGACCUUUUGAUGUUUGGAAGUGGUUUCAUUUUUAGGAAAUUGGAGAAGGAAUUAUCUGGGGGAAAACCCAUUUUCUGGAGGCCGUUGGUUUGCCUAUCAGAACUUGUUUCACUGCGGUGAAACUGCUAUGGAUGAUGGAAAAUGUGGAUGUUGUUAAAGAGGCUAUUAAGAAAGGGGAUGCCCUGUUUGGAACUAUAGACACUUGGCUAAUAUGGAAUUUAACUGGUGGAGUGAACGGUGGUUUGCAUGUCACUGAUGUCUCUAAUGCAUCACGAACGAUGCUUAUGAAUCUCAAAACUCUUGAUUGGGAUAAGCCCACUCUAGAAACACUAGGGAUACCGGCUGAAAUUCUUCCCAAAACUUUCAGUAAUUCUGAGAUUAUUGGAAAACUUGGCAAAGGGUGGCCAAUUACUGGAAUACCGAUUUCAGGAUGUCUUGGGGACCACCAUGCGGCUAUGUUAGGACAAACUUGUAAAAAGGGUGAGGCUAAAAGCACCUAUGGUACCGGUGCUUUUAUACUUCUGAACACAGGUGAAGAGGUAGUUAAGUCAAAGCAUGAACUUUUGAGCACUUUAGCCUUUAAGCUUGGUCCAAAAGCACCGACAAACUACGCUCUCGAGGGUUCAGUUGCCAUCGCUGGAGCUGCAGUUCAGUGGCUCAGAGACAGUCUUGGCGUUAUCAGCAGUGCGAGUGAGAUCGAGGAAUUGGCAUUGCAGGUCAACUCAACUGGUGGGUUUACUUUGUACCUGCUUUUAAUGGAUUGUUUGCUCCAUGGUGGCGUGAUGACGCCCGCAGUGUUUGCAUUGGGAUUACUAGGUUCACAAGCAAGGUUCACAUUGCUCGAGCUGUGCUUGAGAGCAUGUGUUUUCAAGUGAAGGAUGUCUUGGAUUCAUUGCAAAAGGAUGCAGUGGAGAAGGGUGUCAUAAAGGAUGCAAAGUUCUUGCUUAGAGUGGAUGGAGGUGCUACGGUUAACAACCUCUUAAUGCAGAUUCAGGUUUGCACUUCUCACUUUUUUUAGUGCUCUGAUGCAGUUCUACACAGCUUUUCAUUCAUAUGCAUGACUGAACAAUUUCCAAUUUUCUCAUCAAUCUUUCUGCUGUUUCUUUUUUUCUGAAGUAUCUUGUUUUUGGUAUUGUUUCUUCUUAUUAUUGAUAGUUUUGCAGCUAUCGAUGCAAAUUUAGCUAUUCUGCUUUCUUUUGAAAAAUAUUAUGAUUUCCCAUUUUUGAGCUUCUCGUAUUUUGAAUGCAGGUCAGUUAGUUGGUCUUUCUAGGGCUCUAGAAAUGUUUAUUUGACACUUCUCCACGAUUUGUGUGGUACAUUCGUAAGAGAUGUUUUCCAAAUAAACUUUUAGCAGGCUGCCUUGCUAAUCAGAAGCUAAAGCAAUGUUUAGAUUCAAAUGCUUUCAAAGGGUCUUACUAUGUGGGUGGAAAAAAGAAAGAAAAAUGGUCAUUUUGAAGCUAAAGCAAUCAUACUGUUUCUGCAUUAAAAUUUCACAACUGUUUUCCCGACAUUUUAUGUUGAUUUGUAAGAUAGCCUGGCAUGUUCUUUUUUCUACAAUUUCUUUGCUGUACUGUGGGUGUCUUAAUUAGCAAUCACUUAAUUAGCUAUUAGCUCACAUGGAAAUAAUGGUCAUUUUGAAGAAUCUGAGCUUUAUUCAGACAUCACACUCUUUUCCAUUUUCUGGAAUCUAGUGUUGAUACUUUAUUAUCUUUCUCCUCUGGAAGGCCAUAUAAAACUGCUCUUAUCAUGAUUUAAGGCGGACUUGUUGGGAAGCCCAGUCAUCAGACCAGCUGACAUAGAGACAACAGCUCUCGGAGCUGCCUUUGCAGCUGGGUUAGCAAUUGGGGUUUUCAAAGAAGAAGAGAUUUUUGCUUCUGGAGAAAGGACUAAGACUUCAACCACUUUCAAGCCCGUCUUAAACGAGGAAUUCAGGAAGAAGAAGGCAGAAUCGUGGUGCAGAGCUGUUGAAAGAAUUUUCAACUUGGCCGAUCUCUCUCUUUGAAUGACGUCUCCGUGGUUUGCAUCCACCAUCCGUUGUUUCCCCUUUUCUCCUUUUCCCUAUCAGUCUUUACGUCUUUCGUGGUAAAUUUUUUUUUUUAAUAGAUUCUUGUGAAUUACAGGCAUAAAUUUUAAUUGUAUUUCAGGUGAAUAACUAGGGAUGGCAAUGGGGAGGGGAGGGGAGGGGACCAAUCUCCCCAUAUCCAUCCCCGAUGUUUUGCAUAUGUUCCCGUCCCCUCCCCUUUCCCGUCAAAAUUGCUUGAGAGAAUCCUCAUCCCCUCCCCGAAUAAUAACGGGGGAUCCCCGAGGGUCCCCGGUCCCCGAAUAAUUAAUAGUCUAAUACAUUUUUUUAUUUUCGAUUUUAAAUUAAUCAUAUUAAAAUAAACUCAUACCGCUAUUGUAAGCUUGUAACCAACUUUGACAGCACAUUAAGGCCUCCAAUGUGCUUGGAUGAAGUUUGUUAUGGUAUGAGCUCACAACUCUACCACUAGUGUUAAAAGCUGAUUCAGAAGCAACUGUUGUAAUUGGAAUUGCCAAAAUAUCUCUAGCAAUUCGAGCUAAUGUAGGAUACCUAUUAGCAUUUGUCUUCCACCAACUCAAAAUAUUAAAAUCUUCCAUCCGAGAUAUAACUUUCUCAUCCAAAUAUGAAUCUAAUUCAUCUGCAACAACUGCACAAUCUCCAUUGUUUACAUAAUCAUCAAAACCUGUCAUCCAUUUGGUUGCUUUCUUAUAAGAAUCCCCUGUAGAUCUAGUAGAAGAACUACUACCAGUAUAAUCAAAGCAAUAAACAGUUGGUGAAAACUUCAAUUAAUACUCUUCAACUAAUUCCCGGCAAAGGGUGACCACUUUCCCAACAUACAACUAUUUUGAUAUUUAUUAUUUUUAACAAUAUUUAUAAUUUUGUUAUUUAUUUAUUAGUAAUUUUAAAAAUAAAAAUAAAAUUAAAAAUUAAAAUGGGGAAAUGGGUAGGGGAUGGGGAUUCCACCUCAUCCUCGUCCCCUCCCUGAAUAAAAAGUUGGGUAAAAAAUUUUCCCCGUCCCCUCCCCGAAAAAAAAAUUGGGUAUAAAAUUAUCCCCGUACCCUCCCCGAAUGGGGAAAAUCCCCGAGGAUACCCAUCCCCGUGGGGAUUUUUGCCAUCCCUAUGAAUAACGUUAUAAUUAAUAAAUGCUUUCUUCUCCUAAUUGCUUUUGUAUAGAUAAAAAUUGGUGUUUUUAUUAGUCUCCUCAUGCUCUCUGCUGAUUUAUUUGAUAGGUAAUUCAAUUCUUCUGCAAUUUGAUUAGAAAGGUCUCUCGAAUUCUGAUAAAUUGUAAAGAACUUGCAAGGCUUAAAAGCUAUGGGAAGUAGUUCAUUUGAAUCACGAGAAAAUCAGACGAAAGGUAAGUAGAAACCUUGAAUCUAGUUUCUGAAAAAACAUAUACCAGAUUGCAGAAAAGCCAAUAGAAUACGUAGUGCUAGAAAACAAGUGGCACAUCCUUAAUCUUUCGAUUAUAAUCGUGCUCUACGAUCACCAAUAGAAUACAUAUUUGAAAAGCCAAUAGUAACAUAAAUCAAUACAUUCUUCAAUGAAAUAAAACCAUAGUCUGCGCCAAUAUGGGUUUACCCAGAGGAUCGCGAGUAACCCCAACAUCACUGUGACGCAGGACGCAACGAAACUCCAAUAGAAUGCCACCAUAUCAACCGCAGAUUCGUCUUCUGCUCCUUUGGAUGAUGUUUCUAGCAACUCUAGGAGAUUGGUGCAGCUCUUGUUAAUUGGUGGACCGCAAAGAUGGAGAUUUCCUCUAUAGCUGCUUUCAUCAAAUGUGGAAAAUUGCUCUUUGUCUGGGAUUGGGCCGGACAAAUUGUUGUAUGACACAUCGAAUUUAGAUAAACUGUGAAGUUCUGUCAACUGAGGAGGAAUUUGACCACUUAAUUUGUUGUGGGAAAGGUCUAGGCUCUCUAUCAUUUUCAGAUUGGAAAAGCUCUCAGGUAUAUAGCCCGACAAGAAAUUAUGAGAUAAAUUCAAUCCAUGAAUAUUUUGAAGGUCACAAAUUUCUGAUGGAAUGUCACCAGUUAACUCGUUGCUCGACAAAUCUAGUCCUGCCAUGUAAUCAAGAAUGACACCCUUGUAAGAUUCAUAUCUGUUCUUUGUCAUAAAAUUCACCUCUACUUGUGUACCUAAACUUCUACCAUCGAUUCCAUCCAGCCACAGUUGAACAGUAGAAUUAUAGUAAUUACGGAUGUCUGCAACGCCUAAAUCCAUAACUACCAUAACAAACCCAGACAAAUAUCUACUUCCUACCUUCCAAAACAAUAAAUUAGUAAUACAUGCAGGUAUUGAACCAUUAAGCCUGUUGUGUGAGAGAUCCAUGAUACUUAAUUUUCGCAAUUGACACAAUUGAUGAGGAAUAGGUCCUUGUAGAUAAUUCCCUCUCAAAAGAAGAGCACGCAGAUUUGAAUGCUCAUUGAUCUGAUGUGGAAUUCUACCAAAAAAAUAAUUAUCCCUCAAAUCUAAAGUCUCCAAUGCAGAGCCUCUGAAAAUUGUAUUUGGAAUUGACCCACCAAGAGCAUUACUUUGCAAAUAAAGGUGCUCCACUGAUGAAAGAUUCAGGGUAGAUAUCAUGGAUCCGGACAAAUUAUUUUCGGAGAUAUCUAGAAUUUGAAGAAUUGCAAGAUUGUUGAAUUGGACUGGAAUAUUACCUUCCAAAAGAUUUUUGGACAUUGACAAAAUAUAAAGAUUUGAGAAAUUGCCCAUCCAAGAAGGAAUAUGACCAGACAAGUGGUUGUUGGAUAUAUCUAAGACCAUUAAUUCACUGGACCUUAACAAUCCAUCUUUAAUCUUCCCACUGAAAUGAUUGUUGUCCAAGUAUAAGAACAACAAUCGAGUCAAGUUCACGUAAUUGGGAAAAAUCUGCCCGUCAAAAUUAUUAUUUGACAAUUGCAACCAUUCUAGCGAGAAGCAAUUAGUAACUGGAGAUUGGGAUAAUUCUCCUGCAAACUUGUUACUAGACACGUCCAGUAAACGAAGCCCUUGCAUCUUGCCAAUAGAAGAAGGAAUAUUGCCUUCAAAACUAUUUUUUGAUAUAUUCAUACAGUCCAAUUUCGAAAGGACAGUACCCAUAUUCUGCGGGAGCUUACCGGUGAAAUUGUUACUAGAAAUAUCUAAACUAAUCAAACCAUGUUGGGCACUAGUCAGUUGAAAACCUGAGAAUGAGUUGUUAGUCAGGUACAAAACUUCCAAUUUUGUGUUGUUUUCCAACAACCAAGUUGGGAAAUUGCCAGCCAACUUAUUGUGAGAGAGAUCAAGGUAUUUUAAGUUAAAUUGGUGUAGAAGAAAAUUAGGAAUGACACCUAAGUUGCAGUUGGGUAAACUGAGGACUUUCAGUUGAAAUGUAGGGAGGCAGUUUUCUAUUUUGACUUGUAAUAAAUCGGCUUCCAUCGAUAGUUGGAAGACCUCAAGUUUCGAAAGGUUGGCUAAUGAACAGAAUGAAAACAAGCGCCCUUUAAAUUUGUUGUCAUAAAGAGCCAAAUACUCGAGGGAUGUGAGGUUUGCAAUUACUGAAGGUAAGAUUCCACUUAACUGAUUGGAAGACAUAUCAAGAACUUUGAGGUGGGUGAGGUUGUUGAAACACCGAGGAAGAUGACCUUCAAACUUAUUUCCUCUAAGAUUCAGCUCAAAAAGAUUCUUCAACUUACAUAUUCCUGAGAAGUGAAAAAUAAAAAGGUCAAAAUUUAUAAAAAGAUUCAAGUUCUAAAUUAGUGACAUUUGUAGUUUUGUCCAUUAAACACUUUCAUCUGUCAUGAAAUUGCUUUACCUUUUAGGUGGAGGUUUCUUGUAAAUUUUUAAUACCAUGUUUCUUCUAUAGUUUUAAGCCGUUAUGAAAAAAACAUAUUGUCGAAAGGUAAAAUUGACAUUUUAGUAUAAAAAUUGUUUAGGUUUAGUUUGCACAUACAUGUUGGAUAAUCAAUUUAUAUUAAAAGGUCACAUUUCUCCUUCAGUUAGUCUCUUUUUGUUAUUGUUUUAAACUUCGAUAGUAUGAGGAAAGUUUACUAAUUAGAAAGAACAUUCCCAUCCGAGGAACCUAGUCUUCUUAAGUGAUUAAUGAAUUAAGUGCUGCAGAGGAUGCCACUUCUGUCAUAGAACAUUUAGUUAGAGGGACGUAACAAAUCUUAUACCCUGAGAUAUGCAUAGUAAUAAAACCUAGGAGUAAAGACAUUACCCUUUUAGGGUUGACAAAAAACAUACAUACAAUAUUAAGUUCGGGUUGGACUCUGGCCUCCCAUUUGUGUUAAAAAAAAAAGAGGAAAAUAAGGGGUUCAAUUGAAAUUUCACAUUUUUCUAUGCAUAUUUUAUGUUUAAUCCUAUUUUGAAGCUUUUAUAUUACAACUAUUCAAGUUUAUGGCCUCUCAAUUAUGGUAUUUGUCGUUGGCCCUCUAAAUUAUAAUGAUUUUAUAUUAUAGUCCAACCAAAUUUAUGAUUUCUGCUUUACGGCCCCAUCAAACCAAACCCCUGCUUCCACCAUGGAUCUUAACUUUUACCUUAUUUAUAUUAGACGCCCUAAAGUUAUACUAAAAUACCCUUUAAUCAUACAAGUUUUAAAUGUUAAAGAUAGCCCUUAAAUUUUAAAAAACACACGAGUGCCCCUAAUUCUAAAUAGUAAUGUCCACUGAAGUUUGUACAUUAUCAGGAUGUAAAAAAUUCACUGUAAGACAAAAACAAAAAUUAAAAAGGAUAGAGAUAUUUUCACCAUGCUAUUUGCACAAUAAUACCCCAAUUUAAAAUACAUCUACUUAACACCAAACUUCCCACCCGAUAAAACUAAGCUUUAAAAAACAUGAUUGAUUUGAUAUUAUUAGUUCUGACAAUGCAUGAAGAAGUAUUCUUGGACACAAAGAUGUUGAGGUGCCGGAGUUUGACUAACGUGGGAGAAUUUGAUAGCUACAAAGAGGAAGAUUUCACAAAAACAGAAGUCUUUCAACAUUUUUUAAAACUAUUCAUGUUUUAACUCAAGAUCUUUCAACAUUUUUUAAAUUACUUUUUUUAGACUAAAACUAAAAUAUUUUAUAUUGAUAAAUUAUUGAAAUAAUAAAAUAAUUAUCUAAAUCAGGGCCGAGAUUUAGAAGAGACAGGCAGGGGCCAUUACCCCUAUACGAAAAAAUAAAUAAAAAUAAUAUACGACAUAAAAAUAUUUGUACAAAUAAAACAAAGAAGAAAUAUCUUUUAGAUUAAGAAGAAUAAGAAGUCCGUAUAAGAUCAAAAAGAAGAAGAACCGAAUAGUCUACUCUCAGUGGCCCACGGCCCACUGACCUUUGUAAAUAAAAAUAAUUAUUUUAUUGUUUAGACUCGAAAUGCAUUUUUUAAGAGAAAAUAUGUAUAAAAAAGUCUAAUUUCUUUAAGUAAGAGUUCGACUAAUGUUGAACUUUCAAUCCUUAAUCAAGAGCCAUGCCCUUAAAUCUUCAAGAAUAUUUUUAUACUUUGAAAGAAGUAGUGCCCAAAUUUGAGAAAUUUUUGUAAUUUUCAGUUUUUACUUAACUAUAUGUUUUGAUAGAGAAUGUGAAAUUUUAUUGAAAUAUAAAUAACUUAUCAAAAAGUUUUUUUUUUUUUGGUUAUGCUAAUGAAUGCUUAUUUAAAUUAGAAGUUUAUAUUUGUUUUUUUAAUACUCUUCGGCCCUUUUAAAGAAAAAGUCAUGGUUCCCAUACCUAAAGUUGGCUUGUUCUACCUCUAAUCUAAAUGAAGCUGCACUAAUUUGUAUAUAAAAAAAAAUUUCUUAUUUAAAAAAGAGCUAAAAAUAGAUAAAUCACAUGAUAAGAUUUUGUUUUUAAUUUGUAGCAAGUUAUUUAAUUGAAUUUAUUUUCUAAACUAGAAAACGAAUAGAAUUAUGCAAGAGCUUGGUUUAAGAUGAAUAACAAUAUUUUUUUAAAUUUUAAUAAAACAUUUAUUUUCUUUUAAAUUAAUAAAUUUAAUUACUAGUUUAACUAGAUAAAUGUGGAAGGGAUUGGGUUAAGAUGAGUAAUAUUACUUUCCAAAAUUUAAUAGUUUAUGUAAAAUGAUUUUAAAAUGUCUUGAGUAGAAAUGAUAUUUUUUUAUAAAAAAGUGGUAUAAUAAUUUUAUCCCCUUGGAUUUGACAAAUUUUUUAAAUUAUUCAGUUUUAUGGUUUCAUAUUGUUUUAUGUCUUUUUUAAAGUCAUGGGGGGUAUUUACAAUAGUUUAAACAUAAAUCUAUUUUAGUAUAUUUUAACUUGACUUAAGAUGUCUAAUUUUAUCACUCCUUGGGUGGCGAUAUUUCCACCCUAUAUUUUGUGCAAGAGUGAUGAUAUAGUAACAAACUCUUGUACAAACUAAUUUGACAUUGAAUUAUAAAAGCAGCCAAGCACCAAAGAAAACUAAAAAUAAUAGCAACCGACUGCCAUUAUCAAUUCAUCAUGGAGAAAUAUGUAAUAGACAUUCAGAUUUUGCAAAGAUACCUAAAAUCUUUUGAUUUUGUUUGGUAUUGUAUUUUGUAAUUUAAUUUGGUAUCAUCGUACUAAUUUUUAAGGUUUUUAUUACUGAAAUUCCAGUACGUGUUGAUUAAAUGGUUUGCUUCAGUUUGUAGCUUAUUUUUCAUGUUAGUGGGGGUGUUUGCGUGGUGUGCGGGGAAUAUCACUACCCAACUUUAAAAUAUAUAUAACCUCAAUUUGGGUUAAGGUCUAAGGGGUGUUUGUCUUUUACUCUAUGGGGGUAUUUGUCAUAAGAGUCGAGCUAUUUGCGCCCUAACAAGUACUCUGAAGAUCUAUUUACUCAGAAACCAAUUUGCAUAAUUUUUAUCAUUUAGACUUUAAUUAAUACACCCUUUUAAAUUUUAAUACCAAAAUCUAUAAUUGUCCUCAAAUAAGGGCUAAUUUGGUAAUGCCAUUGCUUCAAAAUAAUUAGUGUUAGGUGUGCUGUAAAAAUAAGGGUAAAAGCUCGUUUAGUCCCUAUAUUUGAAGUUAAUGUCCGUUUAGUCCCUAUAUUUUUAAAAAUACCUCAAACCAUCCCUACCAUUAAAUUAUUGACACUUUUGCCAUUAUCUUUUGUUCCUUUUAACUUAUUUUUAUAAUAUUGCCCUAUUAUAAUAAUUUUUUAGACAUUAUUAAAAAGAAAAAAAUAACCCUAUUAUAAUAAUUUUUUUAGACAUUAUUAAAAAGAAAAAAAUAAAUUACCAGUUUAACACCAAAAAAUAAAAUAAAAAAAAUAAAAAAAUAUAUAUUAAUUUUUUGGAACACACUCUUGAGUUAAAAUAUUAAUUUUUCUAAAAAAAUUGAUAAUGUAAUUUUUUACAAUAUUAAUUUUUUAGACAUACGUGAGCUUCCACAAAAAUUAAUAUAUACCUUUUUUGUUUUUAUUUUAUUUUUGAGUUUAAUUUGAUAAUUUAAUUUUUUAUUAAUAUCCAAAAAAGAAACAUUAUUGUAAAAAUAUAAUAUUGUAAAAGCAAGUUAAAAAUAAUAAAAAAUAAUGGCAUAAGUGUCAAUAUUUAGUAGCAGGGACAUUUUGAGGUGUUUUUAAAAAUAUAGGGACUAAAUGGACACUAACCUCAUAAUAUAGGGACUAAACAAACUUUUAGCCAUAAAAAUAAUUAGCUGUGAAAAGAAUCAAUUAAACUUUUAGUAAAAUUUAUUUUUAAAAGUACUAUAAAGUUUAAAAACAAUUGUAUGUGUUUGGUAAAUCUUAAUAUUAAAUGGUUGUAAGAAUAUAAAUGGUUGAAUUGGACAUAAUAUUGAAUCAAAUUUAUUUAAACAUUUAUAAACAUGUAUAUAAAAUAUUUUUUUAUUUUGUACAUAAAAUAAUUGAUAACUAUAAUAAAUAUUUUAUAUUAUUAAUUUCAUUUUAUAUUUUUUUAUCUCAAAAUAAUUAGUAAUAAUAAUCAUCUCUUUAAUGUUAAUGAUUUUAUUUCCUAAUUAAUAAGGAUAAUUUUGGAUUUUUAUAAUAUAUAUGAGGAAAUAUAUAGAAUUAUAUUAAAUAUCAAAGUGUUUCUCAAAAUCAGAUUUUGAAGAGUUACUCCUUUCUUUCUUUUCAAAAUCUACUGUCGAAUGGGUUAAUUUUACCAAAAAUAAUUUAUAAAAAAAUUUACCAAAUACCAAAAUUAGCUUUUAACUUUUCAAAAUCACUUUUAAGCCUCUUAAAAACAAUCACAAACAAGACCUAAAUCUCUUUUGUUAUACAUAUUUUGAUUUUUACACUUUUAAAAAUCAUUUUUACAACAAAGAACUUAUUUCAAAUGAUCUCUAAACUUGUCUUCGGAAUGAACGAAGUUUUUCCCUUUUUUUAAUAAUAGCUAAACUUGUUAGGAAUAAAUGGAAAUCCCAUCUCAUUCCAAGUGAAUAUUGGAGAAUUAUUUGAUUGAACAAAUUUUAUUCUCACUAAUUUAUUAUCAUGAAUGUAUUGGAUCUUACCAAUGUAAAAGUUGGAUAAUCAUAGACAAAUACUACCAAUAAUAUAAUUCUUCAUAAUUUAUAGUCACUAAUUAAUCACUAAUUCUUCAUAAUUUAUAAUAUAACUCUAGUAUGCAAGAAAUUUAAUGUAAAAUGAAAAUUCAAGACCAAAAUUGACGGUAUUGAGGAAAUUAAAAUGAGUCAGACUAUUAGCACCCCUCCAAGAUCCUAUUGAAACCCCUUUUUCAAUUAUAUCCCAUUUAAUGCCAAAAAUAUUUUUUUUUAAAUGAACACUUUUUCAUUUAUGAAUUUUUCAGUUUCUAAUAAUUUUCUCACUCUUUCAUUCUUAAUAUUUGUAUUCUCUCUUCAAACUUUCUUUAAUAUUUAAUUUCUAAAGAAAAAAAUCUAAAAGAAAAAAGCAAGAAAAACAUUCUACUUUGAAAAUAAUGAAUAUUUUAUGGGUCUAAUACAAUUCUAUCCUACCUAUAAAUUUUGGAUUCAUCAAUUAGUUUGAGAAUCUUUAAAAAAUCAUUUGCAGUGGGAUAAAAUUUUAUUUAAUUUAUUUUUUCAAUGUGUUGUAUCUUAAUUAAGUUGUUAUGUUUAAUUACAAGAAUUUUGUUUUGGCUUAGAGGAUUACUUCUUAAAUUCAGAUUAUCUUAAUGAUAAUAAAAAAAUUUAUAUUGUGUAAGGAAAAUAAAAUUGAAGAGAGAAAGAAAAUAUAAAUAGCUUAAUUCUAUUGAUAUUUGUCCUUAGAUGUAAUUGUAAUAUAAUAGGGGUUUUAUGAGAUUAAUGAAAGGGUGCCAAUAGUCCAACUCAAUUAAAAGGGAAAAAAAUCUUUUUCAUCCCUAGGGUUUCAUACAAUAGCCUAUUUUAUCGUUACUUUUUAAACAAUAGCCCAAAACAUCUUUCUGUUUACUCACCGUUAGUUGAAUAUCGUUUGUUAGUAAUUCAUUAAGGGUAAAAAAUAAUUUUCCAUCAAAGAGAAAAUUAGAAAAAUAAAUAAAAGUUGAUAUAUAACUAAAAAUAAUUUUCUCUAAUCCCACUAAAUAGAAAAUACUGAAAAAGAUGAAAAACUUCUAUUUCAAGCAAUUCUUUUUUCACUUAUUUCUAUUUUAGUGGCAUAAACACCCUAUAAACCCUAGAUCUAAGUACAAAAAAUAUCACAAUUUUUUUUAUUCAUAUAAGUAUACUCUCUAAUUGCACUGUAAAAUGGUUUGAAUUGAGUUAAAGAUAAAGAAGAUAUUCAAUAUAUGCAAGCACAUAAAAAUUGGUGGUAUUUUUGAGUAUUUUUCCAAUGAUUUAAAGAUAUUGUAUUAAUUACAGUUUGUUCCUUAUGGAAAUUAUUCAAUGGGCACAUCAAACUAUAUCAUCGUUGAUUUCAUUUAAUUAUGAAUUUCGUAUACGUUGUAGUGUUAUUUAAUUGUGUAAAAAAUAUUUUAAUAUAGUUUGUAUCACUUUAAUGAAAAAUUCUAUUUUGCCUUAAUGAAUUACUAGUUAACGGUUUUACACUAACGGUGAAUUAACAGAAGGAUAUUUUGGGUAUUGUUUGAAAAGUAGGAAUGAAAUGAGCUAUUGCAUUAAACCAUAGGGAUGAAAAGAGAUUUUUCCCCAAUUAAAAUUCAGGUUUUUGGUAUGGACGUAGUAAAUUAGUGUCAAGAAUAAUAUAUUUUUUAUUCGAUUGUAUAAGGUUGUACUUAGUAUUAAAUUAACUAUAGAUAACUUAAUAAUAUAAAAUUUUAUUUAAAGAUGGGUGUUCAAAAUAGUUUUUAGGGUAUAAUCAGUCCCACCCUUGUUACAAUCAUAAUUGAAUGGCGUUUCAUUUUUUUAAAAUUUAAAUCACUAAGGGUGCACCUCAAACACUUAUUUAAACUGCCAUGAAAAUUGGAAUCAAUUGCCUAUAUGUUUUGGUCAUUAUCAUCUUUAUCGAUUAUAGAAGCCUUGUUUGUGACUAAUAAAGUGCUGAAAAAUAUGAUUUUGUUUGGGGAAGGAUUUGUUCACUUCAUUAGGCGCUCAUUUGAUGACUUCUCUAUAUACUCGUGCUUUUCUAAAAGUUAUUUUUAAUUUAUUGUUGUUGCGACGUCUAUUAAUAUUUUGAUAAAACCAGUUAAAGAUUAAGGACGUAUUUGAUAUUAAUUGCAACCAGUCAUUCUUCAUUUAUGAGUUACGACAAGAAAUAAAGAAAACUUAUUUAGUAUGUCAUUUGAAAAAUAAUAUCAAACGCAUCCUAAAAAAAAUUAAACGCAGCCUAAAAAAUCUUGUCUUUCAAAUAUAGAUAUUCAAUUCUAAGGGUCGAAAAAAUAGCCAUGCAAAUUAUUACCUUGGCUUUCAAGAGAGCCGUUUAAAUCAUUGUCACUUAGAUCCAACGAUUUCAAGUUUGUUGAUUUAGCUAAUCCUGCACAUAAAUCCAACACUUGCAAGUUUGUCAAAUGACAAAUUUGCUAAUCGUAUUCAAAAAACGUAAAUUUUGUCAAUAAUAGUUAUGUCACUCUCGUCUAAAUUAUUUAAUUAAAAUAAUAUAGUAAAUAUUGAAUGAAAUUUAUUUGUGCAAAUUGUUUAACUAAAAAAAAUACCUUCUAAAGAACCUUGUAUAUAAGUAGAACUCAAAUACAACGCUUCUAAAUAAUUGUAGUAAUAAAGCUUAUGAUUGCGUUUCAACAAAAAAUAACUGCCUACAUUUAUUUAAAAAUUUUACCUUGAAUUGUCGUCAUCCCACAAUCACGAAGAUCCAAUAUUUUCAAGUUUGGCAAAUCUGCCAAUCCUACAUGCAAAUAAAAAAUGAAAAUAUUACAUUGAAAGGCAUUGUAUGUGAUCCACGCGUUUGAUGAACAUUAAUUCUUAAUUUGCUUCUUAUCUCAUAUUCAGUGGCUUACCUAGCUUUGUUAAAUUUCGGUUAUUGCUUAAAUCCAACACUUGUAGGUUUGUCAAAUUUGCUAAUCCUAUUACAAAAAUAUAAAUUUGUUAAAGAGCCCCUACAAUCUAUCAAAAAAAAAAAAACAUAGAAAGAAUGACCUCCUAAUUUUCUAAAAGUAGAUAAUUUAGUCAGAACCCCUAUAAUCUAUCAAAAAAGAAAAAAAAUCAAAUCCCUGUUAAAUUAUACCUAGAAAUUAAUUUGUAUUAUUCUCAUAUAUUGUGAUGUUGACUUCUAAGUCAUUUCAAAUAAUCUCAAAAGAGUCCAGCACUUCUUGUUCGUCAUAAUUGCCUACUGCGUAUUAGGUACGCGUUCAUUAAUUUGUCUCGAAAAUUUAUAUUACCUCUCGUAACUAUUACCAAUACAAAUAAAGAACUCGCUUUUCAAAGGUAAAAAAACGGUCUUCAUAAUUUUGUCUUUCAAGUAGCAAGUUUGACCGACAAACAAGUCGCUAGAAAUUGGGGGUAUAUAUCAUUAAUGUAAGCAUUCGAAAUUAUCAUGUUUCAAUGAAAAAUAACCGUCGACAUUUAUUUGAAAAUUUUACCUUGGCUUUCUAAAGAACCGUUUAUAUUAUUCCAACUCAAAUCCAAUGCUUCCAAGUUUUUCAAUUUAGCCAAUCCUGCACCAAGAAAGAAGAAACGAUGUCAAGGAUGCAGCAUUUUUUAAAUAGGUAAACUAUUUACGAAAAUUCAAAUAUUACUUGGCCAUGUUACGGAUAAGCUUAUACUAUUUUGACUAAUUCGCUAAUCCUGCUUGAUUUAUUUUGGAAAAAAUAGAGGCAUAGAAGAAUUUAUUUAUUUAUUUUGGAAAAAAAAAUAGAGGAAUAGAAGAAUUAAGUCAGUAAAUUUUAAAAAAAGUUUAUAAUCUUUGGGUUGUUAUAUACAUGUAUCAAUAAUAUUUUAAAAACACUAACAAGUGAGGGCUGUCGAAAACGUUUUCUAAAUUCGACAUUAAUAGGAAGUGAAUUGUUGUAUACCUUGAAUUGUAGUUAUUCCACAAUCACGAAGAUCCAAUGUUUUCAAGUUUGGCAAAUCUGCCAAUCCUACAUGCACCGAUAAAAAAUGAAAACAUUACAUUUCAAAGCAUUGUAUGUGAUCCGUGCACUUGAUAAACAAUAAUUCUUAAUUUGCUUCUUAUUUCAGACGUCAUGGCUUACCUAGCGUUGUCAAAAUUUUAUUAUAGCUUAAAUCCAACACUUGCUAAUAUUAGUCAAGUUUGUCAAGUUUUGCAAUCAAAAAUUGGUUUUAAUUUGACAUUAUACAUAUGUAAAAAUUAAGGCCAUAAUAAUAUCACAAGGAAUUUGGGUAGUGAUUUGUUGCCGUGUACCUUGAUUUGUAGUUAUUCCACAACCACGAAGAUUCAAUUCUUUCAGGUUUGUCAAAUUUACCAAUCCUACACCAAUGAAAAGCAAAAUAUUACUUUUAAAAUUAUUGUAGAAGGUUGUGAUUAGUGUGCUAACUUGGUAGUUAUCUCAGUAGCCUACCUAGCCUUGUUAAAGAGCCACUAGUUAUAUUUUCGUUCCAGCUUAGAUCCAACACUUGCAAGUAUCUCAAAUUUGCUAAUCCUGCUCCGAAAACAUUAAUUUUGAUCAAGACAAUAUAAAUAUAUAUUUUAAUUAAGAAAUUAAUUAAGUUGCCUAACAUGUAUAUCUGCUAGCCUGAAACGUAUAUGUAUACCUUGCAUGGUUCCGGAACCUUCAAUGGAAUUGGAAUAAAGAAUCAAAGUGGUAAGUGAAGUUAGUGUAUUCAAAUAUGGUAAUAUGCUGUCGUUGAAGAAAUUACAACCAAGAUCUAAGAUCUUCAGCUGCUUCAAACUCCCAAAGCUAUCGUAAGCUGCAAAUGCAUAUGAAGUGUUAUUAUUAAUUAGUCACUGACAACAUAAUUAUGAACGAGAAAUAGAUGCAUUUGCGCGUACCUUUAUUCUCAUAGAAGCCUCUAAACCAAUUGUCAGACAAGUUAAGGCUUUGCAAUUCUUCAAAAGGAUGAAACAAUGACAUAUUCAGAAGCGAAGCCGAAGUUCUAUCAUAAUAAUUCAAUCUCUCUGUAUAAGUGAGUGAGAGUUGCAUCACCCGUCGUGUGGUGGCGUUGCACUUAACUCCCUCCCAAUCAUCACAACAAUCAGACGGCAUUCCAUCAUCCUCACCAACCCAUGAGGGAAGAAUUUUGUCAUCAUAUCCAAUAUCACCGACUGAUAUGAAGAAGCUCUUGAUUUCCAACAGAGCAGUCCUCUCUGUUUCCAAGCAUCCUUUGUAUCCAUGCAUUUCAUUUAUCAAUACAAUAAUCCAAAUUAGUGAUGUUAAUGAGAACUUAAUACAAGAAGUACUUUCCAUUGCAGAGCAACUUUUCAUGUGGUUAAAAUUAAAUGUGCAAUGAGGGAAAGUUCAAUAUUAAUUUAUACUAAAAGUUUAUCAUAGGCCUUGCAAUUUGAUUGGCUGAGGAUUACUCAACCACUCAAUUCAAUAUCUUAAGCGGCCAAUACAUCGCCAUCUUGAAGUCUUUCUUCCAAGAAUUGUAAGCACUUCGCGUUUUGCUACAUUCGACCAACGGGAAAAACCAAUUCGGUAAUACUAUAUAAUUAAAGUGAUUGUAAACUACAAAUUUUUCUAAUAGUUUGACGGGGAUAGUCAUAACUAAUAAAAUAAAAGUUUACUAAGAGAAUUUGAACAAUAUAACCGUAUGUUUGGAUUUGCAUUGAAUUAUCAGUUAAUCUAUAAAAUAAUGUGUUUUGAAAAGAAUUUGAUUGUAUGUUUGAUAAGUUUAAAUUUGUUAGAAAAUCAGUAAGUAAUGAACUUAAAUUUUCAUACAUAAAAGUGUGGUGUAUUCUGAAAUGGCAAAACAAAUAAAUGUUAUUUGAAGCUCUUAUGACCCUUUUUGUUCAUGCAUUUGUAUCAAAGCUGCUAAAAUCAAAGAUAUUGAGAAUCUUUAAUAGGAAAAGUUUCCAUUGCUCUCAAUCUGCAGCUUCACUAUUACAAUCACUUGAAACGACAAAAAAAGAAAUUUCAUAUGAUAUUGGGACAGAUGUAUGGCUUCAAUUUAAAUGACCCUAGCUCCAUAUAUUAUUACAACUGGGAGAAAAAUUAAAGUUGACUGACUUUCAAAUUAAGCCAACUGUUGUGAAAAUUUUAAUAUACUCGCAAGCGCACGAAUCUAGAGAUAGAAAAGUGGUAACGAGGUCGAUCCCACAGGGAUUGUUAUAAAUUGAAAAGUCUAAUUUAAAUCUAAAAUUAAUAUUAAUUCUAACCUAGUUGAGCAAAUUGAGUUUUAAGAGAAAUUAAACUAAUUAAACUAAGAAAACAAUUAAAGUAAAUGAGAAUUUAAUGAGAUAAAAAUUACUAAGGUUUCGGAAUCCACCACUAUUCAAUUAGUAAUUAUCUAAAUAUUAAUUAAUCCCCAAUUUUAGAGUGACAACUCGAAAUCAAUCUAUGUCAUCUCAUGGAUAUAACAAUUAAGCCCAAGUAAUUAAAUCUAAUGUAGGUUCUUUUUCUACUUAAUAAUACGAUAUCUAAGUAUCCCAUGUAAACAUAUUGAAUAACAAAGAGUCAAAGUUUACUAAGCACUCUAUGUAAACAAUUUAAUGAAAGACAUAGAGUCAAAGAUAAUCAUGUAUAAACUUUAUAGAUCCAAGCAUAGAAUUAAUCGAAUAUUAAUCCUAACAAUCAAUAAUGCAUGACAGAAUUGAUGAAAAGAUUUUAUUAACAUCCAAUUAAUCAUGUGAAAUAAAAACCAUAAUCAUCAAAGAACAUAUAUAGGGAAUUAAUUAAAUAAAAAGAUAUAAUUAUUUCAUUGAAUAGGGUUUCAUCCUUAACCUCAGUAUAAGAAAAUUAGCUAGACAUACUUGAAUUGGGAGCAACAAAAUAAAUAAAUUCAGCCAUGGGAAAGCCGAAUUGCUGCAGAUUUUCUUCUCUGUCUUGAAUCCUUGCGUCUGCAGUUCUCCCUUCUGGCGGCUCUCUCUUCUUCUUUCCGUCCAGCCACUCCCUCCAAAAGCAAAAACUCUCUUUUAUAAUAUUUAAAAUGGACCCCACCUCUUAAAUCCUAAAGCCAAAAGGCUUGGCCUUUUACUUGAUUUGCUCUCACACGUGAUCACUCUUAGAAUUGCUUUAGGAUUCCUUUUGUAAUUAUGAAAGCCAAAUGUGGGUCCCAUUUAAAUUGCUUUCCAAAUAUUACAAAGCCAUGCACGUGUAACUUAACUAAGCUAAAGCCAAUGUUAUGCUUAAAUUCUUCUUCAUGUGCUAGAUCAAUUAAUUUACUAGCUUCGGUUUCCUUGGCUUCACUUCCACAUGCAUGUAUGUCUAAUUGCUUCUAAAAUCAAUUAAUUAACGCUUCCAAAAUUGAGCUCCCUUAUAUCAUUUUUUAUCCAUAAUCUUCAAUUAAUCCCCUAUUCAAUAAAAUAAUUUAAUUAAUUAAAAAUAACAAAUAAAAAUAACUAGUAAUUAUAUAAUUAAGGGUAAAAUAUGUAUAUAAAUUAUGCUCAUCAAAUACCCCCAAACUUAGAUUUUGCUAGUCCUCGAGCAAACUAAAAUUUAAACAAAAAUAAAAAUAACAACACAAAAGUAAAUCCUAACUAAACCACUUUCGCAGGUAAUCGCGAUUACAUUAGCACAUGCANNNNNNNNNNNNNNNNNNNNNNNNNNNNNNNNNNNNNNNNNNNNNNNNNNNNNNNNNNNNNNNNNNNNNNNNNNNNNNNNNNNNNNNNNNNNNNNNNNNNNNNNNNNNNNNNNNNNNNNNNNNNNNNNNNNNNNNNNNNNNNNNNNNNNNNNNNNNNNNNNNNNNNNNNNNNNNNNNNNNNNNNNNNNNNNNNNNNNNNNNNNNNNNNNNNNNNNNNNNNNNNNNNNNNNNNNNNNNNNNNNNNNNNNNNNNNNNNNNNNNNNNNNNNNNNNNNNNNNNNNNNNNNNNNNNNNNNNNNNNNNNNNNNNNNNNNNNNNNNNNNNNNNNNNNNNNNNNNNNNNNNNNNNNNNNNNNNNNNNNNNNNNNNNNNNNNNNNNNNNNNNNNNNNNNNNNNNNNNNNNNNNNNNNNNNNNNNNNNNNNNNNNNNNNNNNNNNNNAGAAAGUUAGAGAGAACACACCUGGAUGGGCUGGGAAAGCUUUAAAAAAAAAGAACAACUAAAAAGAAAACAUUAGAAAAGAAAAAUACUAGAAAAGAAAAACAAACAAAGAGAAGAAAACCUACUAUUAAAAUAAAACAAGAGUGCAAAGAUGGACAUAAUUAAUCCUGAUAAACAGGAUCAUCUAAAAGUAUCUCCUCAACUUCUGGUGUUCUUAACUCUAAAAAUGGUUUCAAUCUUUGCCCAUUGACCUUAAAUAAAUCACCAUUUUUAGGGUUUUCAAUCUCAACUGCUCCAUAAGGGAAAACAGUACGAACUAUAAAAGGACCAGACCAUCGAGAACGUAACUUACCUGGAAAGAGAUGCAAUCGGGAAUUAUAUAAAAGUACUUUCUGACCUGGUGUAAAGGCUUUUCUCAAAAUGUGUUUGUCAUGAAAGACUUUCAUUCGCUGUUUAUAAAUCUUGGCAUUCUCAUAUGCAUCAUUCCUGAUCUCUUCAAGUUCUGCUAGUUGUAAUCUUCUCUUGGAACCAGCCUGCUGCAUGUCAAAAUUGAAUUUCUUGAUCGCCCAAUAUGCACGAUGCUCCAACUCUACUGGCAGAUGACAUGCUUUUCCAUACACAAGUCGAUAAGGUGACAUCCCAAUUGGUGUUUUAAAAGCAGUCCUAUAUGCCCACAAUGCAUCAUCAAGUCUCAAAGACCAAUCCUUUUUAUCUGGCCUAACUGUUUUCUCUAGAAUCUGCUUGAUCUCUCUAUUAGAAAUCUCUACUUGGCCACUGGUUUGAGGAUGGUAUGGGGUGGCAACCUUAUGUGUAACGGAAUAUUUGUUCAAAAGAGUUUUGAAAGGUUUAUUGCAAAAAUGAGUGCCACCAUCACUAAUGAUUGUUCUAGGAAAACCAAAACGAGAUAGAAUAUUACUCUUCAAGAAUUUCACUACAACCCUAUGAUCAUUGGUUUUGCAUGGAAUAGCUUCAACCCACUUCGACACAUAGUCUACUGCAACCAAUAUAUACUGAUAACCACAAGAUGGAGGAAAAGGUCCCAUGAAAUCAAUACCCCAUACAUCGAAGAUCUCAACCACAAGAAUAGGAUUGAGUGGCAUCAUGUUCCUCUUUGAAAUGCUACCCAUACGUUGGCACCUAUCACACAAAGAACAGAAAAUGUAAGCGUCAUGAAAAAGAGUAGGCCAAUAAAAACCACACUGUAAAAUUUUUGUUGCUGUCUUUUUAGCACUAAAGUGGCCUCCACAAGCUUGUUCAUGGCAAAAUGAGAUAACACUUUGAAUUUCAUUAUCGGGAACACAUCGCCUAAUAAUCUGAUCAGCACAAUAUUUAAAUAAAUAGGGAUCAUCCCAAAAGAAGUCUUUCACUUUAGAUAAGAACUUUGUUCUAUCUUGCUUAGUCCAGUGCUUUGGGAUUUGACCUGUAGCAAGGUAAUUAACUAUAUCAGCAAACCAUGGUACGACAUUUACACUCAUAAGUUGCUCAUCUGGGAAAGACUCAUUCAAAGGUAAAGAUUCUGGAAUAAAUUUAACAUCAAGGCGAGAUAAAUGAUCUGCCACAACAUUUUCAGAACCUUUUUUAUCUCUAAAUUCAAUGUCAAAUUCUUGUAAAAGCAACACCCAACGAAUCAAUCUUGCCUUGGCAUCUUUCUUAGUAAACAAAUAUUUUAAAGCAGCAUGAUCAGUAAAAAUAAUCACUUUACAACCUAUAAGAUAAGAUCUGAAUUUAUCAAGUGCAAACACCACAGCUAGCAUUUCUUUUUCUGUAGUUGAAUAGUUCAACUGUGCAUCAUUGAGUGUCAUACUAGCAUAAUAAAUCACAUAAGGCACACGAUCUAAUCUUUGUCCUAAAACUGCUCCUACAGCAUAAUCAGAUGCAUCACACAUAAUUUCAAAAGGCAAAUCCCAAUUAGGUGGCUGAAUGAUAGGUGAAGAAGUCAACAAUUUCUUAAGCUUUGCAAAACCAUCAAGACAAGAUUCAUCAAAGAUAAAAGGUGCAUCCUUAACAAGUAAAUUGCAUAAAGGUCUAGAAAUUUUACUAAAAUCUUUAAUGAAUCUUCUAUAAAAACCAGCAUGUCCAAGGAAAGAUCUUACUUCUUUUACAGAUUUGGGAUGUGGAAGAUUAGAAAUUAAAUCCACCUUAGCUUUGUCGACUUCUAUUCCUUUGCUGGAAAUUAUAUGACCAAGAACAAUACCUUGUUUUACCAUGAAGUGACACUUUUCCCAAUUUAAAACCAAGUUCUUUUCUUUACAUCUCUGCAAAACUAAUGUUAGGUGCUGUAAACAUUCAUCAAAAGAAUCUCCAUAAACAGAAAAGUCAUCCAUGAAUACUUCAAGAAAUCUCUCAACCAUAUCAGAAAAAAUACUAAGCAUGCAUCUUUGAAAGGUAGCAGGUGCAUUGCAUAAACCAAAUGGCAUUCUCCUAUAUGCAAAAGUUCCAAAGGGACAAGUAAAAGUAGUUUUCUCCUGGUCCUCUGGAGCUAUAGGGAUCUGAUUAUAACCUGAAUAUCCAUCUAGAAAACAAUAAAAAUCAUGACCUGCAAGUCUAUCAAGCAUUUGAUCAAUAAAUGGAAGAGGAAAAUGAUCUUUUCUUGUGAAUGAAUUCAAUUUUCUAUAAUUAAUGCAAACACGCCAACCUGUAGUUACUCUAGUGGGAAUUAAUUCAUUAUUAGCAUUAGUAACUACUGUAACACCAGAUUUCUUAGGAACAACUUGAACAGGGCUAACCCAAGAGCUAUCUGAAAUAGGAUAAAUAAUUCCUGCAUCUAAUAAUUUGAUUACUUCAGGUCUUACCACUUCUUUCAUGUUAGGAUUUAGCCUACGUUGCAUUUCCCUAAUAGGUUUAGCAUUUUCUUCAAGAUGAAUACGAUGCAUGCAAUCUACUGGAUUAAUACCUUCAAUAUCAGCGAUGGUCCAUCCUAUUGCCUCCUUAUGUUUUUUUAGAAUACAUAACAACUUACCUUUUUGCUCAAGAUCGAGGGAAGAAGAAAUAAUAACAGGUAGAGUGUCAGAUUCUCCCAAGAAUGCAUAUUCCAGAGUGUCGGGCAAUGCUUUGAGUUCCAAUUUUGGUGGUGCCUCUGCAGAUGGGCCAAUUUUCUUCUCAGAAUGAGGCAGUAGUUCUGACUUUGUCUUCCAUUUAGUUGUGUCCGUAAUUGGAGGUGCAUCAAGUAAAGCGCUGACUUCUGCAAUUGCACUGUCAUCAUUAAAAGAUAAAUCAGAAUGAGUUAGACGUGCCUCUAAUGGAUCAUCAGUAUGGUUAGAAAUGAAUGAAUCUUCUACUAAUUCCUCUAUCAUAUUUGCUUCAACAAAUUCAUCUUCUUCUUGUGGCUGCUUGGUAACAUUAAAAAUAUUCAAUUCCAUGGUCAUAUUACCAAAAGAUAGCUGUAUAUUUCCAUUCCUGCAAUUAAUAAGAGCAUCAGCUGUAGCUAAGAAAGGACGACCUAGAAUAACUGGAGUGUGUUUCUUAGGAUCAUGUACAUGCUGAGUAUCAAUAACGAUAAAAUCAACAGGAUAAUAAAAUUUAUCAAUCUGUAUCAACACAUCCUCUAUAAUACCACGAGGUAUUUUCAUUGACCUAUCAGCAAGUUGCAAAAUAAUAGAAGUUGGCUUUAAUUCCCCUAGUCCAAGUUGCAUGUAAACAGAGUAAGGCAAGAGAUUAACACUAGCGCCUAAAUCCAAUAAUGCUUUAUCAAAACAUUGGUUCCCUAUAACACAUGAGAUAGUAGGAGAACCAGGGUCCUUAAAUUUUGGUGGCAUUUUACAUUGAAGUAAAUUGCUAGUUUGUUCAGUUAAAAACGCCUUUUUAGUGACAUGCAAAUUUCUCUUUUUAGUGCAUAAAUCUUUCAAAAACUUUGCAUAUGAAGGAACUUGCUUAAUAGCAUCGAGUAAAGGGAUGUUUAUACUUACCUGUUUGAAGAUUUCCAUAAUCUCACCUGUUGAAGUCCCUUUCUUUACCUUUGUUAACCUUUGAGGAAAAGGAGCCUUGGGAAUGUAAGCUGGCGGGCCACUCUCUUUAGGAUCAUUUGGUGAUGAGUCUUGUGAUGGAACUGAAUAUGAAGAAGUAGGCUCAGAUAUCUUCCUUGUUUGAACCUCUACUUUGUUGUCAAAUAAUUUUCCUCUUCUCAAGGUCAUAACAGAUUUUGCUUCUUCAUGUUGAUGGCUUGAACUCGAUCCAACUUCGUGCACUCCUUUGGGAUUAGGAAUUGGUUGACUUGGAAAUUUUCCUUUUUCUCUCUCAGCUACAGUAGUUGCUAAUUGACCCAAUUGAUGUUCAAGCUUUAGAAUAGCUUGAGUGUUUGACUGAAAAGCUUGUUGGGUUGACUGAAUGAAACUUUGAAGUGUAUCCUCUAAAGAAGACUUUCUUUGUUGGGGUGCAACAAAUUGAGACAUAGGUUGUUGGGCAGGAGGAUAUACUUGGUUAGGAGGGACAAAUUGUUGAUUGGGCAAGUUAAAUUGUUGUCCUCCUUGGUUUGACAAAGGUUGAUUUUGUUUCCAAGAAAAAUUAGGGUGAUUCCUCCAAUUAGGAUUAUAUGUGGGUGAAUAUGGAUUAUUAGGGGUUUUCUCAUAUGAUUGUAAGGCAUGUACCUGCUCAGAAUAAGCCUCUUGAUAGGCUGGUAAUGAUGGACAAUUCUGUGCUGUAUGAGACACGUUAGAACAAAGAGCACAAACCUCAUUAGCUACACUAGGAUGAUGAUUCAUUGAUUGGUUCAGAGCUAAGGCAUCUACUUUCCUAGAAAGUGUAGCUAGAGUAGAUUUCACAUCAAAAUCAUCCUUAACUUCAUAUAACCCCUUUCUAGAAACUUGAGAUGAUUUUUCUCAUUGAUUUGAAAAAUCCCACUGUUGAGAAUUCUCAGAAAGUGAAUUAAAGAAAUCCCAUGCAGCCCCUUCAUGUAAGUUCAAAAAUCUCCCACCAUUCAUAGACUCUACCAUAUGACGAUUUGACAUGGUUAAACCAUUAUAAAAGCAUUGUAUAAGUCUCCAUUUCUCAAAACCAUGGUGGGGGCACUUAAGGAGUAAAUCAUUGAAUCUUUCCCAACACUCGUAAAAUUGCUCACCCUCUCUUUGAUAAAAAUCAUUUAUCUCUCUCCUAAGGGCAUUUGUUUUAGACAUAGGGAAAAACUUGGUGAGAAACUUAUUACUCAAUUCAUCCCAUGUACUAAUAGACCCAGCAGGAAGUGAAUUCAACCAAGCUUUUGCUUUGUCUUUUAAUGAGAAAGGGAACAUACGAAGCCUAAUUGACUCAUCAUUAAAAUUUUGAAAACGAAAUGUAGAGCAUAUGUCAAGAAAUUCCUUAAUGUGCAAAUAUGGAUCCUCUCUCUCUAACCCAUGGAAAGAUGGUAAAAGUUGAAUGACAGAGGGCUUGAGUUCAAAGUGUGUUGCUGUGGUUUGUGGCAACACAAUACAAGAUGGUUGGUUGGCUGCAAGUGGUGAAAAAUAUUCUCUAAGGGUUUUCUCUGCUUGCAUUGGUGGAAGUAUUGGCAAUAGUCUAUUUGGGUCAUCCAUCACUUCUAAAGAACUAGUUUGACUACUAUCAAUUUUCGACUCUCUUUUAACCAAACGAUUUGUUAAAUCACGUUCCCAAACACUCAUAAACUAACUAGACAAGGAAAGAAAGAAAAAAAAAAAUAAAACAAAUCAACAAUAAUAAAAAUUAAAUAAAAGAAAUCAAACAACCAAACAAUGAAUUUAAAGACAAAUAAUUUUUUUUUUUGUGUUUUUUUUUAAUUAAAAAAAUAUAAAAGACAAUCUAAAUUAUAACUAGUGGAAGAAUCAAAUCAACCUAGAUUAAACUGACUUUCUAGCACAAUCCCCGGCAACGGCGCCAAAAACUUGUUGUGAAAAUUUUAAUAUACUCGCAAGCGCACGAAUCUAGAGAUAGAAAAGUGGUAACGAGGUCGAUCCCACAUGGAUUGUUAUAAAUUGAAAAGUCUAAUUUAAAUCUAAAAUUAAUAUUAAUUCUAACCUAGUUGAGCAAAUUGAGUUUUAAGAGAAAUUAAACUAAUUAAACUAAGAAAACAAUUAAAGUAAAUGAGAAUUUAAUGAGAUAAAAAUUACCAAGGUUUCGGAAUCCACCACUAUUCAAUUAGUAAUUAUCUAAAUAUUAAUUAAUCCCCAAUUUUAGAGUGACAACUCGAAAUCAAUCUAUGUCAUCUCAUGGAUAUAACAAUUAAGCCCAAGUAAUUAAAUCUAAUGUAGGUUCUUUUUCUACUUAAUAAUACGAUAUCUAAGUAUCCCAUGUAAACAUAUUGAAUAACAAAGAGUCAAAGUUUACUAAGCACUCUAUGUAAACAAUUUAAUGAAAGACAUAGAGUCAAAGAUAAUCAUGUAUAAACUUUAUAGAUCCAAGCAUAGAAUUAAUCGAAUAUUAAUCCUAACAAUCAAUAAUGCAUGACAGAAUUGAUGAAAAGAUUUUAUUAACAUCCAAUUAAUCAUGUGAAAUAAAAACCAUAAUCAUCAAAGAACAUAUAUAGGGAAUUAAUUAAAUAAAAAGAUAUAAUUAUUUCAUUGAAUAGGGUUUCAUCCUUAACCUCAGUAUAAGAAAAUUAGCUAGACAUACUUGAAUUGGGAGCAACAAAAUAAAUAAAUUCAGCCAUGGGAAAGCCGAAUUGCUGCAGAUUUUCUUCUCUGUCUUGAAUCCUUGCGUCUGCAGUUCUCCCUUCAGCCACUCCCUCCAAAAGCAAAAACUCUCUUUUAUAAUAUUUAAAAUGGACCCCACCUCUUAAAUCCUAAAGCCAAAAGGCUUGGCCUUUUACUUGAUUUGCUCUCACACGUGAUCACUCUUAGAAUUGCUUUAGGAUUCCUUUUGUAAUUAUGAAAGCCAAAUGUGGGUCCCAUUUAAAUUGCUUUCCAAAUAUUACAAAGCCAUGCACGUGUAACUUAACUAAGCUAAAGCCAAUGUUAUGCUUAAAUUCUUCUUCAUGUGCUAGAUCAAUUAAUUUACUAGCUUCGGUUUCCUUGGCUUCACUUCCACAUGCAUGUAUGUCUAAUUGCUUCUAAAAUCAAUUAAUUAACGCUUCCAAAAUUGAGCUCCCUUAUAUCCUUUUUUAUCCAUAAUCUUCAAUUAAUCCCCUAUUCAAUAAAAUAAUUUAAUUAAUUAAAAAUAACAAAUAAAAAUAACUAGUAAUUAUAUAAUUAAGGGUAAAAUAUGUAUAUAAAUUAUGCUCAUCACCAACAAACAAGUGGCUAUCAAUUCUUUUUCCUCUAACAAAUAGUGGAGACUGUCAAUACAAUAAAAUAAAAGUUGACUAAGAAUUUAUGUAAUUUAAGAAUAUGAUUGGGUUUUUAUUGAAUUGUAUGAUUGGGUUGCACUGAAUUAUCAAAAAAUCUAUUCAAGCAUGCAUUGAUAUUCUCAAAUAUUUAAUGAGUUUCAAAAAUUAUUUUAUUAGAUUUUUGGUAAAUUGGUUCAUUUAUUAGAUGAUCAAUUAUUAAUCAAGUAAUUUUCCAUAUAUAUUUGGUAAUUUACUCAUAAAAUUUUGUGGAUUGCAUUGAAAUGACAGUUUAUAUGAUGUAUGACAUAUGUAGAGCUGCAAUUUAAAUAGGAACUAAUUUUAUAUAUAAAUACAUAUAUAUUGCAGCAUUCAAUCAUUAAGUUAAAGCAUCAAUCACGGUGACCACCGAAACUUGUGAAUGAUUAGUCCAUCAAAAUCCUAUGUGUGGUGAAUUAAUAUUUCCCAAUGGAAUGGUGAGUAGAAUAACACAUGUACCUAACUCAUAUUUAAAAGUUAACUAUAGAGUUGAAGGUUGUUUAAGUAUUAUACACUUUAACCAAAAUCAAUUUUUUUUCACUCUAUUAAUUCACCAAUCAUGGGCAUAAACGUCAUGGGCAUAAAAGCUCAAUUUAUACAAAAACUAAAAAUUUUUGAAAAAAAUGUUACAAUUAUCAUAAUUGGAAAUUUGAUUGAAUUUCAAAGAUUGAUUCAAUCAAUCUUGAUGUUACUGGACAAUCGAUCUUAAUAUUGAUAGUCAAUCUUUACAGUGAUUGGUACGCGUUAAGAUAAUGAGUUUUGGCCUCUAUAAUGACUAAGAAAGACUUGUAAGACCUGAACCAAUGAGGAAACACGCUUCAUUAGUACUCCAUGGAAAAUAAAUGUUGACUGACUUUCGAAUUAAGCUAGCAUACAAAGUACAAACUGUCGUUAAUUCUACUUUUUCCAACAGGUGAUGGGGAUAGUCAACUAAUAAAAUAAAAGUUGAUUGAGGUAAUUUAAAGAAAGGAAAAGGACAAUGAACCCUUAACGUUUGAAAAAAAAUGACAUAAUAUUCCUUAACGUUUAAAAAAAAAAGAUAUAUAAUUCAUUUUUAUUAUUAAAUUUUAUUUUUUAAUAAUAAAUUUAUUUUUAAUUUACAAUUAUUAUUAUGUCCCUAUAAUAAAUAAUUCAAUAUAUUGACUUAAGAAAUGCCAUUGAUAACAUGUAUAAUGAAAUCAAUAACUUUUUAUUUAAAACUUAAAAUUGAGUUGAAAUUAUCUUUUAUCCAAAUUAUUCACUAUAAAUUAUUAAUAUGCCCUUUCCAAUGAUAGGAUGAUAAAAAAAUGAUGAAUAAUAGGUAAAAUUAAAAUCAAAUUUAUCAUUUGGAAGGGUAUGUUCGUAAUUUAGAGUGAAUAAUUUAGGUAAAAAGUAAUUACAUCUUAAUAUUUAAGUUUUAAAUAAAAAAUUAUUAAUUUCAUUAUACCUAUGAUAUGUCUUAAGUCGAUAUAUUAAAUUAUUUAUUAUAGGGAUAUAAUAGUAAUUGUAAAUUAAAAAUAAUUUUACUAUUAAAACAAAUGAAAUUUAAUUAAAAAAAAGGAUUAUAUGUCUUUUUCGAAACAAUAAGGAGUUUUAUGUCAUUUUUCCCAAACGUUAGGAGACUCACGGUUCUUUUCCCUUUAACAAAUUUAAGCGUAAAUUUUGAGUUCAAAUUAUCAAAUAAUUUUUUCCACUAUUGAUUCUUCAAUAAGUGCUUUGGAACUAAUAAUUCGAUAGGAUGUUUGAUAUAUUGAAAUUUGUGAAAAUCAAUAAUCAACUAAUUUUCAUACAUCUUUAGACAUUUUAAUAAAUUACUCAUAAAAUUAUGGUUCAGAGACCGAUAUUAAAAAUUUAUAUAAAUGACUUAAAGAGUAUGAUUGGAUUUACAUUUCCAAUAAUGCAUUCAAGUAUUGAUAUUAUUAGAAAAAAAGGGGGACAAUCAAUCUUUGUGUCAAUUGAUCUUAUUAAUUGACCAUGAAUCUUAGUAUUGACUGACAAAAUUGGAACAAUCACUCUCAGCAAUUAAUAGUCUUUGUCCUCAUCUUUCUUUUGAUUCUUGUCACAGAGGAUGCGUGGCGUGUUGGAGAGGGUUCAUCGCUGGUGGAAUUUUCGUGGCCAUUCAAGAAUCGGGAUGGUUGUUGUAGAAUUCCACAGGGAUUGCCCCAGUCUACGCAAUACAUACUCUCAUGUCCUUUGAGAAAGCUCACGACUUACGAGGCAGAUCAGCAUGUCCUUAUCAUCGGGUUUAAGCUUUUAUGAAUCUGAUGUCUUUCUACUGAUUUUAUUCACAUCCCUACGAUGAUUUUCUAUAAGCAAUUCUGCUAGUUUUUUAUGAAAUGAUGCUAACUGGUAUGAGCUUCUUUGCUUGUGUCCAUCAGAGAUGAAUUCAUGAUACAUAACAUUGUUAUUUAUAUUUGUCUACAAGCUGUUCUGCUGGUUAUUUAUGAAUUAAUCCGUGGAUGAUUGAACUGUAAUUAAGUUCCCCUUGGUCGACGAAUUAAGUUAAAUUAAUUUAUAAAUUAGAAUCAUAGUGGUUUAUUUUAAAAAAGAAAAAGGGAAAAAAAGAAAAGACGACGACAACAACACAUUUUAAAUACUGUCACAAUCUUGGGGUUUUGGGCAUGAAUGCGUCGCCGUUGGACAUGGUAUCUAGACAGGCCCAAAGUUAACACAAACUUGGGUUUUAUCUUUUUCCCGUUGGGCCCAUCAGAACACUGGGCUGGAUUUCGCCUUGUUGUAGAAAAUCGUACUGUUCAGUGGAGAAGCAACAAAAUGGUGCCGGUCCAGAGAAUUCCAGAAUUGACACGGUCUCGUCAACAGACCGCAAGCUCGGAGGGGGAAACUCUUGAUCGAACAUUAAUGACGUAAUAAAGACCUCUUGAGUAUUUCUCACUUUUACAACUUUAAAAAAUUAUUUCUUACAUCAUUAAUGUUAUAAAAUUGUUGUUGUAAUAAUCAUAAUAAUUAUAAUAUUAAUAAUUUACAAACUGCAUUAAUGUAAGCUCUCACUUAACAGAAAGUUAGCAAUAAUUCAAGUGAUUUUCUAGUGAUUGUCAAGUUACUCAUAUACGAAGGAAGUUGACCUUCAAAAUUAUUACUAAUGAGAUCCAAAUCAAUAAGAUUCUUCAAUUCAUAUAUUCCUGCGGAAAUAAAAGUGUCAAAAUUCAUGAUAAGAAGAAAAUGUGCGUUUUAGUUUUCUUAUUGUUACAUGUUCAUUUUAAAUUGAUUCUCUCUAAUAUAUAAUUCUAUUGGAAAUUAUUAUGUAUACAGAGAAAUUCUUUUCAUAAGUAAUAAAUUGUCUACAAAUCAUGACAAUGCACUUAACUUAUCUUAAAAUUAAAAUUAUCAUGUUUUUAGUGAAAAAAUAACUGCUAAUUGUUUCUAAAGUUUACCUUCGCCUUCCAAAGAACCUUUUAUAUUAUUAAAGCUCAAAUCCAAUGCUUCCAAUUGUUUCAAUUAAGGGAAUCCUGCACCGAGAGAAGAAAUAAUGUUACAAGAUGCCGAAUUUCUUAAAUAGGUAGACAGCAUCACGAAAAUUCAACUAUUACCUGGCCAUGUUACCAGUACGCUUGUACUAUUUCUCUUUAGAACUAUAGACACUUGGCUAAUAUGGAGUUUAACUGGUGGAGUGAAUGGUGAUUUGCACGUCACUGAUGUCUCUAAUGCAUCACGAACGAUGCUCAUGAAUCUGAAAACUCUUGAUUGGGAUAAGCCUACACUAGAAACACUAGGGAUACCAACCGAAAUUCGGCCCAAAAUUGUUAGUAAUUCUGAGAUUAUUGGAAAAAUUGGCAAAGGGUGUCCAAUUACUGGAAUACCAAUUUCAGGAUGUCUUGGUAACCAACACGCGGCUAUGUUAGGACAAGCUUGUAAAAAAGGUGAGGCUAAAAGCACCUACGGUACUGGUGCUUUUAUACGUCUGAACACAGGCGAAGAGGUAGUUAAGUCAAAGCAUGGACUUUUGAGCACUUUAGCCUUUAAGCUUGGUCCUAAAGCACCGACAAACUACGCUCUGGAGGGUUCAAUUGCCUCGCUGGAGCUGUAGUUCAGUGGCUCAGAGACAGUCUUGGCAUAAUCAGCAAUGCAAGUGAGAUAGAGGAAUUGGCAUUGCGGGUCAACUCAACUGGUGGGAUUUACUUUGUACGUGCUUUUAAUGGAUUGCUUGCUCCAUGGUGGCGUGAUGACGCCCGCAGCGUUUGCAUUGGGAUUACUAGGUUCACAAGCAAGGCUCACUUUGCUCGAGCUGUGCUUGAAAGCAUGUGUUUUCUAGUGAAGGAUGUGUUGGAUUCAAUGCAAAAGGAUGCAGUGGAGAAGGGUGUCAUAAAGGAUGCAAAGCCGGAGUUCGUGCUUAGAGUUGAUGGAGGUGCUACGGUUAACAACCUCUUAAUGCAGAUUCAGGUUUGCACUUCUCACUUUUUCUAGUGCUCUGUUGCAGUUCUACACAGCUCUUCAUUUGUAUGCAUGACUGAUAACAAUUUCCAAUUUUCUCAUCAAUCGUUCUGCUGUUUAUUUUUUCCUGAAGUAUCCUGUUUUUGGUAUUGUUUCUUCUUAUUGGUUAUAGUUUUGCAGCUAUCAACGCAAAUUUAGCUACUCUGCUUUCUUUUGAAAAAUAUUAUAAUUUCCCAUUUUUGAGCUUCUUGUCUUUGAAUGCAGGUCAGUCGGUCUUUCUAGGGCUCUAGAAAUGUUUAUUUGACACUUCUGCAAGAUUUGUGUGGUACAUUCUUGAGAGAUGUUUUCCAAAUAAACUUUUAGCUGGCUGCUUGCUGAUCAGAAGCUAAAGCAAUGUUUAGAUUCAAAUGCUUUCAAAGGGUCUUACUUUGGGUUGGAAUUAGCUCUAUGGAAAUAAUGGUCAUUUUGAAGAAUCUGAGCUUUAUUCGGACAUCACACUCUCUUCCAUUUUCUGGAAUCCAUUGUUGAUAUUUUAUUGUCUUUCUGCCCUGGAAGGCCAUAUAAAACUGUUCUUAUCAUGAUUUACAGGCGGACUUGUUGGGAAGCCCAGUCCUCAGACCAGCUGACAUAGAGGCAACGGCUCUCGGAGCUGCCUUUGCAGCUGGAUUAGCAAUUGGGGUUUUCAAAGAAGAAGAGAUUUUUGCUUCCAGCGAACGGACUAAGACUUCAACCACUUUCAAGCCCCUCUUAAACGAGGAAUUCAGGAAGAAAAAGGCAGAAUCCCAGUGCAGAGCUGUUGAAAGAACUUUCAACUUGGCGGAUCUCUCUCUUUGAAUUAUGUCUCUGUGGUUUUCAUCAAUCAUCCCUUUUCUCCUUUUUCCUUAUCAGUCUUUACAUCUUUCAUGGUUAAUUGUAUUUCAAGUGAAUAACGUUAUAAUUAAUAAAUGCUUUCUUCUCCUAAUUGCUUUUGUAUAGAUAAAAAUUGGUGCUUUUGUUAGUCUCCUCAAUUGAGAGUUGAGAGAAGUAAUUCUUGCAAGAGAAAAUAAUUUUGUGUGCUUAGUGAUUUGAGAGUUUGGGUGUAUUGGGGUUUUGGGUAGUGAGCUAAAAUACUACAAUACUUGUAACUCCUUUUCACUAGUAUAAUAUUUCUUUCUGUCUUCGCCCGUGGACGUAGGCUAAAAGCCGAACCACGUAAUUUCUGGUAUUCUCUUUUGUGCUUGUUCUUUAUUUUUCUAUCAAUUUUACUUUAGCUGCGUGUCUGCUUCACCCACCAAUUUCCUAACAGUGGUAUCAGAGCUAUUGGUUGUAUUUUUUGGAGUCAGGAACUGUUCACGUAAGGGGUACUAUUCACGUAUACGUCACUAUACACGUAUACGAUACUAUUCACGUAUACGGUAUUGUUCACGUAUACGGUAUUGUUCACGUAUACGGUUUUGUUCACGUAUACGGUACUAUUCACGUGAAACGGUGGGAGCGAUCCAAGAAUUUUGCGGUGCAAAGCAGGGAAUAGUGGUGUGAGUAAAACAAUUGUGUGGUUUUGUACAUGUCUAGGAAAGUUCUGUCACAAAGGCGAUAAGAGCUUAAGGAGUCUGGGUUUUAAGUGGGACCAUUGUGACCCCUCCAGUCUUUCCUGGGAACUUUCCUGGUGUGCAUUCUCACACAUACUCAUAACUAUUCAAGGUGGUAUACCAGCUUGUGUGCAGUAUUUAUCAACAAAAUGGCGGCAAAGUAUGAAAUUGAGAAAUUUAACGGAAAUAAUUUUUCGUUGUGGAAAAUGAAGAUGAAAGCUGUAUUGAGGAAAAAUAAUUGCUUGGCAGCAAUUGGAGAAAGGCCCAUGGAGAUAACUGAUGACAAGUGGAACGAGAUAGAUGGCAACGCCAUUUCUGAUCUACACUUGGCACUUGCAGACGGAGUAUUAUCCAGUGUGGCAGAGAAAAACACAGCGAAGGAAAUAUGGGAUACUCUCACAAAAUUGUACGAGGCCAAGUCACUACACAACAAAAUUUUCUUGAAGAGAAAACUCUAUACUCUUCGAAUGGCGGAAUCUACAAUGGUGACCGACCACAUCAACACAUUGAAGACUCUAUUUUCACAACUCACAACAUUGGGUCAUAAUAUAGAGGAAAAUGAACGUGCAGAGCUUCUACUUCAAAGUCUACCAGAUUCGUAUGAUCAACUCAUCAUCAACCUGACGAACAACAAUCCAGUGGAGAGUCUAGUUUUCGACGAUGUUGCAGCCUCCGUAUUAAAUGAGGAAAGCAGGCGGAAAAAUAAGGAAAAUAGACAAGCAAGUUCGCAGCAAGCGGAGGCGCUAUCGGUGAUGAGAGGGAGAUCAACGGAACGUGGCCCCAGUGGGAGUCAAAAUCAUGGUAGAUCAAAAUCUAGAAGUAAGAAGAAUGUUAAAUGCUACAACUGUGGCAAGAAAGGACACGUCAAAAAGGAGUGUUGGAGUAAUCAGAAGAGAAGAGAGGGUAAAGAACCUGAGUCAUCAAAUGCUCAGGGGUGUGUAGCAAGUACCUCGGAUGAUGGUGAAAUACUCUACAGUGAGGCAACAAUUGUUUCAGAAGGCAGAAAACGACUUUCUGAUGUUUGGCUUAUAGACUCAGGAGCUACCUGGCACAUGACCUCUAGGAGAGAAUGGUUCCACACAUAUGAACCUAUCUCAGGAGGAUCUGUAUAUAUGGGUAACGAUCAUGCCUUGGAGAUCGCUGGUAUUGGUACUAUCAAAAUAAAAAUGUUUGAUGGUACAAUUCGCACAAUUGGAGAGGUACGACAUGUCAACGGCCUGAAGAAAAAUCUAUUGUCUUUAGGACAAAUGGAUAGUCAUGGGUACAAAACUCAUGUGGAAAAUGGAAUUAUGAAGAUCGUUAAAGGCGCGCUUGUAUUGAUGAAGGCAGAAAAGAUCGGUGCUAAUCUAUUCAUGCUUAAAGGAGAAACGCUACAGGAGGCUGAUGCGUGUGUCGCAUCAAAUGGAGAAGAGUUAACGAUGAUGUGGCAUCUCAAACUUGGCCACAUGUCGGAACAAGGUUUGAAGAUUCUCUUUGAGCGAAAAUUGCUUCCAGGGCUCAAAUCGGUAAGUUUACCAUUUUGCGAGCAUUGUGUUACAAGUAAGCAGCAUAGAUUAAAAUUCAGUAGAUCUAUUGUUAGAAGUAAAUGCAUUCUAGACUUGAUUCAUUCUGAUGUUUGGGAAUCACCGGAUAUAUCCAUGGGAGGUGCAAAGUACAUGGUGACUUUCAUUGAUGAUUAUUCCAGAAGAUGUUGGGUGUAUCCAAUUAAGAAAAAGUCAGAUGUAUUUUUAGUGUUUAAAGAAUACAAAGCGCGGUUGGAACUUGAAUCUGGUAAAAAGAUCAAGUGCUUAAGGACGGAUAAUGGUGGAGAGUAUACAGACGGUGAGUUUCUUGCUUUCUGUAAGCAAGAAGGUAUUCAGAGGCAGUUCACGGUGGCAUACACUCCUCAACAAAACGGAGUGGCGGAGCGGAUGAACAGAACUCUUACAGAAAGAAUAAGAGCUAUGUUGAGGACUGCUGGUCUACCCAAUUCAUUCUGGGCAGAAGCAGCCAAAACUGCAUGUUAUAUAGUAAAUCGAUCGCCAUCUACAGCUAUUGGGCUGAAGACAGCGAUGGAGAUGUGGACUGGAAAGCCAGCUGAUUAUUCCUACCUACAUGCAUUUGGAUGUCCUGUGUACGUGAUGUACAAUGCCCAAGAAAGAACAAAGCUGGAUCCAAAAUCUAGAAGAUGUAUCUUCUUAGGGUGUGCUGAUGGAGUAAAGGGGUAUCGUCUGUGGGACCCCACUGCCCACAAGAUCGUCAUCAGCAGAGAUGUUAUCUUUGUAGAAGAUCAACUGCAAAGGAGAGAUGAGGAUGAUGGCACUACAAAAGAAAAGUCAGAGACUGUGCCAGUAUAUGUGGAAAAUAAUCUAGAAGAUUCAGAUUCUUCUGAAGCAGCACCAGAGCACGAGGAACAAGAACCAGUCGAGUCUGAGGCUCUAGAAGUUCGUCGGUCAACUCGUGAGAGACGACCACCGACGUGGCACUCGGAGUAUGUCACAGAGAUCAACAUUGCAUACUGUCUUCUAACAGAGGAUGGAGAGCCUUCAACUUUCCAUGAAGCUUUAAACAGCUCAGAUGUUGCUUUGUGGAUGAUAGCAAUGCAGGAAGAAAUUGAAGCUCUACACAAGAACAAGACAUGGGAACUUGUACCACUACCACACGGAAGAAAAGCCAUUGGAAACAAAUGGGUAUACAAGAUCAAACGUGAUGGCAAUGACCAAGUGGAGCGGUAUCGUGCGAGAUUGGUGGUGAAAGGAUAUGCUCAGAAAGAAGGUAUUGACUUCAACGAGAUAUUUUCGCCGGUGGUUCGACUCACAACAGUCAGAAUAGUUUUGGCAAUGUGUGCCACAUUUGACCUACAUCUAGAGCAGUUAGAUGUGAAAACUGCAUUUCUUCAUGGAGAACUUGAAGAAGAAAUAUAUAUGCUCCAACCAGAAGGUUUUGCAGAAACAGGAAAAAAGAACUUGGUUUGCAGGUUAAACAAAUCUCUAUACGGUCUCAAACAGGCGCCGAGGUGUUGGUAUAAGAGAUUUGAUUCCUUCAUAAUGAGCCUUGGAUACAACAGACUCAGUUCAGACCAUUGUGCAUAUUACAAGAGGUUUGAAGAUAAUGAUUUCAUCAUUUUGCUGUUGUAUGUGGAUGACAUGUUGGUAGCAGGUUCCAACAAAGAUCGAAUCCAAGAAUUGAAGGCACAGUUGGCUAGGGAGUUUGAAAUGAAGGACUUGGGACCAGCAAACAAGAUUCUAGGGAUGCAAAUUCACCGAGACAGAAAUAACAGGAAAAUUUGGCUUUCACAGAAGAAUUACUUGAAGAAAAUCUUGCGACGCUUCAACAUGCAAGAUUGUAAGUCAAUUUCUACCCCACUUCCUGUUAAUUUCAAAUUAUCCUCAAGUAUGUGUCCUAGCAAUGAAGCGGAGAGGAAGGAGAUGUCUCGAGUACCGUAUGCAUCAGCAGUGGGAAGUUUAAUGUUCGCUAUGAUAUGUACAAGACCGGACAUUGCACAAGCAGUGGGAGCAGUCAGUCGAUACAUGGCGAAUCCUGGCGGAGAGCAUUGGAUAGCUGUGAAGAGGAUUCUGAGAUACAUCAGAGGAACCUCAGAUGUUGCAUUAUGUUAUGGAGGAUCAGAGUUUACUGUCAGGGGCUAUGUGGAUUCAGAUUUUGCAGGAGACCUUGAUAAAAGAAAAUCCACUACUGGUUAUGUGUUUGCACUUGCAGGAGCAGCUGUAAGCUGGGUUUCGAAACUGCAGACCGUUGUGGCUUUAUCUACAACAGAAGCAGAGUACAUGGCAGCUACACAAGCUUGCAAGGAAGCUAUUUGGAUACAAAGGUUAUUGGAGGAGCUCGGGCACGGACAAGAGAAAAUUUCUGUAUUUUGUGACAGUCAGAGUGCCUUGCACAUUGCAAGGAAUCCAGCCUUUCAUUACAGGACAAAGCACAUAGGAGUUCAGUAUCACUUCGUUCGUGAAGUAGUGGAAGAUGGAAGUGUGGAUUUACAGAAAAUCCAUACUAAGGAGAACCUAGCAGAUGUUUUGACCAAGCCGAUAAAUACUGAUAAGUUUGUCUGGAGUAGAUCCUUUUGUGGCCUAGCAAAAAUGUAGGCAACAUGUUUAUGGCGAAGAAGAAAGGAUGAUGUGGAGAUUGAUUGAUUUUCAAUCAAAUCUCCAAGUGGGAGAAAUGUCAAAGGCUGGUGGCCACAAAGCCAAUUCAAGUUGGCUUUGACAAGCCGGCCAAAGAAAAUGGUGAUGCCGGCCAAAGAAAAUGGUGCCAUCCAAAUGGAGAAAAAGAAGAAGUUGGCAACAACAUUUGAAAUAUAUACAUAUAUAUAUUAAUUUAAUAGCCAUUUUUUGGCUAUAAAAGGAAGAGCUCCCUAAUUCAUUUUAUUCCAAUCUUGAGAGGCAAUUUUUUGUAGAGAGAGUUGAGAGUUGAGAGAAGUAAUUCUUGCAAGAGAAAAUAAUUUUGUGUGCUUAGUGAUUUGAGAGUUUGGGUGUAUUGGGGUUUUGGGUAGUGAGCUAAAAUACUACAAUACUUGUAACUCCUUUUCACUAGUAUAAUAUUUCUUUCUGUCUUCGCCCGUGGACGUAGGCUAAAAGCCGAACCACGUAAUUUCUGGUAUUCUCUUUUGUGCUUGUUCUUUAUUUUUCUAUCAAUUUUACUUUAGCUGCGUGUCUGCUUCACCCACCAAUUUCCUAACAUCCUCAUGCUCUAAGCUGAUUUAUUUGAUAGGUAAUUUAAUUCUUCUGCAAUUUGAUUAGAAGGAUCACUCGAAUUCUGAUAAAUUGUAAAGAACUUGCAAGGCUUAAAAGCUAUGGGAAGUAGUUCAUUUGAAUCACGAGAAAAUCAGACGAAAGGUAAGUAGAAACCUUGAAUCUAGUUUCUGAAAAAACAUAUACCAGAUUGCAGAAAAGCCAAUAGAAUACGUAGUGCUAGAAAACAAGUGGCACAUCCUUAUUCUUUCGAUUAUAAUCGUGCUCUACGAUCACCAAUAGAUUACAUAUUUGAAAAGCCAAUAGUAACAUAAGUCAAUACAUUCUUCAAUGAAAUAAAACCAUAGUUUGCGCCAAUAUGGGUUUACCCAAAGGAUCGCGAGUAACCCCAACAUCACUGUGACGCAGGACGCAACGAAACUCCAAUAUAAUGCCACCAUAUCAACCGCAGAUUCGUCUUCUGCUCCUUUGGAUGAUGUUUCUAGCAACUCUGGGAGAUGGUACAGCUCUUGUUAAUUGGUGGACAGCAAAGAUUGAGAUUUCCUCUAUAGCUGCUUUCAUCAAAUGUGGAAAAUUGCUCUUUGUCUGGGAUUGGGCAGGACAAAUUGUUGUAUGACACAUCGAAUUUAGAUAAACUGUGAAGUUCAGUCAACUGAGGAGGAAUUUGACCAUUUAAUUUAUUGUGGGAAAGGUCUAGGCUCUCUAUCAUUUUCAGAUUGGAAAAGCUCUCAGGUAUAGAACCCGACAAGAAAUUAUGAGAUAAAUUCAAUCCAUGAAUAUUUCGAAGGUCACCAAUUUCUGAUGAAAUGUCACCUGUUAACUCGUUGCUCGACAAAUCUAGUCCUGCCAUGUAUUCAAGAAUGACACCCUUGUAAGAUUCAUAUCUGUUCUUUGUCAUAAAAUUCACCACUACUUGUGUAUCUAACGUUCUAGUAUCGCUUCUAUCCAGCGACAGUGGAACAGUAGAAUUAUAGUAAUUAUAGAUGUCUUCAAGAUCUAAAUCCCUACCUCGCUCAACUAACCCAUACAAAUCUCCAUUUCCUACCUUCCAAAACAACAAAUUAGUAAUACAUGAAGGUAUUGAACCAUUAAGCCUGUUGUGUGAGAGAUCCAUGAUACUUAAUUUUCGCAAUUGACACAAUUGAUGAGGAAUAGGUCCUUGUAGAUAAUUCCCUUUCAAAAGAAGAGCACGCAGGUUUGAAUGCUCAUUGAUCCCAUAUGGAAUUCUACCAGAAAAAUAAUUAUCCCUCAAAUCUAAAAUCUCCAAUGCAGAGCCUCUGAAAAAUGUAUUUGGAAUUGACCCACCAAGUAAUAGAGAUGAUAAUCAAUUGAAACUGAUAAACUUAGGCUUCCAUUUCAGUUUGUAUGUAUCUAGCUGUCACCCAUAGAUAUAGGAUUCAGUUUGUAACUUCCCUAGUUUAUAGGAUCUUCAAUUAUCCUCUAAUGUAUUUAUAUACGGUUGAUUUAUCAAUAAGGAGUGUUCAGUUUUACAAAUCUGUCAUGGUAUCAGAGCUCAACCAGAGAUGACAAACUCAAAUAUUCAUUUUACUUUUCUUCUCACAUCCCAUUCCUUUCUUCACUCUCGAACAGCCAUGGCUACUUCUUCCCCCUCCAUUCUCAACACCAAUGAAUCCCAAAACGCCCUCAUCAGCAUAAAUGUUGCUGCCCAAACCCCUCUAAAACUCACCUCCACCAACUACCUCUCAUGGAAACUACAAUUUCACACCCUCUUCAUUGGCUAUGACCUCCUAGGCUAUAUAGAUGGCUCAAAGCCAUGUCCCCCAGCCACUCUCACACAAAAUGCAACAACCAUAACCAACCCUGCUCACACUCUCUAGAUCCGACAGGACCAGUUAAUCUUGGAUGCAAUCAUUGGCUCCCUCUCCCACACCAUCAUACCAUUCAUUGCCCGAGCCACGACCGCUCACGAAGCAUGGACUAUCCUGGCCACCACAUACGCCAAGCCUUCUCGUGGCCGUAUUAAACAAGCCAAAAGCCAACUCAAGAUGAUCACUAAAGGCUCUGACACUGUCACAAUGUUUUUGCAAUCCAUCAAGGCAAAGGCUGAUGAGCUUGCCCUUCUUGGAGCACCACUAGAUGCGGAAGAUCUCAUCGAAAAGAUACUUGAUGGCCUUGGCGAUGAAUACAGAGAACUCACACGUGCUGUCCAAGCCAAAGACAUGCCUAUAACCUUUGAGGAACUACAUGAAAAGUUGCUCAACUUUGAAGCUUCAAUGCUCACCACCAAACCAGAACCCCUUCACUUUCCUGCCACUGCUAAUUCCACGAGCAAAAAUCCAGCACCUUGGCGCUCACCUGCACCUUCAAGGACCACCAAUAAUUCAUGGCGUCCCUCCCACAACCACUAAAACAAGUAUCCUACUCCACCAAACAACAGCCAACUGUCAACUCAAGGUAAUCGUCCAUCUCAGCCAUACUUGGGUUAUUACCAAAUUUGCAGGAUACAAGGACAUACAACAAAAAGGUGUCCCUCAUUUCGGCUAGUCCCAGUUAACACAUCCAACAGUAAUACAGGAAGUCCUUCUUCUGCUUUGUCCAAUCACUCUGCAACUCCAUGGCAACCAAGGGCUCAUUAUGCUUCCAAUACACCUAGUACUACAUCUUGGCUCCUGGACAGUGGAGCCUCUCACCAUGUUACAGCUAAUCUAAACAAUCUCUCCAUGCAUGCUCCAUAUAAUGGCUUAGAUGACAUUAUGAUCGGUGAUGGCUCGGGUCUCUCCAUUACUCAUACCGGUUCUACUUCUCUCUCCACAACUUAUAACAAUUUUCAAUUGAAUAAUGUCCUCUGUGUUCCUGCUAUGAAAAAGAAUCUCAUUUCAAUUUCUCAAUUUUGUACCUCAAAUAAUGUCUCUAUUGAAUUCUUACCAACUGCUUUUCUUGUAAAGGACAUUCGCACGGGGGCAACACUUCUGAAGGGCCAAACUAAGGAUGGCGUUUAUGAGUGGUCGGUAUCUCCACCCUUGCUUGCAUUUUCCAGCAUCAAAACAACCUUAUCCGAGUGGCAUCAAAGACUAGGACACCCAGCUUUUCACAUUCUGAAACAUAUUGUUUCCCAAAAUAAUCUCGAUAUCUCUUCUUCAUUAUCCAAUAACUUUUCAUGUAAUGCUUGUCUAAGUAAUAAAAGCCACAAAUUAUCAUUCUCUCAAUCUACAAUUGUCUCUUCUCAACCCCUUGAAACUAUCUUUUCUGAUGUUUGGACUUCUCCAAUUCUAUCAAAUAAUGGAUUUAAAUAUUAUUUCAUUUUUGUAGAUCAUUUCACCAAAUAUAAUUGGUUCUAUCCUCUCAAAGAUAUUUUUAUCCGAUUUAAAGCCAUUGUUGAAAAACAUUUUGAUAAACCCAUCAAAAUGCUUUACACUGACAACGGUGGUGAAUAUAUUACCCUUGCCCAUUUUCUUUCAACAAAUGGUAUUUCUCAUCUCACUACACCACCUCACACACCUGAACACAAUAGUUUUUCUGAACGUAGACAUCUUCAUAUUGUAGAGACUGGAUUAGCAUUACUCUCUCAUGCCUCUCUUCCUUUACAUUAUUGGCCUUAUGCCUUAGCCACAGCAGUUUAUUUAAUAAAUCGAAUGCCCAUACCCACAUUAAACCUUUCCUCUCCUUAUGAAAAAAAUUUUACACUAGCCCCUAAUUACUAAAAACUAAAAACUUUUGGCUGUUUAUGCUAUCCCUGGCUUAGACCGUAUACAACUAACAAACUAGACACUCGAUCCAAACCAUGUGUCUUCCUUGGAUACUCUUUAACUCAGAGUGCUUACUACUGCCUUAAUCCAUCCACUUCCAAAAUAUAUGUCUCUAGGCAUGUUAAAUUAGUUGAGUCAGUUUUUCCCUUCAGUCAUCGCUCUGUUCCAUCCUCUUAUCCACAAUCAGACUUCAUUGCUACUUGGAUUCCACCACCUCUUCGCAUUCCCACCUUGCCAUUGGUACCACCACUCAAUUCGUCAUCUACAGUGGACAGUCAACAGCAAACCCCCAGAGAAGUUUCACCAUCAUCAGCCCUGCCUGUCACUUCUGUUCCACCACCAUCAUGAGCACCUUCAAAUACCAACAAUCCCCAACAACCAUCACCACAUAUAAACCCACCCGAGCCUCAGCCACAAAACACCCACACCAUGACUACUAGAGCCAAAAAUAAUAUUCGCAAACCCCUCACCAAAAUGAAUCUUCACACCCAAUUAACCAUAGGCGAUGAUAAUGAACCCACCACAUUAACCAAAGCUCUCAAAGAUCAUAAAUGGCGUCCAGCCAUGUCUGAAGAGUAUGACGCUUUAGUAAAGAAUGGCACAUGGGUUCUAGUCCCACUGGAUAGAAAUCAAAAUCUGGUUGGCUGUAAGUGGAUUUUUAGAACUAAACGCAAAUAUGAUGGCUCUGUUGACAGGUUCAAGGCUCGAUUGGUUGCAAAAGGUUUCCACCAACGCCCUGGAAUAGAUUACUAAGACACUUUCAGUCCAGUUGUAAAACCGACUACUGUCCGAAUUGUUCUCAGUAUCGCAGUCAGCCGUGGUUGGUCCUUAAGGCAACUUGAUGUAAACAAUGCCUUUCUUCAAGGCCAUUUAUCAGAAAAUGUAUACAUGUCACAGCCACCGGGAUUUGUUGAUAAAGAUAGCCCCUCAUAUGUCUGCAAACUCAACAAAGCAAUAUAUGGCCUCAAACAAGCCCCCCGUGCGUGGUACCAUAAUUUGGCUUUCAAAAUUCCCAUGCUAAUACAUCCCUCUUUGUCUUUCAUAAUGGUGGCCACACUAUGUAUCUCAUUGUUUAUGUUGAUGAUUUAAUUCUCACAGGAGACAAUACAACCACAGUUAAUCACUUCAUUGCUAUUCUUGCUUAGCGGUUUUCCAUCAAAGACCUUGGCUUUCUGACUUACUUUCUGGGUGUAGAGGUUGUACCAAACAAACAUGGCUUGUUACUUUCACAAAGGCGAUCUAUUAUGGAUCUCCUCACUCAAACCAAGAUGCAAGACGCCAAGCCUGUUCUUACUCCCAUACCAACUAGUCCAACUCUCAUGUUAACCUCCGGUUCUCAUCUGUUGAAUCCAACCGAGUAUCGCCAUGUGGUUGGGAGUCUCCAAUAUUUGCUAAUAACAAGACCAGACAUCGCUUUUGCUGUCAACAAACUCUCCCAAUAUAUGCACUACCCAACAACUGAACAUUGGUCAUUUGUCAAACGGUUACUACGUUAUCUUGUUGGCACCAUUGAUGAUGGUCUACAACUCUACAAUGACUCUACUCUCAGUUUGCAUGCCUUCUCCGACACUUCUCUUAGUUUACAUGCCUUUUCUGAUGCUGAUUGGGCAGGGGACAAGGAUACUUUUUGCUCAACCAGUGCUUAUGUUGUAUAUCUUGGUAAAACUCCUAUCUCCUGAAGUUCUAAAAAGCAACGAACUGUUGCUAGAUCCUCCACUGAGGCAGAGUAUCGUUCCGUCGCAAAUACAGCUGCUGAACUUAAUUUCAUUUGUUAUCUCUUGACUGAUCUUGGCAUUUCACUUCCCAAUUGCCCUGUCAUUUACUAUGAUAAUAUUGGAGCAACUCAGCUAUGUUCCAAUCCAAUUUUUCAUUCCCGAAUGAAGCAUGUUGCAAUAGAUUUCCAUUUUAUCCGGGAUCAAGUUCAACAUGGUACUCUCCGCGUCGUUCAUGUCUCUUCUGACGAUCAGCUUGCUGACGCUCUUACCAAGCCACUUCCAAAACAACGUUUUCUUCGACUUAAACACAAGAUUGGACUUCUCUCCCGAGCUCCAUCUUGAGGGGGCAUAAUAGAGAUGAUAAUAAAUUGAAACUGAUAAACUUAGACUUCCAUUUCAGUUUGUAUGUAUCUAGCUGUCACCCAUAGAUAUAGGAUUCAGUUUGUAACUUCCCUAGUUUAUAAGAUCUUCAAUUAUCUUAUAAUGUAUUUAUAUACGGUUGAUUUAUCAAUAAGAAGUGUUCAGUUUUACAAAUCUGUCACCAAGAGCAUUAUUUUGCAAAUAAAGGCACGCCACUGAUGAAAGAUUCAGGGUAGAUAUCAUGGAUCCGGACAAAUUAUUUUCGGAGAUAUCUGGAAUGUAAAGACCUGCAAGAUUCUGGCAUUGGACUGGAAUAUUACCUUCCAAAUGAUUGUUGGACAUUGACAGAGUAUGAAGAUGUGAGAAAUUGCCCAUCCAAGUGUUGGGAAAAUAUGCUCUUUAAAAGCAUAUGUGUUUAUUUAAUUGUAAUAAACAAUUUUUUCUGAUUAAUAAAAUAAAUGAGGUAUUUUAUUCAAAUAUCUUAAUUGCAUUAAUAUUUGUAUUAAAGUCCAUUUAAUCAUAUUAUAUGUAUUUAUGUGAUCACCAUGUGGAUUCACAGAAGACAUAAAUACAAGUUAUCUUAUGAUUAAAUAAAUUUAGUUCGCAGUUGAUAAAUAAAGUUGGGCACUUUAUUUAGGUAUAGACUGUAAUAAAUUCAUUGAAUGAUUUGUCUUAAUCAUGUAUGAAUUUAUUGAUGUAGUACGACUACAUUGAACAGGAUCACAUAUGAGAUUUAAUUAACUUUGUAAUAACUGUCAGACUUAUUAAAUCUCAUAGGCGUUGAUUUUACUGUAAUCUUAAUCUUGAGUUAAUUAUGAUUUCAUGAUUGUGAUUGUUAUUUCAUUUGAGUUACCUAUGGGCACGACACAUCCUUGUGAUCAAGAUUACCCGGUAUCUUGGUGGGAGCAAUUAUGAGUAUUGGAGUUAUGGAUUAACAAUAUAGAAUUUGUACAACACAUCUCUUGAUAGGUUUUCGGUACUUGAUCAUAGAAUUCUCUGGCCAGAGUGUGUCAACAUAUUUAGUAUGUUGAAAAUGAUCAUUAGAGAAAACCAGUAAGGAUCAAGGAAUAAGAUGUUAUUAAAUUGAUUGGACAGUUGAGAUAUCAAUUUAAUUAACGAUGUGGUACAAAGGAUUGUGCAGUAAAGAAAUCAAUGUGGCUUGGGACGAAUUAUUAUUCGAGCAUACAAUUAUGGAAGUCAGUUCCAAUCUUUUAGUGGAGUAGAUUUGGAAUUAAAUAAUUGGGCUAGUUUAAUUACAUGCCUAAUUAUUGUAGCCACUAUUGUAUGUUCCCAAAUGAUCCCCGGGUUAGCUCAUUUAAUUGAUUGCACCACUACUGGACUAAUAAGUAAGAUAACUAGCAAUUUGGGUCAAAAGCCUAAAUAUAUCAUUUAGUGGGAGGCUCCAUUUAAUUAGCUUUUGUAUAAGGGGCCUUAUGUUAUUUUACAAGGUGGGUCCCGUAUUGAAAAAGCAAAUAACGUGGGUUUUGAUUUUUCAUUAUUUGGAGCCUAGGGUUUUCACUAAAGGGAGAUAUAUAAGGCUUAUUUUUCUCAACAGAAAAAAGAGAAGCCACUUUAUACAGAUCAGAGAAAAAGAUUUUUCUCUCCAUUGUUGAGAGAAAAAUUUUCUCGUGCUAGUUGCUUUGGUAGUGAUAAAGGCGCCCACACGUCAAGUGCAGAUCGAACCUGAGUCAUAACCUGGAAGAUCAUUGGAGACAGUUCGUGAUCUAACAAGCGUGGUGGUGACGGAUCGUGAUCUAACAAGAGUGGUGGUGGCGGAUCGUGAUCUAGGAGCCUAAAUCACUUCAGCGGAAAAAAGCCAACUCAGAUUUUCAAGGUACGAUUUCUGAAUUACGUAUUCCUAUAUAUUAUAUGAGAGCGGUCCAUAAAAAGGUUUUAUAAAAAUUUAAAAAUCGGAUUUUUCCCUACACCAAGAAGGAAUAUGACCAGACAAGAUGUUGUUGGAUAUAUCUAAGUCUUCUAAUUUAGUGGACCUUAACAAUCCAUCUUUAAUCUUCCGACUGAAAUUAUCAUUGUGCAGAUAUAACGCCCACAAUUGAGUCAUGUUCAUGUAAGUGGCAACUCAUUCUAGCGAGAAGCAAUUGGUAACUGGAGAUUAGGAUAAUUCUCCUGCAAAAUUGUUAUUAGACACGUCCAGAAAACGAAGCCCUUGCAUCUUGCCAAUAGAAGAAGGAAUAUUGCCUUCAAAACUAUUUUUUGAUACAUUCAUAUAGACCAAUUUCGGAAGGACAAUAUCCAUAUUCUGCGGGAGCUCACCAGUGAAACUGUUACUAGAAAUAUCUAGACUAAGCAAACCAUGUUGGGCACUGGUCAGUUGAAACCCUGAGAAUGAGUUGUUAACCAAGUACAAAAGUUCCAAUUUUGUGUUGUUUUCCAACAACCAAGUUGGGAAAUUGCCAGCCAACUUAUUGUGAGAGAGAUCAAGGUAUUUUAAGUUAAAUUGGAGUAUAAGAAAAUUAGGAAUGGCACCUAAGUUGCAGUUGGGUAAACUGAGGACUUUCAGUUGAAACGUAGGGAGGCAGUUUUCUAUUUCGACUUGUAACAAAUCGGUUUCCAUCGAUAGUUGGAAGGCCUCAAAUUUCGAGAGGUUAGCUAAUGAAUAGAAUGAAAACAAGCGCCCUUUAAAUCUGUUGUCGUAAAGAGCCAAAUAUUCAAGGGAUGUGAGGUUUGCAAUUACUGAAGGUAAAAUUCCACUUAACUUAUUGGAAGAAACAUCAAGAACUUUGAGGUGGGUAAGAUUGUUGAGACACUGAGGAAGAUGACCUUCAAACUUAUUUCCUCCAAAAUUCAGCUCAAAAAGAUUUUUCAACUCACAUAUUCCUGAAAUGUGAAAAAUAAAGGAGUCAAAAUUUAUAAAAAGAUUCAAGUUCUAAAUCGGUGACAUUUGUAGUUUUGUACAUUUGACACUUUCAUCAGUAAUAAAAUUACUUUACCUAUCAGGUGGUGCUUCCUUGUAAAUUUUUAAUACUAUGUUUCUUCUACAGAAGCCUUUCAACAUUUUUUUAAAAAAAACUAUUCAUGUUAUUAACUCAAGAUCUUUCAACAUUUUUUAAAUUAAAUUUUUUAGACUAAAAAUAAAAUUUUUUAUAUUGCUAAAUUACUGAAAUAAUAAAAUAAUUAUCUAAAUCAGGGCUGGAAUUUAGAAGAGACAGGCAGGGGCCAUUACCCCUAUAAGAAAAAUUAUAAAAAAAAUAAUAUACAACAUAAAAAUAUUUGUACAAAUAAAACAAAGAAGAAUAAUCUUUUAGACUAAGAAGAAGAAGUCUGUAUAAGAUCAAAAAAGCAGAACCAAAUAGUCCACUUACUGGGCCCAACGCCUACUGACCUUUGUAAAUAAAAAUAAUAUUUUUAUUGUUUAGACGCGAGAUACAUUCUUUAAGAAAAAAUAUGUAUUAAAAAGUCUAAUUUCUUUCAGUAAGAGUUCAACUAACGUUGAACUUUCAAUCCUUAACCAAGAGCCAUGCCCCUAAAUCGUCAAGAAUAUUUUUGUACUUUGAAAGAAGUAAUGCUCAAAUUUGAGAUUUUUUUUUUUAUAAUUUUCAUUCUUUACUGAACAAUAUGUUUUGAUAGAGAAUGUGAAAUCUUAUUGAAAUAUUAAUAUAUUAUCAAAAAACCUUUUUUUUUGGUUAUGCUAAUGAAUGCUUAUUUAAAUUAGAAGUUUGUAUUGAUUUUUUUAAUACUCUUCGGCCCUUUUAAAGAAAAAGUCUUGGCUGCUAUUAGCUAAAGUGGGCUUGUUCUGCCUCUAAUCUAAAUCAAGCUGCACUAAUUUGUAUUUAAAAAUAUUUUUUCUUAUUAAAAAAGAGCUAAAAAUAGAUAAAUCACAUGAUAAGAUUUUUUAACUUGAAACAAUUAAUUUAAUUGAAUUUAUUUUUCUAAAACUAGAAAAUGAAUAGAAUUAUGCAAGAGCUUGGUUUAAGAUGAAUAACAAUAUUUUUUAAAUUUUAAUAAAACAUUUAUUUUGUUUUAAAUUAAUAAAUUUUAAUUUAUAGUUUAACUAGAUAAAUGUGGAAGGGAUUGGGUUAAAAUGAGUAAUAUUACUUUACAAAUUUUAAUAGUUUACGUAGAAUGAUUUUAAAAUGUCUUGACUAGAAAUGAUAAUCUUUUAUUUUGUUAUUUUUUUACAAGUGGUAUAACAAUUUUAUCCCCUUGGAUUUAACUAAUUUUUUAAAUUAUUUAUUUUUACGGUUUUAUAUUGUUUUAUGUCCUUUUUAAAGUUAUGGGGUAUUUAUAAUAGUUUAAACAUAUAGGUAUUUAAUUAUAUUUUAACUUGACUUAAGAUAUUUAAUUUUUAUCAUGGCGAUAUUUCCACCCCAUCUUUUGUGUAAGAGUGAUGAUACAACUAUAAACUCUUAUAUAAACUGAUUUACCAUUAAUUUAUUAGUUGAAUGAAAAUAUAAAAUAAUAAAAAUAAAUUAUAUAGACCAAGAGAUAUUUAAAUAAACCCCACUUAUUACUAAUAUUACCCUAGGAGCAAUUGCUUUGCCUCAUUAUAUUUGGUCUCCAGAAGCAUCUUUUUAAGUUAUAAAAGAAGCCAGGCAACAAAGAAAACUAAAAAUAAGAGCAACCAACUGCCAUUAUCAAUUCAUCAUGAAGAAAUAUGUAAUGGACAUUCAGAUUUUGGCGCGCAAAGAUACCUAAAGUCUUUUAAUUUUGUUUGGUAUUGUAUUUUGUAAUUUAAUUUACUGUCAUCGUACUAAUUUUUAAGGUUUUAAUUACUGAAAUUCCAGUACAUGAUGAUUAAAUGGUUUGCUUCAGUUCGUAGCUUAUUUUUCAUGUUAGUGCGUGGUGUGCGGGGAAUAUCACUACCCAACUUCAAAAUAUAUAUAACCACAUUUUGGGUUAAGGUCCAAGGGGUGUUUUUCUCUAUGGAAGUAUUCGUCAUAAGAGUGGAGUUAUUUGCGCCCGAACAAGUACUAUGAACAUCUAUUUACUCAAACACCACUUUUCAUAAAUUAUAUCAUUUAGACUUUUAUUAAUACAACUUUUUAAAUUUUAAUACCAAAAUCCAUGAUUGUCGUCAAAUAAGAGCUUAGUUGGUAAUGCUAUAACUUUUAAAAUAAUUGGUGUUAGGUUUGCUGUAAAAAUAAUUAACUGUGAAAAGAAUCAGUUAAACUUUCAGUAAAAUUUAUUUUUAAAGUACUAUAAGGUUUAAAAUUAGAUGUAUGUGUUUGGUAAAUCCUAAUAUUAAAUGGUAGUAAGAAUAUAAAUGACUGAAUUAGAAAUAAUAUUGAAUCAAAUUUAUUUAAAUAUUUAUAAGCAUGUAUAUAAAUUUUUUAUUUUGUACAUAUAAUAAUUGAUAACUAUAAUAUAUAUUUUAUAUUAUUAAUUUCAUUUUUUAUUUUGUUAUCUCAAAAUAAUUAGUAAUAAUAAUAAUCUCUUUAAAGUUAAUGAUUUUAUUUCCUAAUUAAUAAGGAUAAUUUUGAAUUUUUAUAAUAUAUAUGAGGAAAUAUAUAGAAUUAUAUUAAGUAUAAAAGUAUUUCUCAAAAUUAGAUUUUGAAGAGUUACUCCUUCCUUCUUUUUCAAAAAUCUACCGUAGAAUGGAUUGAUUUUGCCAAAAGUGAUUUAUAAAAAAAUUUUACCAAACACUAAAAUUAGUUUUUAACUUUUCAAAAUCACUUUUGAGUCUCCGAAAAGUAAUCCCAAUCAAGACUUAAACUCUUUGGCUAUAAAUAUUUUUAUUUCUACAUUUGUAAAAAUAAUUUUUACAACAAAGAACUUAUUUGAAAUGAUCUCUAAACUUAUCUUCGGAAUGAAUGAAGGUUUUUUUCUUUCUUCUUCUUUUUUUUUUUUAAUAGAUUAUAGCUAAACUUGUUAGGAAUGAAUGGAAAUCCCAUCUCAUUCCAUGUGAAUGUUGGAGAGUUAUUUGCUUGAACAAAUUUUAUUCUCACUAAUUUAUUAUCAUGAAUGUGUUGGAUCUUACUAAUGUAAAAGUUGGAUAAUCAUAGACAAAUAUUACCAAUAAUAUAAUUCUUCAUAACUUAUAGUCACUAAUUAAUCAAGAAAAUCUAUUAGAUUUAAGUUUCACGAAAUCAACAAGGAGAGACAGAAAAAAGAAAAGGUGUCCGAAGCUUUAAUUUUAUUAUUGUUUGAUAAACCUCUAGUAUGCAAGAAAUAUAAUGUAAAAUGAAAAUUCAAGACCAAAAUUGACGGUAUUGAGGAAAUUAAAAUUCGGGUUUUUGGUACGGAUGUAGUUUUAGUGUCAAGAAUAAUAUAUUUUUUAUUCGAUUGUAUAAGGUUGUACUUAAUAUUAAAUUAACUAUAGAUAAUGUACUUAGUAUUAAAUUAACUAUAGGUAACUUAAUAAUAUAAAAUUUAAUUUAAAGUUGGGUGUUCGAAAUAGUUUUUAAGGUAUAAAUACUCCCACCCUUGUCACAAUCAUAACUGAGUGGCGUUGCAUUUUUUUUUUAAAAUUUAAACUACUAAGGGUGUAGCUUAAACACUUAUAAACUGCCAUGAAAAUUGGAAUCAAAUUGCCCAUAUUUAUCGAUUAUAGAAACCUUGUUUGUGACUAAAGUGCUGAAAAAUAUGAUUUUGUUUGGGGAGGAUUUGUUCACUUCAUUAUGCGUUCAUUUGAUGACUUCUCUAUAUACUCGUGUUUUUCUAAAAGUUAUUUUUAAUUUAUUUCGAUAAAACUAGUUAAAGAUUAAGGACCUAUUUGAUAUUAUUUUCAACCAGUCAUUCUUCAUUUAUGAUGUACGACAAGAAAUAAAGAAAACUUAUUUAGUAUGUCAUUUGAAAAAUAAAAUCAAACGCUUCCUAAAAAAAAUUAAAUGCAUCCUUAAAAAAUUCUUAUCUUUCAAAUAUGGAUAUUCAAUUCUAAUGUCGAAAAAACAACCAUGCGAAUUAUUACCUAGGCUUUCAAGAGAACUGUUUAAAUCAUAGUAACUUAGAUCCAACGCCUUCUAAGUUUCUUAAUUUAGCUAAUCCUGCACCAAGAGAAGAAAUGAUCUUAGAUAUGGUUUUUCUUUUAUUUUAUUUUCUUCAAACAAUUAGACAUUUUUAAUUCUGCGACUUCUUACCUGGCUCUGCUACGGAAACGCCUAUAUUAUUCUCACUUAGAUCCAAAACAAAUAUAUAGAAUGGAAUGAAUAAAUAUAUAGAUAAAUAAAUACAAAAAGUUAGAAUCCGAACACUUUAAUUUUACAAUAUAAAUAUCAAGCAAUCACAUUUUAACCUAGUUGUUAUCAAAUAUUUUUAUUUGACUGAUCGUUUGAAUCCCGCGGAAAUAUGUGGUAAAAAAAUUAAUUUAUACUUUACCAACCAAUGCCUUAAAAAAAGAAAAAGAAAAUUAAAUAAACAUACCUUGAUUGGGUAUGAAACCUUCAAUUCCACAGUACCCCAGACUCAAAUUUGUAAGUGAAAUUAUUGUAGUCAAACUUGGUAGUAGACUGUUGUUGACGUUAUUAGAAUAAAGAUUCAAAAUCUUCAGCCGCUUCAAACUCCCAAUGCUAAGCUGCGGAAAAGGCAGGUAUUAAUCGCAAUUGAAGAAUUUUGUUUUUGUUUUUUUUCCCCAUGAAAUUGGUUUUACAUUUUUCUUUUCAGUGUAAUUGUGAAAAUUGUCGAAGGCCGAAAGUAAAUGAGCCCAAGAAUUUAAGAACAACAACAAUAAUUAAUAAAUAUAUUUUUUGCAUUUUGUAGCUUUUGCACAAAGGAGGGUUCAUUACACUUGGAAUUGAUCAGCAAAUCAGGACUUUGCACAAAUGGAUGUACAUACAUACCUUCAUUCUCAUAGACACCAUAAAAAGAGUUGUAAGACAAGUCAAGACUCUCCAAUUCUUGGAAAGGCAGAAACAUUGACAAAUUUAGAAAUCCAGAAUUCGCCCCCAGCGUAAUUCCAUCGAGUGACAGUUCCUUCACCCGUCGUGUGGUGGCAUNNNNNNNNNNNNNNNNNNNNNNNNNNNNNNNNNNNNNNNNNNNNNNNNNNNNNNNNNNNNNNNNNNNNNNNNNNNNNNNNNNNNNNNNNNNNNNNNNNNNNNNNNNNNNNNNNNNNNNNNNNNNNNNNNNNNNNNNNCACUGUUUCCAAGCAACCUCUGUAUCCGUGCAUUUGAAUAAAGCAUAUGGAAACCCACGCUAAGAGCUUAAACAAAAACAUAUUCAUUAUUUUAAGCAAAACACUCACAAGAUUAACCCUCACUUAAAUUGCUGCACUCGAUGUUCAUUUAUUGCAGACUUAUAUAUAUAUAUAAGGGAUUAAUUUGUUAUGGUGAAAGAUUCAUUUCACAAUAAAAUUAAAAAAUGUCAAAUCUAGCUUCAUAAUGCAUGCAUGACAGGGACGUUAAUGAGCUAUUGCUGACGUGGUAGUUUCGACAUAAAGAGGAUUUUCUCCCGACCAAAAGAAAUAAUCAAAUAUGAAUAAUUGAAUAUGAGUUUAAGUGUUUGUUUUUUCAAAUUAAAAUAAUAUGAAUACCACUCUUUUUUUUCUCUUGUAAUUGAUACACGUUUUGAAUUUUAGAUUUUAAGACCAAUACUGUUAUAUUUGUUUCCUCACUAAUUUUAAAUUUAAAAAUAUAUAAAAAAUAUUUGAAAACCAAUAUUUUUACAUUUUUCCUUACAAAUUUCAAAUUUGAUUUAUAUAAUGAAAUAUUUCUAUUAGCUAUUAGAUUUAUCGUAAUUUUAGAAAGACAUUUUGAAACAGUAAUUGAAAAUAUUCAUUUAAACUUUUUAUACUUACAGAGAAAAAUCUAUUGGUGCUAGUUUCCAAUUCAUAAAAAUAAAUCAUCCAUGAAACACGCUUUGAAAUUGGUUAGGCAGGCUGCAAAGUGAAAAGUAAUCACCAGAUUCACCACUCAACCAUCUUUUAACAUAAAAAUGUGUACUCCACGCUUGACUUGUAAAAGCUGGGCAUUUUCCAUUCUUAAUGAUUUAUUGGUUGAUUGACUCUAUCACUAAUUUACUGGGAAGAACGGAUAGCUCAGAGUCGUGGNNNNNNNNNNNNNNNNNNNNNNNNNNNNNNNNNNNNNNNNNNNNNNNNNNNNNNNNNNNNNNNNNNNNNNNNNNNNNNNNNNNNNNNNNNNNNNNNNNNNNNNNNNNNNNNNNNNNNNNNNNNNNNNNNNNNNNNNNNNNNNNNNNNNNNNNNNNNNNNNNNNNNNNNNNNNNNNNNNNNNNNNNNNNNNNNNNNNNNNNNNNNNNNNNNNNNNNNNNNNNNNNNNNNNNNNNNNNNNNNNNNNNNNNNNNNNNNNNNNNNNNNNNNNNNNNNNNNNNNNNNNNNNNNNNNNNNNNNNNNNNNNNNNNNNNNNNNNNNNNNNNNNNNNNNNNNNNNNNNNNNNNNNNNNNNNNNNNNNNNNNNNNNAGUGAAAUCAAUGCCUAUUUUUUAAAUUGGGUUUUCACUGCCUUUUAUAAAAGGCAAUAGCCCUCAUGUCGGUUGCCGAUAAAGCAAUGGUGGUGUUAUUAAUACUAAUAGUGACAAUGACAUUUUCGUCUUUUUAUAGAAUUUGUUUUAUCAUCCAGGUCUAUGAUAAGUUGAAUGAUGUGUGACUGUAUGUGGUAUUUUCACAUAUAAUUGAAUAUCUAUAAUUUUUACAAACUAAAAUAGUUAAUUGUUUGUUAAAAUAUUACAUUUAACUUUUUUUUUAAUGCAUUAUACUGAUGAGCCUUGAAUUCAAGGCUUGAGUACUACUGGGGGCUUUUUUUUUUUUUUUUUUUUCUACUAGAGAUAGAUUACAUUUACUCUUUAAUUAUGUUUUUUUUUUCUGUAAUUGUUUUAACAUUGAAGAUGAAAUGAUGAGAUAUUAAAAAUUUAUUAAGAAACAAAAUGGUGAAAAUAAUAUUUAAGAGGAACAAAAGUAUGGGCGGAUAUAGAAACUUAAUAUUGUGUUUACUUUAUGGAGUGUAAGUGAGGAAUAUGGAUUCUUCCCACUCCGGUGUUUACUUACACAUUUAUAGGGGGGAUUAGAAAUCCCACUCCGUGGGCCACACCCAUUUUUGGAGUGAGGAGUGAGAGUAGUCAUUUUUAUUUAAUUUAAUAUAAUUAUAUUUAAUAACAUAAAAUAAAUAAUAAUAUUAUAUUUAAUUAAAUAAUAAUUUGCAUUGAUUCUAAAUUAAAAUUACUUAAAAAUGAUAUUAUUAUAUUAAUAGAGAAUUAAUAAUAUUAUUGUAUACUAUCUUUAUUUGAAACUAUAAUAUUAUUAUAUUUAUUUAAAAAAUAGUAUUAUAUUUAUUUAAUAUUAAUAAUUAAUAACAAUAAAUAGUUUAUUCUAAGAAAAUAUUAUUAUUUAAUAUAAUAAUAAAUUUAAAAUAAUUAUAUUAUAUUUAAAUUAUAUUAUAUUUAUUUAAAUAAUAUUAUUAUAUUUAUUUAAAAAUUAUAGUAUUAUAUUUAUUUAAUAUUAAUAAUUAAUAAUAAUAAAUAAUUUAUUCUAAGAAAAUAUUCAUUUUGGACUAUGUUAAUAGUAAAAAUGUUUCAUUUAUGUUGCCCUUAUCAAUAAUUUUUAAUUUACAUAAUUAAAAUUAGAAUUAAUAAACAAAUUUGGUGUACAUAAUUAAGAAUAUUAAUAAUUAUUAUAAAUUUACAAAUAUAAUAAAAUAAAUAUUUUAUUCUUCAAAUAUAUAUUUUUUUAACUUUGUAAUUAAAAACUACAAUUCCUCAAAUAAGGGUAAAAUUAUAAUUUAAAAUUAUUUACUCAUAAUCCAAGACAAAGUAAACACAUAAAUUGAAUUCUGGUCUUCAUUCCAUACUUUAAUUCAUGUAUAAGUAAAUAACAUAUUCACACUCCCACUCCACUCUCAAUUGUAGGACUCUCACUUCUUAGGAUUCUCACUCCAAUCCAAAAUGUAAACGCUAGCUUAAUUCAUUGGGGUGUAACCAUGAUAAAAAUUAAUAAUUUAUAAAAUUGACCCCAAUAUCAGAAUUUUUUUAUAAAUUUGCCCCAUUUAGAUUUUUUUUUUAAUUCUUGAGCAGAAUCAAUUGCACACACUAGCUUGUAUGUGGAUCUGCCCUUGAACAGAAGUGUCGUUUUCCCUUAAAAAUAAGAGAAAUACGGUAGUAAAAAGAAUAGCAUAAAUAAUUGAAAAAUCAAACCUAAAAAGUUCUAAGAAGCAACUUAAUUGACAGUAAUUAAAUGUAGUACUCCCCAUGAAUGCAAGAUAAUCCCACCAAAAAUCAAAUCGGUGCGAUUAAUUGAGAUCUAAAUUUGCAACAAUAUCUGCAGCCAAAUAUUAUUUUAUUGGCUUCACUAAAUUUAGUAAAAUAGUCUGUACAAGAAAUUUAACUUUUUAUGAUAUAUUUAUAUUUGGUCUUAGAAUAGUAUUUAUGAUGACAAACUUUUGAAACCAUAACGAAUAACAUUGUCUUGACUUAUGUUAUAUACUGUGACCAAUAAUUUUUGUUUUAAAAUACAGUAACUAGUUUCUUAUUCAACAUUUUUGUGACAAAUAUUAUUUUAAUCAUCAAAAAAUAUAUUUUUUCAGCGCAUAAAUUUCUCUUUAAAAUUAAACAUUUUGGGACAAUAUUUCAUCAUUUAUGUCAUAAUGAAUGAUUAAUAAGGAGAUGUCUAGAAAUUAUGCUUUCCUACAAUAUAUACUUAACUUUAAAUAAUUUUGAAUAACAAAAAAAAUUAUUAAUUAUACUAACUAAUAAAUAGAUAAACAAAAAUUGCAGCAUCCAUAAAUAUUGGGCUCGCCUAGUGGUAAAGUGUUAUAGCCUUAAAACUUGAGUCACGCCAAUGUUUGGCUUGCAGCCUUGUACUAAGCAUGGCUACACAACAGAUGUGAGAGGGAAGGCACGAAAGCAAGGCAAGUCUGCGCGCAAGCUAGGGUGUGAUAACUAAGCAGGCUGAUGGACAGCGCGCAAGAUAUUUAUGAGGUAGCGCACAAGUGCUCCGUGGGAUAGCGUGCACGCGAAGGCGCGCGAGGCAUGUGCACAAACUGUGGGUGAGCCCGCCAGGCAGCAUGGCCGCGCAUGCUAAUGGACAGCGGGGAGGCGCGCAAGGGAGCGCACACGCACAAGCACACUAGCAAGAGCCACACACAAGCAACAGGCCAGGGGGUUGUUGCUAAAGCACGCAUUGAGCACAACUUUCAUGCAUUUGGAGGCAGGGCCUUCGAAAAUAAAAGUUUUGGAGCCGAAACCAUUUGCGGGUACGCGAAGUGCCAAAGAGAUGGAGAACUUCCUGUAGGAUAUGUAGCAGUAUUUCAAGGCUGCUCGGAUACCCGAAGCGGAGCGAGUUUCCAUUACAAGCAUAUAUCUCGAGGGGGAUGCAAAUCUUUGGUCACGCAGUAGACUCCAAGAGGAUGCUGAAGCCAACCGACCAGCUAUCGAGACAUGGUACUUACUGAAGCGAGAGUUGAAGGGUCAAUUUAUGCUGGGUAAUGCGAGUUAGAUAGUGGGCUUAAAGAAGCUCAAGCAUACCGGUUCAAUCAGGGAUUAUGUCAAAGAAUUUAGUUCUUUAAUGCUUGAUAUCAAGAACAUGUCCGAUUAAGAUAAGCUGUUCAAUUUCAUGAGUGGUUUGCAACCAUGGGUGCAAACCGAACUAGAAGGUAGGCUGUGUGUGACUUGCCUAUGGCGAUUGCUGCUGCUGAAAGUUUGGUUGAUUUUAGGUUUGCGAGUAAGGGUAGGCAAAACCGGGUUCGAGUCAACCUAAUCGGGUUUCAGGUUGUUCAGGUUAGACAAAAAUCAAUCCGAAUGAAACCAUAAUUCGGAUCGGAUCAGGUUAGGUCAAUAAUUCGGGUUAAAUUCGGGUAGGAUCAGGUUUAGAUUUAAAUCAUAAAUACACCAAUUUUCUUGAUUUUAUUACUAACAUUUAAAAAUACAUAAUUACAACAAUCAAAUAAUAACUAAUUACAUAAUAAUAACCAAUAAUUAAGCAUAUAUAACUAUAUAGUAUAUACCAUGAAAUAUUGAAAGUUAUGAAACUUCAAAGCUUCAAAAUUGGGUUCGGGUCACAAAGCCACAAAGGGAGAAAGCUCGGGUCGGGCCGCGGCAGUAGAUGAUAGCAGAUGGCGACAGCAGAUCACGGCUACAAAUCGCGGCAGCAGAACGCGGGAUUGGAGCAGCAUUACAGCAAAUCGCGGCUGUUGGCUCUUGCUUGUUGGGCGUCGGUUUCGGCAGCAGAUUGAAAAGGGUUAAGACUUCAGGCCUUCAGGGUUGUGUCUUGUGUGGCUAUGUGCGUGAGUGAUGAGUCUGUGCGUUGUUUGUGUGUUUCAAUGUUUGUGAGUUCUAAGUGUUUGUCGUCUGGUGUGUGCGUGUGUAAUGUGUUUAGACUUUAGGUUUUAGUCCUUUCGCUAACGGUUGAAACCCCACCCCUAUUUGUGAGUUCUUCUCCAUUCGAACCUAAAAAGAAUAAAGAUUCGAAGAAAUCUGGCCCUUCUAAGCGUGAUAGUGAAAAGAAAAAGGGCUUUGCGGGGAAAGCCAAACCGAAAUAUGGACACAACAAGAAAAGCUUAGGAUGCUUCAUAUGUGACGGACCACACUGGGCAAGGGAUUGCCCAAAGCGGACACAACUUAAUGCUAUGGUCAAGGAGAUGAAGGUAGAAUCUUUAAUGACCAAGACAAGUACUUCUUGGAUGAAUCCAUUAUAGUUGAUGAACACUUUAAGGGAAGAGGUCAUGUGCAAUAGCUUCAAUCAUGGGUUGAUGAUCACGAUUGUUUUGGUAGAUGGGAGGGAACUGCGUGCUAUGUUGGAUACGGGAGCCACAACUAGCUUUCUUGCAUCCCAUAAAGUGGCACAUUUGGGUUUGAAAAUAACGGCUGUGGGCAGCAAAGUAAAGGCUAUAAAUUUUGCGAGUGUGGGUGUUCAAGGGGUUGUGCAAAGUUCACUAUGGGUAGAAAGUUGGCAGAAAAUGGUAAAAUUUAUUGUCAUGCCUCUUAAUGACUUUGAUUUAAUUCUUGGUAUGGAAUUCUUUAUGGUGCAAUGAUACAAUUGAUGCCCUAUUGAAAGAACAUCUUCAUCAUAGGAACAGACACACCAUGGGUUGUACCAUGCCAAUUCUUAGUUCAUGGCAAAUCAGAACCAUCACUUCAAUCUAUGGGACAAUUUACAAAAGGCUUGAAAUAGAAAGAGAACUCUUACUUGGUAGCGUUGUUGGAGAUAAAACCUGAUUAGGUUGUAGAGAUGCCUGAUGAAUACGCCAAGCAUUGGAAGAGUUUGUGGAUGUCAUGUCGUCGGAGCUCCUUCAAGCCUUACCACCGAAACGUGUUGUAGAUCAUCAGAAUGAUUUAGAGCCUAGUACUAGACCCUCUGCACAGACUCCUUAUCGGAUGUCGCACUUAAGAGGCCUUAUACAAAGUUGUAAAUCACAUCCACUUUGGGAACUGCAACCACCAACAUUAGUGUAAUACAUUGGGGACCUGAAAAGACAACUCAGAGUAAUAGAGAGUGGUGUAUAUGAAUUUCAAUUGGAGCUUGAGGUUAACUCAAUAAAAGGAUGAAUGUAAGUUCAUUUUUCUUUUUUCUUUUCUUUGUGUGAUUUCUUUUUGUUGUUUUGUUCACUUUCACGUUUGAUUUGAUUUUGCAGUUUUAGUUCUCUUUAUUUUGGUGUAUUUUGGUUUAUUUUCCCGUAUAAAUGGUGGAUAAUGGUAUUCCGUGACUUAUUAAGUCGGUAUCUUCAGUUUCCCACAAUAACUAAAACCCUAAAAUCAAACAUGGAAGAAAUACAACAUAAACUGCAUAAGAAUUUUCCCUCUCUCCCUCAGAAUGCCCUCAGGAAAAUUUACAAAGCUCGUUGUGAACAAUUGUAUUUAUUAAUGAUCAAUGGAAUUCCUUCUGACAUUCAUUGGUUAAUUGAAGCAAAGGUCUGAUUAGCAGGUGAGUUUUCUAAUCCAUUUGUUUCUUACAUGUCUGGUUUUGGUAAAAGUACAUUUGCUAAAAAAAGAAGAGCUAAACGACUUGGUUCAAAAUGUCAUAACAGUGUACGACUUAAUUACAAAUGGUCGGAUUGUAAAACUUUAGGAAUGGUGUCUGAUACUUGUGAAGAUAAAAUUAAAUUCGUUAAAGAUGGCUUGAGUAAAUGUUAGAGUGCAAAUUAUGCACUAGUUUUGCAUUGUUUACUUCCCUUAAUACCGAUGUUUUGCACUUAAUUAUAGUGAUUUACUUUUGUAGGUGCAAUUCUAUUGAUUGGUGAUAAAAUUGAGCUACAAGAUAAUAUUUAAGGAUGAUUGUUCUCUUGGAGAAAUUAUGAGCGUCAGAAGAACUUUGUUGAUAAGGCGUGGGCGCGUGCUGUCAACUACGGACCUGCAGUUUUUAGUUUAACGUGUUUUGUAUUUUUGGUUAUUUUUGUAAUUACGAAUUUAAUAUUUGAGAUAUUAGUAUUUUAUUUUUAAAAAAAACUCUAGAGGAGAGGAGAGAGAGAGUAUUUAAGGGAGGAAUCUAUUGUGAAAAAGACUGAUUUGGAGAAAAGAAAGAAACCCUAGAUCUAAAUUUUUCUCUUCUCUCUAUGAAGAACUAAACCUAUUAUUCUGGUUGAAGGUUAAUGAAGCUUUGAUUCAUCACUACUGUGAGAUCUUUCUUAUGUUUUAAUUGUUUUAUUGUUUUUUGGGUAUUUGUUUAUUCUCUGAAUUAUUUUCAUGAUUAUGUUUGUUAAUUAGGUAAUUGGCCACUAUUUAAUUAUCAACUUAAUCUAUUGUCAAUUAAAGGAUUCAUCGUAUGAAGAAUUUAAUGUUUGUGACAAAUAACAUAGCAGUGAGUUGUGUUAUGAGAAUAAACAAUCUAAUUUAAAUGAACCAUCGUAUGCGUUUGUCGAUUAGGAUUUGGGUCUCUCUGGUUUUUCAGGUUGUCAAUUGAUUAAAUCCUAUGAUCGUAUCUAGGGUUGUCUAUUGAUUAGGGAAAUAACCAACGGUCGUACUUUGGUUAUCGACUAGUUAAGAAGAGAUUGGCUAUUAGAGGGUCUCAACAGCUAUAACCGGUUUAUUCAUAAGUAGUAACGAUUUAUAUUUGAAUCAAUGAUCAGUAGUCGAAUCAAGCUGAGUUAAUUCCUUCAACCAGAGCUUUCUCCAAUUUGAAUUACAAUUUUAAUUUGCACUCUUGUUAUUUUAAUUUGAUUUUUAUCAUUAUCAACAAAUCUCCCAUUUUGCAUUUUACAUUUUAAAAGGAUUUAAAUAAUUAUCGAUCUCUGUGGACACGACCCUACUCAAUCACUAUACACAAUUUAUUUAGAGUAGGUAUUUAUUUUUGCUGGCUUCGACAACCAUCAAAUUUUGGUGCCGUUGCCGGGGAUUGGUGUCGUUUAUUUAAUCCUUUUUACGUUUUACUUGGUGUAUGGUUCCUUCUUCUCGUACAGGUACACUUUCGUUUGAUCCUGAAAUUGAGAAGACAGCUCGCCAACUGAGACAGCAGACGAAGCGAUCUAAGCAACGAUUCUGGUCGCCUUUGCUUUCUGAAACAGAUACGGUACCUAAUUUAGUUGAAUCAUCUAGCGAUUCAGAAAAACAAGUGAUGGAUAGAGCUGCACCUGUAGAAAGAACUCUUAGAGAGUUAGCUGAACCAGACUUGAAUCAGCAACCACUCUGCAUUCAAUAUGUAGACUUGGAGGUAAAUUUUGAAUUAAAAUCUAGUCUUAUUCAUUUAUUACCCAAGUUUCAUGGUUUUGCAGGUGAAGAUUCUCAUAAACAUCUCAAGGAGUUUCAUGUUGUAUGUUCAAGUAUGAGACCACAAGGCGUGACGGAAGAGCAGAUUAAGUUGCAUGUUUUUCCUUUCUCUUUAGAUGGACUAGCUAAAGACUGGUUGUACUACUUGCCUCAUGGAUAGAUUACAACGUGGAAUGAUUUGAAGAAGCAGUUCCUCGAGAAGUACUUUCUUGCUUCAAGAGCUGCUAACAUCAGAAAAGAUAUUUGUGGGAUCAGACAACUUCCUGGGGAGACUUUGUAUGAGUAUUGGGAGCGAUUCAAACAAUUGUGUGCCAGUUGUUCUCAGCAUCAGAUUUCUGAUCAAUUUCUUAUUCAAUAUUUUUACGAAGGACUGUCAUUAAUGGAUAGGAGUAUGAUAGAUGCUGCUAGUGGAGGUGUGUUGGUGAACAAGACCCCUACUCAAGCAAGGGAGUUGAUCUCAAAUAUGGCUGCUGUUGGUAGAUUUCUAUAAGCAAUUAUUAUCAAUGCCAAUGUGCAAGUAUACACAACAAGUAAUAAAAUGAUGAGUAUUCAAGAUCGUCUCCACAGGGAUUGAUGUUACUCAAAAUGCUAAAGCAAUCACAAUAGUGCAUAUCAAUCAAAGACCGAAACAAACAAUUGUCGAAUAAUUCUAUUGUAACUAAUAAUUGUGAGGGAUGAAAAUAAAAUAAUACUGUAAUGAAAUAAACUAAGUUAAAUGUGUCUAAGAUUCAAUUGAGAAUAUAGUAGUUGAAUGAUCAAACUCUCCUAAUAGGGUGACUGUUGUUUACCAAAUUAGCACCAGUUGUUACAAUAAAUGCUGUAGCAAUAGGUAGAAUAAAUCUGCAUUCGCACCUAUCGCAUGUUGGAAAUCUCAUACCUUUAAAUCCACUAACAAUGACCAGUUGCUCAUAUAUUUAUGGUAUGGCAUUAUAACUUUUAAUCUCUCUACCCUACAAGGUAAACACCUAUGUUUAGAGUGUCACAAAUCUUAACUUCAAGUAUUGCCCUUAUGGGAUUCAAGAUAACCUAAUCCAGGAAACUCGACUUAAGAACAAGUAAUACUCUAAUAAUGUCCGCUAAGACAUGCCCUUUUGCUGCUCUAUCUUAACUGAAACUAUUAAAUGGGUGGUCAACUGAAAUAACAGUUGUAUUCAUAAAAACUACUAGAGUAUAAUGUUACAACAUUACCAUAACAACAUAAAAGAACAGUCAAGAACCCAUUGGAUUAUUUGUCACUCAACUACAAGUAAAUUUAGUUCAUAAUCUGGAUGAGAAAAAUAAACACAAAUAUAUUGAACUCGGAAUACAUCCCAACAAUUCAAGGAAAAAGAGAAAAUAUAAGUUGAGCACGAUGAAAGGCAAAUAAUUAUGCACGGCUCUCUUAUUUUGUUUCCGAUUAGCACUCUCCAAUCUUGAUCUCUUUCUUCUUACCUUUGUAAUUAUUUCUGAUGAUAAUUCCUUGCCGCCUUUUAAUGUGGUGCACGCCUCAUUUUUAUAUUGCAAAUUAGGUUAAAACCAAAGCCCAUGAGCGUGCAUAUGUUUGAAUUAGGAAACAUGCAGAUCGCAAUUUUAUUGCUGACUUGUGCCUAAAUUCUCUCCUACAUUGCUCCUAGAUUGCUAUAGCACUGGUUGCUCUAACAGCUGCUACAACAUUGUUUUUUUCCCGAUUGUGCUUUACUUCUUUUGUGGCCAUCUUCCUUCCUCCUCUUGCUCUUCUAAUGCCUUAACAUCCUCUCACGAAUUUAAAACCUACAAUUUAAAACUUGUUUUUAGCACAAAUUAUUAUGAUUCAAUCAAAACUUAUUAAAACUCAACUAAAAUGAAUGUUUAUGCAAAAGGUACCCAAAAUGUAAUAAAAACACCUUAUUUGUUCUCUAAGUGACCUUGAUUCAAGUCUAGAAUUGAUGUAAUAACUCUCAUUUCCUAGAGUUAUCACACCCCCAAACUUAAACCAUUACUUGCCUUCAAGUAAUGACACAUACUAACAUUCCCCGCAAACAAACAUGCACACAACUUAAGCUCUUUUAUCAAAUUUGCAAGGAUUGUUCCACCUUCAUAUCACCAUCCUAAUCAAACAAAAUGCCCAUAGUAAAUCAGUUCUAGACUUAAGCUUCUUUCUGUCCAUAGUGAGUGUGUGCUUUCUUUGAUUGAAUUCCAGAUAUGCUGUAACAUCACCAAAGUACUGCAGAAAUUUCAGCAGUGAUAUACUUUUUUUCAAAAAAAAAGGGUAGCACAAAUUUCACAUAUUCAAACUGUGAUUGUUUUAACAUUGAUAAACUGGGGAGUAAUCAACCUCCUCACUGUAACAUUUAUCUUUCAUGUGAAUGUUAAUCACUUGUAAUGAUGACACCCAAUUACUCAAACCAUGCCCAGAUCAGAGUUGCUGCAGUAAUAUCUGUGAUAUAAUCUUAUCUAAAGAUAUCUUUUACUCAAGGCUGAACAUGGGGAUCAUGAACAGACCUGGCUACUCACUGCCUUAGACAAAGGAUUUUUUUUUCUUUCACUUGCUACAACAUUGCUUAUAACUCUCGCUACCUUUUACACAAUUCGGCAUAUGGGGUACAUACUCAGAUCUGGUUAUUCAGUAACUUAAGCCAUUGGAGCAGAGUUUUAUUUCAUAAAAUCACAAUAAAUCAACUUGCUUCUCCCUUCAAAGUUAAGAUAUUUUCUAUUCUUUUGGCUCUACUCUAGCAGUCUCAUACAACUCAACCAAAGUCUAAGUGUUGGGACAUAAUUUCACUUCUAUCUAUAACUAUCUCUACUUGGCAUUCUCAUAAAUACUGAAUAAAACUUAAUUUAUCUUCAUUAGGUUUUCAAAUCCAUACACAAAUAAUAGAUAACAGAGCUUCACACAAUACAGACAUAAACACAUACAUAAAUCACAUGCAAUCGGCAACAACCCCCCCAAACUUGAGAGAUGCUGUGUCUUCACAAGCAUACAUAACAACAGCUCACAAAUUGACAAACAAUAAAAUCUUUUUUUUUAACUGAAAUGAACUAGUAAAGAAAGAGUACUCCCCUGGGGUGGGGACUGCAGCACAGGACAUGGUGCUCAUCAGCGCUUCUUGGAUGCACUGCGCAGCUUAUCCUUUGGUGAAGCUUUGUGGGAGGUGGUUGGCAAUGUCUUCGUCUUUUUCGCUGUAGGGCUGGUGAGAGGAGUGGUGGCUAGGGUUACUGUAGCAGUACCUGUAGACGUACUGCCUUUUCGUUUACUGGAUUGUCUUGGACUGGUGUAGAUAGCUGGCUAGGAGUUUGCUAUGGAGGCUUUGGGGUCAAUGCAUCAGCUGUCUGGCCCUCAGCGGUGAUGGCAGCAAUAACCGCAAGUAGUUGCUUGGCUUGCUCAGAUGUAGGCAUAGCUCUGGCUGCUGCAGCAGCCAACUCAGUAUCGACUUGCUACAUCUCAUCUUCAGAGGCUGGAGGGGUUGCCAAUUUAGCUUUACUCUUAUCCUUCCUCCUAUUCGUAAAGACUGGAAUAGAGGGUUCCUCUUCAGGGUCUUCUUCAUCUUCUUCUUGAAUAAUGUGUUUUUUCUGGUUUUGGGUUGAGCUGGGAUGGUUGGUUCCUCACUUUCUUUUUCUGAGUUGUCUUCUGCCUCUGAGGGUGAGCUAUCAGUCUUAGACUUGUCACCUUCGUCCUCAGGUGGGUCAGAUGGUUCAACCUCUUCUGAGUCGACUGCUGCUUGUGGCUCAGUGGCAGCUUCCUCUGCUGGUUCAUAUGAAGUAGUGGUUUCUUCAUUGGCUGCUGCUGGAGCACCUGUAGUGGUGGUGUCAAAAUUGAACUGCUAGAGCAGUGCAUCAGGGAAGUUCCGGUGAGUGUGUUUCAUGUACAGAGCAAAUUGGUGUAGUUGGUUAUCCAGGUGCUGUAGAUAGCUCCAAAAUCGACCAUUUUCCCUCUGUUGAGCUUCUACACAUUGAGUUAUACUAUUACUGAGUGCCUGGAUAGUCUGUUCUAAACUAAUAACUCGUCUUGCUCCAGUGACAACAGCUGGUUCAGUGGUUGUUCCAGCACUCUCACCAGCAACUCUCUCAAUGGUACGUGCCGUAAAGGCACCAUUAUUUUUUACAUAUUCAUCUCUGGUGUUAAGACGAACACCUGAAACUACACAAAUGCUAGUGACAAGAGAGGGAAAUAGCAAGGCAGCAGUUCGGUGAGUUUUGACUGUACAAUCUCGAAUUUCUUGUACAAUGAUGCCACCGACAUCUAUAGGAAGUCCUCGAACUAUGACAUAUAACAAAACCAACCUUUCUUGCGAAACUGUAGUAGUGUGAGUGGUGGGCAUAAGCCUAGAUUUCAAGAAUUUCACCCACACCUUAACAAUAGGUUUCAAAUCUAUCCUAUUAACUACAUGCCCUUCCUCAUUAACCCAUGAUGCCCCUUCGAUGGUAAGAGUUUUGAAAAUGGUGUUCCACUUUUUCGAGGUCAACUUAUCACGCAACUUAGCAUACUCACAGGCAAUUUCAGCAGGUAAGUUAUAGAAAGCAUUGAUGACACGAGAGUCUAAUGGGACAAGUGUAUUUCUUACCCAAAUGUUGUGCUGAUUAGGGCUUACCAAAUUGGCUUAAAAUUCUUUGACUACAGGCAGCACAGGCUCUCGAGGGUGGUUGCAAAACUCUAACCAUCCUCGCUUUGCUACAGCAUUAUGAAUAGUUUGCACAAUUCCCGUGAGUUGGUCUGGAAAUUGAAACCCUUUUUCUUCUAGAAUCCGACACGGCUCUAUGAAUUCUUCAUAUUUUUCUUCAACGUGGUAACUCUGGAAUCGUGACGGAUCUUUCAGGCGGCUGGCUGUUUUCUUGUAUCUCGGCAUUACUGUAGCAGUAACAAAUUAAAGCUACUGUUCUUGAGAAUAAAAAGAGAAAAAGAGUUUAAGAGUUUUUAGAGUAGUCUUUGCGAAGGAGAUGGGGAAUAGUGGCAUAGAGCACUAAGCACAAUGAUUCCUUUUUAUAAUGGACUUUAAUUUGAAGAUAAAUACGGUAACUAGAGAUAAUUGAGGGAAUAAAUUAUUUGAAUUAAAUGUGCAUAUCCCCAAAAUUAUCGACCAAUGAAAUUAAAGCUUUAAUUUCGGAGAUUUGUUUCCUCAAUUUUCUAUCCAUAUCCAUGCAUCCAUCUGUCACGAUUUUAUCUCCAACAGUAACUGAAAGGCUCCAGCUUUUGAUUUACUGUAACGGUAAAAUUAUCUGCUGCAGCACCCAGUCGCUUAUUCUAAUAACGGAUACAUACUCCCCACUAAAAGCUUCUGACACGUGGUUCACCUCUGAAUUCUGCCACCAUUCACUCUCACUUGUCAAUAUGAAAUUCAAUUAUCACACUUACUAAAAUUAAGUCAAAAAUUUAUUAAAAGAAAUAGAUAUAGCAAAUUAAAGUGAAAAGUAAAGAAUGCAAUAAUGUAAAUGGAUGAAAAUAAGGGCUAAUCAUAGAAAAACAAAAAUUAAAUAAGAUGGUAAAUAAGGAAAGCUAUCUACAAAACCAAAGGAUAUCAAACUUGGUUUGAAGUGGCUAUCUCCUCAAUGGGCUGCCUCCCAUGAAGCGUUUGAUUUAAGAUCCUUCAGCCUGACCUUCCUUCUUUGUUCAAUAGCUAGGUUCUUUAAAGAGUAACACCUCCUUGGAACAUUCUGCUGCUAGAUGUAUGUAAUGCUUAACCCUGUGUCCAUUAACCUUGAACUCGUGGCCUGUUUGUUCAUCUAGAAGAUUAACAGCUCCAUGAGGGUAAGAUUUUAACAACUUAAAUGGGCCAGACCAUCUUGACUUGAGCUUUCUUAGAAAUAAUCUUAGUCUUGUAUUGUGGAGUAACACUAAUUGACCAGGGGUGAACUUUCUGUGUUGAAUAUGCUUGUCAUGCCAGUGUUUUGUUCUCUCUUUAUAGAUUCUUGCAUUUUCAUAUGAAAACAAUCGUAAUUCAUCAAGCUCACAAAGUUGAAGUUUCUUAUGCUCUGCUGCAGCAUGCAUAUCUCAAUUUAAUUUCUUCAGUACCCAAUGGGCUUUGUGCUCUAGCUCUAGUGGCAAAUGACAUGCUUUGCCAUAAACAAUUCGGUAAGGAGACAUGCCGAGUAGAGUUUUGUUUGCUGUUCUGUAAGCCCAUAGAGAGUCAUGCAAAUGUAAAGACCAAUCCUUCCUUAUUGGGUUCACCACUUUUUCUAAGAUCUUUUUAAUUUCUCUGUUGGACACUUUAACCUGACCAUUGGAUUGUGGGUGAUAUGUUGUUGCUAUCUUGUGUCUGACUCCAUAUUUCAUCAUUACUGCAGCAAAGAUUUUGUUGCAAAAAUAUGUGCCUUCAUCAUUAAUAAUUGCUCUAGGAGUGCCAAACCUGGAGAAAAUAUUUUUUUGAAGAAAAGUCACCACUGUUUUAGCAUCAUUGGUAGGUAAUGUUGUAGCUUCUACCCACUUGGAGACAUAAUCUACAGCAACAAGGAUAUAUAAGUUCCCAACGGAUGGGGGAAAAGGUCCUAUGAAAUCUAUUCCCCAAACAUAAAAAACUUCCACUUCCAGUAUGUUAGUCAAUGACAUCUCAUGUCUGCUAGUUAUGUUCCCUGUCCUUUGACACCUGUCACAACAUUUAACAAAUUCAUAAGCAUCUUUAAAGAUAGUGGGCCAAUAAUAACCUGAUUGCAUAACUUUGGCAGCUGUUCUGUGACCACCAAAAUGUCCUCCAUAUGCUGCAGCAUGACAUGACUCAAGUAUUUGAGGUAUUUCUUUUGCUGCAACACAUCUUCUUAUUACUUGAUCUGAGCACAGCUUAUAUAAAUGUGGGUCAUCCCACUGAUAACUUCUAACAUCAUGAAGAAAUUUCUUUUUCUCUUGAAACUUCAGCUCAGGUGGUAGCAACCCACUUACUAAGUAGUUAGCAAAGUCUGCAUACCAUGGAGAUUCUGACUGUUGCAGCAUAUGUGAUUGCUGUAUUACCAAUAACUGUUUAUCAGGAAAAGUUUCGGUGAUGCCCUUCCUUGUCAAUGUACUAGUGUUUGCUUCCAGCCGUGACAAGUGGUCUGUCACUUGAUUCUCAGUCCCCUUUCUAUCUUUAAUUUCCAGAUCAAAUUCUUGAAGCAAUAAGAUCCAUCUGAUUAAUCUUGGUUUGGCAUCUUUCUUUGAAAUUAAAUAUUUGAUGGCUGCAUGGUCUGUGUAAACAGUUACUUUGGUACCCACCAGGUAAGCUCUGAAUUUGUCAAAAGCAAAAACUACUGCUAGCAACUCUUUCUCUAUAAUGGUGUAAUUGAUCUGAGUUGGAGUGAACGUUUUGCUUGCAUAGUAUAUGGAAUGAAAAACCUUAUCCUUUCUUUGCCCCAAUACUGCCCCCACAGAAUGAUCACCAGCAUCACACAUCAAUUCAAAUGGUAAAGUCCAAUCUGGAGAUAUAAUUACUGGAGCAAUGAUCAGAGCUUUCUUUAGUUCUCCAAAUGCUUUAAGGCACUCUGUGUCAAAGUGAAAUGGUUUGUCAUGCUCCAACAAUGAACACAGAGGCUUAGCUACCUUGGAGAAAUCCUUAAUGAAUCUUCUGUAGAAUCUAGCAUGACCCAAAAAACUCCUAACACCCUUUACUGAAGUUGGAGGUGGCAGUUUAUCUAUUACCUUUAUCUUGGCUUUAUCUACCUCAAUACCAUCCUUGGAUAUCUUGUGACCCAGCACUAUUCCUUCUUGCACCAUGAAAUGACACUUUUCCCAAUUGAGUACUAAGUUGGUCAUCUCACAUCUUUUAAGAACUUCCAAGAUGUGUAAACAAUCAUUCUAUGUUUCUCCAAAAACUGAGAAGUCAUCCAUGAAAACUUCCAAAGUUUGCUCUACCAUUUCAGAAAAUAUAGACAUCAUGCAUCUCUGAAAAGUUGUUGGAGCAUUGCAUAGCCCAAAUGGCAUUCUUCUGAAGGCAAAUGUUCUAUAAGGACAAGUAAAUGUAGUCUUCUCUUGAUCCUCUGGAGCUAUAGCAAUCUAGUUGCAGCCUGAAUACCCAUCUAAGAAACAGUAGUACUGUUUUCCAGCAAGUCUGUCCAACAUUUGAUCUAUGAAUGAAAGUGGGAAAUGGCCUUUCCUUGUGGCUUUGUUGAGCUUCCUGUAAUCCAUACACACUCUCCAUCCAGUCACUGUCCUUGUAGGAAUAAGUUCAUUCUUCUCAUUAGCUAUUAUUGUUAUCCCUCAUUUCUUUGGAACACAUUGAACUGGGCUUACCCAUGAACUAUCUGAUAUUUGGUAUAUGAUUCCAGCAUCUAGCCAUUUGAUGAUUUCCUUCUUCACUACUUCUUUCAUAAUAGGAUUUAGCCUUCUCUGGUGUUCCACCGAAUUGCUGGAACAAUCCUCUAACAUGAUUUUAUGCAUACAGAUGGAUAGGCUUAUCCCUUUUAUAUCUGCCAUGGUCCAUCCAAUUGCUCUUCUAUAUUUUCCCAGCAAAUCUACUAAACUCUGUUCUUGACCUGCAUCCAAAGUAGAAGAAAUGAUUACGGGAAGUGUGUCGUUUUGACCAAGAUAAACAUAUUUUAACUAUGAAAGUAGCAGUUUUAAUUCAAAACUAGGAGGUGAUUCGAUAAAUGGUAAAGUUAUUUUUACUUCUCUGUCUGAAAGAUCAGGUGUUCAAUACACCUGUUGUGCCUAUCAGAUUGCUGUUUGUCCAUCCAAUCGGUUUGGAUUGCUGCAACAUCUUCCUCUUCAACAUCCUCAAAGGUGAUGACUUUGUCAAGUACAUUACUACAGCAUCUGUCCAUUCUGUCUGCUACAACAAGAUCCACUACACUUAGGAAAUUACAAUCUUCUACUUCAUCAGGGUUCCUCAUAGCCUCUAGCACAUUAAAUGUGACUUACUGAUCAUUCACUCUUAUGGUGAGCUCUCUUUUCUGCACAUCUAUAAGAGUUUUUCCAGUUGUUAGAAAAUGUCUUCCAAGUAUAAUACAUCCUUAUGGUACAUCUUUGUCAGCUUCAAAGUCCAACACAAUGAAAUCCACUAGAAAGAUGAAUUUGUCAACCUUCACCAAUACAUCCUUUAUCUUUCCUUCAGGGUAUGCAUGAGAUCUGUCAACUAAUUGCAGAGUGACUGUUGUUGGUCUGCACUCUCCUACUCCCAGCUGCUUAAAUACAGAUAAUGACAUCAGAUUAAUACUAGCUCCCAAGUCACAAAGUGCUCUGCCAGCAUAUCUAGUUCUUAUAUAAUAAGGUAUUGUAAAACUCCCUGGAUCUUUCAAUUUUGUGAGAAUUUUACUCUGGAGCAUAUGACUGCUUUUCUGUGUUAAAGCAACAGUUUCAAACUCCCCCAGCCUUCUUUUUCGUGCCAAGAUAUCUUUUAAAAAUUUAACCUAAUUUGGCAUUUGCUUUAGAGCUUCCACAAAAGGUAUGUUUAUGUGCAAUUAUUUCAGCACUUCCAGGAAUUUGCUGAACUGCUUGCCUUGUUUUUGCUUCUGGAACCUUUGUGGGAAAGGUGGUGGAUGUCUGAACUACUGGGUAUCAUCAGGGGAUAUCAAAAUUUGUUUGUUUGAUUUGGUGCAAGUUGUAACUACUGGUGUUGUAACUUCUUUGUCAGCAUGUUCUGGUUGAAUUUCCUCUGCAGUUGCUGUAGCUUGGCCCAUGUAACUAGUGUCUUGAAGAGGAGUUUGCUGUAACAGGCUUCCCUUUUGAGUUGGUUUUUGGCCUGAAUUGCAUUCCAUCCCAUUUUUGGUCACCUCAACUGGGAUAUCAACAUUCUUUCCAGAUCUCAAACUAAUUACUUUGCAGUGUUCUUUGCUUUCUCUCCUAGGUUCUUCUGUGUUGCUAGGUAGGCUUCCUUGAGUUCUGCUGCUCAUUACUGUAGCUAAUUGUCCCAUUUGGUUCUCAAGGUUUCUAAAAAAUAUAGCUUGACUUUGCACAAUUGCUUCAUUCUUUGCAAUAUACUCCUUAAUUAGUGUUUCCAGUGAAGUGAUUGGAUCCUGACUAAUAUGCUUUUACCCUUGACUUUGCUGAUGAAAACCAGGUGGUUGUGUGUUUCUGUUUUGUCCAUUUAAUGCUGGAGCAUUUCGAUUCUGACUAUUCCAUGCAAAAUUUGGGUGUUGCUUCCAGCCUGGGUUGUAAGUAUUUGAAUAUGGGUUGUUCUGAGGUUGUCGAUUGAAGUUACCUACAUAGUUUAGUGAGGAUGGAUUUCCAGGACAGUUAUCAAAAUCAUGUUCUUUACUACAGUAGAUGUUGUACAAAUUUUAUUGAACUCGUAAGUGGACGAAUCUAUUGUAGAAUAGAUUAAUGGUGACGAGUGUCGAUCCCAUGAGGAGGUGGAUUUUAAUUGUAUGUAGAAUUAAUUUUUCUAAAUGGGUGGUUGCAUUUGUAGUGAAAGUGACUUUAGAUUAUCCUAAAAUUGGAUUUUAAAUGGCGAGUAUAAAUUGAAUAGAAAUUUAUUGAAAUGACGUACUUGGGUAUCUGGAUCCGUAUCAACAUGCACUAUGAGCUAAAUAUUCCUUAUUAAUACCAAUUAAAUCAUGAGGGGGGAAUCCACAUCUCAUGAACUACACUUUAAUCAAUAUGGUGCUAAGGGUUUAUCGUGCCAAAUAAUAAUAACCUUAUACUAGAGAGCCGGUGAAACCAGGGCGGUAUCUAGACAAACUUAUUAUUAUUUAUCGACGAGAAGUCAAAACAUCCACAAAAACUAGAGGGGAAGAGAAAAUAAAUUUACCAAAUAAAGCCCAUGACACAUGUUGAGACUUCACCUUCAACCCAAGCUUGAAAGAAAAUUAGCUACUCAUAAUUGAACUAGGGGCAAAAAGGAAAUUUAUUAAAAUACGUAGAAAAUACAAGAUGGAGAAGGAAUUACAGAAAAUGGAGUCCAAAAAUAGAUUCAGAGAUAUCAAAUUAGGGGGGGAGAGCCCUCUUUUUAUAGAUACAUUGAGUAAAUCAUGGCCAUCAGAUCGAAAACAUUUAGGACGCUCAGGAUUGCACCACGUCAUCAGUCAACAGUACGCGGUUUGACCACGCGGGUGAACAGUAACACAGUUUGACCCGACUUGAACAGUGACGCAGUUUGGUUGAAAAUAAUCCUGUGUAAUGCAUAUACCAUACGCGAGAUUUUUGGUCCACUGAUAUGCUGCCACGUCAUCAAUCAACAGUGCAUAAAAAUUUUAUUCGAACAGGAUCGUGACACCUCAUCAGUCAAUGCCACGUCAUCGAUCCGUAUAUGUGAACAGUGUCGUGAACAGUAAUGUAGACAGUAUCGUACAUGUGAACAUUGCCAUUUUUCCUUUUAUGCUCCUUCUAAGGUUUUCGACCAUCCUGAGUUCAAAAAGUGAUGUCCGUUUUAUCGUCUGAUCUCUCGUUCAUUGUGAAAUGACUAUGAUGCCCCUAAAAUACAUAAAAUACCUAAUUAUAAUACAACACACAUAAUUAAAUGACAAGAAGUUUAAAUACAUAAAAGUAAGGGUGUUAGUAAAACUUGAAGUGUAAAAUGACAAUUUUUUCCUUUAUAAAUAUACAUUUUCUAACACUCAACAGUAGACACAAGAAAGUUCAGUAAUUUGCUUUACUGUUGCUGGAGCAGCUGUCAUGGCCUUUACCAUGUUAGUCAAUGAAGUAACUUGUGCUGAUAAGACUGUAAUUGCAUCAAUGUUAUGUUACCCUGCUGAUCCUCUUGCUGCUGGUUGCCUGGCUGCAGGCCACUGGUAAUUAUUGUUGGCAAUUCUCUCCAGAAUUUCAUAAGCUUCUGUGUAAGAUUUGGACAAGAGAGCUCCAUUUGCUGAAGCAUCCACCAUUAACCUAGUACUCGGAUUCAACCCAUUGUAGAAAGUUUCCAAUUGAAUGCAACAAGGGAUACCAUGAUGAGGGCACCUUCUGAGCAAUUCCUUGAAUCUUUCCUAAGCCUCGUACAAACUUUCAUCUUCAGUUUGAUGGAAGAAAGUAAUCUCAUUCCGCAACUUUGCAUUUUUUGUCGGUGGGAAAUAUUUCAUUAAGAAUUUAUCAGCCAAUUCAUUCUAUGUAGUGAUGGAAUCAGAUGGUAACAAAUUUAACCAUGCUCUUACUCGAUCUCUUAAGGAAUAAGGGAAAAACCGUAUCCUAAAGGCAUCUUUUGUUGCUCCAGCAAUUUUAAAAGCAUCAUUUACUUCCAAGAACAAUUUAAGAUGGAGAUGAGGAUCUUCAUUUGGCAAUUCAUUGAAUUGCCCAAUUGUUUGCAACAUUCGAAACAUCACUGGCUUCAACUCAAAAUUGGCAGCGUCUACUUCAGGUCUGAUGAUGCCAUGAUGUACAACUUGAGGAGUUAGCACAGCAUAGUCUCUUAUAGCUCUGUCCCUGUCAUCAGCCAUGUAAAUAAUAUUGUUAUUGCCUGGCUAUCUCCUGUUAGCAUGGUCAUUCUGCUCUUCUUGAAUGUUCACUGGUUGUAAGGGCCCGUGAGGAUUCACAUUUCCUGCAUCUUGUAAAUUAUUCAUACUUGAAGCAAUUUUUGAAUUCCUUUGUUCUCUUCGCAAUCUCCGGACAGUCCUUUCAAUCUCAGCAUCGAGUUGGAAUACCACAGAUCUGUCUUUGCGCAUGCAUGCACCGAUCUGCCAAUAAAUAGAAUAAAUCAAAUUAGAUUUGGCGCUAUCAAGAUUUACUUGACACUUCAAAAAUAAACAAUUAAUCUCCGGCAACGGCGCCAAAAACUUGUUGGUAGAUUUCAAUAAGCAAUUAUUAUCAAUGCCAAUGUGCAAGUAUACACAACAAGUAAUAAAGUGAUGAGUAUUCAAGAUCGUCUUCACAGGGAUUGAUGUUACUCAAAAUGCUAAAGCAAUCACAAUAGUGCACAUCAACCAAAGACCAAAACAAACAAUUGUCGAAUAAUUCUAUUAUAACUAAUAAUUGUGAGGGAUGAAAAUAAAACAAUACUAUAAUGAAAUAAACUAGGUUAAAUGUGUCUAAGAUUCAAUUGAGAAUAUAGUAGUUGAAUGAUCAAACUCUCCUAAUGGGAUGACUGUUGUUUACCAAAUUAGCACCAGUUGUUAAAAUGAGUGCUGCAGCAAUGGAUAGAAUAAAUCUGCAUCCUCAGCUAUCGAAUGUUGGAAAUCUCAUACCUUUAAAUCUACUAACAAUGACCAGUUGCUCAUAUAUUUAUGGUAUGGCAUUAUAACAUUUAAUCUCUCUACCCUACAAGGUGAACACCUAUGUCUAGAGUGUCACAAAUCUUAACUUCAAGUAUUGCCCUUAUGGGAUUCAAGAUAACCUAAUCCAGGAAACUCGACUUAAGAACUCUAAUAAUGUCCGUUAAGACAUGCCCUUUUGCUACUCUAUCUUAACUGAAACUAUUAAAUGGGUGGUUAACCGAAAUAACAGUUGUAUUCAUAAAAACUACUAGAGUAUAAUGCUACAGUAUUACCAUAAACACAUAAAAGAACAGUCAAGAACCCAUUGGAUUAUUUGUCACUCAACCACGAGUAAAUUUAGUUCAUAAUCUGGAUGAGAAAAAUAAACACAAAUAAAUUGAACUCGGAAUACAUCCCAACAAUUCAAGGAAAAAGAGAAAAUAUAAGUUGAGCACGAUGAAAGGCAAAUAAUUCUGCACGGCUCUCUUUUUUUUUUUUUGAUUAGCACUCUCCAAUCUUGAUCUCCUUCUUCUUGCCUUUGUAAUUAUUUCUGAUGAUAAUUCCUUGCCGCCUUUCUAUGUGGUGCACGCCUCCUUUUUAUAUUGCAAAUUAGGUUAAAACCAAAGCCCAUGAGCGUGCAUAUAUUUGAAUUAAGAAACAUGCAGAUCGCGAUUUUAUUGUUAACUUGUGCCUAAGUUCUCUCCUGCAUUGCUCCUAAAUUGCUACAACACUGGUUGCUCUAACAGCUGCUACAACACCGUUUUAUUCCCGAUUGUGCUUUACUUCUUUUGUGGCCAUCUUCUUUCCUCCUCUUGCUCUUCUAAUGCCUCAACAUCCUCUCACGAAUUUAAAAACUACAAUUUAAAAUAUGUUUUUAGAACAAAUUACUAUGAUUCAAUCAAAACUUAUUAAAACUCAACUACAAUGAAUGUUUAUGCAAAAGGUACCCAAAAUGUAAUAAAAACACCUUAUUUGUUCUCUAAGUGACCUUGAUUCAAGUCUAGAAUUGAUGUAAUAACUCUCAUUUCCUAGAGUUAUCACACCCCCAAACUUAAACCAUUACUUGCCUUCAAGUAAUGACACAUACUAACAUUCCUGGCAAACAAACAUGCACACAACUUAAGCUCUUUUAUCAAAUUUGCAAGGAUUCUUCCACCUUCAGAACACCAUCCUAAUCAAACAAAAUACCCAUAGUAAAUCAGUUCUAGACUUAAGCUUCUUUCUGUCCAUAGUGAGUGUGUGCUUCUUUUGAUUGAAUUCUAGAUAUGCUGUAACAUCACCAAAGUACUGCAGAAAUUUCAGCAGUGAUAUACUUUUUUUUAAAAAAAAAGGGUAGCAUAAAUUUCACAUAUUCAAACUGUGAUUGUUUUAACAUUGAUAAACUGGGGAGUAAUCAACCUCAUCACUGUAACAUUUAUCUUUCAUGUGAAUGUCAAUCACCUGGUAAGAAAGUGACAAAGCAUGUAGAAGAUGAGCUUGAAAAGAAUGAAUUGAUGCCUAAAUCUCAAGAUGCGCAACCCACCAGAGCGAAACCUUUACCUAUGGUGAUACCUCCUCCUUUUCCAAACCGGUUUGUAAAAUCCAAGAAGGAGGAACAAGAGAAAGACAUCCUUAAGACAUUUCGCAAGGUUGAGUUAAAUAUUCCCUUAUUAGAUGUUAUAAAACAAAUACCUCGAUAUGCUAAAUUCCUUAAGGAACUGUGCACCUCCAAGAGAAAAUUAAGAGGAGAUGAAAGAGUUCAAAUGGAGGAGAAUGUUUCAGCAGUUCUCCAAAAGAAACUACCUCCUAAGUGCAAGGAUCCAGGUAUGUUUACUAUCCCUUGUAAAAUUGGUAGUGUUAGAGUUGAGAAGGCUAUGUUAGAUCUAGGAGCUUCUAUUAAUGUCAUGCCUCAUUCUGUUUAUUCGUCUUUGAAUGUUGGUGCAUUAAAAGAAACUGGCGUGAUAAUUCAACUAGUUGAUAGGUCUAAUGCAUAUCCUGAUGAGUAUUAGAGGAUGUCUUAGUACAAGUUAAUGAGUUAGUUUUUCAUGCUGAUUUUUAUAUACUUGAUAUGGAAGAGGAUAACUCCUCUAAUUCUGUCCCAAUUUUAUUAGGAAGACAUUUUCUUAAGACUACUAGAACUAAAAUGAAUGUACAUAAAGGGACUCUCACUAUGGAGUUUGAUGGAGAUGUUAUAGAGUUCAAUAUGUAUGAUGCCAUGAAAUAUCCUAGUGACGAACAUUCAAAAUUUUCUAUGGAUGUUAUUAACCCUAUAGUGUAGGAAGCUUUUUAUUUGGAUGUUGAAGAUUCAUUGGUAGCUGCUUUAAAUAACAGUUUGGGCCUCAAAGGAUUGCAAAAUGAUGAAAAUGAGUUUGUUUUAAAUUCUGUAUUGCAAGAGACAAUUUAUGAAUUAAAUUCUUUGAGAACUUUAACUCAUCAUAUGUCUAAUAUUGAAUUACCUUCAUCUCAUGCAAAACUUCUUCCAUCUAUUCUGCAGGCACUGAAAAUAGAGCUUAAACCAUUGCCGAGUCAUCUAAAGUACACGUUUCUAGGAGAUGAUGAGACACUUCCGAUGAUCAUCUCUUCAAAGCUUAGUACUUUAGAGGAAGAAAAGCUUAUUAGAGUGCUGAAGGAUUACAAAAAGGCUAUUGGGUGGACAAUUGCAGAUAUUAAAGGGAUAAUUCCGUCCACGUGCAUGCAUAGAAUACUGCUGGAGGAAGAUGCCAAACCUUCAAUUCAAGCUCAACGCCGUUUGAAUCCACUCAUGAUGGAAGUAGUAAAGAAAGAAAUUCUGAAACUUCUUGAUGCAGGUAUAAUCUAUCCAAUUUCAUAUAGCAAAUGGGUAAGUCCGGUACAAUUGGUAUCGAUGAAAACUGGUAUAACAAUUGUUGAGAAUUCUUAUGGUGAGUUAGUACCCACCCGGAUUCAGAAUGGGUGGAGGGUUUGUAUUGAUUUUAGAAAGCUUAAUUCACUCAUUAAGAAUGAUCAUUUUCCUAUUCCUUUUAUUGAUCAGAUGCUUGAAAGGUUGGCAGGAAAAUCUCACUUUUGUUGUCUUGAUGGUUAUUCAGGUUUUCAUCAGAUACCAGUUGUGUCUGAGGAUCAGAAGAAGACUACCUUCACAUGUCCUUUUAGAACUUUUACGUACCGACGUAUGCCAUUUGGUCUUUGUAACGCUCCCGUCACUUUUCAGAGGUGCAUGGUUAGUAUAUUUUCAGACUAUGUAGAAAACACUAUAGAGGUAUUUAUGGACGAUUUUACAGUCUAUGCUGAUUCUUUCGAUGAUUGUCUCUAUAAUCUGAAGAAAGUGCUUGAAAGAUGCAUUGAAACAAACCUUGUCUUGAAUUAUGAAAAAUGUCAUUUUAUGGUAGAUCAAGGCAUUAUUUUGGGCCAUGUAGUCUCUGCUAGAGGAAUUGAGGUAGAUAAUCUAAGAUAUAUGUUAUUAAAUCUUUACUUUAUCCCACAUGUGUACGGGAAGUUCGUUCUUUCCUUGGUCACGCAGGUUUCUAUAGAAGAUUUAUCAAGGAUUUUUCGAAGAUAGCCCAGCCUUUAUGCAAGCUUCUACAGAAAGAUGUGACGUUUGAUUUUAAUGAAGCAUGCAAGGUAGCAUUUGAUAAGCUUAAGGAGCUAUUGACUUCAGCUCCAAUUAUACAGCCACCCGACUGAAGCCUCCCUUUUGAGAUAAUGUACGACGCCAGUAAUUAUGCUGUUGGUGCUGUUCUCAGACAAAGGGUUGGAAGAGCUGCUCACGUGAUAUAUUACGCAUCAAGAACACUUGAUAGUGCUCAGUGCAAUUACUCAACAACGGAAAAAGAACUUUUAGCUAUUGUUUUUGCUUUAGAAAAAAUCCGUUCAUAUUUAUUGGGUACUAAAGUGAUUAUUUUUUCUGACCAUGCAGCUCUCAAAUAUUUGCUCGCCAAGAAGGAAGCGAAACUGAGACUCAUCUACUGGAUCCUACUAUUUCAAGAGUUCAACUGGGAGGUCCGUGACAAGAAAGGAGCAGAAAACUUAGUUGCAGACCACCUUAGUAGAUUGACCACGAGUGAAGAAGCAACACCUUUGAAGGAUGAUUUUCCAGAUGAGCAUCUCUUUGUAACUCAAGGCAUGGUUCCUUGGUACGCUGACAUUGUCAAUUACUUAGUUACAAGAACACUACCUAGUGAUCUGACGAUGGCUCAAAAAGAUAAAAUUAAGAGCGAUGCUAAAUACUAUGUUUGGGAUGACCCUUACUUGUGGAAACAUUGCUCUGACCAAGUCAUCAGAAAGUUCAUAUCUGAGUUUGAAAUUCCUUCUAUUCUUCAGUUUUGUCACUCAUAUGCAUGUGGUGGUCAUUUUGGUCCCAAAAGGACAGCAUCCAAGGUGUUAGAAUGUGGUUUAUUUUGGCCUACUUUAUUUCGUAAUUCAUACAUGUUUUGUAAGUCGUGUGAGAAUUGUCAAAAGACUGGUAAUUUAAGUCAUAGAAAUCAAAUGCCACUUACCCAUAUUCUUGGGUGUGAAAUAUUCGAUGUGUGGGACAUUGAUUUUAUGGGACCUUUUCCCUCAUCUUUUGGCAAUGCUUACAUUCUUUUAGCAGUAGAUUACAUUUCAAAGUGGCUAGAGGCUAAGGCCACCCGAACUAACAAUGCUAAAGUUGUUGUAGAUUUUGUCAAGUCUAAUAUUCUUGCCAGGUUUGGUGUACCGAGAGCAGUGAUAAGUGUUAAAGGCACUCAUUUCUGUAAUCGAAUGGUGGAGGCUUUGUUCAAGAGAUAUCAUGUUACCCACCGAGUGUCUACCGCCUAUCAUCCACAGACAAGUGGACAAACUGAGAUAUCAAACGGAGAAAUCAAGUCUAUUCUUGAAAAGACAGUUAGUCCAAAUUGAAAGGAUUGGAGUUUGCGAUUAGAUGAUGCAUUGUGGGCGUAUCGCACCGCUUACAAAACUCCCAUAGGUAUGUCUCCUUAUCAUUUAGUAUUUGGUAAGCCUUGUCAUUUACCUGUAGAGCUUGAGCACAAAGCAUACUUGGCGGUUAAGCAAUGCAAUAUACGGAUGGAUGAAGUGGGAAAGCAGAGAAAGUUGCAGCUGCAAGAGUUGGAGGAGAUUAGAAACGAAUCCUAUGAGAGUUCGCGAUUUUACAAGGAAAAGACAAAAACAUUUCAUGACAUAAUGAUUUUGAGAAAGGAGUUCUCUGUUGGUUAAAAAGUUCUUCUUUUUCAUUCUAAGCUUAAACGUUUUCCUGGUAAAUUACAUUCUCGUUGGGUAGGACCUUUUAUUGUUACUAAUGUUUUUCCUCAUGGUGCAGUUGAGAUUCGGAGUCCGACCUCUGAUAAAGUUUUUAAGGUUAAUGGUCAUCGCUUAAAAUCUUUUUAUGAACGUUUUUUGGUGAAUAUUGUAGAGGAAGUGGCUCUCGAGAAUCCCAUUUAUGGAGAUUGAUGCAUGAAUGUGUCUAGCCAAAGACAUAAAACAAAGACACUUUUUGGGAGGCAACCCAAAGGAUUUAUUUAUUUUGGUUUUUGUUAUAUCUUCUUUUAAUUUUGAUUCAGAUUUUUCUUAAAAUAAUGUUUUUACUUAUUUUGGCCAGAAGAAAAUUUUUGAUAAGGCAUGCCCACGUCUUAACUAAUAAGUACUUCUGUAAUUUUUAACGUAAAAUGGUUUUAAGGCGUGCCCACGUGCUUAUUAAAAAAGUACUUCUGAAAUUUUUAGUGUCUCAAAGUGAUUCAUAAAAAAAAAAUUUAAUUUAAUUAAUUAAUUUAUUUGAAAAAAAAAAUGAAAACGAAAAAAAAAGAGGUUUUUUUUUCUUUUCUUAUAUAUAUAUAUAUAUUUAUUUAUUUAUUUAUUAAUUUAAAAAAAAGAAAAAAAAUCAAAAAAUCAAUAUUCACAAAAUCCCUAAUUAAAAAAAACAAAAAUCGUUUUCUUUCCCGCAGCAACCAGCAGCUCCAACCUUCACCGAGCAUCCCCAGCAGCAGCAGCAACCGUGUGCAUAACCAGACCCAGCCCGCGCGCACAGCACAACCAUCCGCGAGCAACCUGAACCAGCAGCCAUGUACCCGCAAGCUCCAGCCGAGCAGCAAUUGUUCGCAACCAACCCACCCCCUGCAUUCCAGCCGCGUGAAUCGAAAUCCGUGAGUGAAAUUAUUGUAACAAUGCCGAAGAGGAAAACAUCAACUUCCAAGUCAUCUAAAAAGACACCCGUAGCAAAGAAAUCCAAGAUUGCCACUCCCACUACGGUCCCAUGGAACACAGUUUCAAAUUCAUGUCAAGCCGUGAGACAAAGAUCGAAACAUGGAAAGGGCAUGAGUGUUUUGCCACUUGCGGAAUCCAAUCUCGGAGGGUGCUUCAUAUUCACGACUCAACAAGAGAAAGAAAGGUAUAAAGAUAUUUCCAAACGACAAAUACUUCCAGCUAAGUAUAUUCAUUACCCGACUCUUGAAAAAUUGAAUGUUAAGGAUAAUUUUGACUCUUUGAUAGAUAAGAUUGAUUUGCGUAAGUUUGUUGAUGUUGAUUGUUUGGGAUAUGCUGAGUAGAUUAGGGAGUUCUAUGCUACUUUUCAAUUUAAUAUACCGAAUAAUUUUACUUUGCAUACUCCGGAUGUUAUAAAGUUUAGGUUAACUUUAGGAUUCAUUGAUGGGAUGAAACUUUUCACAAUCUAUCACAGAUUUUAACCUAGCUUUAGGAUUUAUUAAUGAUGAUUAUUCUUCUAGUGAUGCAUAUUUAGGAACAACUUGUGAUUUUAGCAAAAAUUUUGAGCCUUAUGGUCUUUGGCGUAAUUUAUCUGUUGAUCACAAUGCCUAUAACCCGAGUAAAUCAAAGAGUUCUUUCUUACGUGAUUCUGUUUUGAAAUGUGUGCAUCGAUUCUUAGCAUAUAAUUUUUUAGGAAAGAAAGAUCACUUAGGAGUUUUUUCUAAAACUGAAUUUUAUUUUAUCUGGUGCAUGUUAAAUGAUGUGAGGCCUAAUUUAGGUUUUUGGUUAGCAGAUCAAUUUCAAAGUGUGCUUAAACAGUAUAGGACUUUAUUUCUUGGUCCAUACAUUACUCUGUUAGCUAUAAACCUAUGUGUGCCUGAUCCUGACAAUAAUGAUUUGCAUCCUGCUUGCAAAAAGGAAUUUUUGGAUAUGUCUGUGUUUGAAAGAACAUGUGUGGUCGAAUUCAAGGAGGGGAGAUUUCAUUUUACUGAACCAGGACCCACUCAACCUCCAAAGAAGCUCUAUGCUAGGAGUGGUGCUACCUCUAAUGACGAGUUUGACGACAACACUGCUGCCCCGCCAACUAUUCCUUCUACAUCCGCACCACCUUUAAGCAUUCAGUUAGAGAAAAUGGAGCACAAGCUGAACAAGAUGGAGCAGAAUUUGGCCGCAUACUUCGAGAGUGUGGGAUUUAUCCCACCAUUUUCACCAAGCCCAUAGACGUUAUGAGGAUCAAAGCUCAUAAUUCAGGGAAGUUUUUGCCUUUAAUCUUUUAUCCUUACACUUUAAUUUAUAUGUGAGCUUUGAUUAUCUUACAUUAGGGACAAUGUAAGUUCUUGGUGUGGGGGAGGGAUUUUUGCAUUAUUGAUGUCUGGAAGUAUUAUUUUCACUCUACCCAUUUAUUUUCACUCUACUCAUCCUUAAAUGAUUUUGGAGUUAGUAUGCUUCAUAUAUUAUUAUUUUUCUUUUCUUUUCUUUCUCACUACUCUUUUCUCAUCUAUCUCAAAUUAUUUACAUCUAUUUUUAUUCUAUCAUACUCUUUCAUCACUCACAUUUUAUCUUUCACUUUUUAUAUUACUACAUACAUCUUUCUCACUUCUUAUCAUUUUUACCUUUCCUUUUAUAUAUCACUCCUACCUUCUUCCUAUUCUACACCACUAUUGAUGGUUGAUUCAUUUGAAGAGUGUACAUGAUUUGACGGCAAAUUUACCAACUUUGUGAGGAUUUGAGCCUAGGAGCAACCACUUUGCUGUAAUUAUUUUUGUUAUGUGAAUAUCAAUCUUAGUUUGUUUAUUCUAGAACUUGCUUUGUUAUGCAUGUUGAAGCCGCAUUACGGGAUUUUAUGCAUUAAAAUAAUAAGGGCAAACCACUUUCCAUUUUUCUAUUCCCCCAUUUUUCUUCUUUUUCUCCACCCGAAAACCUUUAUUAUCUUUGUUUGAGCCUUAAAUAAAUUCCCUUCUAAUUCUCUCUGUCUACUUAACCAUUUUUCUUCUUUUUGAGCCUCAAUUUAAAGAGAUUUUUGGACUCAUUGUGUGGAUAUAUUUUGUAUAUAUUUUGUUGCUUUUUCUACCUUGUAUUAAAGUUUCUCAAUUAGAUCAACAAGCAUUAUGCUUGAAUUAAAUUGUGCAAGGUUCAUUUCUUUUGUUUGAUUCAUAAAAAAAGAAAAGAAAAGAAAAGAAUCGCUAAAAAAAAAUGUUUACAUUCUUGGCGACUUGAGUAGAAAUAAGCGUUUUGAUAUCAUAAGGUUCAUUCAAUGAGUUCAUUCUUCUUAUUUUGAUCUCUUUUCAUUUAACCUAUUUAACCCCAUUGCACCAUUUUUAAGACCCUUAGAUUUUUGCAUUUUAUUCAUGUUUUGUGGAUUGAGAUGUGAUAUAUGAGCAAGCUUAUGGUAAUAGCAUUCUUUGAUUUGAUUUGAGUGCAUAAAUGAUACCCUAAACACUUUGAGUGCAUGGAGUGAAGUCAAUGAGAGGGCUAUUAAAUCUUGUUGCACUUGAAUUUUGAAUGGAUCUUCUUGGUGGUUGAAUGUUUUUCUUUUAUUCUACCUUAUGAGAUUCUAUGCUUUAAAAUCCUUAUCUCUCGAAUGUUGAUUGACUUAAAUUCUUGAGGUAUGCUUGCUUAAGAUUGUUUUUGGAUGAGUUGAGAUGAGAAUUGAGUGAAGAUUUGAGAUUAGCCAUGAGUUAUAUGCUUGAGGACAAGCAUAAUCUUGGUGUGGGGAAAUUUGUUAGAGUGCAAAUUAUGCACUAGUUUUGCAUUAUUUACUUCCCUUAAUACCGAUGUUUUGCACUUAAUAAUAGUGAUUUACUUGUGUUUUACUUUUGUAGGUGCAAUUCUAUUGAUUGGUGAUAAAAUUGAGCUACAAGAUGAUGUUUAAGGAUGAUUGUUCUCUUAGAGAAAUUAUGAGCAUCAGAACAAUUUUGUUGAUAAGGAGUGGGCGCGUGCUGUCAACUACGGACCUGCAGUUUUUAGUUUAACGUGUUUUGUAUUUUUGGUUAUUUUUGUAAUUACGAAUUUAAUAUUUCAGAUAGUAAUAUUUUAUUUUAAAAAGAACUCUAGAGGAGAGGAGAGAUAGAGUAUUUAAGGGAGGAAUCUAUUGUGAAAAAGACUGAUUUUGGAGAAAAGAAAGAAACCCUAGAUCUAAAUUUUUCUCUUCUAUCUAUGAAGAACUAAACCUAUUAUUCUGGUUGAAGGUUAAUGAAGCUUUGAUUCAUCACUACUGUGAGAUCUUUCUUAUGCUUUAAUUGUUUUAUUGCUUUUUUGGUAUUUGUUUAUUCUCUGAAUUAUUUUCAUGAUUAUGUUUGUUAACUAGGUAAUUGGCCACUAUUUAAUUAUCAACUUAAUCUAUUAUCAAUUAAAGGAUUCAUCGUAUGAAGAAUUUAAUGUUUGUGACAAAUAACAUAGCAGUGAGAAUAAAUAAUCUAAUUUAAAUUAACCAUCGUAUGCGUUUGUUAAUUAGGAUUUGGGUCUCUUUGGUUUUUCAUGCUGUCAAUUGAUUAAAUCUUAUGAUUGUAUCUAGGGUUGUCUAUUGAUUAGGAAAAUAACCAACGGUCGUACCUUGGUUAUCGACUAGUUAAGGAGAGAUUGGCUAUUAGAGGGUCUCAGUAGCUAUAACCGGUCUAUUCAUAAGUAGUAAUGAUUUAUAUUUGAAUCAAUGAUCAGUAGUCGAAUCAAGCUGAGUUAAUUUCUUCAACCAGAGCUUUCUCCAAUUUGAAUUAAAAUUUUAAUUUGCACUCUUGUUAUUUUAAUUUGAUUUUUAUCAUUAUCAACAAAUCUCCCAUUUUUCAUUUUACAUUUUAAAAGGAUUUAAAUAAUUACCGAUCUCUGUGGACACGACCCUGCUCAAUCACUACACACAAUUUAUUUAGAGCAGGUAUUUAUUUUUGCUGGCUUCGACAACCAUCAGUAAAGAAUCAUUGGAUAAUAUCUUACAAUCUCUUGAGAUGCAUCGAAGCGGAUAUGUGCAACGUGAGAUUCAUAAUUUGUGGAUACUAUUCCAAAUAGAAAUUGCACAGUUUAGUCUUGGGAAUCUGACUAAAAAAGACCUUGUUCGUCAGUUUUUAAGAAAAUUGGAUGGGAAGUCUAUCCUCGACCCAUAGAGGGCGUUUAAGUUGUUAUUAGACGUAAAACCAGAGGAAGAUGUGAGCCGCAAUCACAACUAUCAGUAAAUAUCCUUUUAUUUUGUUGUUCUUUUAUCAUUUGCAUUAUUGCACUUAGUGGUGUGAUUUUGUAUUUAAUAAUAUUUGUUUUCUUUUACUAUUUACUUUUUCUAAUCAUUAUUUUCUUUUUCUUUUUAUUAUUUGCUUUUAAAUUAUUGAGCCACGAGCUUUACUCGUCAUUUGACAAAUAUGCCAACCCAUUUACAAUUGUUUCCCAUUAUUUUUGUCACUAAGAUCUUUAAAUAUGAGCUUGUUUUUCAAACACUCACAACUUGUUUUUGAAAGAUUAUUCCAAUAGCAGUAUCUUCGAGUAAACAAUUCAAAAAUAUUUGUGUGUUUCCUGGGUUUCACUAUGGAAAGUAUAAAGAGUUUGUUCAGGCAGUUGUAGAUCUUGGUCGUCUCAUAGCAGAGAGGAAACUGCAUCUUGUAUAUAGAGGAGACGAACGAGGGUUAUCAAGACUUAUCUCAGAAGUUGUUUUUACUAGAGGAAGCCAAGUACUAGGCAUUAUUCCAAAAGCCAUUAAACCUCUAAUAUGCAUGUCUGGCCCACCAAUUGGAGAAGAAUUAGUGGUAUCAAGUAUGCAAGAGAGAAUAUCUAAAAUACUAAAUCAUGCUGAUACUUUUAUUUUCUUGACAGGAGAUCUUGUAACUUUUAAGGCACUGAUUACAUUUGCAUCUUGGGCCCACUUGAACAUUCAUAAAAAACUCAUCGAUUUAUUAAAUGUUAAUAAUUUUUAUGAUGGCUUACUAACUUUUAUUAACCAUGCAAUAAAGAAUCAUUUUGUUCCACACUCUAUAAAAAAAACUCUUUAUCUCUACUUCUACUGCUAAUGAGUUACUUGAUCUUUUACAAACUUAUACACCAAAACCAGAUCCCAAGACUUUUAUGCUGGAUUGGUCGACUGAUGAUGGUAGCAGUAGCAAUAAUAAGAAGUGCAAAUUAGAUUUAACUCUCUGUCGGUAAAUAUUUUCUAUUGCAAUGUUCAUGUGUUGUCUUCUAAAUUCUUCUUCUUUCCUUUUAAAAUAUUGAAGAUAAUGUCUCUUUCAGGUUGGGGGGAGGGAAUAGUUGAUAAUUGUUGAAUGUCUUAAUUCUGGUGAUAUUUUUACAAAAAAAAUUCUGUAAAAACUAACUUUGGACUAAAUUUAAGUCGAAGAUGGGUGGAUAUGGAGAGUGCAGUACCUCUAGAAACACAUUUUCUUAAUCUUAGAGUUUUAUUAAAAAAAAAUUGACUUUUUCUUGUUCUUUGUUAUUUGCUUUUAAGCUUCUGCAUCGAGUUCAUGUGAGAUCUCUUACUCUUCUUCUUUAUUGUUAUUUUUUUCUCUUUUAUUAUGCAUAUCUGUAAAAUUAUAAAAUGUUAAGAUAAUGUUUAGAUUAGGUUGGGGGGUGGGGAUAGUUGACGCAUGUUUUUAAAUAUGUGUGUUUGUUUUUCUCUUUUCUUUUCUUUUUUUUUAAAAAAACCCAAAAAAACAACAUUUUUUUUGUCUAGGAUGGCUGUGUAAAGAGUCACGACUUUUGAGACGCAUCCUAAUAGUCCUGUUAUAUUAUAUUUUGAUUUUAAAAUUCAUAGUAAGUUGUUUUUGUUCCCUUUUCUUUGAAUUACUCAAAUUUAUAAACUCUCCAAUUUGUUAUUAAGUUAUUUAAUUGUUACUCAUUUAACAGGUAUUAUUGAAUAAUUCUUCAUACACACACACUAUGACACAUACUAGUGGGUUGUAAGUUAAAAUUUUUACAGUAUUUAGUUCUUUGAUUUAUUAGGAAUAAUAUCUAAGGUAGUAGAAAGUGUAUAUUUUCAAAAAACAAAAAAAAAACUAAAAAACCUAAAAAAUGAGAGAAAAAAAAUGAAUGUUUUUAAUUUUGCUAUGUCUAGAACCCGAGUAAUUAAGUCCGUAGGGGUGUUUCAACACCUAGUGCCCUAAGGUCAACUGAUCUGGAAGUUACUGGCCUAAAACUCGCUACAUGAGUAAUAGAUAUAUUGUUUGAUUAUUAGAAACCCGAGUAAUUAAGUCCAUAGGGGUGUAUCAACAACGAGUGCCCUAAGACCAACUGGUCUGGGAGUCACUGGCCUAAAGCUCACUACAUGGGUAAAAAAUGUAAUAUUUUUAAUUUAUAUGUGUGAAUAAUCUACUGCCUAAAGAUAUAAUUUCUAAUGAAUUUUAGAACAAAAAUGUUGUUUUUCUUUUAAUGGAGCCCCAUAAGUAUUGUGUUAAUUACUUGAGAACAAAAGAAGGUUUGAUAAUAUUCUGGAUAAUGAGUGAACAUCAAAGAGGUAAAAAAAAUUGGGAGAGUUUAUUUAUUUGGCAGUUUAAAGGAUAGAUGAACAACUAUUAACUUGCAUGUGAAUUUUGUAAAUCUUAAUUUAAUAUAACGCUUUAAUUGCUAGGGGCUAGUAAUAAGCUAGUUGGGGGAUGUGAUUAGUAUUAAAAAUUGUUUAAUUAUCAAGCGAUAAUAAUAUUAUUUUGUGCUUAUGUUAUAAUUUAUAUUUGUGUUUAUGCAAUAGAUUAUGAAUUAUUAAUUAUGUAUUAAAUAUAUCCAAUUUUGUGUAUUUUUGUGUGUUUAUUAGGUAAAAUAUUAAUUCCACAUAAUUCGAGACUCCAAACAGAUAAACGGAUGUCAAAUUUAGAUUCUGGAGGUCCGAAAAUCUUAAAAUCAGUCAAGAUCGGCUUAAAAUUAGGCUUGUGUAAAAGAGUUGACUUUUUUUUGUUGACCGAGCACUGAUUGGAUGAUGAAAUGAGCGUACAAUAGAUAUGAGUGCAUGGGAUAGCUGGCAAUUUUGACUAAAUCUCAACCGUUCAUGAUUCAAUGGCCAUGAUUGUGCCAUGUGGCAAUGGUUGGUGAAGCAAGUUGUGGGUCCGAAUCUUUGUAUUCGGGUCAACCUGAUCCACCCAUUAACCCGCCAAAUCUCAAUUGUUCUUUUGCUAAAUCAGACGAGUCAAAUGAUGCCACAUGUGAUGUUGACUUUGGAAGUUUGACCAGCCGUUGGAUCUUGAUCUAACGGUUUCUAAGAGCGCAUGCAUGAAGCUUAUGAGGGACCGCAAAGCACUGGAUUAUUAAUUUACUUUUCUAUAAAUAUAGCCUCAUUUUUAUGUUUUUAAUCAUCUCUCUACAUCUCUCUUCUUCUCAAUUUCUCUCCAUCUCCCUAUAAUCUUGAUUUUCAUGUGUGUUUUUAAUAUUUUGUAUAAUUAUUUUUAUAAAUAAAUUUAGUUUUAUUUUCAAUUUAGUUGCCUUUAUUACUUUUAAUUAUAAGUAAUUUAAUUUUAAUAAUUCUUUUUAUUUCAAUUAUGCUUAACUAAAUAAUAAUAAUUAGGGUAAGGUAAAACUCUUAGGAAAUAAAUAUAAUUUAAUGAAAUUCUAUUUUUAAUUUUAUAAAUUAAAUUAUUUUCUGUUUAAUUUUAUACAUAUUUUAUAUUUUGAAAUUUUGAUUUAUUGUAGACAAAUAAGGGAGUUUCACAAUAAAUUCUUAAUAUCUUAAUAUAAGGUAUGUAAAAUGGUAUUUUAACUUAUUCUGGACAAAUUAAAUUUUGGCACAAUAAAUACUUAAUCCAUCAUAAAAUUAAAGGAAAAAUAAUAAUAAUUUAUAUAAUUAAUCUUUAUCUAAAAAAAUGGCAAAAAGAAUUUAUGAAGUUUUAUUUACUACUAAAGUGGAUUCACAACCCUAACUAAUUCAAUUUCAUAGUUUUAUUUAAAUUAAGUUGUUUAUAUUUGAGUUUUAUUUUUAAUUUUUAGAUAAAAUAAAAUAAACAAAUUAAAUCUUUUCUCUGUGGAUCGACCUCGCACUUACCGAGCUAUAAUACAACAAGACGCUCUUAUACUUGGGAGUUAAAAAUUACUUUUAAGUUGUGUCAAUAUCCAAGAGACUUUCUUUAUUAAAGUGCCUUGAGGAUUGAGGUAUGUCAUUUUCAAUAUAUUUGUGCCAGAAUUCAGCAGCUGUAUGCCCUAAUUUGAAGCAAAUUUGAGAGAUAGGCACUAAUUUAUCACCAUUUGAAGUUUGUGGUUAAAUAGCAGACAUAUUGCCACUACUAAUAAGAUUAGCGCCAAAUGAAUUCUUUCCAAACUGAGCAGACUUGUUACUUCCCAUUAUACGACCUCUUUCAAAAUUACCAAAAGUACUAGUACUAGGGGGAAAACCUCUUGGAUAAGACUAAAAAACAUGCCUUUGCCAAUUUUUUUUUUUUUUUUUUUUUUUGGGUACAAAAAGGCUUAGCCAAGCUAAGAAAUUACAAAUCAGGAAAUUCUCGUCCCGUACAUAUCAUAAGAAAGCUAGGGACCAAGUUCUGGUGGGGGUUCCUGAAAAACAUGAAAUCCAAGAGGCAAAGAUAUUGCAUUCCCAGCUAAAAAAUCAAUUGCAAAGUUGGCUUCGUGACAGAUAUGUCGAAAGGAUACGUGUAAUCCUUCAUGAGAAGAUUCUUGAUCGAAUUUAUCAAAGGGGUGUGCACAUUCGGGCUCUGACCUCUAGACUCCAUCAUAUGCAGUAUGCAAAGGCUAUCAACCUUUGCCCCUAAAAAUCUAAUGCCGUAAUUCCACGCAAGAUUAAGACCUUGGUAUAGCCCCCAAAUUUCUGCUAUACUAAUGGGACAAGAUCCAAUAUUCAUCCCAAAGCCCCGAAUCCAAUUUCCAUUUGCGUCACGAAUUAAGCCACCUACAUUAGCUUUUCCAUUAAUUUCUCUUGUUCCAUCUAGGGGUUGUCCAGCCAAUACCAACUGACACAAUGUCUCUGUUGUAUAUUAGCCUUAAAAUCUGUUGUAUCUCAUGCACCCAUGCUCUGAUAUCCGACACUACAUGAAGGCUGCAUGGGGUUGGCAAAAAGAAACUGAUUCCUCUAAUGCCAAAUUUUCCAUACAGUGAUCUCAGAAACCAAGGACCAGCUAUCUCUCAUCUCCACACUCUCCCACAUAGAAAUGUUGUUAAAGAGCCAUUCUUUUAAGUAAUAGGAAGCAAGGAACUCCAUACCCAUUUGGCCAAAAUGCAGUCACGGAGUGUGUGCAAAAUAGUCUCCGUGUCAGCUCUGCAGAUAUCACAAACAGAAUUACUAUAAAUGUGCCUCCUAAAAAGUUCCACAUUUGUCUUGAUUUUUUCAUGCAUUAAGAGCCAAAUAAAUACCCUUACUCGUUGUGGGCCUUUCCAACUCCAGAUAAGCUGCCAAUCAUUUUUAUCCCCAUAAAAGACUUGGUCACUGAUAGAUUAAUAGGCUAAUUUUGUAGUAAAAUUGCCAUUACGUGAAAAACCCCAGAAUGAUUCGUCUUCACCUUCUAAGCUAGAUGGGGGUUUAACCACUGCAAGUUGGAGGAUAUGUUUAUUAGAUAAAAGGUAGCCAAAAACAUCCCAUCGUAAUAACCUGUCUAGGUUAACCAUGCCAGCUGCACACAUGUUUGCCAUCCCUAAAGGAAUUUAUUGUACGUGAGAUCCAAGAUUACAAACCUCAGGCACCCAAUUAUCCUUCUAGAAACUAACACUUUUCUUGUUCCCUAUGGCCCAUUUAAUGCCCUUCACAACAUGGGGCCAAACAUUACAAACUAACUGCCCUCUACAAAUGGGAACCAUGUUUAAAUUUUAAAUUAGUUCGAAUUCUAUAGAAGUGUAAACCAUACUUAGUUCGAGGAACUCUAAUCCAUAAACUUUAGGGUGAAGCAACUUUAUCCCAAUCAAUUUUCAUUAACAGGGUAGUGUUCAUGUGCAAGAGAUUUUUCAAGCCAAGGCCCCCUCGGUCUUUAAAAUUGGCAAAUUGUUUACCAAUUAAUCAGGCUUAUCUUACGCUCAUUGGCAACACCACUCCAAAUAAAUCUUCGACAAAUUUUGUCAACCCUUGUAUGAACACCCUCGAGGAGUCGAGUAGUUUGCAUAUCAUAGGUGUGUUAAGGAAGCUCAUACUUGCAAUGUGGUCAGUAGAGCAAAGGAUCACUGUAGCAGCAACAACAUAGCAGAGCAGAGGAUCACAACAGCAGUAACAUUCAGUUACAAAUUGAUGAUGUGGCUUGCCGGCUGGCACCUAGUGAUUAUGUAAUCGAUUGUGCAUGUAUUAACUAGAAGUAGUUAAUUAGUUAUAGUUAGUUACAAAAAUUUGAGCUGAGCUUCAUCUUUUUAUAUAAAGGAACCUCUUGUACAUAUCAGUGUGUGUGGUUAAUAAAAAUGAUGUUCUGGAGAAUUCUCAGAUCCAGUUCUUAUUUUCUUUCAAUUUUCUCACUAGUUUCUCAGUUGCCAAACAAUGUGUUCAUUUUUUAACUUGGUAUUAGAGCUAGUUGCAAUGGCCUCAAUACAUCUAGCUUCUCCUUCUCAAACGCUAGUCAAUCACACAGCUGUUAACUCAACAAAUGUGACAUUUACUUUCAAUGCUCCCGUUAAGCUAGAUCAGUCCAAUUAUUUGAUCUGGCGAUCUCAAAUUCUUGCCUCGAUACGUGGCAAUAGACUUCAAAAAUUCAUUGAUGAUUCCAUCACUUCACCUCCUUCACACAUUGCUCAAAGGAUUAGUGAUGAUCUAAAAUCAAUAGAGAAUCCAGACUUUGUGAUUUGGAGAUCACAAGAUCAUGUGCUUCUUAGCUGGCUACUCUCUUCAAUAAGUAAAGGUAUUAUUAGUCUGGUCUUUAAUCUAAAGACUUCUCGUGAGGUAUGGAAAGCUAUUGAAGUUCAGCUUGGAUCACAAUCUAAAUCCAGGCUUUUGCAUUCAAGAUACAUGAUGAACUCAAUUAGGAAAGAUGAUCUAAAAUUACUGAUUACUUUAUUAAGAUGAAAAACAUAGUUGAUAAUAUGGCUGCAGCAGGGAGUGCUUUAAGUUAUAAUGAUUUAAUCCUGCAUAUACUCUAUGGCUUAAGUCUAGAAUAUAAUUCUAUUAUUACCUAUAUCACUGGACAAGUAGGUGUGAGAAAGAUGAAUGUGAAUGAAGCUUAUGUUUUGCUCUUGACUCAAGAUGCCAGGAUUGAACAACAAACUCAUAUGUUAGUUGGUAUAGAUGUGAAACAAAUUUUGAAGCUAAUCUUGCUCACAACACAGGAUAUAAAAGAGGAAAUAUGUCAAAAGGUAAAAGUUUUAGGGGCUUUGGAUAUAAUUCUGGCUAUGGAAAUAAUAGAAACACUAAUAAUGGUAGCUACAAGGGAGGUUAUGGAGGUUUUGGAUUUACUGCUAAUAGUAGAAAUGUUUAUGGCAUCAAUCUGUUAGCCUAUAUGGCUAUAAAUAUUGAUUUUGAUGAUAACAAACCACAUGUAAUUAUUAAGCAAAGAUUUAUGAAUUGUGCUUUUAUAAUAAGAAAAUGAUGUUAUGGAAUUAAAGUAUUUUGAACUAAAAUGAAAGUAUUUUUAAAAUCUUUGAUAGUGCUUUUUAAAUUUUGGAUUUGGACCUAUUUGAAACUAUUUAAAUGUUUUUGAGCCAUUCUUUAAUUUCACAAAGUUUGGGCAAAGUCAUAAUUUCAGAAAGUUGUGGGAUUGACAAAGCAUUAUUCUAAAAUUCUGAAAUUGGGCCUUUUUGCAAACUUUCAUAACGUUUUGGGCCACACUACAAUUUUAUAAAGUUUUGGGAUCAAACUGUAAAUUUAGGAAAUUUUUCACUGUGACAGUUAUUGUAGCAAGUGGCAAUCCAGAUUCUGACAAACGGAAGUCCGAAUUUUAGGCAGAAUCUAUCCGAAUUGAAAGCGGAAAUCCGGAUCCUGACAAACAGAAAUCCGGUUGUUGGGCAGUAAACUACUGAGCAUAAGCAGAAAUUCAGAUGUGACAAAGCGACAAUCCAGAUGUUCAGAAAUUCAAAAUUGUGGCUGUAACGGUAACAUUAAGUGGAAUUCUAGAUGUCCAUAACCGGUAAUCCGGUUACGACCAAAAUGUGCAUAACGGCUAAUUUUUGAGCUCAAACUAUAAGAACUCAAAUCCAACUCAUUUUCAAUCUCUCCAACAAGCAAAAACAAAAAGCACACGUGAUAUCUUGAGCCUUCAAACUUGCGAAAUACAAACAUUGAAUCUUUUCUUGUUCUUCAUUUUUGAAUAUCUACUCAUUGAGUGAGUUUCAUUGUAACCUUCAUUUAUUCAUCUCAAUUGUAAGAGUUUGAGUGUGUGAGACACUUGAGUGAAGAGAUUGGGAGAUAAUCUCUUUGUCGUAAAGGUUUAUUGACACCUCGAAGUCAAUUGUAAUCGUUGAAGCCUUGGAAAGGCUUGGAUCGUGGAAUCCUCAAGCUUGGAUCGCUUGGAGGCGUGGACGUAGGCGGGGAUUGCCGAACCACGUAAAAAUUUGUGUGUUUGUUUCUCUUCUCCCUUACUCUUUAAUUAUUGUGCCUUUAUUAAACUUAUUGCUUUCAAUUUUUAUUAAGGCAUUAGAUUGCUUGUUGUGUGGAUUUGCUAGGAUAAUUUUUAAAUUUCCAAUUCACCCCCCUCUUGGGUUGCACACUUAUAUUUCAUUUGGUAUCAGAGCGAGGUGCUCUUAUUUAGAUUUAACCAUCUAGAGCUAAAGAUCAAUGGCAACUCAAAAUGAUUCCACAUUUAGGGAAGGGCAGUCCACCACUAGACCACCUUACUUUGAUGAAAACGAUUACCCAUAUUAGAAAAUUAGGAUGAGAAUUUACUUGCAAGCCUUAGAUUAUGAGAUUUGGGAAAUCGUUAAUGAUGGUCCUUUCAUGCCUUUGACUAAAAAUGAAGUAGGAAAAGAUAUUCCAAAACCUUCACGGGAUUGGAAUGAAUUUGAAAAGAGAAAAGCUUCUUUAAAUUCCAAGGCCAUGAAUGCCUUGUUUUGUGCACUAGAUAAGAAAGAGUUUCAUAGAGUGUCUAGUUGCGAAAGUGCUAAUGAAAUUUGGCACAAACUUGAGGUUGUCUAUGAAGGCACGAACCAAGUGAAAGAAUCUAAAAUAAGUAGGUACACUCGACAAUAUGAAUUGUUCCAAAUGGAACAAAAUGAAAAUGUGUACUCUAUGUAUACUAGAUUCACGGACAUAGUGAACACUCUAGGAGCCCUAGGAAAGACUUUUUCAAAUAGCGAAAAAGUCAAGAAAAUCAUUAGGUCUCUACCUAAGGAAUGGAGACAAAAAAGGACUGUCAUUGAGGAAGCCAAGGAUUUAAAUGUAUUACCUAUUGAUGAUUUAAUUGGCUCUCUCAUUUCAUAUGAAGAAGAUUUGGCAGCUGAAAAAGGGCAUGAGGAAAAGAAGAAAAAUAUUGCUCUCAAGGCUUCAAAACGUGAGAGUGAUGAGGAAAGCGAAAUGGAUGAUGAAGAGCUGGCUAUGUUGGCUAGAAGAUUCAGAAAAUUUUACAAAAAGAAUAAUGAGCAGAGAAAGUUCAGAGGCUACAAGAAUAAGAAGGAGAAGAAGGAGCCAAUCACGUGUUAUGAAUGCAAGAAGCCCGGACACAUAUGACUGGAAUGUCCUCUUCUCAACAAACUCAAGAAGAAAGCUAUGGUGGCCACAUGGGAUGAUAGCGAUGAGGAAACAAGUGACGAUGAUGAGCAACAAGAAAUGACAAAUUUAGCUCUCAUGGCCGUUGGGGAAGAAUCAUGUGAUGAACUUGAUGAGGUAAGUGUUCUUCCUACAUAUGAUGAAUUACAUGAUGCCUUUAAGGAUUUGCAUGAUGAGCUGAUGAAGAUUGGCAAAAAGAAUAUAUGCCUUAAAAAGAAGAUGAUAGAGCUUAAGAAUGAAAAUGAUUCAUUUAGUGCAAAGAUUAUAUGUCUAGAAUUAGAAAAUAAAACAUUGCAUGAUAAUAUUGCAUUAUUUGAGAAUUCUAGCACCUCACAUGAGCACUUAGAGUCACACAUGAAUGACUUGAAAAAUGAGAAUGAAAUGCUUAGAAAGAAGAGCAAUGAACUAAAUGAAAUUGUGCUAAAAUUCACAAAUGGACAAAAGAUGUUAGACAAUUUGCUAAACUCACAAAAAUGUGUAUUUGACAAAAGUGGCAUAGGUUAUAAACCGAAUUUGAAACAAAAUUUUACAAGAGCUAUUUUGUGAAGAAUACAUCUAUUAACAAUAAAAUUGUAUGUCAUUAUUGCAAUCAAGAUGGCCAUAUGAAAAAUAGAUGGACAAUGAAGAGAAAUGCAUAUUAUGGUGUGAAAUGUGUUUGGAUUCCGAAAGGAACCAUUGCUAACUCUCAAGGACCCAAAAAGGUUUGGGUACCUAAAACUUGAAAUUUUUUUUAGGGCUCAAAGAAGAAGAAGAAUAAGUGGUACUUGGACAGCGGUUGUUCAAGACACAUGACAGGGAAUUAUUCUUGGUUUUCAAGCUUUACCAAGAUCGAAAAUGGUGGAGAUGUAUCGUUUGGGGAUAAUUCAAAAGGAAAAAUCAUUGAAAUUGGAAAUGUCGGUAAUGCAUCCUCUACUCUCAUUGAGAAUGUGUGUUUGGUUGAAAACUUGAAACACAAUUUACUUAGUAUUAGUCAAUUAUGUGAUAAAUGAUAUAGAGUUAUCUUUGAUGAAUCAAAAUGUGUUAUUGAGAAUGCAUGUGAUGGAAAAGUCUUGUUUGUAGGAAAUAGAUGUGUUAAUGUCUAUACCAUUAAUAUAGAUUGUGCAUCAAAACAUGAUAAAUGUCUCUCUGCAAUGCAUGAUGAUGGCUGGUUGUGGCAUAGAAGAUUAAGUCAUGCAAGCAUGGAUUUGAUUUCAAAAAUCGUGAAAAAUGAUUUAGUAAAAGAUAUUCCAAAAAUUAGUUUUCAAAAAGAUAAAACUUGUGAAGCAUGCCAAUUUGGAAACAAAUCAAAACUUCCUUUAAAAGCAAGAAUCAUGUCUCUACUUUAAAACCACUUCAAUUGCUUCAUAUAGAUUUGUUUGGACCUUCUAGACAUGCUAGUUUAAGUGGCAAAUUUUAUGCAUUUGUAAUUGUGGAUGAUUACUCUAGAUACACAUGGGUAUUGUUCUUAGCUAAUAAGGAUGAUGCCAUUGAUGCAUUUCGAAUUUUCUUUAAAAUGGUUCAAAAUGAAAAAGGCUAUUCUAUUACUUGUAUUAAAAGUGAUCAUGGUGGAGAAUUUGAAAAUCAUGCAUUUGAAAAUUUUUGUAAUGACCUUGGCAUUGAACAUCAAUUUUCAUCACCUAGGACUCCACAACAAAAUGGAGUAGUAAAGAGAAAGAAUAGGUCCAUUCAAGAAAUGGCUGGGACUAUGUUGAAUAAAAACUCUUUGCCUAAGUAUUUUUGGGCCGAAGCCGUCAACACCGCUUGUUAUGUUUUAAAUCGGGUGUUGAUUAGAGCUAAUCUUAAUAAAACUCCAUAUGAGCUUUGGAAAGAUAGAAAACCCAACAUUGGCUAUUUUAAAGUUUUUGGAUGUAAAUGUUUUGUUUUGAACACAAAAGAUAAUCUUGGUAAAUUUGAUCCAAAAUCUGAUGUUGGCAUUUUUCUUGGUUAUUCAAAUUCAAGCAAAACUUAUAGAGUUUAUAAUAAAAGAACUUUAGUUGUGGAAGAAUCUAUGCAUGUUACAUUUGAUGAGUCUAACUCCUCCUCUACGGAGAAAGUUGUUAUUGAUGAUAAUGCAGAAGAACAACAACAAGAAAAAGCAUCGAAUGACAACCAAGAAGACGCACCACGUGGAAUUCAAGAGGAACAUCAUGAAGAAACAAAUGCAGAGCAAAAUGAAGGUACUUCACAAAUACUCCCCAUGGAGUGGAGGUAUGUAUCCUCUCACCCUAAUGAUGUAAUUUUAGGAGAUCCCUCACAAGGUGUUACCAUUAGGUCAUCUCUUAGGAACACAUGUGAGCAUGCCGCAUUUAUUUCUCAAAUUGAACCAAAAUCCUUUGCGGAUGCGGAAAAUGAUAAAUCUUGGAUUAUGGCAAUGCAAGAGGAGUUGAAUCAAUUUGAGAGAAACAAUGUGUGGGAAUUAGUUCCUAAUCCAGAACAUCAAUCCAUUAUAGGUACUAAAUGGGUAUUUAGAAACAAAAUGGAUGAAUCUGGUGUGGUUGUAAGAAAUAAAGCUAGAUUAGUGGCUCAAGGUUACAACCAAGAAGAAGGAAUUGAUUUUAAUGAAACCUUUGCACCUGUAGGAAGGUUAGAAUCCAUUAGGAUGUUGUUAGCAUAUGCAUGUCGUAAGGAUUUUAUUUUAUAUCAAAUAGAUGUCAAGAGUGCUUUCCUAAAUGGAUAUAUUAUGGAGGAAGUUUAUGUGAAACAACCUCCUGGUUUUGAAAAUGAAAAAUUUCCAAAUCAUAUGUAUAAGUUAUCCAAGGCUUUGUAUGGUUUAAAAUAAGCACCUAGAGCUUGGUAUGAUAGGCUUAAAAACUUCUUGUUGGAUAAUGAUUUUUCGAUGGGAAAAGCGGACACAACUCUAUUUGUUAAGCAUAAGAACCAAGAUAUACUUAUUGUUCAAAUUUAUGUUGAUGAUAUUAUUUUUUGUUCUACUAAUGAGUUGUUAUGUAAAGAUUUUUCAUCAUGUAUGAGCCAAGAGUUUGAGAUGAGUAUGAUGGGAGAGUUGAAGUACUUCCUUGGACUUUAAAUCAAACAAAACGAGGAAGGAAUUUUCAUAAACCAAGCCAAGUACGUGAAAGAUCUACUCAAAAGAUUUGGCUAUGAUAAUGGAACGGCAAAAAGCACUCCUAUGAGUACUACUAUCAAGCUGGACAAAGAUGAGAAAGGUAAGGAAGUUGAUAUCAAGACAUAUCAAGGUAUGAUCGGAUCCUUACUCUACUUGACUGCUAGAAGGCCUGAUAUUAUGUUUAGUGUAUGCUUGUGUGCUAGAUUUCAAUCGUGUCCUAAAGAGUCUCACAUGCUUGCUGUCAAACGCAUUUUUCGAUAUUUAAUUGGCACCAUUAAUCUUGGCCUUUGGUAUCCUAGAGGAACUCAUAUUGAUUUAACUUGUUAUUCGGAUGCCGAUUUUGCUGGGUAUAAGGUUGAUAGAAAAAGUACUAGUGGAACAUGUCACUUCCUAGGCCAUUCUCUUAUCUCUUGGUUUAGUAAGAAACAAAACUCGGUUGCGCUUUCAACCACCGAGGCAGAAUAUAUUGCCGCAGGUAGUUGUUGUGCACAAAUUCUAUGGAUGAAACAAACCCUUAGAGACUAUGGUAUUAAGCUUGAUCAAAUUCCUAUUUUAUGUGACAAUACUAGUGCUAUAAAUCUUUCUAAGAAUCCUAUUCAACAUUCUAGGACUAAGCAUAUAGAAAUUAGACAUUAUUUCCUUAGAGACCAUGUUCAAAAAGGAGAUGUUGUAAUUAAAUUUGUUUCCAUUGAAAAUCAACUUGUGGAUAUCUUUACAAAACCUCUUAGCGAAGAGCUUUUUAUAAAGAUAAGACAUGAGCUUGGAAUGAUGAAUGUUGAAUCUUAAUUCAUGUUUUACUACAUGACUUGAUAUGGUUGUUAUCAUAUGAUUUUAUGCUUCAUGAAUUAGAUAGCAUGAUAUGCUUGUAAAUUUAUGAUUUUAUGAUUUUGUGUUUCAUGCAUUAAAUGACUUAUUGAAAAAUUUUAAAUCUCAAAAUGAUUUAAAAUUAAUCAAUUUUUUAAGGCCGGAAAUAAAAUGGUGUGUGUAGUACAAGUAUAAGAGCUAGCAAAUAUUCCCUUUCCACUCGUCCGGAAAACCAUUUUUUUUUAUUGAUUUCUCUCGGGACAAAUUUCGGAUAACUGGAUUUUCAAUCCGGAAAACCGGAUUAGCGUUGGUUGCUCUCGGGACAACAUUCAGAUAACCGGAUUUUCAAUCCGAAAAACCGGAUUUGCUAAGCCUCCUCUCUGCCUCAAAACCGGAUAACCGGUUCUUAAAAUCCGGAAAACCGAAUUCAAGAGGCAACUUUCUGCCUCAAACCGGACUAUCGGUUAUCAAAAUCGGAAAGCCGGUUUCGCGUGGAACCUUGCUGGAGCAAACCGGAUUUCCGGUUCAUCUCAUCCGACAAGCCGGUUUCGGAAGCUAUUUCAAUUGUUCUUCUUCCCUCUUCAAACGGAAAUCCGGUUCUUGCUCUCUCUCUAAAAAUCGGUUUCUCUCUUUCAUUUUUCACUCCAAAAUCCACCAUUUCUACUCGGUUUUGAUACAAAUCAAUCCAUAAAUCUUGAUCCCCAUCCGUUCUUAUACCUAAAAUCACACUCAAAACUCAUUCUCAACCUCCAAAUCCCUAGAUCCGAAUUUCAACCUAGGUUUUGGGCCGAUUUUUCUCUCUCUAGAUUUCUCACUCUCAAGCCAUUUUUUGAUCCAAUUUGUUUCUCCAAAUCACUUUCAAUCUUCAUCAUCUUCAUUCUCCUUAUCCUUUUCAAGCCCAAAUCAACCAAAUCACAAUGUCAAGCUCUCGGCCGGUUCGAAGAAAAGGCAAAGAACCGGUUCAACAAACCAACCGGCCACGGGAAGCAAAGGGCAUCACCAACCAAUCCAAUUUUGAGUCCACACAUUUUCAGAACAAGAAACAUCUAGCCAAACGUUUUCAUCAACAAUUCAUGACUCGUGAGGUACUCCAAACAUUUUUUGUUUUAUCGGAUUGUUUGAAUCAUCUUAGUAUUAGCAAUAGAACUUUAUUACAAUUGUUGGAAGAUGUUGGUUGGGUUAAUGCACUUGUUGUUGAGGAAAAUGUAUAUCCUGACUUGGUGAGAGUAUUUUACUCGAAUAUGGAUUGUUCCGCGGAGAAAGAGAAUCGAGUAAUCACCACAGUUGGAGGAGUUUUGAUUGAGUUUGAUGAUUCGGAGUUGAACUCCAUCCUAGGAUCUUCCGAUGAUGGCCUAGAAAUUUUUUCACUUAGGAAACCUCCUGACAUUGAUGACUAUGUUUAUAUUGAUGUUGUUAAGAAUAUAUGUCGUCGUGUCGACCUUUCCGAUGAAGAUUGUACUAUCCAUUUUCGCAACCUAUGUCUUUGUCUUCAAUCUCGGAUAUUACUUCGUUUUAUUCAGAGUAUUGUCCUUCCUAGAUCAGGCCAUUUGGAUGAGGUCUCUCAUAUGGAUGUCGCCUUGAUUGAUUGUAUUCUUAGACAUCGUCCAGUUGACUUAGGAUAUACCAUUGUCCGAAACAUGCUCAGUAUACCUAAGUUGAUUACCCGCUCCCUUCUAUAUGGUCAUUUCAUUACCCGAAUCCUGAAAUUUUUUGAUGUACCUAUUAAAGAACCAUUGUGUAGGCCGUCUAAGGGUAUCAGAGAUGAUGCUAUUCUCGGCUUAGGCUUUGAGUGGAAAAAUGGCACUUGGGUCAAAUACUCUGAAAACAAGUUUACCUUCCUUGCUCCAAGUGAUGAUCGGCCACUUAAUGUUGUGGUUCCAGCCGAUCAGCUACCCAUUUCCUCACUCUCAUUUCGGGGGCAGCGUAGACGCCGUGAUCCUCCCGUGAUUGCUUCAGAUCCUGUUGUCUCUGCAUCCGUUUCAUCACCUCCACGGCCUCCUACCUCUGGAGAUGUUACUCUUCAGCAACUUAUGGAUGAGGUGCGGACACUUUCGGUGCGGCAGACUGAGUUUCAGUAGGAGCAGCAGCAGCAGCGGCAGCUGCAGCAGUAGCUCAUUCAUGGACAGCGCCUCCUCUUUGAGCACUUCGGCAUUCCAUAUCCAUUUGCACCUCCAUCCUCACCACCUGAGUAGUAUCUUAUGCUUAUAUUUGGACACACCUACAUUUCAUUUACUAUAUUGUGUGUUCUUUUAUCUUCGACUCUAUGGAUGGUUAUUAUGAUUUUCGGUUUAUGGUUUUUGGAUGAUAUGGAUUUGUUGUGACUAUUUAUAUUGGAUAUUAUGGAUUUGUUUUGACUGAUCAUUAUGGAUUAUAUGGAUUUUCUUAUGCUUAUGGAUAUUUUUUUUCCUAAUGUGCUUAUGUUGCGAUUUUGAUCAUUGAUAGGGGGAGCUCUCAUUCUCUUAUUCUUUUAUUCUUUUUUAUGAUGAAGGGGGAGAAUGAUUUAAUAUGAUAAGUGUUAUAAAAAGUGUUAUGAAAAUAUGCAUGUAUCUAGGGGGAGUAUGCAUGUAUGCAGGGGGAGUUUUUGUUAAACAAUUUUCAAAUCAAUUUUUAACUUGCUUUGAUUAAGGGGGAGCUUUUCAUAACUAGAUUAAAUUUUUUUUAUGUGUUUUGUCAUCAUAAAAAAGGGGGAGAUUGUUAGCCUAUAUAGCUAUAAAUAUUGAUUUUGAUGAUAACAAACCACAUGUAAUUAUUAAGCAAAGAUUUAUGAAUUGUGCUUUUAUAAUAAGAAAAUGAUGUUAUGGAAUUAAAGUAUUUUGAACUAAAAUGAAAGUAUUUUUAAAAUCUUUGAUAGUGUUUUUUAAAUUUUGGAUUUAGACCUAUUUGAAACUAUUUAAAUGUUUUUGGGUCAUUUUUUAAUUUCACAAAGUUUGGGCAAAGUCAUAAUUUCAUAAAAUUGUGGGAUUGACAAAGCAUUAUUCUAAAAUUCUGAAAUUGGAUCUUUUUGCAAACGUUCAUAACAUUUUGGGCCACACUAUAAUUUUAUAAAGUUUUGGGGUCAAACUAUAAAUUUAGGAAAAUUUUCACUGUAGCAGUUACUGUAGCAAGCGGCAAUCCGGAUUUUGACAAACGGAAGCCCAAAUUUUAUGCAGAAUCUAUCCGAAUUGAAAGCGGAAAUCCGGAUCCUAACAAACGGAAAUCUGGUUGUUAGGCAGUAAGCUACUGAGCAUAAGCGGAAAUCCGGAUGUGACAAAGCGGCAAUCCGGAUGUUCAGAAAUUCAAAAUUGUGGCUGUAACGGUAACAUUAAGCGGAAUUUCAGAUGUCCAUAACCGGUAAUCCGGUUACAACCAAAAUGUGCAUAACGGCUAGUUUUUGAGUUCAAACUAUAAGAACUAAAAUCCAACUCAUUUUCAAUCUCUCCAACAAGCAAAAACAAAAAGCACAAGUGAUAUCUUGAGCCUUCAAACUUGCGAAAUACAAACAUUGAAUCUUUUCUUGUUCUUCAUUUUUGAAUAUUUUCUCAUUGAGUGGUUUCAUUGUAACCUUCAUUUAUUUAUCUCAAUUGUAAGAGUUUGAGUGUGUGAGACACUUGAGUGAAGAGAUUGGGAGAUAAUCUCUUUGUUGUAAAGGUUUAUUGACACCUCGAAGUCAAUUAUAAUCGUUGAAGCCUUGGAAAGGCUUGGAUAGUGGAAUCCUCAAGCUUGGAUAGUGGAAUCCUUAAGCUUGGAUCGCUUGGAGGCGUGGACGUAAGCGGGGAUUGCCAAACCACAUAAAAAUUUGUGUGUUUGUUUCUCUUCUCCCUUACUCUUUAAUUAUUGUGCCUUUAUUAAACUUAUUGCUUUCAAUUUUUAUUAAGGCAUUAGAUUGCUUGUUGUGUGGAUUUGCUAGGAUAAUUUUUAAAUUUUCAAUUCACCCCCCCUCUUGGGUUGCACACUUAUAUUUCACAAUCCUAUGUUCAAAGCCUAUCAAGUAGAUAAUCAAAAAGGUGGAGAAGGUAAUUGGAAUCAAAAUGUUGAAAAUUGUGGAUAUAAUAAUGACAUAUCAACUAGAAACACUAAGUCUCAGUGGAAUGCCUCUAAUCCAACAUGUCAAAUUUGUUUCAUAACAAGUCACAUUGCCAAUAUUUGUUGGAAACUUGAAAAGUUCACUGCAUUUGGAGCUCACAGACCACCACCAAAUAGAAAUCCAAAGUCUGCAUAUUUGGCUAAUAUGGAAGGGCCUUCUGAUGCCAAUUGGUAUCUAGAUAGUUGAACAACACACUACCUGACAAAUGAUAUAAAUAAUGUGCACAUCUCUGAAACCUUUGCAGGUACAUCUAAACUUGUUGUUGGCAAUGGUGUUGGAUUGAAUAUAACACAUAUAGGAAUCGCUGCAUUGAAAUUAUAUAAUUCUAAUGAUAAUACUUCUUAUACUUUUAAACUUAAUGAUAUACUUUUAGUACCGCAAGUUACCAAAAACCUUAUCAGCAUAUCUAAUCUUACAAAAGAUAAUGAUGUUGUGAUAGAAUUUACUGAUAAUUUUUGUUUUCUGAAGGACAAGGUGAAGAAUUUGAUCAUACUGCUGGGCAAGGUUAAAAAAGGUUUAUAUAGAUUGCAAUUGGUUCCAUCCAAUAAGACAUUGUCUCCAACCUCUAGUCAACGUUAUGUUAUUGAGUUUGUUUUACCAGGUGCUCCUCUUUCAAUGUUUUCAACUAUCAAUUCUACUAUUUCAAAUAACACCUCUUGCUUGCUUACUGCAGCAACCUCUUAUAGAAAGUCUAAGUGUUUAUUGAGCACAUCUGUAUUACAUCAAAGAUUGGGACAUCCAUCUUCUAAGAUAUUAAAUCAUGUUAAUCUCUUAAGCCUAUUAAUAAAAAUAAAAAAUUUGAUUUUUGUGAUACUUGUAAGUUGGGAAAAAUGCACAAACUUCAUUUUCUAGCUAUUGAUAUAAAAACAAAGUCUUCUUUGGAAAUAUUGAACACUAAUCUGUGAGACCAGCCCCUAUGAUUUCAUUACAAGGCUACAGAUAUUGUGUGAGCUUUGUAGAUGAUUUCACAAGAAUUACUUGGAUAUUUUCUUUAAAAACCAAAGAUGAAACACUUUCAGUCUUUAAAAUUUUCAAAACUCAAGUUGAAAAAGAACUAGACAAAUCCAUAAAGUGUCUUCAAUUCGACUGGGGUAGAGAAUUUAGAUCCUUUAUUAACUAUCUUCACACAAAGGGAAUCCACUUUAGACAUUCAUGUUAAUAUACUUACAACAAAAAUGGUAUAAUAGAUAGAAAACAUAGACACAUUAUUGAACUUGGUCUAACUUUACUUGCGCAAGCAAGUUUACAUAUCAAAUUCUAGUGGGAUUCUUUCCAUACACAACAUAUAGUAUAAACAUACUACCUAUCCAAGUUUUGUCAAUGAAAUCCCCUUAUGAAUCUAUCUUUCAUCUUCCUCUAGAUUACAAGUUUUUAAAAACAUUUGGAUGUUCAUGUUUUCAUUUCCUUAGAAACUACAGUCAAUACAAGUUUCACUUUAACACAUCAAAAUGCAUUUUCUUGGGGUACAGUCCUUUGUAUAAGGGUUACAUGUGUCUCCAUCCCUCUGGUAAAAUCUAUGUAACUAGCCAUGUUAUAUUAGAUGAAACCUCAUUUCCAUAUUCAUCAAUUUCAGUUCAUCUUCUCCAUCUCAAUCUUCUGAUUUUCAAUACAAUCUUCUUCAAUUGUAUACUAUUCUUGUUUCCAAUAAUAAUCAAAGCACCUUUAAAGUUGAUACAAUAUCUUCACCACAUUCUCACAACACAUCAUCUCAGUCUUUACCACCUACUACUUUCUCCCAGCCAACUAUACCUUCUUUCCAAACACAACUAGUGUUGUAACACUCCACUUUUAAAAAAAUGAUUUAUUUUGGAAAUAUUUAAAAACCUCGUUACUUGUUUAAUAUGAAUACGAAUUCAAAAAAACGUUUUACAUAGUAAACAAAACUUCUUUACAAAUAUAGGAGACAUGCAAAUAUUUCUCAAAAACUUUAUUAUUAUAAAAAGCUAAGAUAUUUAUUUUUGAUAGAACAAAGUUGAGCCCAUCUUAAAACCUAAGGUUUGUUAUACUUAUAUGCACCUCGCCUUGGUUGGGACUUGGCGUAAGCUUACCCUGCUCAUGGUUACCUGCAAUGUAAUGACUUUAUGAGCUAAUACCCAGUAAAUUAACACUUUGAUGCAUGUAUAAAUUAUUAUACAUAUAGAUAACCAUAUUAAUUUUUCAAAAGAAACUUAGAAAAUACAAAACAACUUUAUUAGGGACCUAGGUAUGUUGCAUUACAAGGCUAGCAUUCUUAUUCUUUAAAAUAACAUGCCCUUGAGCCUAAUUAGUUGAUCUUUUGGGUGUUACAUAUCGUCGUCCCCAAAAGAUUUAACUUUUACUAUGUUUAGAGGGCUUGCCCUCCUUCAGAACUUUGCCACCUGGUAGUACAACCACUCAUUUUUCAUAAAUUCAUUUUAUAAAACGUCUUCUUUAUAAAGUAAUCCAUGAAAUGGAUGCAUCUAAUGCAAAUGAUGUCAUAACAUUUGAAGUUUCUAGAUGUAGAACAGAAUCAACAUACAACCCUAUUUAAGAACAACAAUCUUUAAUAUAGGCAGCAGUGUCAUCUGUACAAAGAUUAAACAACAUGGGAUUAUAGUAUAGGUGGUAAAGCUGACCAUAGCAUAAUUAAGUAUUACAGAAUAAGCGGCAUAGCCGACCAUACAAGGCGUAAAUAAGAAAAUAUCAUAGCCGACCAUAUAAGGAUAAAUAAGAAAUUACUGUAAUAUAGGUAGCAUAGUCGUCCAUGUAAAAUUUAGAUCAUAACUAAUCACAUUAUAGUAGCUAUCACAAGAUAAAGAAUUAGUUAAAACUGAAGUUAAGUAUAAUAAGAAUUUUGCCCCUACAUUGCAGUUGAAGCGUUACUUACUUUUUAACCUUGACUUCUCUAUACCUUUUAAACUUGAGGAUUUCUCUACUCUUGAUAUUAUGACUUAGAAUAGAAGAGGCUUGAAUUUCCAGGGUUGUAUUGAAAAUGACAGGGCUAGAGGGUAUUUAUAGGAUUUCUUAAGGUUAAUGGAUUGUUAGAAUUUUGCCACCAUAACUCUUGAUUAAUGGUUGUGAUUAUUCUUCAUAAAUAUCUUACUAAAUUCUAGAUUUCCUAAUUAUCUCUACAAACUUCUCUUACAUCAUCACUUAUGUCAUUGUUUAUGUUAUCAUUACUUUAGAAUUAAAUUAUUAUUAUUAUUAUUAUUCAAGGGCUUGAUAGCUUAAAGUUAAUUAUAUUAUAUUCAAGUGAGAAAGUUGUAUCCCAUAAAUGCAGCUCUCUAUACCUCCAACUGAUGCACCAUCUUGCCUAUCGCCUACACAUUAUACAUCUUCUUUACAGCCUCUCACCUCUUCCUUUCAAAUUCAACCAACACUUUAAAGUCUUCAUCUCAGCCCAAACCAAUCCUCUCUACACAUAAAAUUAUUAUUAGAGCAAAGGCUGGAAUAUUCAAGGCAAAAGCCUACGUAACAUAUCACAAUAGCCUAGAACCAUCUACCGUCUUAGAGGCAUUGUCUGAUCGAAAAUGGAAAGCAAUAAUUCAGACUGAGUAUGAUGCUCUCAUUAAAGAUAAUACUUGGAAUCUUGUGCCUGUAGGCCCAUCUUAUAAACCGGUGGUAUGCAAAUGGGUGUUCAGAACCAAGUACAACACAAAUGGCUCAGUCUCUAAGUAUAAAGCUAGAUUGGUGGCCAAGGGAUUUUAUCAAACUGCAGGCGUUGAUUAUUUAGAAACCUUUAGUCUUGUAGUAAAGUCCUCGACAAUGAGAGUAAUUCUAAGUUUGGCUGUCAUGAAAGGUUGGAAGGUUAGACAAAUUAAUGUUAAUAAUGUUUUUUUAAAUGGGGAUUUAUCAGAGGAUGUGUAUAUGACUCAUCCUGAGGGUUUUGUUUCUAAAGAAGGCUAUAUAUGCAAGCUUAAUAACGCAUUAUAUGGAUUGAAACAAGUUCCAAGAGCAUGGUAUGAUCAACUGAAAAGUUAUCUUACCACUUGGCAAUUCAUUAAUUCUAAAGCUGACACUUCUCUAUUCUUCAAACAUGAUAUUAGAGGCAUGAUCAUUGUGUUAAUUUAUGUUGAUGACAUUUUGCUUACUGAUCCUGACUCAGCAUUACUUAAAGAUUUCAAUACUAAACUCAAUAAGGUCUUUGCUCUCAAGAAUCUGGGAUUACUAGCCUAUUUUCUAGAUGUGGAAGUUUGUUACACAACUCAUGGUAUGCAUCUCUUAUAGACAAAGUACAUUAAGGAUCUAUUGAGUAAAGCCUAAAUGCAGGAUUGCAAGGGUUCUGAUACACCUCUCAACACUGGUUUCAAACUGGAGAAAAAUGUUAAAGGACCUUUGGGGCAAGAAUUUGAAGAGGCAGCAUGUUGAGUGUUAGAAAAUGUAUAUUUAUAAACGAGAAAAUCAUCAUUUUACAUUUCACGUCUUACUAACAACCCUUACUUUUAUAUAUUUAAGCUUCUUGUAAUUUAAUUAUGUGUGUUUUAUUUUAAUUAAGUAUUUUAUGUAUUUUAGGGGUAUCAUGGUCAUUUCACAAUAAACGAGAGAUCAGACAGAAAACGGACAUCAUUUUUUAACUCAGGACGGUCGAAAACCUUAAGAGGAGCAUAAAAGGAAAAAUGGCACUGUUCACAUGUACGGUACUAUUCACGUGUACGGUACUGUCUACGUUACUGUUCACGACACUAUUCACAUAGACGGAUCGAUGAUGUGGUAUUGACCGAUGAUGUGGCAUUGACUGAUGAGAUGUCACGAUCCUAUUGGACUAAAAUUCUUAUGUACUAUUGAUGGUGACAUGGCAGCAUAUCAGUGGACCAAAAAUCUCGCAUACGGAAUAUGCAUCACACAGGAUUAUUUUCAACCAAACCGCGUCACUGUUCAACCCGGGUCAAACCGUGUUACUAUUCACUCACGUGGUCAAACCGCGUACUGUUGACUGAUGACGUGGCGCAAUCCUGAGCGUCCAAACUGUUUUUACUCUGAUGGCCAUGAUUUACUCAAUGUAUCUAUAAAAAUGGGGCCUCCCCCCCCCAAUUUGAUAUCUCUGAAUCCAUUUUUGGACUCCAUUUUCUGUAAUUCCUUCUCCAUCUUGUAUUUUCUACGUAUUUUAAUAAAUUUUUAUUUUGCCCCUAGUUCAAUUAUGAGUAGCUAAUUUUCUUUCAAGCUUGGGUUGAAGGUGAAGUCUCAACAUGUGUCAUGGGCUUUAUUUGGUAAAUUUAUUUUCUCUUCCCCUCUAGUUUUUGUGGAUGUUUUGACUUCUCGUCGACAAAUAAUAAUAAUCUUGUUUAGUACCGCCUUGGUUUCACCGGCUCCCUAAUACAAGGUUAUUAUUAUUUGGCACGAUAAGCCCUGAGCACCAUAUUGAUUAGAGCGUGGUUCAUGAGGUGUGGAUUCCCCCCUCAUGAUUUAAUUGGCAUUAAUAAGGACUAUUUAGCUCAUGAUGCAUGUUGAUACGGAUCCAGAUACCCAAGUACGUCAUCUCAAUAGAUUUCUCUUCAAUUUUUUCUUGCCAUUUCAAUUCCAAUUUUAGGAUAAUCCAAAUCAUUUUCACCACAAAUCCAACCACCCAUUUACAAAAUUAAUUCUACACACAAUUAAAAUCCAUCUCCUCGUGGGAUCGACACUCGUCACCAUUAGUCUAUUCUACAAUAGAUUCGUGCGCUUGCGAGUUCAAUAAAAUUUGCACAACAAGUUCUUGGCGCCGUUGCCGGGGAGGUAAGUAAUUUUAAUUCAUAGAAUUAAUUUUUGUGAAUAAUUCCAUUUAUUGUUUUCUUGUAUUUUUUUUCUUUAAAAAAAAUGAAAAAAGAAAAAAUGUGAAUCUACAUUUAAAGGUUAGUAUUUCUUUUCUUUUUCUCUUCUUUAAAAUUCUGUAAUUUAUUUUUCUUUGUAAAUUUUUUUUAGUUUAUCUUAUUAAUUUAUUUUUAGUUAAUUUAUUUCACGUAUUUAUUUUUGUGUAUUUUUAUAGAAAGGUUUUAAUAGCGUGAUAAGGUUAGUAACAUAAUUUCUCUUCUUUAUUUUUAUUUGUUUUGUUCCCAUUUAUCUUUGUGUUUCUUGCAUGCAUGGUCGUAGGUCAUUAUUACCUAAUCUUGAACCUAUAGACCUUGAACUAAAAAAAAACACUUCGCACACACAAGCAAGUUAAAAAUAAACUGGAUUUGCAUCCACAUGAGAGGCCAUUUAAGGACUACUUCAGUCCUUUAGCUAAUUUGAGCACAUCAUGCAUAAGAUACCCAAAUGUAGCUGCUGGGAGUUUUGAACUAAAACCUAGUGUGCUAAAUUGUCUCUCAACAUUCUAUGGCCUAGAAAAUGAGUACUCAUAUAAUCAUUUGAAUGAUUUUUAUGCUAUUUGUCAAACAUUUAAAUAUGAGAAUUUUUCAGAUGAUGAUGUUAAACUUAGACUAUUCCCAUUUUCUUUAAAGGAUAGAGCUCAUUCAUGGCUCAAUACAUUGCCUGCUAAUAGCAUUACAUCAUGGGAAUAAAUGGUUACAAAAUUUUUGAAUAAAUAUUUCCCAGUGCAUAAAACCAAUGCUAUUCGCAGGGAAAUUUCAGAGUUUACCCAGAGAGAAGAUGAGCAGUUUUUUGAAACAUGGGAGCGAUUCAAUGGGCUACUCUUGAAGUGUCCACAUCAUGGGUACGAGAAAUGGCACCAAUGCCAAGACUUUUUGGAGGAAUUAUUGCCGAAUGUGCAAGAAUGGCUAAUGGCAACAAGUGGAGGAGAGCUAAUGUCAAAAAGUGCAUCAGAGAUUUGGGAAUUCUUCUAGCGACAAGCAGAUAAUUCCCAACAACGGAGUCGAUCACUUAGGAACACUAGAAGAAUUAAGGGAGUAAAUGAGGUUUACAUUGGCGAGUCAACUUCAGAAAUCAAAGAAGUCAAGGAGAUGGUUGAAGGUCUCGCUCGACAAAUAGCAUCUUUAUCGACUGCUAAAUCAACAGAGGCACAUGACCAUGACUCAUACUCAAAUCAAGCCAAUGCCAUAGGUGUAACGAGAAAACCAUCGAAUUACAACCCAUACUCCAACACAUAUAACCCUGGAUGGAGAGAUCACCCCAAUUUUUCAUGGUCUCAAGGAUUCCAACAGAAUGGACCAGUAGCUCCAACUCCACCAAUGCAAUAAAUUCCUCAAGUUCCUCAAGCCUCUCAGCCACCAUUUAGACCAUAUAAUCAGAACCAGAACUACUCUCAACCCAGACCAUGGAAGGAUUCAUUCUAGAAUCUCAAGAAUCUUACUCACUUCACGAUUUAGCAAUAGAACCGCACCAUUGAUGGACUACGAAAUGAGUUGAGAGCAUGCUUCAACUCAUAAGCCUAAUCAGUUUCAAACCUCGAGAAAAUGGUGGGACAACUUGCUUCUUCAAUUCAGACCUUGGCAAUGACUGUUGAGAAAAGUAAAUUUCCAAGUCAACCAGUGCCUAAUCCUAAAGGAGUGCAUGAAGCAAGUACCAGUUUACCACAGCAGCAUGGAGAGGUCAAAACAGUCAUGACCUUGCAAAAAGGAAAAGAAGUCGAUAACAAAGUGGAGAUGCCGGUGACAAAAGAAAAUCAAAUUGUACAUGUGAGUGUUGAGGACUCAUCACCGGAGGAGAGAGAAGAAACCAAACCACGAGAAUACGUUCCGAAAGCUCCAUUUCCUCAGAGGUUAGCGAAAGUAAAGAAGGGAAAAUCCACAGGUGAGAUUCUCGAAAUCUUUAAAUAGGUAAGUGUUAACAUCCCUUUACUUGAUGCUAUAAAGCAAGUUUCAUCUUAUACCAAGUUUCUUAAAGACCUUUGUACUAAAAAGAGAAACAUUCAUGCUCAAAAGAAUGCCUUUUUAACAGAAAACGUUAGUUCUAUACUCCAACACAAAAUUCCUCUAAAAUGUAAAGACUCAGGCUCCCUCACUAUCUCAUGUAGCAUAGGGAACCACACAAUUGAGAAUACUUUGUUGGAUUUAGGAGCUAGUGUAAAUAUAUUGCCUUACUCAGUAUUUUUGAAACUUGGACUUGGAGAAUUAGACCCAACUCCAGUGGUGUACAGCUUGCAGAUCGGUCCACGAAAAUACCUCGUGGUAUUGUGGAGGACGUGCUUAUCCAGGUAGACAAGUUUUAUUUUCCUGUUGAUUUCAUUGUAAUUGACACUCAACCAAUAUAAGAUUCAAGGAAGCACAUCCCCAUUAUUCUAGGCAGACCUUUGAUGUCUGCUAUGGUCCAUCCUAAUGCUCCUUUGUGCUCUUUUAAAACAUCCAACAACUUAUCUUUUUGUUCGUCAUUUAAGGAUGAUGAGAUGAUUAUCGGUAAAGUGCUUUCUUCUCCUAAAAAUGCAUAUUCUAGAGUGUUGGGCAAUGGUUUGAGCUCGAGUUUCGGUGGUGAUUCUGAUGCUUACAAACAUGUUUAACUCACUUUGAUUUGGAUUUUGAUAUUGACAGAUCAGUCGAUGAGGUCAACGCCCUACUUGACUCAGCACCAUCUAUGGACACUAAUAAAUGAAAGUCAAGAGUUGAAUAACUAGCACCAUCAGAGAAAAAACGCAUCCCAUCAUCAGAAUCACCACCGAAACUCGAGCUCAAACCAUUGCCCAACACUCUAGAAUAUGCAUUUUUAGGAGAAGAAAGCACUUUACCGAUAAUCAUCUCAUCAUCCUUAAAUGACGAACAAAAAGAUAAGUUGUUGGAUGUUUUAAAAGAGCACAAAGGAGCAUUAGGAUGGACCAUAGCAGACAUCAAAGGUAUAAACCCAGUAGACUGCAUGCAUUACAUUCCUCGAUGAAAAAGCGAAAUCUACUAAGGAAAUGCAACGUCGGUUGUUGAGUGUUAGAAAAUGCAUAUUUAUAAAGGAGAAAACCGUCAUUUUACAUUUCAAGUCUUACUAACAACCCUUACUUUUAUGUAUUUAACCUUCUUGUGAUUUAAUUACAUGUGUUUUAUUUUAAUUAAGUAUUUUAUGUAUUUUAGGGGCAUCAUAGUCAUUUCACAAUAAACGAGAAAUCAGAUGGCAAAACGGACAUCACUUUUGAACUCAGGACGGUCGAAAACCUUAGGAGGAGCAUAAAAGGAAAAAUGGCACUGUUCACUUGUACGGUACUAUUCACGUGUACGGUAAUGUAUACGUUACUGUUCACGACACUGUUCACAUAGACGGACCGAUGACGUGGCAUUGACUGAUGAGGUGUCACGAUCCUAUUGGACUAAAAUUCUUAUAUACUGUUGAUGGUGACGUGGCAGCAUAUCAGUGGACGAAAAAUCUCGCAUACGGUGCAUGCAUCACACAGGAUUAUUUUCAACCAUACCGCGUUACUGUUCAUCCGGGUCAAACCUCGUUACUGUUCAAAGUCGGGUCAAACCGUGUUACUGUUCAUCCGCGUGGUCAAACCAUGGACUGUUGACUGAUGACGUGGCGCAAUCCUAAGCGUCCAAACUGUUUUUUUAAUCCGAUGGCCAUGAUUUACUCCAUGUAUCUAUAAAAAGGGGGCCUCUCCCCCCUAAUUUGAUAUCUCUGAAUCCAUUUUUGGGAUCCAUUUUCUGUAAUUCCCUCUCCAUCUUGUAUUUUCUUCGUAUUUUAAUAAAUUCUCAUUUUGCCCCUAGUUCAAUUAUGAGUGGCUAAUUUUCUUUCAAGCUUGGGUUGAAGGUGAAGUCUCAACAUGUGUCAUGGGCUUAAUUUGGUAAAUUUAUUUUCUCUUCCCCUCUAGUUUUUGUGGAUGUUUUGACUUCUCGUCGACAAAUAAUACUAACCUUGUCUAGUACCGCCUUGGUUUCACCGGCCCUCUAGUACAAGGUUAUUAUUAUUUGGCACGAUAAGCCCUUAGCACCAUAUUGAUUAGAGCGUGGUUCAUGAGGUGUGGAUUCCCCCCUCAUGAUUUAAUUGGCAUUAAUAAGGAUUAUUUAGCCCAUGAUGCAUGUUGAUACGGAUCCAAAUACCCAAGUACGUUAUUUCAAUAGAAUUCUCUUCAAUUUAUUCUCACCAUUUCAGUUCCAAAUUUAGAAUUUAUUCUCGCCAUUUUAAUUUAAGUUUUAGCAUAUUCCAAAUCAUUUCCACCAUAAAUCCAACAACCCAUUUACAAAAUUAAUUCUAUACACAAUUAAAAUCCACCUCCUCGUGGGAUCGACACUCGUCACCAUUAGUUUAUACUACAAUAGAUUCGUGCGCUUGCGAGUACAUUAAAAUUUGCACAACAAGUUUUUGGCGCCGUUGCCGGGGAGGUAAAUAAUUUUAAUUCAUAGAAUUAAUUUUUGUGAAUAAUUUCUUUUCUUUGUGAAUUAAUUUGCACAACAUCGGUUAAAUCCUAAUAUGAAAGAAGCUGUUAGAACUGAAGUCCUUAAGCUAUUAGACGUAGGUAUCAUUUACCCAAUUUUUUAUAGUUCAUGGGUCAGUCCUGUACAAGUUGUCUCUAAAAAGUCAGGAGUCGCAGUAGUUACCAAUGCUAAUAAUGAAUUGAUACCAACUAGAGUAACUACAGGAUGGCGUGUAUGCAUUGAUUAUAGAAAAUUGAAUUCUGUCACACGUAAAGAUAAUUUUCCUUUACCAUUUAUCGAUUAAAUGCUUGAUAGAUUAGCAGGCCAUGAAUUUUAUUGCUUUCUAAAUGGCUACUCAGGAUAUAAUCAGAUUCCCAUAACACCAAAAGAUCAAGAGAAAACUACUUUCACUUGCCCUUUGGCACUUUUGCAUAUAGGAGGAUGCCAUUUGGAUUAUGUAAUGCACCUGCUACAUUUCAACGAUGCAUGUUGAGCAUUUUUUCUGAUAUGGUUGAACGAUUCCUUGAAGUCUUUAUGGAUAAUUUUUCUGUCUUUGGUGACUCGUUUGAUCAAUGUUUACAUCAUCUGACACUAGUUCUGCAGAGAUGUAUCGAGAAGAACUUAGUCUUAAAUUGGGAGAAGUGCCAUUUUAUGGUAAAACAAGGUAUUGUUCUCGGUCACAUCAUUUCGAGCAAAGGUAUUGAGGUUGACAAAUCCAAGGUGGAUCUCAUUUCUAAUCUUCCUCCACCCAAAAUAGUCAGAGAAGUAAGAUAUUUCCUUGGACAUGCUGGUUUAUAUAGACGUUUCAUUAAAGAUUUUAGCAAAGUUUCUAGACCCUUAUGCAAUUUACUUGCUAAGGAUGUACCUUUUAUCGUUAAUGAUUCAUGUCUUGUGGCUUUUGAAAAAUUAAAGCAAUUAUUGACAUCAUCACCCAUCAUCCAGCCCCCAAAUUGGAGCUUACCAUUCGAGCUCAUGUGUGAUGCUUCUGAUUAUGCAGUAGGAGUAGUGUUAGGACAAAGAGUUGAUCGAAUUCUCCAUGUUAUUUAUUAUGCUAGUAUGACAUUGAAUGAUGCACAGUUGAACUAUUCAACUACUGAAAAAGAAAUGCUAGCAGUAGUGUUUGCAUUGGAAAAAUUUCGAUCUUACCUCAUUGGUUGUAAAAUAAUUGUGUUCACAGAUCAUGCUGCUCUUAAAUAUCUUCUCACGAAGAAAGAUGCAAAAGCUAGACUAAUUCAUUGGGUGUUACUUUUGUAGGAAUUCGACUUGAAAUUCAGAGAUAAGAAAGGCACAGAAAAUGUUGUGGCAAACCAUCUCUCUCGUCUCCAUUUUGACACAAUUACAGAGCCAUUAACAUUGAAUGAGUCAUUUCCAGAUGAACAGUUGAUGAGUGUGGAAGUAUUACCAUGGUAUGCUGAUAUCGUGAAUUAUCUUGUUACAUGUCAACUUCCAGAGCAUUGGACCAAGCAAGACAAGGCUAAAUUCUUUGCAGAGAUAAAGAAUUUCUUUUGGGAUGACCCGUAUUUGUUCAAGUAUUGUGCUGAUCAAAUUGUUAGACGAUGUGUCCCAGAAAAUGAAAUUCAGAAUAUUCUUUCAUUCUGCCAUGAACAAGCUUGUGGAGGCCAUUUCAGAGUUAAGAAAACAGCGACUAAAGUUUUACAAUGUGGUUUCUAUUGGCCAACUAUAUUUCGAGAUGCUUACACUUUCUGUUCUUCAUGUGAUAGGUGUCAACGAAUGGUAAGCAUUACACGAAGGAACAUGAUGCCACUAAAUCCAAUUUUAGUGGUUGAGAUUUUUGACGCAUGGGGUAUCGACUUCAUGGGAUCCUUUCCCCCGUCUUUUGGCCAUCAAUACAUAUUGGUUGCUGUUGACUACGUAUCGAAAUGGGUGGAAGCAAUUCCAUGUAGGACCAAUGAUCACAAGGUGGUGAUAGCAUUUUUGAAAAGCAACAUUGUUUCACGCUUUGGAUUCCCUCGAGCAAUAAUCAGUGAUGGUGGUGCCCACUUUUGUAACAAAGCAUUCAAAGCUCUUUUGACAAAGUAUUCAAUCACACACAAAGUGGACCCCGUAUCAUCCGCAAACCAGUGGCCAAGUUGAGAUCUCCAAUCGAGAAAUAAAGCACAUAUUAGAAAAGACGGUGAGGCCAGAUAGAAAAGAUUGGUCAUUAAGACUCGAUGAUGCAUUAUGGGCAUAUAGAGCGGCUUUCAAGACCCCGAUUGGGAUGUCACCCUACAGGCUAGUGUAUGGAAAAGCUUGCCACCUACCUGUGGAACUCGAGCAUCGUGCAUAUUGGGCCAUCAAGAAAUUCAACUUUGACAUGCAGCAAGCCAGCUCAGAAAGAAGAUUACAGCUGGCAGAACUUGAAGAAAUUCGCAAUGAUGCAUACGAAAAUGCCAAGAUUUACAAGCAACGAAUGAAAGUCUUCCAUGAUAAGCAAAUUAUGAGAAAAUCGUUCACUCCAGGUCUGAAAGUGCUUUUAUUCAAUUCUCGCUUGCACCUAUUUCCAAGUAAAUUACGCUCUCGAUGGUCUGGCCCCUUUAUUGUUCAUACUGUUUUUCCACAUGGGGCAAUUGAAAUUAAGGACCCAAAGAACGGUGUCACGUUUAAAGUUAAUGGUCAAAGAUUAAAGCCAUAUCUAGAGUACCAACCACAUGUAGAGGACACCGAAAUAAAUUUGAGUGACCCACCAGAUUUGAAUUGAUUUUUUUUUCUUUUCGGUGAUUUGAUUUAUUUUUCUUUCUUUUUAUUAUUCUUUUGCUAAUUAAAAUUCUUUUUGCAUAAGUGUGUUUGUUUAACCAUUAAGUUUUUUCAUAUCAUUGUUAAUCAUGAGUACCAUACUUAAACCGUUCCUCCUGAACAUUCUUAAACCACUUCAACGUGUAAAAUCUCAUCUCAAAAGGCAGAUUCAAUUUUGUAAGACACAUCGUAUUUGGGCUCUGCAACCACCAGAGUUAGUAUCCUAUGUUGAGGGUUUAGAAAGUCAACUCAGAGACAUUGAGAGAAGUGUUUACGACAUCCAGUUGGAGCUUGAGUUAAAUUCAAUAAGAGAACGAUUUUAAUUUUCUUUGUGUGUUUUAAUUUGUUUUCCUAUUUGUGUGCUUUAGUUUGUUACCCCGGUGAAGUGGCGGAUAACGGUACUCCGUGACAAUCAAGUCAGUUACUUCAGUUUCCCAUAAUAACUGAUAUUCUGAGGCGAAGGUAUGGAUAGAAAUGAGAUUCAAGCAAAGCUUCACAAGCGAUUCCCUUCACUUCCUCAGAAUGCCCUCCUUACAAUCUAUAAAGCCCGGUCCGAACGCAUGCGAUUGCUCAUGAGGAAUAACAUACCUGCUGACAUUCGUUGGUUAAUCGAGGCUAAAGUAUGAUUGGCAGGUGAGUUACCUCCAAAAUUUAUUGCAUACAUGCCUGGUUGUGGUAAAGGAAAUUAUGCAAGAAAACGACGAGCUCGAAGAAUUUCUGUUGCUUGUCAUAAGUGUGCCAGAAUGAGUUGCGAUAAAAAAACCAUGUUCUUUAUUAAUGAUGUCUGAUAACAGAGAAUAUAAGAUUCAAUUCAUUAGGGAUGGCUUAAAUAAGGAGUCAUUGGAUGAUAUCCUUCUAUCUCUUGAAACGCAUCUCAGUGGAUAUGUGCAAUGAGCGAUUCUCCAGUUAUGGCCAUUAUUCCAGAAAGAGCAUACACGAUAUAGUCUCGAGAAUCUGACUAUAAACGACCUUGUUUGCCAGUUUAUAAGAAAACUGGAUGGGAAGCCUAUCCUCGACCCAUAGAGGACGUUCAAGCCGUUUCUGGAUGUAAAACUAGAGGAAGAUGUGAGCCACAGUCGCAACUACCUGUAAAUAUCAUUUUACUUCACUGUUAUUUUAUUUCAAUGUUGUUUUACGAUUUGCAUUAUCGUCUUUAAUAAUUUUAUUUUAUCAUUGUUUCUUUUUCUUUUUACUGUUUCCUUUUUUACUCGCUAGCCAUGUGUUUUAUGCGUUAUUUGACACUGACAUGCCACCUCAUACAUAGUUGUGACCCACUGUCACUAAGAUUCUUAAAUAUGACUUUUUGUUAAGCACUCACAAAUUAUUUUUGAGAAAUAUUCCAAUGGCAGCUACUCCCAAUAGGCAAUUCAAGAACAUUUGUGUGCUUUCCAGAUUUAACUAUGGCAAACAUAAAGAGUUCGUUGAGGUAGCCGUAGAUCUUGGUCGAAGUAUAGCAGAGAGAAAAUUACACUUGGUGUAUGGAGGGGGUAACCGAGGGUUAUCAAAAUUGGUCUUAGAAGCUGCUCUUGUCAGAGGAAGCCAAGUGUUAGGGAUCAUCCCAAGAGUCUUAAAACCUUUGGGCAGUUUGUCUGACUCACCGACUGGAGAAGAGUUAGUCGUCUCAGGUAUGCAAGAAAGAAUAACUGAAAUGCUUAAUUAUGCUGAUGCUUUUAUUUUCCUUCCAGGAGAUCUUGCAACACUAGAGGCACUUAUCACACUAGCAUCUUGGGCCCAUCUGCACAUUCACCAGAAACUCAUCGUUUUGUUAAAUGUCAAUAACUUUUAUGAUGGCUACAUCGCAUUUCUUAACCAUGCAAUAAAAAACUACUUCAUUCCUUCCAAUGCGAAAAAAACUUUUUAUUUGUGCUCACACUGCUAAUGAGCUACAUGAUCUGUUGCAAACUUAUAGACCGGAGCCAGACCCCUGGACCUUUGUGUUGGAGCGUCCAAAUAAUGAUUGUAACAGUAGCCGCAGUAAGAAGUACAAAUUAGAUUUAACUCUCCACCUGUAAAUAUUUUCUUCUGUAUUGCAUCACCCAAGUGAUGUCUUCUAAACUCUACUUCUUUCUUUUAAAACAUUGAGGACAAUGUUUCGUUUUGGUUGAGGGGAGGGAAUAGUCGAAAAUUGUGGAAUCUUGGUUAAGUUUUUACUAAUUUUUUGUUGUAGAAACUAAUUGUUGCUAACUUUUUAUGUUGAAAAUGGCUGAAUAUGGAGUGUAGUAACUCUAGAAACACAUCUUCAUCGUUUGAAAAAAAAAUUCAAAAAAAUUUCAGACAUUUUCUUUUUUUUUUUAUUAAGUUUUGAUGUUCAUUUUUCUUCUUCUUUUUAAUUUCUCCUUUAUAAAUAUACAUUUUCAAAUAUUUGAGUCGAAGAUGGCUGAAUAUGGAGUGUAGUAGCUCUAGAAACACAUCUUCUUAGUUAAAAAUUAAAAAAAUAUAUUUCUUUUUCUAUCAUUUUAAGUGUAACUUUUCUAAUUAAUUUUUCUGCAUCAUUUUCAUAUUUCUGCAUGCAUAUUUUCCUUUCAUGUUUAGAAUAGGUUGGGGGGUAGAAUGUUGUUUAAAAAAAAAUUGUGAUUUGUUUUAACAUUGGAUGACAUGAUUAAUUUCAAAUUUUAGUAUUUGUAUUAUCUUUGGUCUUAAGUGAUGUUACACUAUAUUUGCUACUCUACAUGUUGAUGUCGGAGACAAAUAUGAGUUGCUUGAAGGAAUGAACAUGUCAUAAUAAGUACCAAGUGAGUUUUUCAGCUUAUCAUUUUUCUUGGAGAGUGAUUAGUAUUAAAAAUUGUUUAAUUAUCAAGCGAUAAUAUGUUAUUUUAUGCUUAUGUUAUAAUUUAUAUUUGUGUUUAUGUAAUAUAUUAUGAAUUAUUAAUUAUGUUUUAAAUAUAUUUAAUUUUGUGUAUUUUUAUGUGUUUAUUAGGAAAAAUAUUAAUUUCACGUAUUUCGAGGCUCCAAACAGAUAAACAGAGGUCAAAUUUGGAUUCCGUAGGUCCGAAAACCUUAAGAUCAGUCAAGAUCGGCUUAAAAUUGGGCUUGUGUAAAAAAAGUUGACUUUUUCUGUUGACUGAGCACUGAUUGGAUGAUGAAAUGAGCUUACAAUAGAUAUGAGUGCAUGGGAUAGCUGGCAAUCUUGACUAAAUCGCAACCAUUCAUGAUUCAAUGGCCAUGAUUGUGCCACGUGGCAAUGGUUGGUGAAGCAAGUUGGAGGAUCCGAAUCUUUGUAUUCGGGUCGACCCGAUCCACCCAUUAACCUGCCAAAUCUCAACCGUUCUUUGGGCAAAUCGGACGAGUCAAAUGAUGCCAUGUGUUCAUGAUUAAAUCUCAACCGUUCAUGAUUCAAUGGCCAUGAUUGUGCCACGUGGCAAUGGUUGGUGAAGCAAGUUGGAGGAUCCGAAUCUUUGUAUUCGGGUCGACCCGAUCCACCCAUUAACCCGCCAAAUCUCAACCGUUCUUUGGGCAAAUCGGACGAGUCAAAUGAUGCCAUGUGUGAUGUUGACUUUUGAAGUUUGACCAACAAUUGGAUCUUGAUCUAAGGGUUGUGAGGAGCACAUGCAUGAAGCCUAUGAUGGACCGCAAAGCACUGGAUUAUGAAUUUAUUUUUCUAUAAAUAGAGCCUCAUUUUUAUGUUUUAAUCAUCUCUCGACAACUAUCUUCUUCUCAAAUUCUCUCCAUCUCCUUGUAAUCUUGAUUUCCAAGUGUGUUUUUAAUAUUUUGUAUAAUUAUUUUCAUUAAUAAAAUUAGUUUUAUUUCCAAUUUUAGUUGUUUUUAUUUCUUUUAAUUAUAAGUAAUUCAAUUUUACUACUUCUUUUUAUUUUAAUUAUGCUUAACUAAAUAAUAUUAGUUAGGGUAAGGUGAAACUCUUAGGAAAUAAAUAUGAUUUAAUUAAAUUCUAUUUUUAAUUUUAUAAAUUAAAUUAUUUUCUAUUUAAAUUUUAUACAUGUUUUAUAUUUUGAAAUUUUGAUUUAUUGUAGACAAACAAAUGAAUUUGGCACAAUAAAUUCUUAAGAUCUUAAUAUAAGGCAUGGUGAAAUGGUAUUUUGACUUAUUGUAGACAAAUUAAAUUUUGGCACAAUAAAUACUUAAUCCAUCAUAAAAUUAAAGGGAAAAUAAUAAUAAUUUGUUUAAUUAAUCUUUUGGGUAAUAAAUCUAAAACAAAUUGGCAAAAAGAAUUUAUUAAGUUUUAUUUAUUUCUAAGAGUGGAUCCAUAACCCUAACUAGUUCAAUUCCAUAGUUUCAUUUAAAUUAAGUUGUUUAUAUUCAAGUUUUAAUUUCAAUUUAUAGAUAAAAUAAAAUAAACUAAUUAAAUCUUUUCUCUGUGGAUCGACCUCGGACUCACCGAGUUAUAAUACAACAAGACACUCUUAUACUUGGGAGUUAAAAAAUUACUUUUAAGUUGUGUCAAGUUUUUGGCGCCAUUACCGGGGAAAAAUUUUUUAUUUGGUUUGUUUUUCCGUUUUUAUUUUUCUCUUAUAUGUAAAAUUUCGUUUACCCCCUUUUCCUUUUCUUAAAUUCUCUUUUGUCCCUAACUCCUCUCAUAAAAUUGCUAAUUCUAAACUUCUAAAAAUUACAGUUUGACCAUAAAAUUAAAAAUAAUUUGUAAUAGAAUCCCUAGACGAAAUUCCUCAAAAUAAUCAAGACUUGAAUAUACUUUGGACAUACUUUGGACAUAUUUGGACUUAUUUUGGAUCAAACUAACUCUAAUUACUAACUCUUAACUUACUAACUGCUAACUCCUAACUUUUAUUUAAUUUCAGUUAUUUAAUUUUCUGCAUUUAUUUAAUUUCGUAUUUAUUUAUUUUUGCUUUAUUGGUGGGUUUAACCACCAAACUAACUACUAACUCUUAACUUUUAUUUUCAGUUAUUUAAUUUUCAGAAUUUAUUUAAUUUUUUAUUUUUUUAAUUGGUGGGUUCAACCACCAUUUUUUUUCUUUCUUUUUCUUUUUUUUCUUUUGCAUUUAUUUUAUACUUAAUUUAUUGUUAAUUGGUGGGUUCAACCACCAAAAUUGUUAUUUAAUUUUCUUUUGUACACUUAUAUUGUUUGCUUACUUAUUUUUUUAUAUUUUAUUUUGUUAUCAAUUUGUGUAAAUAUUAUCUUUAUAACAUAACCAUUGCAUGAGACGUUGGUCUCGAUCUUCAAGUGGCAGGUUAAUUCGUAGAUCUCAAUCUCCACCACCAAUCAUGGAUGAGAAUCAAGGCGAAAACGUUUUGGGCGAACUUAACCCUCAAAUUGAUCAGGGAGACAACCAAUCUCAACAUAGGCAUGAUCAGAAUCAACCAAGGACUCUGAGAGACUACAUGAAUCCAACCAGAACCGAAGCACCGUCGUGUAUAGUAUUUCCUCCAGAAGCAUCUCGAUUUAACUUUAAACCAAGUAUUAUCCAACUUUUACCAACAUUUCAUGGUUUAGAAUCUGAGAAUCCGUACUUGCAUCUAAGAGAUUUUGAGGAAGUUUGUAAUACAUACAUGGAUCAAAAUUGUAGCAUGAACAUAAUUAGAUUAAAGCUUUUUCCUUUUUCAUUAAAAGAUAAAGCUAAAACUUGGCUACAAAACCUUAGAUCUGGAUCAGUAAGAACUUGGAAUAACAUGCAAGAACAGUUUUUGAAAAAAUUCUUUCCACCUCAUAGAACAAAUUCUUUUAAAAGGCAAAUCACUUCUUUCACUCAAAAAAAUGGAGAAACAUUAUACCAAUGUUGGGAUAGGAUUAAAGAGUUGUUUAACAUAUGCCCACAUCAUAGUUUUGAAACUUGGCGAUUGGUCACUUACUUCUAUGAGGGCUUAAUACCCCAAAGUAGACAGAUUGUUGAAAUGAUGUGUAAUGGUGAAUUUAGGGAUAAAAAUCCUGAAGAUGCACUAGAUUACCUUGACCAAUUAGCUGAAAAUGCACAACAUUGGGAUACUGUUGGAACUUUUGAAUUGACAAAUAAGCAACAAUCAUCUCCAUCUAGUGGAGGAAUCCAUAACCUUAGGGAAGAUCAUGAUUUACAAGCAAAAUUUGCAUCCCUAGUUAGGAAAGUUGAAGCUUUGGAGCAUAAAAAGAGUGAUCAAGUAAAAAUUGCUCAAGAAAUUGCAUGUAACAUAUGUAGUUCGAAUGAUCAUUUCACUCAAGAGUGUCCCACUUUGCCUGCACUUAAAGAAUGUCUAAAUGAUCAAGCUAAUGUCAUUAACACUUUCAAUAAACCAAACCCAUAUUCACAGACUUAUAAUCCUGGUUGGAGAAAUCAUCCAAAUUUCAGUUGGAGAAAUAAUAAUAAUGCACAAUCUUCACAAGCACCACCUCCACAAAAUUUUCAAAAUCCUCAGCCUUAUGCACCAUAUGUUCCACCACCCUGGAAAAAUCUGGAAGACACAAUGCAUUCAUUCAUCAGAAAGCAAGAUGUUAUUAACAAUCAAAAUGCACUAACUUUUUCUGAUUUGAAAGAUACUCUUGCUAAAAUUGCUUCUGCACUCACCAUUCAAGAAAAAGGAAAAUUUCCAGCCCAACCACAACCAAAUCCUAAAAUUCAACAAAAUCCACCCACAGACCAAGUCAAGUCAGUUAUAAGUCUUCGUAGUGGUAAGGUUGUUGAUAGACCUAUGCCUGAACCUUAUGAAAAUGAUGAAAAUUCAAAGGGUAAGAAAGGACUAAAUGAACUUACACCUAAUGAAGAAAUAACUAGUGUUCCACCUUAACCACCAUUUCCGCAUGCAUUGAAUAAACCAAGGAAAUCAAACCACUCUUCUGAAAUUUAUGAAAUCUUUAAGCAAGUGAAAGUUAACAUUCCUCUAUUAGAUGCAAUCAAGCAGGUUCCUUCAUAUGCCAAAUUUUUAAAGGACUUGUGCACUGUUAAGAGGAAAUUGAAGGUAAGAAAGAGUGCUUUCAUGUCCGAACAGGUAAGUACAAUUCUGUCUACUAAUAAUAAGUUGAAAUAUAAAGAUCCUGGUUGUCCUACCAUUUCUUGUAUUAUUGGUAACCACAUAAUUGAGCAUGCUUUACUAGAUCUUGGUGCUAGUGUUAAUUUGCUUCCAUAUUCAAUUUAUCUUCAACUUAAUCUUGGUGAGUUAAAAUCAACUUCAACUACACUUUUGCUUGCCGAUAGAUCAGUUAAAGUACCAAAAGGAAUAGUGGAAGAUGUUUUAGUACAAGUUGAUAAAUUUAUUUAUCCUGUGGAUUUUAUUGUCUUGGAAACUGAACCUAUUGUGAAUAAUUACAAACCAAUUCCUGUAAUUUUAGGUCGACCAAUUUUAGCAACUGUUAAUGCUUUGAUUAAUUGUAGGAAUGGUUUAAUGAAUUUAUCCUUUGGGAAUAUGACUUUGGAAUUGAAUGUUUUCAACAUGUGCAGGCAACCUAAUGAAGAAAAUGAGAAUGAGAUGAUACUGAUGACAAAAGGAAUUGUUUAAAUCUUGUAUCAAGGAAAAUAUUCAAAAGGGAUUUUUCNNNNNNNNNNNNNNNNNNNNNNNNNNNNNNNNNNNNNNNNNNNNNNNNNNNNNNNNNNNNNNNNNNNNNNNNNNNNNNNNNNNNNNNNNNNNNNNNNNNNNNNNNNNNNNNNNNNNNNNNNNNNNNNNNNNNNNNNNNNNNNNNNNNNNNNNNNNNNNNNNNNNNNNNNNNNNNNNNNNNNNNNNNNNNNNNNUUGCCUGAAGGAGAUGAAUAUGCUUUUCUUGGAGAAGAACAAACCUAUCAUGUUGUGAUUUCGUCUACUUUAACAAGCGACCAAGAAGGUAAGUUACUUACUGUUCUGAAAAAGCAUAAAAAUGCAAUAGGAUGGACUUUAAAUGAUAUUAAAGGCAUUAAUCCCUUAAUCUGCACACAUAGAAUUAAUCUGGAAGAAAAUGCUAAAACAUGUCAACAACCUCAAAGAAGAUUAAACUCACACAUGAAAGAGGUAGUCAAAACAGAAGUCCUUAAAUUGCUUGAUGUGGGAAUUAUCUACCCUAUUUCCGAUAGUAAGUGGGUAAGUCCUACACAAGUAGUGCCUAAAAAAUCUGGAAUCACUAUUGUUAAAAAUGAAAAAGGUGAAUUAAUUCCAACACGAAUUACAUCUAGUUGGCGCAUGUGCAUUGAUUAUAGAAAAUUAAAUGAAGCCACUAGAAAAGAUCAUUUUCCAUUACCAUUCCUUGACCAAAUCUUAGAAAGAGUAGCAGGACAUCCCUACUACUGUUUUUUAGAUGGAUAUUCGGGCUAUUAUCAAAUUCCUAUAGCACUUGAGGACCAAGAAAAGACCACAUUUACAUGUCCAUUUGGAACAUUUGCAUUUAAAAGAAUGUCAUUCGGGCUUUGUAAUGCUCCUGCAACAUUUCAAAGAUGUAUGUUAAGCAUAUUUUGUGAUAUGGUUGAACAUUGUUUAGAGGUCUUUAUGGAUGAUUUGACUGUGUUUGGGAAUUCUUUUGAUGAUUGCCUUGAUAAUUUGGAGAAAGUUUUAAAAAGAUGUGUUGAAAAAGAACUCGUGUUGAAUUGGGAAAAAUGUCACUACAUGGUUACUUCUGGAAUUGUUUUGGGUCAUGUUGUUUCUAUUAAAGGAAUUGAAGUUGACAAAGCAAAUAUCGAAGUCAUAUCUAAAUUGCCACAACCAAAAAUAGUUAGAGAUGUGCGAUCUUUUUUAGGACAUGUAGUUAUAGGAGGUUUAUAAAAAACUUUAGUGUCAUAUCUAAACCACUUUGUAACCUCUUAUUAAAAGAUGCACCGUUUGAAUGGAAUGAUGAUUGCCAAAAAUCUUUUGAAAAAAUAAUUUGUCUUUUAACAUCUACACCUAUUAUGCAAUCUCCUGAUUGGUCUUUGCCAUUUGAAUUAAUAUGUGAUGCAAGUGAUUUUGCUGUUGGUGCUGUUUUAGGACAAAGAAGGGAUGGUAAACCUUUUGUGAUUUAUUAUGCGAGUAAGACUUUAGAUAGUGCUCAAAUGAAUUAUUCUACAACUGAAAAAGAAUUACUUGAUGUGGUAUUUGCAUUAAACAAAUUCCGUUCAUAUUUGCUUGGCUCUAAAUCUGUUGUGUUUACUGACCAUGCUGCUGUGAGAUAUUUGAUGAGUAAACAGGAUGCCAAACCGAGACUAAUUCGUUGGAUUUUGUUACUACAAGAAUUUGACCUUACCAUCAAAGAUAAAAUGGGUGCUGAAAAUGUUGUUGCUGAUCAUCUAUCAAGACUCACAUCCAAAUUCUGCAAUGAUAUAACACCCAUAAGUGAUUCUUUCCCUGAUGAAUUUUUAUUUUCUGUUACUUCAAUGCCAUGGUAUGCUAAUAUUGUUAAUUUUCUUGUUACAGGUAAAAUACCUUUGCAAUGGAAUGCUCAAGAAAAGAAGAAAUUUUUUGUUGAAGUAAAGAAAUUUUAUUGGGAUGACCCUUAUUUGUUCAAAUAUUGCCCAGAUCAAAUUUUUCGGCGAUGUAUUCCUAAUAAUGAGGUAAGUAGUGUUAUUAAUUUUUGUCAUUCUGAAGCAUGUGGUGGUCACUUUUCUUCAAGAAAAACUACUACUAAAAUUUUGCAGUGUGGAUUUUAUUGGCCUACUAUGUUUAAAGGCACAUAUGAAUUCUGCAAAAGUUAUGAAAAAUGUCAAAAAUUGGGAUCAAUUACAAAAGGAAACAUGAUGCCCUUAAAUCCCAUACUUGAAAUUGAAAUAUUUGACUGCUGGGGAAUUGAUUUCAUGGGUCCACUUCCAUCAUCUUUUGGAUUUGUGUAUAUAUUAGUUGCAGUUGAUUAUGUCUCAAAAUGGAUUGAAGCAAUUUCUUGCUGAAAUAAUGAUAGUAAAACUGUGAUUAAAUUUUUAAGAGAAAACAUUUUAAGUCGAUUUGGAAUCCCUCAAGCCAUUAUCAGUGAUGAAGGUAAGCAUUUUUGUAAUAAGUCCUUUGAGUCUUUAAUGAAGAAAUAUGGAAUUACAAAUAAAAUUACUACCCCUUAUCAUCCUCAAACAAAUGGUCAAGUUGAAUUAGCAAAUAAGGAGAUAAAACAAAUUUUGGAAAAAAUGGUUAACCCAAACCGAAAAGAUUGGUCUCUUAGACUUAAUGAUGCACUUUGGGCUUACCGUACUACAUUUAAAACGUCAUUAGAAAUGUCACCCUAUCGAUUAGUUUAUGGUAAACCUUGUCAUUUACCUGUUGAACUUGAACAUAAAUCACUUUGGGCUAUUAAAGUUUUUAAUUCAAAUUUGGAUGAUGCUGGUAAUGUGCGAAAAUUGCAAUUGAAUGAAAUUGAGGAAUUAAGGAAUGAUGCAUAUGAAAAUGCAAGAUUUAUUAAGGCAAGAACAAAAGCAUUUCAUGAUAAAAGAAUUUUUCGAAAAACAUUUGAGAUUGGUCAAAAAGUGUUGCUUUAUAAUUCUCGUCUUCAUUUAUUUCCAGAAAAGUUAAAGUCAAAAUGGAGUGGCCCAUUUGUUGUAAAAAAUGUAUAUUCAUAUGGGGCCAUAGAAAUUGAGAAUCCAAAUAAUGGUGUCACAUUUAAAGUUAAUGGUCAAAGAUUAAAACCAUAUCUGGAACAUCACUCACGUGACGAGGACACCGAAAUUAAUUUGGGUGACCCACCAGUUCUUGAUUAAGUCUUUAAUGAUUUUUUUUUGUUUUGUUUUACUAUUAUUUUACCGUUUCAUUGUUUGAUUUUUUUUUCUCUAGAUUGAUGCACUGUACAUAGUUUUUUUUUUAACAUUGUUUUUCUUGUGUAAGCGUGUUUGUUUGACAGUUGUACAUUCUCUCAUCAAUUUUCAUUUUACAUCAUGAGCACCUCAAUGAGAAAAUUCCUAUUCGCACAUCUUAAAAGAUUUCUGCGUAUAAAAUUUCACUUAAGAGGCCUGAUACAAAGCUAUAAAUCACAUCCACUUUGGGAUCUACAACCACCAGAAUUCGUGUCCUAUGUUGAGAAUCUAGAGGGACAACUCAGAACAGUAGAGAGUGGCAUAUAUGAAUUUCAAAUGGAGCUUGAGGUUAACUCAAUGAGAGGACGAAUGUAAGUUCAUUUUCCUUUUAUAUUGUGUGCUUCUUUUUGCUCGCUUUCACGCUUGAUUUGAUUUUGCAGAUUUGAUUUUGGUGUGUUUUGAUUUAUUUUCCCGUAUAAAUGGCGGAUAACGGUACUCCGUGACUUCUUAAGUCGGUAUCUUCAGUUUCCCACAAUAACUGAACCCCAAAAUCAAACAUGGAAGAAAUACAACAUAAACUCCAUAAGCAUUUUCCCUCUCUCCCUCAGAAUGCCCUCAGGAAAAUUUACAAAGCUCGUUGUGAACAACUGCGUUUGUUAAUGAUCAAUGGCAUUCCUUCUGACAUUCGUUGGUUAAUUGAAGCAAAGGUCCGAUUAGGAGGUGAGUUUUCUGGUCCAUUUGUUUCUUACAUGCCUGGUUUUGGUAAAAGUACGUUUGCUAAGAAAAGGAGAGCUAAACGACUUGGCUCAAAAUGUCAUAAAUGUGUAAGACUUUGUUGCAAACGACCGGAUUGUAAAUCUUUAAGAAUGGUUUCUGAUACUCGUGAAGAUAAAAUUAAAUUCGUUAAAGAUGGCAUGAGUAAAGAAUCGUUGGAUGAUAUCUUACGAUCUCUUGAGACGCAUCGAAGCGGAUUUGUGUAAUGUGAGAUUUACAAUUUGUGGAUACUAUUCCAAAAACAAAGUGCACAGUUAAAUCUUGGGAAUCUGACUCAAAAAGACCUUGUUUGCCAGUUUAUAAGAAAACUGGAUGGGAAGCCGAUCCUCGACCCAUAAAGGGCGUUCAAGCCGUUACUGGACGUAAAACCAGAGGAAGAUGUGAGCCACAAUCACAACUACCAGUAAAUAUCCUUUCACUUCACUGUUAUUUUACUUUACUAUUAUUUUAUCAUUUGCAUUAUUGCAUUUAGUGAUGUGAUUUUGUAUUUAAUAAAUAUUUAUUUUUUUUACUGUUUGCUUUUUCUAAUCAUUAUUUUCUUUUUACUGUUUGUUUUUGAAUUAUUGAGCCACGAGCUUUACUCGUCAUUUGACAAAUAUUGCCAAUCCAUUUACAGCUGUUUCUCAUUAUUUAUGUCACCAAGAUCUUUAAAUAUGAGCUCUUUUGUCAAACAUUCACAACUUGUUUUUGAAAAAUUAGUCUAAUGGCAGCAUCUUCGAGUAAACAAUUCAAAAACAUUUGUGUGCUUUCUGGGUUUCACUAUGGAAAGUACAAAGAGUUCGUUCAGGCAGCUGUAGAUCUUGGUCGUGUCAUAGCAGAGAGGGAACUGCAUCUUGUAUAUGGAGGAGGUGAACGAGGGUUAUCAAGACUUGUCUCAGAAGCCGUUUUACCAGAGGAAGCCAAGUACUCGAAAUUAUCCCAAAACCAUGAAACCGCUAGUGUGCAUGUCUGGCCCACCAAUUGGAGAAGAAUUAGUGGUAUCAAGUAUGCAAGAGAGAAUAUCUGAAAUGAUGAAUCAUGCUGAUGCUUUUAUUUUCUUGCCAUGAGAUCUUGCAACUUUUGAGGUACUAAUUACAUUUGCAUCUUGGGCCCACUUGAACAUUCAUCAAAAAUCUAUCGGUUUGUUAAAUGUUAAUAAUUUUUAUGACGGCUUGCUAACUUUUAUUAACCAUGCAAUAAAGAAUCAUUUUGUUCCAUAUUCUGUAAAAAAACACUCUUUAUCUGUGCUUCUACUGCUAAUGAGUUACUUGAUCUUUUACAAGCUUAUACACCGGAGCCAGAUCCAAAGACUUUUGCACUGAAUUGGUCGACUGAUGAUGGUAGCGGUAAUAGUAGCCGUAAUAAGAAGUGCGAUUUAGAUUUAACUCUCCGUCUGUAAAUAUUUUUUGUUGCAGUAUUUAUGUGCUGUCUUCUAAACUCUUUCUCUUUCCUUUUAAAACAUUAAGGACAAUGUCUUUUUCAGGUUGGGGGGAGGGAAUAGUUGAUAAUUGUGGAAUGUCUUAGUCUUGGUGAUGUCUUUACAAAAAAUAAAAAACAAAAAACAAAAACAAAAAUUUUUUUUUUCUGUGAAGACUAACUUAGGACAAAUUUGAGUCAAAGAUGGCAGGAUAUAGGGAAUGUAGUUCCUCUAGAAACGCAUCUUCUUAAUCUUAAAGGUGUUGUAAAAAAUAAAAAAUUUGACUUUUUCUUCAUCUUUGUUAUUCGCUUUUAAGCUUCUGCAUCAAGUUCAGGUGAGAUCUCUUUUUCUUCUUCUUCUUUUAUUAUUCUCUUUUAUUUUUAUUUUUUUGCAUAUUUGUAAAAUUAUAAAAUGCUAAGAUAAUGUUUAGAUUAGGUUGUGGGGUGGGGAUAGUUAACAUAUGUUUUUAAACAUGUGUGGUUUUUCUCUUUUCUCUUUUCUUUUCUUUGUUUAAAAAAAAAUUUUGUUUUUGUCUAGGAUUAAUGUGUAAAGAGUCACGACUUUUGAGACGCAUCCUAAUAAUCUUAUUGUAUUAUAUUUUGAUUUUGAGAUUCAUAGUAAGUUGUUUUUGUUCCCUUUUCUUUGAAUUACUCAAAUUUGUGAACUCUCUACUUGGUUAUUAAGUUAUUUAAUUGUUUACUCAUUUAACAGGUAUUAUUGAAUCAUUCUUCACACACACAUUAUGACACAUACUAGUGGGUUGUAAGUUAAAAUUUUACAGCAUUUAGUUCUUUUGAUUUAUUAGGAAUAUUAUCUAAGGUAGUAGAAAGUGUAUAUUGAAAAAAAAAACAACAAAAAAAAGAAGAAAAAAAUGUUUUUAAUUUUGUUAUAUCUAGAAACCCGAGUAAUUAAGUCCAUAGGGGUGUUUCAACACCUAGUGCCCUAAGGUCAACUAGUCUGGGAGUCACUACCCUAAAGCUCGCUACAUGGGUAAUAGAUAUAUUGUUGUUUAUUAGAAACCUGAGUAAUUAAGUCUGAAGGGGUGCUUCAACACCUAGUGCCCUAAGGCCAACUGGUCUGGGAGUCACUGACCUAAAGCUCGCUACAGGGGUUAGAAAUGUAAUAUUUAAAAAAAAAAAUGUGUGAAUAAUCUAUUGCCUAAAGAUAUAAUUUCUAAUGAAUUUUGGAACGAAAAUGUUGUUUUUCUUUUAAUGAAGCCCCAUAAGUAUUGUGUUAAUUACUUGAGCACAAAAGAAGGUUUGAUGAUAUUCUGGAUAAUGAGUGAACAUCAAUGUGGUAAAGGAAUUUGGGAGAGUUCAUUUAUUUGGUAAUUUAGAGGAUAGAUGAACAACUAUUAACUUGCAUGUGAAUUUUAUAAAUCUUAAUUUAAUAUAACGCUUUAAUUGCUAGAGGGCUAGCAAUAAGCUGGUUGGGGUGUGUGAUUAGUAUUAAAAAUUGUUUAAUUAUCAAGCGAUAAUAUGUUAUUUUAUGCUUAUGUUAUAAUUUAUAUUUGCGUUUAUGUAAUAUAUUAUGAAUUAUUAAUUAUGUUUUAAAUAUAUUUAAUUUUGUGUAUUUUUAUGUGUUUAUUAGGAAAAAUAUUAAUUUCACGUAUUUCGAGGCUCCAAACAGAUAAACAGAGGUCAAAUUUGGAUUCCGGAGGUCCGAAAACCUUAAGAUCAGUCAAGAUCGGCUUAAAAUUGGGCUUGUGUAAAAAAAGUUGACUUUUCCUGUUGACCGAGCACUGAUUGAAUGAUUAAAUGAGCUUACAAUAGAUAUGAGUGCAUGGGAUAGCUGGCAAUCUUGACUAAAUCUCAACCGUUCAUGAUUCAAUGGCCAUGAAUGUGCCACGUGGCAAUGGUUGGUGAAGCAAGGUGGAGGAUCCGAAUCUUUGUAUUCGGGUCGACCCGAUCCACCCAUUAACACGCCAAAUCUCAACCGUUCUUUGGGCAAAUCGGACGAGUCAAAUGAUGCCAUGUGUGAUGUUGACUUUUGAAGUUUGACCAACAAUUGGAUCUUGAUCUAAGGGUUGUGAGGAGCACAUGCAUGAAGCCUAUGAUGGACCGCAAAGCACUGGAUUAUGAAUUUAUUUUUCUAUAAAUAGAGCCUCAUUUUUAUGUUUUAAUCAUCUCUCUACAACUAUCUUCUUCUCAAAUUCGCUCCAUCUCCUUGUAAUCUUGAUUUCCAAGUGUGUUUUUAAUAUUUUGUAUAAUUAUUUUCAUUAAUAAAAUUAGUUUUAUUUCCAAUUUUAGUUGUUUUUAUUUCUUUUAAUUAUAAGUAAUUCAAUUUUACUACUUCUUUUUAUUUUAAUUAUGCUUAACUAAAUAAUAUUAGUUAGGGGAAGGUGAAACUCUUAGGAAAUAAAUAUGAUUUAAUCAAAUUCUAUUUUUAAUUUUAUAAAUUAAAUUAUUUUCUAUUUAAAUUUUAUACAUGUUUUAUAUUUUGAAAUUUUGAUUUAUUGUAGACAAACAAAUGAAUUUGGCACAAUAAAUUCUUAAGAUCUUAAUAUAAGGCAUGGUGAAAUGGUAUUUUGACUUAUUGUAGACAAACUAAAUUUUGGCACAACAAAUACUUAAUCCAUCAUAAAAUUAAAGGGAAAAUAAUAAUAAUUUGUUUAAUUAAUCUUUUGGGUAAUAAAUCUAAAACAAAUUGGCAAAAAGAAUUUAUUAAGUUUUAUUUAUUUCUAAGAGUGGAUCCAUAACUCUAACUAGUUCAAUUCCAUAGUUUCAUUUAAAUUAAGUUGUUUAUAUUCAAGUUUUAAUUUCAAUUUAUAGAUAAAAUAAAAUAAACUAAUUAAAUCUUUUCUCUGUGGAUCGACCUCGGACUCGCCGAGUUAUAAUACAACAAGACACUCUUAUACUUGGGAGUUAAAAAAUUACUUUUAAGUUGUGUCAGAAAGUAACCCUUUUGCCCAUUCUUUAUACAGCUUAGCAGUUUAUUAUUUUAUACACGAUCUCUAGAUUUCUUUUGAAUUAACCCUAAAAAAAAUAAUAUUUGUAAAAUUAAAAAAAAAUGUGUGUUGCUACAUUUGGAGGCCCAUCUAACUAGUAGAUAUGGAAGAUUAUUUAGAGCCCUAAAAGACAAUGGAAAUCCCAUCUUUGAUCCGUUUGAGCCUUUCUAGCCAUCCCUUUUAUUAAAUAUCCAUAGUUAACCCUUUUGAGCCUUUAAAAAAAAUAAAAAAAUAAAAAAAAUAAAAACUUUUCUUUGUCAAACUUUUCAUCUUGACCCACUCCGAUUUGGAGUAUUACCCAAUAUCUUACAAGUUCCAUCACCUAUUUAUGUUUGAGAAAAAUGUAAAUAAAUAUUUUGUAUAGUAAAGUUACACCAAAAAAAAAGCAAAAAAAAAUAGUUUAAAAAAAAGAAAAAAAAUAAUAAUAAUAGGUGAAAUCCACCUUGCAACUUCCAAAACAAAAAAAUUUCUCUGCAUUUUUUUCAAACAUACACUUUGUUUUCCUUAUUUCCCUUCUUUGCUAGCCAUGUCCCUAACCUACGCUACGUCCUAAUAAAAGUCCUUCUUGAUUUUAGGGAACUAUAAUCUGAAGUAGAAGCUAAUUAUAUGAUCUAAAAAGAUGUAGUGAUGCAUAAUAAAAAAUAAAAAAAAGAGAAAAAAAAGAUAAAUAAAGUGGGUUGACUAGCAUUUUUGUUUGACUUAAGAUCAUAUUAUUUCUAAGCUGAGGGCAUAUUUCUUUCAUCUUGGUGAGAGCAUGUGAUAUCAUUUCUUUUUUUUUCUCUCAAUUACCAUUCAUUGCAGUGACUAUUUUUAUUGGGUUUAAUUUCUUUGUGAGAGUGUCACUACUUCCAGUGAGAUUUUGGGGUUUGACAUGUCAUUCUUGAAGGUAGCUAUAACAAAUCUACUAGGCUGAUUCAUGUGGAUGGUUGAUGUGGGUGUGAUGUUUCUUUAGACUUGAGAUAAUGCUCAUACUUUUAUUUGAUUGUUAUCAUUAGUCUGAUUGAAUAAACAAGAGUGUUAAAAAAAAAAAUCAUUUUGGAUGUGAAUUUUGUUUUCGCUUUAUUUGCUAGGGACUAUCAAUAAGCUGGUUGAGAGGUGUGUUGAGUGUUAGAAAAUGUAUAUUUAUAAAGGAGAAAAUCGUCAUUUUACAUUUCACGUCUUACUAACAACUCUUACUUUUAUGUAUUUAAGCUUCUUGUAAUUUAAUUAUGUGUGUUUUAUUUUAAUUAAGUAUUUUAUGUAUUUUAGGGGCAUCAUGGUCAUUUCACAAUAAACGAGAGAUCAGACAGCAAAACAGACAUCAUUUUUGAACUCAGGACGGUCGAAAACCUUAGGAGGAGCAUAAAAGGAAAAAUGGCACUGUUCACAUGUACGGUACUAUUCACGUGUACGGUACUGUCUACGUUACUGUUCACGACACUGUUCACAUAGACGGAUCGAUGACGUGGCAUUGACCGAUGAUGUGGCAUUGACUGAUGAGGUGUCACAAUCUUGUUGGACUAAAAUUCUUAUGUACUGUUGAUGGUGACGUGGCAGCAUAUCAGUGGACCAAAAAUCUCGCGUACGGAACAUGCAUCAUACAGAAUUAUUUUCAACCAAACCGCGUCACUGUUCACCCGGGUCAAACCGUGUUACUGUUCACCCGCGUGGUCAAACCGCAUACUGUUGACUGAUGACGUAGCACAAUCCUGACCGUUCAAACUGUUUUUAAUCUAAUGGCCACGAUUUACUCAAUGUAUCUAUAAAAAGGGGGCCUCCUCCCCCCCCCCCCUAAUUUGAUAUCUCUGAAUUCAUUUUUGGACUCCAUUUUUUGUAAUUCCUUCUCCAUCUUGUAUUUUCUACGUAUUUAAUAAAUUCUCAUUUGCCCCUAGUUCAAUUAUGAGUAGCUAAUUUUCUUUCAAGCUUGGGUUGAAGGUGAAGUCUCAACAUGUGUCAUGGGCUUUAUUUGGUAAAUUUAUUUUCUCUUCCCCUCUAGUUUUUAUGGAUGUUUUGACUUCUCGUAGACAAAUAAUAAUAAUCUUGUUUAGUACCGCCUUGGUUUCACCGGCUCCCUAAUACAAGGUUUUAUUAUUUGGCACGAUAAGCCCUUAUCACCAUAUUGAUUAUAGCGUGGUUCAUGAGGUGUGGAUUCCUCCCUCAUGAUUUAAUUGGCAUUAAUAAGGAUUAUUUAGCCUAUGAUGCAUGUUGAUACGGAUCCAGAUACCCAAGUACGUCAUCUCAAUAGAUUUCUCUUCAAUUUAUUCUCGUCAUUUCAAUUCCAAUUUUAGAAUUUAUUCUCGCCAUUUCAAUUCCAAGUUUAGGAUAAUCCAAAUCAUUUUCACCACAAAUCCAACCACCCAUUUACAAAAUUAAUUCUACACACAAUUAAAAUCCACUUACUCGUGGGAUCGACACUCGUCACCAUUAGUCUAUUCUACAAUAGAUUCGUGCGCUUGCAAGUUCAAUAAAAUUUGCACAACACAGCACUCUAUAGAAGCAUUGUUGGGGGUCUAAUAUUUGAUUCUCACUAGACCUGACAUUGCUUACUCUGCACAUAAAUUUAGUUAGUAUCUCAGUAAUCUUACACUUUAUCAUUGGUUGCAAUACAAAAAAGUUCUCAAGUAUCUUCAAGUUACAAUCACCCAUGGUCUAUAUCUUCAAAAGGAGGGAACACUUGAAUAUGUUGGUUUAACAUGCUACUUUAAUGCUGACUGGGCAUGUAAUGUUGAUGAUCGAAAAUCUAUUUGAGCUUACUGUAUUUACCUUGAUAAUAAUUUGAUUUCUUGGUCGUCUAAAAAGUAAGCUAUUGUGGCUAAGUCAAGUAGUGAGAGUGAAUAUAGGACUAUAUUUUAAGCAAUCUCAGAACUGUCCUGAUUACAAUUCUUACUGUCAGAGUUUAAUAUUGUGCAAUUACCAACUCCAAUUCUUUGAUGUGACAAUCAGAGUGCUGAAAAUUAGCUCGGAAUUAUAUUCUUCACUAUAAGUCUAAGCAUAUUGAAUUAGAUGUUCACUACAUUAGAGACAAAGUGCUUAGAAAUGAGUUGGAUGUGAGAUACAUUCCUACUGAAGAACAAGUUGCUGAUGUUCUUACAAAGCCUUUAUCAUUUCUUAACUUCAACUACUUCUGAUCCAAGCUCAAUGUCAUCAACAGGCCAUUGAGCUUGAGGAGGGAUGUUAAGGAAGCUCAUACUUGCAAUUAUUAUUUAUAAAUGGUAUAAUCAAAAGAGAGUCUUGAUGUCUCUUAUUGAAAACUUGAGGAUCUACAUAGCCAUGCAUUUCCCCAAACCUUGUAUAUGUCCUAUUCCCUUGUUUGCGCCUCAAAAAAUUGUUUGAAUAUCUAAAAAAGAAUUCGAAUAGAUUUUUGAUGUAAUAAAUGACAGAAUUCGACAGACAUUUGUACUUAGUUAUAUUCCUCUGGCUGAAAGGUUCAACAAAAUAUAUUAUAUGACCAAAUCGAUAUCAUUUGAGCUAUUUGACAGUACCAAAAAAAUCCUAUGUCAUAAUACCAAAUUACAUUACAAGGGAAAAAUCGUCUAUUUACAUAAAUUCAGUAACAAAUACAAGGGCAAGGUGUAAACAUGCUAAUUUCAUAAACUCGGGUAUAAAGAUGACCUUUGCAAUAUAAAGAUGGACGGUAAGGGUAACUAGAAAUAUAAAGAUGGAAUCUGGACCCUUCGUACAAAAAUUUUCUAUCUCUAAUAAUUAAACUAAAAUAAUUCAGAAGUUGCUAUUUUUCCUUAUGGUUUAUAUUUGGUAUGUAACGGUUAAUUAAAAAAUUAAAAUCUAACUAAAAUUGGAAGACCUCUUUCUUGUGAUGGCAAGACGACGGUCACAUAAAGGCCUUUUUUCUUGUAACUUGAGUGGAUAAGAAGUAUAUUAGAGACCCAAGUUUCAUCCCAGAAAAUAAAAAAAAAUAAAACCAUUCACAACAGAUCUUCUUUAUGAAAACUAAAUUACUUGAGAUAUGGAACUUCUAAAUAAGAAAAAAAGACAUAUAUACCCUCAAGAUUUAGGAAAAUAGUCACAAAAGACCUUCAAUUUUCAAUAAGGAACACCAUAACUCCUUUUAGACCAUAAUGUCCCUCAACUCUAUAAAUCCCAAAAAAAACUCUAAAAUUUAAUAAUAAAUGGAAAUAUGGAAUUAAAAUAAAUGUAAUAAUAUAUACAUUUCAAAAUAAUUUUAAUAUUUAAAAAUAUUUUAAUAUUUUUCAAUCUAUUAGACCUAUUUUAUUAUAUAAAAGCAAUUUUUAAUAAGAUAGAAACAUAAUAUUAAAAUAAAUAAAUUAAAACUAAAAUUAUUUUGAAUAUUAUGUAAAGUUUAAUUCUAAUAUUGCUAAUAGGGAGAUUUUUUUAAUUGUAAAAUCUAUUUAACCCAAAAAUUUAUUUAAAAUCUUUAAAACAUUACAAAUAUAUUAUUAAAAUAAAUAUAAUAAUUUAAAAUUUUAAUAUUAUUUUAAAUAUAAAAAAUAAUUUAAUAUUAUUAGUCUACUAGACAAAUUAUAUUAUUUAUAUUAAAUUUGUGUUAAUUAAAAACCUUUAAAGUCAAUUUUUUAAUUACUAUAGUUAAAGAGUUUUAUGGAUAAAAAAUAGUCUUGAUGUCCUUUUUUUUUAAAUUUACAGAUUUUUAUGACCAUUUUCUCAAACCUUGAAGAUACUGGUGUCUUUUUCCCUUUAAAUAAUCAUGCCACAAAGGAUUAGAAAUCGUUGCAUUCUAUGGUGCAUAUAGAUUUUAGAAGACCGUCAUAAUUUUCUUGUCAAAUUCAUCUGAAUUAUCCAAUUUUCUAUAAUUUCACACAUCAACUGGUUUACUUUAAUUUGCUCUUUUCUAAAUCGACUGUUUAGUCCCAAAAGCACGGAAAAUUCACGCAUGAUUUCUUGUUAUUUCUAAUGGUAAUCUACUUGGAUCAUUCAUUUGACAAUAUGACUGGUCCGUUUAUUGUGUUUUCUCCGCACAAUAGGACUGACUGAUAAAGCAUCGUCCGAUUAUGCGGUCUAGUCUUUUUUUUUCUUUUUGAUACAAUUAUUGUUGGGGAAAAAUCAGGUUUUUAAAUUUUUAUAAAACCUUUUGAAGAUCGCUCUCAUAUAAUAUAUAAGAAUUUGUAUUUUAGAAAUCGUACCUUGAAAAUCCGAUUUGGCUUUUUCCGUUGAAAUGAUUUAGGCUCCUAGAUCACGAUCCGCCACCACCACUCCUGUUAGAUCACGAUCCGUCACCACCACGCUUGCUAGAUCACGAACUGUCACCAAUGAUCUUCCAGGUUAUGACUCAGGUUCGAUCUGCACUUGACGUGUGAGCGCCUUUAUCACUACCAAAGCAACUAGCACGAGAAAAUUUUUCUCUCAACAAUAGAGAGAAAAAUCUUAUUCUCUGAUCUGUAUAAAGUGGCUUCUAUCUUUUCUUUAGGGAAAAAUAAGCCUUAUAUAUUUCCCUUUAGUGAAAACCCUAGGCUCCAAAUAAUGCCCUAAAUAAAACUCACAUUUAUUUACUUUUUCAAUAGAGGACCUACCUUGUAAAAUAACAUAAGGCCCCUUAUACAAAAGCUAAUUAAAUGGAGCCUCCCACUAAAUGAUAUAUUUAGGCUUUUGACCCAAAUCGCUAGUUAUCUUACUUAUUAGUCCAGUAGUGGUGCAGUCAAUUAAAUGAGCUAACCCGGGGAUCAUUUGGGAACAUACAAUAGUGGCUACAAUAAUUAGGCUUGUAAUUAAACUAGCCCAAUUAUUUAAUUCCAAAUCUACUCCACUAAAAGAUUGGAACUGACUUCCAUAAUUGUAUGCUCGAAUAAUAAUUCGUCCCAAGCCACAUUGAUUUCUUUACUGCACAAUCCUUUGUACCACAUCGUUAAUUAAAUUGAUAUCUCAACUGUCCAAUCAAUUUAAUAACAUCUUAUUCCUUGAUCUUUACUAGUUUUCUCUAAUGAUCAUUUUCAACAUACUAAAUAUGUUGACACACUCUGGCCAGAGAAUUCUAUGAUCAAGUGCCGAAAACCCAUCAAGAGAUGUGUUGUACAAAUUCUAUAUUGUUAAUCCAUAACUCCAAUACUCAUAAUUGCUCCCACCAAGAUACCGGGUAAUCUUGACCACAAGAAUGUGUCGUGCCCAUUGGUAACUCAAAUGGAAUAACAAUUACAAUCAUGAAAUCAUAAUUAACUCAAGAUUAAGAUUACAGUAAAAUCAACGCCUAUGAGAUUUAAUAAGUCUGACAGUUAUUACAAAGUUAAUUAAAUCUCAUAUGUGAUCCUGUUCAAUGUAGUCGUACUACAUCAAUAAAUUCAUACAUGAUUAAGACAAAUCAUUCAAUGAAUUUAUUACAGUCUAUACCUAAAUAAAGUGCCCAACUUUAUUUAUCAACUGCGAACUAAAUUUAUUUAAUCAUAAGAUAACUUGUAUUUAUGUCUUCUGUGAAUCCACAUGGUGAUCACAUAAAUACAUAUAAUAUGAUUAAAUGGACUUUAAUACAAGUAUUAAUGCAAUUAAGAUAUUUGAAUAAAAUAUCUCAUUUAUUUUAUUAAUCAGAAAAAUAGUUUAUUACAAUUAAAUAAACACAUAUGCUUUUAAAGAGCAUAUUUUCCCAACAAUUAUGCGGUCUAGACUUUAAGGGCAUUUUAUCUCGUGUCUUAUUACUAUUGUUUGCAUCUUAUGCGAAGACUGAUUUGGAUUAUGAGAACGAUUUCAGAGAAUUAUAUUUUGAAUAUGGCGGAACACCAUUUUUCUAGCUCUAAAUUUUCUGCGGACUGCAAUUCAUGUUGCAUAUUGAACCACGUUGGGCCUUGUAAAAUACUGAAAAUAAGACAAUGUGUUUAUCAUUUUCUAUGAGUUUGCCGAUACCGCUCGAAAUUAUAUUUCAUGUUGAUACAUUGAGACGCGAUGCUAAUUAUGGUUGAGAGAUGGCCGACAAUUAUUCAUUUCUUUUUUUUUUUUUUGUUUUGUUUUGUUUUAUUCACAAAACAACCGCUCAAGUCAAAUCAAAAGUGGAAAAAGAUUUUCCACGUCUAAAGCAAAAGCGAGAUAGAUAAUUACAUACGACAAUAAUCAUCUUGUAAUUUAUAUAUAUAGGUUUUGGCAAGAUGACAAUUCGUACGGUGAUAAAAAUGCUUGAUCUUAUCAGAUCGAUAAUUGUGAUUGUGUUUUCGCCGCGUAAUAUGAGUUAAUGAUAAGGCAACGUCCGAUUUGCUAGAGAUUUCACGGGCUGUGUUCAUCAUGCGCCUCUUGUCACAAUUACGAGAAUUGAUUUGGAUGAGAGCGACUUUAUAGAAUUAUUAGUUUUUGGGGGCGACUUUAUAGAAUUAUUAAACAACCAGAAUAAUACUUUGAAAAAGUAAGAUAAAAGUCAAGUAAUUAAUCGGAUCAAUCUUUUGGGGGCGGAAAAAAUAAAGUAAUGUUUGAUGUGGCUGAAAAGAAUAAUGAUAUGUGACCCCUAAAUAUAUUUCAACCACUCAAUAAUUAAUUAUCUCUAAUCAUUUCCAAAAGUACCCUUGUUCAUAUAAGUUUAAUUCUGCAGCUCCAAACUUAAUUUCAAUUCUAGUGUUGGCCAACAAUGGUCUCGGAACUGAGAAUAUGACUUUUCAUAAUAUAAUGUAGACACUAGUGCAAAUAUUAACUCACUAAAAUAAAUAAAUCAAUACAAAUUGCAAACAAAAAGCAGGGGAAAUAAAACCGCCGAAAAUAUUAGAAACCUUGGAGAAAGAUUGCUGAGUUGUUGGAUUGUUGGUGUCGGUAUUGUCUUGGCAAGCAAACGCGCCAAUUUUCAAUCUUUAAUUUAGAAAAUCAAUUGUUGUGGUGGGAGUUUGGCAGGGGAGGAAAUGAAGGAAAGUGGCGGAGAAUGAGAGAAGGCAGGGAGGAAAAAAUGGGCACUUUUUGAAAAUAAACACUAUUUUACUAAGUAUAUUUUAAUAAUUAUUUUAGAUAUUUUAAGUUAAAAUGAGAAAAAUAGGGGUUAGUGAGAUAAGUUGUGGAGGUCAAACAUCACUAUUCUCUUAAAAAGAGUGAAGCUGUUGGUAGUCCUUUAUAGUCAUUAUAAAAUCUCACCUCUAAAAAAAUAAUAGUGAAGGACAAAUAAGAAUUAAGCAUACAUAAAUUCCCCCCCCCCCCCCCUAAAAAAAAAAGAAAAAAGAAAACAUAAGCAAUCCUUUUCUUUUUUUUUUAAUUUUCUACUUGUUUCUUCCUAUUUAACUAAGAUAAAUUGUACAAAUUUAGAAUAAUUCAUUAUUCUUUUCAUAUUUCUUAUUUAUUUAAUAUAUUUUAUGCUUAAAAUUGCUUUUCAAAUUAAAAUUUAGAAUAUAUGUAAUUUAAGCCAAUGAUAAACAUUGAAAAAUUUGAUCACCCAAAAAAUUUUUAAUUUGUGUGUCCGGUAACAAUAAGACUACAAAAUAAAAGAAAAAUAGCAUAAUAAGACCUUGAGUUUUAACAAAAUAAAAAAUUAGAAGUGUAUUAAAAAAAGAAGAAAUUUUUUGAAAUAAAAUAAAUAUAACUGAAAAAAAAAAUGGGGGUUUUAUGAGGAUAUUAGGGGGUGCCAAUUGUUCAACUUUCUUUAGAAAUCAAAAUUAUGCCCAAUGCCUAGGGCCUUGUACAGCCCGAAGGUAUGUAUUUUACUCAAUGGGCAAGCUAGUAUUUGGGGGUAUUUAUCUUCUAUAUAAUAAAAGUUCAAACAAACUUUGAAAAAUAAAUGGUUUCAAUACUACAUUACAAACUGUUCAAAGUCAUAUAUAUUUAUUCCGAUUUCAAAUAAAAUAUCAAACGCCUGCUUAAUUAUAAUAUAUAUAAUUAAGUAAAAUCCUAAAUAUCUUGUAUAAUAUAAUGCUCGGUUUAUGGUGUAAGUUAAAAAGCUAAAACUAAAUGUUUCUUUAACUUUUUGGAAAUUUAAGCCAAUUACUUAGGGUGCAUUCAGGGCAGCGGCACAACACUCGACCACUUAUAUUUUCAUUUAAAUCCAAACGCACCAUUAGUUGGCCCUUGUGGUUAAAAUCAUCUUUAUUACAUAUCUAUUUCAUUUAAAAGCUACUUACUUACUCUUUACUUUACUUGCUGCUGCAUGUUGGAUUUGAUUUAAAUGUUAAGUUACAUGUCUUAGAUAAAAAUUAUUUUUUAGCCUUGAGAAGUUGGAUCCAACAAUUAUGUUUUGAGUAAUUUUUAAAUUUAGAGUUUUAUCUGAAUUAUUAACCAAUGCGCUAGUGCCUAAAUGAAAAUUUACCCGAAAGAUAAAAAUAAAUUACAAAUAUCAAUUUCUUUUUUAUAAAGUAAAAUUGAAAUAUACAACUUGCUAAAGGAAAGAAAGCUUUGUGAAUUUAGAUAGAUUUCUUUAGAUUAUCUUUUAAUUAUCUUGUACUACAUGUGUAUUUAUAUCAUUUCAUAGUUAAGAUUCUUAUUACCAAGAAAAUCACAUCAACACUUGAUCAAAAUUUUAUUUAUCAAAUACUAAGAAGAUAUUAGAUAUCUACUUUUAUAACAAGUGAAAUCUAGUUUCAAUUUAUGCUUUACAAAAGGUUAAAGGAAAAUUACCAUUUUCCCUCCUGCAGAUGGUAAAGGGAAAAAGACAUCUACACCACUAAAGUUUGUAAAAAUAGUUGUCAACGCUCCAAGUUUUCAAAAAGGGAUACCAAGACCCCAUUUUAACCAUAAUUCCCUUUAUCUCUAUUAUCUUCAAAAACUUAACUCUAAUGUUUUAUAAUAAAUGGAAUAUAACAUUAAAAUAAAUGUAAUAAUAUGUACAUUUUAAAAAAAUUAAUGUCUAAAAAUAUUUUAAUAUUUUACAAUCUACUAGAUAUAUUUUGUUAUAUUAAUGUAAAUUUUAUAAUAAAUAGAAUCAUAAUAUUAAAAUAAAUGUAUUAAAAUUUAAAUUAUCUUGAAUAUUAUGUAAAAUAAUAAUUUCAAUGUUAUUAGUAUGUGAGUUUUUUUUACUUGUAAAAUGUAUUUAAUGCGAAUUUUUAUUUAAAAUCUAUAACAAAUAAAAAUAUAUUAUUAAAAUAAAUAUAAUAAUUUACAUUUUUAAAUUUAUUAAAAUAUUCUAAUAUUGCUAGUCUUUUGCAUAGAUUACACUAUUUAUAUAAUAUUAGCAUUUAUAAAAAAAAAUUAAAGUCAUUUUUUUGGGAUAAUAGAGGUAAAGUGCAUAAUGAUCAAAAGAAGUUCUCGGUGUCCCUUUUUGGAAACUUGGGGGUGUUAAUGAAGGGUGCAUAUAUCAUUUCUGUGGUAAAAAGAAAAAAAUAUUACAAUACUUUGAAAUCUACCAUUUUUAUAAACUAAAUUUGUAAAAUACUAUUUUUACACUUUGUUGUUAACAAGGAAUCCGUUAGUGAAUUUAUUUGAAAAGAUGUUUUUAUCCUUGAAAUGUAAUUUAAUAUGUUGAAGUAGAAUAUUUUUAGGAAAUGAAGUCAAAUUCGAAUGUAUAACAAAUAUAUAUAUAAAGCUCUCAAUGAGAGGAACAAAAAUCUAAGUAAAUAUUUUACCACGUUCUAUUGUUUGUGGGGAAAAUGACACCUGUAUCUCCAAGACCCUCGAGUUUUCAAUAAAGGAUGCCAAGAUCCCUUGUUGACUCUAAUACCCUUUAGUUUUAUUUACUCAAAAAAAAUGACUCCAAUUUUUUAGAGUAAAUACAAAUAUAAUAUUAAAAUAAAUGUAACAAUUUAUACUUUUUAAAAUAAUUUCUAUAUUUAAAAAAUAUUUUAAUAUUUUACUAUCUUGUAUUACAUUAAAAAAUUAUAAUAAAUAGAAACAUAAUGUUAAAAUAAAUAUUUAAAUAUUUAAAUUGUUUUCAAGAUUAUAUAAAAUAAUUUUAAUAUUAUUAAUUUAUGAGAUUUAUUUCAUUAAUUGUAAAAUCUAUUUAACCAAAGGAUGUUUGGUUUAAAGAAAGGGGAAGAGAGGAAAAGAGUGGAAUGGAAGGGAAGGGAGAAGAAAUGAGUGAAGGAGAAUAGUAAAAUUAAAUUUCAUUGUUUGGUUUGACAUAAAAUUUGAUAGGAAAAAGAAUUACAAUUUUUUUCUUUGGACAAAUUUAUUCUUUCCCUUAAAUACUAUCUAUAUUAGCAAUGAAAUAAAAUUUAAUUUCAAUACCAAACUUUUUUAAUGUCAAAAAGUCCUAAAAUAAUUCAUGAUUUAUUAGAAUUAUAUAUAUAUAUAUAUAAAUAAAACGGAGGUCCAGCGGCAAUCGACGACGUUUCAACGGAAAUCAGUGGCGGUCGACAGCAUUCCAGUAGUGGUUCGGCAGAGUUUCGGUGAUAGUCUGGCAGAUGUUCGGCGACGGUUUGCCGGAGUUCUGGCGACGGUUAAUUUAUAUUUCUAUAUUUUCAUAUUAAAUAAAUAAAUAAGUUUAUUUAUUUUGUUAAGUUUCUUAAAUCAUUCAUUAAAUUUAAUUAAUAUAAAAUUAUUUAUAACAUUAAAUUGAUUAAAUAAAAUUAUAAAUAAUAAUUACUAAGGGCAUUAAAUAAGCUAAAAAGUUGAAGGGUAAUUUUGGAAGUUUUGGUUUCCAAUAUAAGACGAAAUUAAAUUCUUCACUCUUUAGUCUGGAAAUCAAAUUAUACAUUAAUUCUUAUAUAUUUUGUCUAACCAAACAAUGAAAAUAAAAAUAGAACUUAAAUUAUUUUCCUCUCCUCCAUUCUCUACUCCUAACCAAACAGCACCUAAAGAUUUAUUUAAAAUUUUGUAAUAAAAUAUUAUUUGUAUUCUAAAGUUAUUUUUAUAUAUUAUAAAAUAUUCUAAUAUUCUAUUAGAUAAAUUAGAUUAUUUAAAUUAUAUUUGUCUUUAUUAGAAAAAUCUAAAAACCAAUUUUUUAGUUACUAUUUACAAAGGAUGUUAUAGUCAAAAGAGGAUUUUGGUGUCCCUUAUUAAAUUCUUGAGGGUACAUAACUAUUUUCCCAAACUUUAAGUGUAAGUGUUCUUUUUCCUUGUUUGUGCGUCAAAAACUUAUUUGAAUAUUUAAAAAAGACUUCAUAUAGAUUUUCGAUGCAAUAAAUGACAAAAUUUGGCAUACAUUUCUAAUUAGUUCUAUUCCUCACGUUGAGAGGUACAAAAAGACUUGUUAUAUGAUCAAAUCUGAUAUCAUUUGCCCUAUCUAACAAUACCAAAAAAUAUCCUGCAUCAUAAUAUUAAAUUACAUUACAAGAGAAAAACUGUCUAUUUUAUAUAAAUCCAGUAACAAAUAUAACGGUAAGGUGUAAAAAUGUUAAUUUUAGAAACUUGGGUAUAAAGAUGAUAAAUUUGUUACUGUUGAAAUAUUUUUGGCCUUUGUCAUCUAUAAGGUGAAAAAAAAAAAUAGUAAUUUCGCAAGUUUAAAAAUUUGAUUGAAUAUGUAUAAAUCAUAAAAUCAAUAAUAGAAGUAGGAGCGACUCCGGACUGACCCCACUUGUCAAAUCACGAUGAUGACUUUGGAGAACAAAUCAUGCCAAAGGGACAAGAUUAAAAAGAACUACUGAAGAUAAAAAAGGACUUAAAUUAUGCACUUUUUUUUGCAUACAACAAUUCGAUCUUAUCCUCAUCUGAGCUUAGUCUCUAGAGCUCUAUAAAUUCGAACUCUUCCAUGCCAAACUGAUCAAGUAACUCACUCAAACAGCUCUCUGAAAGAUAACAAAAUGAAUACUCCUUUCGUGACUGCAGUCUCCUUUCUUCUCCUUGCCUUUGCCACAAAACCGCUUGUGGGACUCGCUGAUCCUUUGGUUGAUGUCAAUGGCAACAAGGUGGAAGCAUCCUGAGACUACUAUUUGGUCUCAGCAAUUCGAGGAGCAGGCGGCGGCGGCCUCACCCUCUUCAGGGGCAGAAACGAACUCUGCCCACUUGAUGUUGUCCAACUAAGUUCCGACUCAGAAAGAGGAACCCGUUUAAGAUUCGCAACGUAUGAUAACACUAGUAUGAUCAAUGAAGAAGUGGAUCUGAACGUGAGAUUCUCGACAGAGACUCGCUGCAACGAACCAACAGUAUGGAGAGUCGACAGCUAUGAUGCAUCGAGAGGAAAAUGGUUUAUAUCAACUGGUGGUGUUGAAGGAAACCCUGGAGCUCAAACUUUGAAAAACUGGUUUAAGUUUGAGAGAAUUGGAAGAGAUCGAGGUGAGUAAUAGGGAUAAAAAUACCUAUAUUUCUUGAUUUAAGUACCUAUUUAAUUCUUAUAUUUUAAAAAAUACCUCAAAAACUUAUAAUGAUAAUAUUACAUUACAUUCUUAUCCUAUUUUUUUCUUUUCGUUUAAUGACAUAACUUAAUUUGAUAUAUUAUAAUUUUUUUAUUAAUAUUUCAAAAAUAUUGUUGUACAAAUAUUAUUAUAAAAAGAAAAUAAGGAUGGAAUUGUGGCUUAUUUAACAAUAAAAGUGUCUUGGAAUUUUUUUUAAAUAUAGAAAUUAAAUAAAUAUUUAACUCAAAAUAUAAGUAAUAAAUAAAUAUUUACCGUAAGUAAUAAUGAUAACUGAACACAAAGUUUGAAGAGACAAAUAAUGACAAAAUACGAAAAAACCAUCUCACUUAUCUUGUAUUGAUUUUUUUUUUUAACUUACUUUACAAAAUUGUAUAUUAAUGUAUCCUUGCUCUUUCCAGCUACGUACAAGAUUGUUCACUGUCCUUCCGUUUGCGAAUCCUGUGUAUCUUUAUGCAAUGAUGUUGGGGUUUCUCACGAUCAUGCUCGACGUUUGGCUCUUACUAAUGGGCCUGUUGUUCUAGUCCCCGCUAAUGAGAGAUCAGCCUCAUGUGCAUCUUGAAUGCCCUUGUAUCCUUACUCUAAAUAAUGGAUCGGGCUAGCUCCUUGACGCUUAUAACAUAAACAAAAAUGUCAUUGCUAACUAGCCUGUGUACCUUUGAACGGAAACUUGUAGUAGCAUUAAAUAAAAGUGGCGAAUUUUGACUGUUUAAUCUCUUAAGAGCUUUGGUUAUGACUGAGGAGUUAUUACUUG
rnacentral:lncRNA from 1 species